AUUUCGAGAUUGUGAAAUCUCUCCAGUACAUUCCAGAUUGGAAAACAAGCUGAGUCAUCUCCAACAAUCUCUAGUUGUUUGAGACUGCCAAAAAGGUGUUGUGGGAAAUCGGCCUGCAAAAUCAUCUUCACGUAUUUUCCGCAUAGUGAUAGUUCCGUCAAGUUGGGUAAGAUCUGAUCAUCAUCAAUCAUAAUAACUAAUAAGGUCAAUUGAUGUUCUCUCAAAUGAUUUUGAGUAAUCCAAUCAGACGCAGUGAGUUUAUAGUAUUUGUUUUAUAUUAUAUUUUAAAAAAAAUUGAAUUAUUGAUAAAAUUUAUUAAAUGAUUUUUUAUAUGUUAAUUUUAGAGGUAAAAAAGAAAUUAGGGAAAAAAGGUUGAUUUAUACUGACUCGAAAUUAUUUUAUUGCACAAUAAUAAAUUACUAAUUUAUUUUGUAAGUUCUUCUAUAUGGAAAGACUCAAGAUUCUUUUACAAAUGCUAUACCUAAAAAAGUUUAUAUAAUUAUUAAUCUACCACAUUGAUCCCUUAAUCUAGACUAGCAAAGAUUAUUGUAUAAUAAAAGUUUUUAAUUUAUUAAGCAUUAAUUUAUCGAUACUUUGUCAUAUUUUUCAAAGUUAAAAAUAAGCUAUAGAUAAAAAAUCUAGAAAAUGGCUUCAUACCUUUUCCAGCGGCAAUAAGGGCUGUUGUGCAGGAAUACCAAGUUGAUCAUUCCCAUUAUUCUGCGAUAAAUCUGCAGCGAAUAUCUUUAAUUUGUCACAACGAUACACUAAAAGAAUUUCUAGGGCGGGCCAUUCCGAAGUAUGCAUUCCAGGGUACAAACAUCUAAGUUUUGGUAGAUCAUGGAGUAUCAAAGUGGUGAGCUGUGGAAAGACAAAAUAAGGGAUCACUUGAUCUGCUCUGUUUUCAGAAAUGACCUCCUGUAAAUCCUCACAAGAGCGUAUUUCUAGGCGUUGGAGCUGCUUAAGGCUUCCGAUCAUGGACGCUGAAAAUAUUUAUUUUAAUUUGUGACAACCCCACACAAUCAAUCGUGUUAAACUUUGAAAGUGAGGAAACACGGCCGCUGGAAUUUGAUUGUAGUGCCAAAUCUUGUCGACAUUAAUUUCAGAUAUCUCCAAAGCCUCCAAGUUAGGCAACGCAACCUAAAAAGAUAAGAAUUUCUUGUUGAAAAUUUCUCUUUGAUUACAAAUUAAUGCAAGUCAGAAUCAAUUUCCAACUGACAGCUGAGUAUGCAUUCUAAUUCAUACUACCUGUUAAGAGCUCAAUUAGUGAGUGCGUGAGAUUAUUUUUUUCCCCAUUGUUUUCAUUUUCUUUCAAUUCUCUAAAUGAUUUAAUUAUUUUCCACGUUUGACAUAAGAGAACGCAUGAUAGAAUAAACUCUGUUAUAUAUAUAUAUGAAUAAAAUGUUAGCCUACGCACCUUCUCAUUGAAAAGCAAAGUUGAAAUAUCCAAAGUGAUUUCGCUGGAGCAAUACAUAGUCGUCGAUUCCUCUUGCGACACUUGUCUGUUCGGUGAUGCUGAAGGAGUCUCCACCUCACGGCAAAAACUUGUAACCUCUGGAAGAUUCCCCAGACUCAAAGAUCUUAAUUGAGCAAACUCUAUCUUCUCAAUUGCAUUAUCAACUUCUUCCCCAACUGCAAAAAUCUCUUUCAUCUUGCUGCAAUUAAUAACUGCAAUCCUCUCAAGUCUUGGAAGGCAUUUUGUAGUAGAGAGCCAAAAGAUAUUACUCAACUUAUUACAACUAUAAGCUUCUAUGGUUUUGAGUUUGUUGAAAGACUCUACUUUGAGCCGAUCAAUACAUAUCCUCUCCAUGUUGAUCAAAUUGUGAAGGGCCAGUGACUCCAAAAGAGGAAAGGCAUCACAAGCGACCAUCUCCCUUGAAUCGACGAUACAAAAGAAGUCAGGAUUAUUUUGAAUGCAGAGGACCUUCAAUUGUGAAAAGCCCUCCGUGUCCAAAUUGAAAAGAACAUUCUCGAUGCCUUGCAGCUUGUCCAACCGUAAGUAUUCAACGUUAUUGAUGCCCUGCAAUUUCAUGGAGCAAAUGUCCAUAAAAUCAAGCUUGAGCUCCAAUUCUCUUGAAAUCUUGCGAUCACUGUUGAUCGAAAAGCGCGGCCGACUUUUAAACCAAUGUUGUCCAACACUCAUGGGAUGCAUGAAUAACCCAUUUCCAAUAGAUAUUUUGAACCUUUCGAGCUUUCUGGCCAAAAAACCUUCUGGUAAAAUAUUGUCACUUUUAACGUCAAUUUCUAGAGAGGUUAGCCGAGGUAAAUGCAUCAAUUCGUCAAGGCUAGCAUUACUUCUUUUGCUGUUGGCUCUUUCAACCUCCCAUUCAAUGAAGCAAUUACCCAUAUACAAUUCUUCUAAUCGGAUUAAGCUUGAUAUGACAUUUGGGGCAAUAACUUUCAGACGGAAACAGUCUGUUAAAUCUAACAGCCUUAGCUUAGUCAGUUGACCCAGUGCUUUAGGCAACUCUACAAUAUCAGAUUGCAAAAAGCUAAGGAUUUCUAGAUUUUCCAACUUUCCAAUAAUGGCUAUGUCUAUGCCUCCGAAAAUGCUUUGAUUAAGACAAAGUGUCUGAAGAUUUACUAGAAGACCAAUUGAAGAUGGCAAUGACAAUAACCGCAUUCUAGUCAAAUCCAAAACCCGAAGCUUUUUCGUCCUUUUGAAUAAGUUCUCAGGAAUAUUAGGCACAGCAAAAGAGUUCUUGGGAGACAUGACUAGAAGUUCAAGUUGUAGAGAUUCGGACCCUUCAGGAAUGUCAUUAACAAUACUAUCUUUAAAAGAAAUUGCAAAAUAUUUUUUAAUUCAUCUGCAUUUGGCCAUUUCCAAUCAUCCUCAUUUCUCACCACAAAUGCAUUCAUGUCACGAAAUGCAAUUGAAAUGGCAACAUCGUGAACAACAUCGUGCAUAGAAAUGUAUUUACUGCCACCAUCCUCAAGCAACAAACAAGAGUCUCUUAGUUGACUGACCCAUGCAUCUAAUUUGUUAUGUGCAUCUUCUAGCUUAUGGACACUUUUAAAUACACCCAAGCCCAUGCUGUAUUUGAACAAAUCCAUAAUUGGUGCUGGCGUAAUAAGACUACACAGUAAAAAAGUUUUCUUGAGUUGCUCACCUCUUAAGUACUUGUAACUCAGCUCAAUUGUUGAGUAUGCCUCUGCUCGUACUCCUUCGUCGAAGCUUGCCUCUGAAGGCGUUUGGAGUUCUUGCAAGGCAUUCUUCCACACAGGCAGCUCUUUUUUUCUCAGUGCCUUUGCUACUGUGGUUAGGGCAAUAGGCAAACCUCCGCAUGCCUUGGCUACACUGGUUGCUGUAGAUUUUAACUAACGAUUUUCAACAUAAUCACCAGCCAUUAUCUUGAACAAUCUCCAGGCUUCUUGUUCAUUUAAAAUGCCAAUCGAGAAGUUUUUUUCAGAUCCCAUCCUUAACAGCACAUCAAGAUCUCUUGUUGUGAAUAAUAAUUUACAUCCUCUGUGCUCAACUCCAAAAGGAAUGCCAAUAGUCCCCAAAUCAAGAGGUUUCCAGAUGUUAUCGAGAAUCACAAGGAUCUUCUUCUCAUUCUUCAAUCUUUCAUAUAGUCUACUAGCUCUUCUAGACUCAGCUUCCUCGGACAACUCUAGGCCUAACGUUUCCGCAAUUUCCUCUUGGAUCUUUCUUAUGUCUGGACAUUGGGUAACCUCCGAAAAAACCACCAUAUCGUAAAGCUUGUCUUCAAUGGCUCGCCUUGCAAACUCCUUCACCAGUGUCGUCUUUCCAAUGCCGCCCAUGCCGUAGACCCCAAUGAUGCUGACAUCAACAUCGAUCAAUGCAUUUUGUAUGGCCUUCAAAGUAGAAAGUCUUGAAUCGAAGGCUUCGUAGCCUUUGUGAGACUUGAGCCAUAUAUCCUCCGGAAUGGUACGGUAGGAAAUUCCAUCAACAAAUCUCCCAGCUUCUUCUCGGAGUUUAACAAUGGCCUUCACCUUUGUUUCUGCUUUCUUGCUAAGCUGAUAGCGGGUCUUCAAAUUAGGACACAAGCCCAUGAGACAUCGUUUAUUUGUUGUCUUCUCAUCAUCAAUGAAUUUGGCUGCCUGCUCAAUGAUGAUGUUCGCACUAACCAGCCACUUCUCAACCUUCUCUUCAAUAUUUUCCCCUUUUCUUUCAGCCUCAGAAACCCUGUGCUGAAUGCUUCUCCUUUCAUCCUUGAGCUUGUCUAUUUCUGCCUUGAGUUUCUCAACGUUGGCUUUAUAGUUACGCAAAUAACCAAGUCGGCGUUCUGUUGGAGGAGCCAAGCAUUUCACAAAUUCUAAAACACUAGUAACAAUGCUUUCCACCAUCCUGGAUCCCUUUUCUUUUUUUCGAAGUUUCUGACAAGAAAAUAAACAAUGAGCGAAACACAGAGAGAGUGAGGAGAAAAAGAAAAAGAAACGCAAAGAUGGACAGUUUAUCUGGUUGUGGAAGCGGAGAAAUGAAAGAAAUCGUAAUAGCUGUUAUGGAUAUGCUGAGAAGAUGGAAACAAGGAAAAGGUUUCUAGUUCAACAACUGGAUUGCGAGCGGAGAGACUAAUUAACAAAGACUGGAGAUUACAACAAAGCAGAUGCCAAGAGAAAAGUUGAUCCAGUGAAAUUCAAGAGAGUUGACAGCAAAAGGGAGCAAAGAUUAAUAACAAAACAGCAGUGACUACAAUGAACAAAAGCAUAUGCGUUUCUUGAUUGAGAAUGAGUGCAAAGAAUGAUCCUUAAUCAAUAAAAUAUCUGACAAUAUCUUCACCGAAAGUUUGAGACAUGUGAUCCUUAUUCCACUGCGUCAAUUACACUCCAGACCAAUGCUGCCGUCAUUAUCGAACGGUCGAUAUCCAACACUUGCACGAAGAUUCCAAGAAGUUGCGUGGCUGCCGACUUUUAGAUGCAAAGCCUCAUUGUGUCGAUGUUACACAAAAGAGAGCAGUCCGGGUAAUUGCCAAAACUUAGAACUAAACAGUAGCUUAGUCAGAAAAUCAAACGCCAGUACCGGUAAAAUGACCGAUAAAAAUAUAAAGAAAUAAAAAUUUUAAAGUUUUACUUCAUUGCUUUUUUAAUCUUAUUACUAUUUCUCCUUGCACUUCUAAAGAAACCAAAGCUUUAAAAGAAAUCAGCCAAAUCAAGAAGAUUGAAAAGUAAAUCUAUGGUUUUAGAUUUUUAUUUUAUUUUUUUAGAUAAUAGAUAUUGUUGAGUAAUGAAAAGUACCAGCUCCGCUAUCCCCUCUUUCCUCACCCUGGGGCGAAUUUCCCCAUAUGAAUGGCACGAGCAGAUUCCUGGUAAUACAUCCUGUACAAGGCAUAUGCCGACUAGAAACGAAUACCGACCAGAUGUACAUACCGACCAAGUACUCAUUAUUCAAAGAAAGAGGACACGAUCUCACAAACUCACGACAAUUUUGUCAUGCCCCAAACUGUUGGGGAGAACAUGACGCCCCACGUUUACCCACGAUUCGGUGGUUGGAAACCCAUGAAGGUCCGUCAUCACCCGAAAAUGAGGGGCAUGAAUAAUACUCAGAAAACAUGGGAUGAUUGCCUAUAAAAGGCCAAGAAAUCGAUGAAAAAGGGGAGACAAAAAUUGAGAGUAAAGGGGAAACUCUGUCAAAUUAUAAUCAGAAAUUCAUAUAUCAAAAUCCUUGAUACAUUUGGUAUUGAGAAUAUUGCAACUAAUAUGUACAACACAAAUCAUUCACUUUUCUCGUAAACACCUUGUACUAAAUUAAGUAUUGAAGGGUUUAUGCCCGAAAAACCACUGGCGUCUCUGAUUUGUUUCUGUGAACGCAGGCCUGGAAGGAAGAAGACGGGUGAUUUGGGUCCCAGAAGCUCGGGAAAUUGCUGAAGCUGAUGGAUCGCAGCCUCCGUUCCUUUGUCGAUACAAGCGUUGGUGAACCAAUCUAGUCGGUCCAAAGGCGACCAGAUUUUAGCAUCAACAUAUAUUAUUUUGAUGAAUUUUUUAAUAUGAGAAUAAUGUUAGGAAUUCCAAUAGUAAAAUUCUAAUUGAGACCCAAUUGUUAUGUGUUAUUUUUUUAUUGAAUAAUGAAUUUCACAACUAAUAAAAUUUAUAUUUCCAUCAUCUAAUAAAUGACUACCAUAUCAGUUGGGACUCAAUUAUUAGGAUCCUUAACAUUGCUCUUAGUAUUAAAUUGGACAUCUUAGCUAAAUCAGAUUAAAAAUCAAAUUAGAUUUUAGGCUUUUAUUCAACAUCUCUUUUUUUUUUUUGGUCUAUUGGAAGUGAACGAAAUAAAAAUACAACAGGGUCAACGACUGGGCAAUUGGUAGUCAAGUAGAAGCAAAUCAAGGCUAAAUGGGAAAGAGAAACGAUGUUUGUGCAAAACAAGGAGAAAAUCCAUGUAACAGAAGAGAAUCAAAGUGCUUUUGAGAUCAAAAAUUGAAACAAGAAAAAGGUCGCUUGAUCCAAUGAAAAUGCAAAGAGUUGAUGGCAAAAGGGAACAAAGUUAAAUACGAAAACAGCUAGCGCUAGCAGCGACCACAAUAAACAGAAAAUUUGAGAUGGAUUUACAAUAUUUCUGCCUUUCUUUAUGCUUUAACAAAUAUUGCUCUAUCAAAAAAAAUAUUGAACAUUUUUAUUAUUGGAGUCACAAAAGACCUACACAAUAUAGCAAGUGACUAGGAAUAAAUAAGAAUAUAUAACUCUCUCUCUAAUUCUCACUCUGGCUUUUAAUUGUCACUCAAAACCCAGAAUUCAUCCUUAAAGUGUAGGCAAAUCAGAGAUGACAUCGUUUGGUUGUCAUACGUGCCUUUUAGUUUUCGGAUGACAUGGCGUACACUUCUUCUGUAAACCCAACACGACAUGUCGUACUCUUUUGUUUUGAGAUCCUAUUUCAAACUUUUCAUGCUAUGAAUGAAAGAUAAACUCCAAUCAUCAAAAUAUUUAGUGUUUGUUUGGUAAUGUAAUGUCAUUGUUGUUGUGAAUUGAAAUUAUUUCUGUAAAAUAAAAGGAUUUGGGUCAUUGUUUGUUAUUUUCUGACAAUAUUUAUUAAAUAUUAAAAAAUAAAUUUAUAUUUAUUAGUUAUUAAAAAUAAAUAAACAAACAAAAAUAAAAGGAAAAGUUUAUACAUUACGUAAAAUAAUGACAAUAUCAAUAUUUCGCACUCUAUAAUUGAGUGAUGUGUUGUCCAACUAGCAUACUUUGGUCCCAAACGGAGACUUAAAUAUCAAAGUCCAAAGUUAUUGUGAUGAUGACUUAUAAUCGCCAAACUUGACAUACGGGUAAUCAUGCAUUAUAAGGUGCUGAUUUCUUCCGAUCGGAACCUUAUUUUUCAUUUACAAAUAAAUAAAUGAUGUGACUUCACGGUUGGCGGGGUCCUUUGUGUCAUUUGGGCAUUUCACUAAAUGAUUGAUUGUAGCAGGAAGAUUCUUGGAAGUUGCCAUUUGCCAAUGCUACUAACAUUUUCAAACUUGGAAACCCCUUCAAUCAAUCUUAUAGUGUUAGGCUCUGGUAGCUUGGUUUGAUUAUGACAUAUGAUUAUUUGAUAAUAAAACUAGAGGAUGUAUUAAUAUAAAUCUUGUUUAUUGGUGUUGAAAUUAAUUAUCUCAUUGAUAAUAGUAUAAAAAGUUAAUUACUAAGAAACACAAAGCAGUAGUUAAUUGGUGUCAUAUUAUUGAGAUUCUAGGAUAUAAUUUUAUAUCAUAACUUUGUAAGUGUAUAAUUACUCAUUAAAUUAACAAAAUUAUUUAAAAAUAUUUAGUUGGAAAAAAUAAAUUAUAGCCUUUUUAUUUCAAAUAAUCUAUAAGUUAACUCAAAACAUAAUCAAGCUGAGAAUUAAAAUAAUGCUACUGUAUGAGAGGAUUUUUAUUUUUUCCCAAAGUUUCACUAGGAAAUUAUUGAUAUAUAGCUUUAUUCGGAUCAUCUCAGUUCAAACCACAAAUAAUUGAAAGACUAAACUAAAUAGACCAGCCAACAACCUUGUACAAGAGAGUUCAAAAAUUAAGGUCAUGGUAUUGAGGUGUUCUUUCUUGAAAAGUACAGCAUAGUAAUAAAAUAAAAACUAUUAGUCUUUGGUAAGAUAUAAUUUUUAAAUAAUAAUUUUCACAAAAAUACAAAAAUAUUUAUAAAGUACUUCUAUAGUGAGGAGACCCUCACUUUGUUAAAGUGAAAAUAUCAAUAAUAAACAAAAGAAAUAUAUUUUAGCACAUUAAAAACUGUAUUUUUUUUAUCUAUUGGCGUAUUAAAAUAUGUGUUAUUUAGUUUGUUAAUGAUAUCACCACUUUGUUAAAAUGAGGAUGUCCGUCUCUAGAGAAUCAUUAUAUAUAUAUAUAUAUAUAUAUAUAUAUGUAUGUAUAUAUAUAAAGUGUUUCUCUCCAAGGCCUAGACUUUAUUAAAAUUUAAGAAAGCAAAUAUAUUUUAUAUGGUAUAAUAGUGUAAUAACAUCACACUAUUAUAUCAUAUAGAGUAAUAGUUUUUCGAACUUUAAUAAAGCUUAAGAUUAUAGAAUGAAUGAUUUAUACACAUUAUAAUUGUUUUUAAUCAUAAAGUGGAGGAUAAAAUUAAUAUAUUUUUUAAAUUAUAAUAAAUAUUUAUCAAAUAAUUUAACAUUGUAGUAUCUCCUAAUUAGUAUAGUAAAUACGACCUAGGAGGUACAUUAAAGUAGUUGUUAAUAAUAAAUGAUAUAUGCAGCUCCAAUCAUCAUUGUACGAUGAGUAAUUAUAUAUGAAUCUUCACUUAUAGGUGAAAGCACUUUGUCAGACAUCAAAUCUCUGCAAAAGAUACCCGUCUUUAUUCGCUCAUUAUCCACACACACACAUAUUUAAUCUCACCUUUUUUUUUCCAAUCAAACCGAACAGAAAAAGAAAAAAAAUAAUUUUUCUUUUAAAAAAAAUGUAAAUUGAGGUUAUGUGAUUGUAAAGGCUGAUGUUACAAUACCUGCAUGUAUCAGAUACAUGCAGGUUUUAUGGCCGUUGGAUUCAUUGUAUUGAAUCCAACGGCCAUAAAUGAAUUUAAACAAUAAAUAAUUAAAAAAAUAAAAAAAACUUGAAACCUAUAGAAUCGGUCUCAACACACACCAAACCCCCUCAACACACAUCAAACCCAGGCAAAUAUAUUUGUUGGGAAAAAAAACAAACAAAAGGCUCUCACCUCACGCGGGAAAUCAAUUUGUUCUUCCCUCCAUCCUCACUCACGGCUCACGACUCCUGAUAACUCUAUGAAAUGAGAGUUAUCAUAGCACUUUUAGACUUAAAUUAAUAUUACUUAGAGAGUAAAUGAUGUGAUUCUAUUGCAUUUUUGUUACAUUUUGCAUAAAUAUUCAUUUGAGUUUAGUCUUAAUGAGUUUUGCUUGAUUUAAAGUAAUUUGUGCUCAAAUUGUGUACAUAAUUGUAGGUUUCCAGAAGCUUAUAAUUCAUGGAAGGAAUGCUAUGCAAUAGGCUUGCAAAAUAAAAUCCACUGGAAAAAUAAAUUUAUCCACCUUCACCAACACAUCUUCAAUCUUCCCUUCUGGAUAUGCAUGAGAUCUGUCAGCAAGUUGUAAAGUCACUGUUGUUGGUCUACAUUCACCAACUCCCAAUUGCUUAAACACUGAUAAAGGCAUGAGAUUGAUGCUAGCCCCUAAAUCACAAAGUGCUUUGCCACUGUAUUCAGUGCCUAUGGAGCAUGGAAUUGUGAAGCUUCCUAGAUCCUUCAUCUUCUGUGGUAUCUUACUCUGAAGCAUUCGGCUGCACUCUUGUGUUAAAGCAACUGUCUCAAAUUCUCCAAGUCUUCUUUUCUUUGACAAGAUAUCCUUAAAAAUUUUUGCAUAAUUUGGCAUUUGCUCUAGAGCUUCCACAAAAGGGAUAUUGAUAUGUAGCUGUUUCAGCACCCCCAAAAUUUUGCUGAACUGCUUGUCUUAUUGUUGCUUCUGAAAUCUUUGAGGGAAUGGUGGUGGGUGUCUAAACUGCUGUGCUGCAGCAGGUUGUACAGACUGCUUCUCUUUUGCUCUACUCAGGUCUGUUACUAUUGGUGUUGUAGCUUCCUUACCACCAGAUGCUGGAUCAUAACUUUCUGUAAAUGUUGUAGCAGAGCUGUGUUGAUUUGCAUUCCGAAAAGUGGAAGACUGUGACUCAUUCUCUACUUGAGUGUCUUCUUGGCCUUUGUUGGACUCAAUUUUUCUUUUUGGUACACCAACGGGACUAUGAACAUCUUUUCCAGAUCUCAAGUUAAUUACUUUGCAGUGCUCUUUCCCUUCUCUUCUUGGGUCCUCUGUAUUAAUGGGUAAACUACCGUGAGGUCUGUUGCUUACUGCUGUAGCAAGCUGUCCAAUUUGAUUUUCCAAGUUUUUCAAAGAUGCAGCAUGACUUUGGACAACCACUUCAUUUUUCACAAUAUAAUCCUUAAUCAAACCUUCAAGGGAGCUAAGUUGAUCAUUGUUGAUACUUCUUUGCUCUUGAUUUUACUGAUAAAAUCCAGGUGGUUGAGCAAGUCUGUUAUGUCCACUGGGUGCUGCAGUAGUCUGGUUCUGAUAACUCCAUGAAAAGUUCGGGUGCUGUCUCCAUCCAGGGUUGUAAGUGUUUGAAUAUGGAUUGUCCUGGUUCUGUCUAUUAAAGCUGCCCAUAUAGUUAACCAAAGCUGGAUUACCAGGACAAUUGUCAAAUAAAUGCCCUUCUCCACAAUAAACGCAAGACAUAUCAGAAAUUUGGUUAACAGUUGCUGGAGCAGUAGUCAUAGCCUUUACCAUCCUUGUUAAUGAAGUUACUUGGGCUGACAAUGUUCUCAAGGCAUCUACGUUAUGAACUCCUGCAGUUCCUCUUGCUGCAGCUUGUUUGGUUGAUGGCCACUGAUAAUUGUUGUUAGCAAUCCUCUCUAAAAUUUCAUAAGCCUCAUUGUAAGACUUAGAUAACAAAGCCCCAUUUGCUGAAGCGUCCACCAUCAAUCUAGUGCUUGGGUUGAGACCAUUAUAGAAAGUUUCCAACUGUAUGCAUCAAGGAAUACCAUGAUGAGGACAUCUCCUAAGUAACUCCUUAAAUCUUUCCCAUGCAUCACCAAGCUCUCAUCUUCAAGUUGAUGGAAAGAUGUGAUCUCGUUCCUCAACUUUGCAUUCUUGGUUGGCGGGAAGUAUUUCAACAAAAAUUUGUCAGCCAAGUCACUUCAUGUAGUGAUAGAAUCUGGUGGUAGAGAAUUCAACCAUGCUCUUGCUCGAUCUCUCAAAGAAAACGGGAAAAGUCCGAGUCUCAAUGCUUCCUGCGAUGCUCCAGCAAUCUUGAAAGCAUCACUUACUUCCAAAAAUAACUUAAGGUGUAAAUGAGGAUCUUCGGAUGGCAAACCAUUAAAUUGCCCCACUGUUUAAAGCAUCUGAAACAUCACGAGUUUGAGUUCAAAAUUGUCAGCUUGAACGUCGGGUCUAACUAUUCCUGGAUGUAUGGCUUGAGGAGUCAACACUGCGUAAUCUCAAAUGGCUCUAUCUCUAUCGUUCACCAUGUGAAUAAUGUCGUUGUUCCCUGGUGGAUAAAUUUAUUUUUCCAGUGGAUUUUAUUAUGCUAGACUUUGAGGCAGACAAAGAAGUGCCAAUCAUUCUAGGGAGACCUUUCUUAGCUACGGGAAAGACUUUAAUUGAUGUUCAAAAAGGAGAAUUAACCAUGAGGGUGAAUAACCAGCAAGUUACAUUCAAUGUGCUGGAUGCCAUGAAGAGUCCCGAUGAGAUUGAAGAUUUUAAUUUUAUCAGUGCUGUGGACUUUGUUGUAACUGAGAGAUUACACAGUUGCUGCUGUAAGGAAGAAAUCAAUGCUGUAACAAUUGAAGGACUUGAUGAUGAAGAUCAUGGAGCAGCUAACAUAGCAUGGUUAAGGAAGAAGCAACCAUUCAGAAUUGACGAGCAAAUCCAGCAAAGGGAACUCACUCCAGAACAACAAGAAUUCAAGGUUAAUGGGCCAAGAGUAAAGCACUAUAUGGGAGAUGGUGUGAAUAGCCUAAAGAGGGAUCGGUUCUUGAAAGAUCUAGGUUGAGGAAACAAGAAAGGUCAGGCUGAAGGACCUAAAAUCAAGCGCUAAUUGGGAGGCAACCCAAUAAGGGAAGUUGUUUCAAGUUUUUAUGGCAUUGAAUUUAGCUUUUAAAUUAUUUAAUUUGUCUUUUUGUUAUUUUAAGUGUGCAUCUAAUUUUUUAUGUCUUUAUGUUACAUUGUAGCAAGUACAAAAAAAAAUGUGGGCAAAAAGAGCAGGAGGGAAUUGCUGCAGCAUCACUUACAGCAUGACAUAUAACAGAAGAUUCUCAAACAAUAGAGACAUUUCUUGCUUUUGCAGCAGCAAAUGGAUUGAUCAUAUUUUAUGAUAAGGAGCGUUUGAGAAGUGGAUCAAAGAAGAAGUGACCCUUUACAGCCUGUGCUACAGCAGUGCUUCCAGCAACAGGGCAGUGCCCCUAACCGCUAGUUUAUUUUACUUCUUGCUGUAAAACUUUUCUUUCAUUUAGUUUUAAUUUUCUAAUUCAUUUUGCAUGUCAUUUUAUUUAGUGUAUGCAUGUCUGGUUUAUGUGGUUUUGUUUUGUGUGCUUGUGAGGACACAGCACCACUCAAGUUUGGGGGGGUUGUGUUUAUGAGUGCAUGUGUUUAUGCUUGUGUUGUGUGAAGCUCUGUUAUCUAAUAUUUGUGUAUGGAUUUGAAAACCUAAUGAAGAUAAAUUGAGUGUUAUUCAGUAUUUAUGAGAAAGCCAAGUAGAGAUAGUUAUAGAUGGAGGUUGAACUUCAGUCCCGACACUUAGACUUUGGUUGAGUUUUAUGAGAAUGUUGUAGCAGAGCCAUGAAAACCAAAAAAAGAGUAGAAAAUAUCUCAAGUUUGGGGAAAACUUUUUGUUGGACUGUGCUUGUUAUGAAAUAAAUUCUGCUCCAAUGGUUUAAGUUGCUGAGUAACCAGGGUUGAGUAUGCACCCCAUAUGCAAACUUGAGUCCAAAGGCAACACGAGCUACGAGCAGUGCUGCAGCAAUUAUAAAAAAAAGAGAAAUGAUGAUAAAGUGGUCCGCUACCUAGAAUACUGAGUAACCUGGUCUGUUCAUGAGCCCCAUGUUCAGCCUUGAGUCAAAGGCGUCCAAAGGUAUGACCUAGAUAUAACAUCCUGAAUGCGUUGCUGUAGCAACUCUGACAUGUACUUUGAAUGAGUAAUUGGGUGUCGUCAUUACAAGUGAUAGGCAUUCACAUGAAAGCUCAAUGUUGCAUUGAAGGGUUUAACUGAAAAAAAAAUUAUUAUUGUUGUAGCACAGUUUGAAUAUAAUUGUGAGUUCUGAUCCCCCAUAUGUGAAUAUAUUUGUGUUCUACCUCUGAAUUGUAUACAAAGUUUGUGCAAUGCUGUAGCACCUCUGGAAUUUGAUCAAAGUGGAACAUACACACUUUGGACAGAAUGAACCCUAAGUCUAGAACUGAACUACUAUGGCUAUUUUGUAUGAUUAAGAGUGUGAUCUGAGGGUGGAAGAAUCCUUGCAAAUUUGAUGACAGAGCUAAGUUAUUUGUUGCAUGAUUGUGUGAUUGAAGUGUGAAUGUUGUUGUCAUUACUUGAGGACAAGUAAUGGUUUAAGUUUGGGGGUGUAAUAACUCUAUGAAAUGAGAGUUAUCAUAGCACUUUUAGACUUAAAUUAAUAUUACUUAGAGAGUAAAUGAUGUGAUUCUAUUGCAUUUUUGUUACAUUUUGCAUAAAUAUUCAUUUUAGUUUAGUCUUAAUGAGUUUUGCUUGAUUUAAAGUAAUUUGUGCUCAAAUUGUGUGCAUAAUUGUAGGUUUCCAGAAGCUUAUAAUUCAUGGAAGGAAUGUUAUGCAAUAAGCUUACAAAAAUGAGGAAGAACAUGGCUAUAAAAGAAUUGAAACAAAUCUGGAACAGUUCAGUUGCUGUAGCCAUUGCUGUAGAAAUCUUGGAACAACGACAGAAAAAAUUCCGUGCGGGAUACUUGCAGAAUUGCGAUCUGCAGUUUCCUAAUCUGACUUAUGCGCGACAAAGGCUUCCGUUUACCCUAAUUUUCAACUAUAAAAGAAGCACACAUCAUAAGGAAAAGGGAGAGCCGUCACCCAAGGAGAAAAACACAAAGAAACAUAAGAAAUACAAGAUUCAAGAGAGAGAUUAAGGGCUGCACAAGAGGAGAAUUUGCAGAAAUCAAUUGGGAGCUCAAUCCUUCUUAUUCUUCUCUUGUUUUCUCGUUUUCUAUUUAUUUAUGGGGAUGUGUUUCAUGGCUGAAACUUUGUUCUUUAUUUUUCUUUUGCAAACCACGAACUAAAUUUAUUUGUGGUUGAGUGAUAAACAAUCUUGAUGGUUUAUUGACUGAAUUUAUGUGUUGCUACAUGUUUGCUGUAGCAGUUUGUUUUGAUAGUAUAUAUUUUUAUUCAUUAUUUUGGUUGAUCACCCAUUUAAUGAUACAAGUUAGGAGAGAGCCGUAAAAGGGCCUAUCUUAGUGGAGCAUAUCAUAACAAUACUUGAUCUUAAAUUGAGUUUCCCGGAUUGAGUUUUACUUGAGUCCCAAAAAGGCCAUGCUUGAUUUAAGAUUAGUGAUGAACUAGACAUAAGGAUUCACCUUGUAGGGUAAAUAGAACCUAAGCAUGUAAUGCUAUAUCUUAUGUUGGCAUAGCAACUGAUCACUGUUAGGUUGCAUAUAGAUAUAAGAUAUCCAACAUGCGACGGUUGAGGAUAUAUAAGGAUUCUGCCCAGUGCUGUAGCAAAUACUAUAGCAACCGAGCCAACCAUUAGAAAAUAGUCAAGACCAUUAGGAGAGUUUAUUCACUCAACUACUAUAUACUCCCAUUAGUUUUAUCCUUGAGCUUGACGUAAUAGUUUACUUUAUUGCAUUUAUUUAUUGCGUUUUUAUUUUAAUUAGUACAUUAGUUUCAUUAAUUGUUUAUUUUAUUUUAGCACAAAAUCUGCACUGUUAAGAUUGUUGUAGCAAAUCUAAUAACAUCAAUCCCUGUGGAGACGAUCUUGAAUACUCAUCACUUUAUUACUUGUUGUGUACACUUGCACAUUGACACCAAUAGCAUUAGUAUUUAUACACCAACAACUCCUUCUCCCUCUCCCUCUUCACUCACCCUCACGGCUCCCUCUCUCUCUCCCUCUCCCUCUUCACUCACCCUCACGGCUCCCUCUCUCUCUCCCUCUCCCUCUUCACUCAUCCUCACGGCUCCCUCUCCCUCUCCCUCUCCCUCUCCCUCAUCAUUCACUCUCUCGCCUGCAGUCCCUCACGAGACGCCUCAUCAGGGCCACCAACGACGGCGCUAUCCGGCGAAGACACGCGGAGGUUGAUCUCUAUUGCCGGCAAGGAUUUGCAGUUACAGAUUCACAACCCACUCAGUUCCCGUCAGCCCAUUCUGAGUCGUUGUCAGGCCAUAUCUGCAGUCCACCUACGGUAAUGAGACAUGGGUAUCAUGGGUUUUGUUUGGUAUCAUUAUAUUUGUUGAUUGAGUGUUUUAUUUGAUGUGGUAAGAAGAAUCAUUCGCCUCUCAUAUUUAAAAAUUACAGGUUUUAUCAUGUAAGUUUAUUAGUGCGUAUUGUUGGGUAAUGUAAUAAUUUACAUGGAUUUAGAAUUCGCGGAGAGAGUUUGAUGACAUUAUCUGUGUGUAUUGACAGGGGACAUAAUUUUUAGUGUACACAGUAUAAUGGGUAAGCGUAAGGCCAAUGUCGCAGAUGACAUUAAUAUUCAGUCUGAAGCUGGAUCCUCCGAGGCCGGGCAAGCAUUCGUACAUAUACUACUUGUAAGAAACUAAUUCAUUGUUGAAUUUUAUUAUUGACAUUCUGUAGUCAUUUCAGUUUAAUAGUGCAAUAAUUUUAAUUGACAUAUAAAGAACUGAUAUUUCAUAUUAUUUUUCUAUCUACAGCAAGAUAGAAUCCCAAAAGUUAAAGGAGGAAUGUGUGAAGGUGGAUGAAACGGUUUGUAGACAACUUUUCUAUGUUGCAACCUACUAACUAAUAGUUUGGUUAAUGAUUGGCCAAUGAAUAUAUAUAUUUUUUUAGUGUAGGUUAAGGGGCGUAUACGUGACAAAUGGUUGAAACUCAGCGCGAAAGAUAAAGUCGAAUUCAUCAACAGUUAUAAUGAAAAGGCUGAAAUGAACUCGAGAUUGGCCAGUGGAUUGUUAAGUGAACCGAUUCCAACAGUGGAGAACAAUUCUGAUAAGGGUAAUCACCUAUCUCGAUGUAGUGUUUUACGGUUCUCCAACAUUGUUUCUUCGUUAUCUAUUGAACAGCAAGAUGCCGUGAGAGAAAUUGGUUUCGGAAGCUUGUUAGGUUUAAAAUGUGGGCGACUUAGGCAAGAUUUAUGUAGAUUGUUAGUUAAGCAAUGUAACGUAGAUAAGCGGUCGAUAACAGUCCAUGGAAUGGAAUACAAGCUUACUCCGAAAACUUUUACAAGCGUGAUGGGUGUUGGUGACGGAGGAACACCGAUUGUGCUUGGUGGUGAAGAUAGUGAAAUUACUGACUUACGAGCCAAGUAUUGCUCAGGAAAGAAAGGCAUCCCAAUAGGUAGUUUAGAUGAAAAAUUAAAGACAAAUAGUUGUGCAGAUGAAGAUUUCUGUAUUCUAUUUAGUCUAUUUGUGAUUGAAACUAUUUUGUGUCCAACUACAGCUACAUACAUCAACCCAUCAUACCUUUAUGCUUUAAAAGACGUGAAUAACAUUCGCGAUAAAAAUUGGGCCAACUGGUCUUUCAAUUUUUUAUGGGAAGAAGUUUCAAAGUUCAACGAAAAUAAAAUUUCCUCGAUGAGCGGAUGCGUUAUAUUUUUAAUGGUAUGAUUUAUUUAGUAAUUUGUAUUCUCGUUAGUUAAACGAUUAUGGUAUUAUCGAUCAUUAUUUCCGUAUUAACUAAUUUGUUGUUGUUUGCAACUGUUCUACAUGUCAUCAACUAAGUUUCAACUUUCUUCUGUUGCGGAGAAUGGAUGUCCUCUUAGUGCAUGGAUUGAUAGUGAAAUAAAAAGAUUCCUCAAGUGGUGACAAAAGUAUGGUGACUUUGAGAGCAAUGCGGUUUGUUCCCUUCCAUAAUUGUAUAGUGUUUUGUAGUUAUGUUAUUAAAUUGAAUAGAUUAUUUAUGGAUAUUUGUAGUUAAUGCAGGUUUCGAUGCGAGAAAUCAGUUGCAGCUCAUCAGGUGCUCAAAGUGAAGAACAAAUUGACGAUGUUGACACUGCAAGGCAGCAUCCAUUUCAUGCUAUAUUAGCAGUAAUGGAUAGAAUGGAGGAACAUAUGAGAAGAAAUAAUGAUUUACUAUAAAGAAUGGGCUUGAAAAUGGAUUCUCUUACUGAAAAGGUUGAAAAGUUGGAACGAGCAUAUUUUCGUCAAGAAGGAGCGAAUGUCGCUGAUGAUAGUCAAUCACCUCCUACAUGUACUGGUGCCGAGGCAACUGAUGGUCCAAUCUUUUCCUCUCCGAAUAUGAAGAUGCACCCACCUAUCCCAGAGUUGUCACGCUUUUAGAUCUAGUACAGGAAAAGCGUACGCCCAUCGAAGUUAAAGAACGAAAAGCUGUGUACCUCAGCACAUCCACUGAUGAAGAGGCUAUCCUAAAAGAAAAGUUGGCAGAAGUAUUGCAAGACGCGAUGAAGCCUAAAUUGGUGCCGGAACUUCAAGAUGAGGUAUACAUAGAGUAAUAAUUUGUUAACUUUUGUCUAAACUAUAUAUGAUUUAGUCUAAUCGAAACAAGAGAAGAAAUGUCAACAGCCGUAAGAUUUUAAUCCGCUGUCUUUAGGCCCUCCUCGGCCAUACAGAAAUCGAAAGCCGGGGCGGUACCAGUUGUCCCCGUAUGAUCAAGUCUCACGCGGUCCAAAGCCAAAAUAUCGAGCGGGCCCUUUUUUAGUGAAUGAGCCGGUGACCCUCGAUCAAUUGAAAAUGCUCUAGUAUGGAUUUGACAAAAGCACUAGCCUAGAGUAACAAUACCUUCAUGGCCACUCAUCAAGCUCUUUUCGUUUAAUAUGUUGUCAUAGUUGUUUGAUUUUGUUAAUAUAUCAUGUGAUUAACAUACAGUGAAAUAAUUGUGCGAUCAAGUCAUGAGGAUAUCACUCGGCGAGGCUUGUUAUCACUUUUGCCCGAUGCAUCACUUGACGAGGAGGUUUAUUCGUAAUUUGACUUUAAUGAUAAAAUUGUAGUUAAUAAAACCAAUUAUAAUUGUUCUUGUGUUUAGAUUAUUUGCAUGAUGAGUGAUUACCUUACACGACGUGAGUCGUGCAAAAGCCACGGGCAACCAAUCAGUUGGUUCCUACCAACAAGAUAUGCAGUUACUGAUCCGUUCCUGUUUUUUUUUUUUUCAUAUCCUUUUUUUCAUCAUUAACUAUGGUAAUUUCAGUUGUGUUCUAUAUGAAUUUGAUGUGAUGAAUAUGUAGCAAUUUGCUACAAUGCCAAAUGCACAUUUAGAUGGUUUCAAGGCUGCCUCCCAAUACCGCAAACGUUACAUGUAUGACCUGCACCGGUGCCAUCAGGUAGCGUGUGUGUUUGUUGAAAUGAUUUUUCGUUAUGAUCGAUAUUAUGUAUGGUAAAAGUGACCCUAAGUUGUUCUUGAAUAGAUCAUUGUUCCCAUGCAUGAUGGUGGCCACCAUUGGUUUAUGCUGUUGGUUAAAAUUAAAGACAAACAAGCAGAGAUCUGGGAUCCACUAUCGGAUGCACAACGGACACGAGAUCGAGAAAUCCAAGUGAAUAGUAUUGUAAGUCCAACUAAUUUUUUUAUAAAAACGAUGAGUUUAGUUUUCUAGGUAUUGUGUUAUUAAUACAUGUGAUGUAUUUUUGCACUUGAAAAUAGUUACACUCGUUGGAUGCUAUACUUCAUGGCGUUGUGGAUGCUACAUAUUCAGUAUCUUGGAGUUUCUUGUCAUUUGUAGUGACCCAUGGGGAAGGAGUUCCACGGCAACCUAACGGUUUUGAUUGUGGAGUUUACGUCAUCAAAUUUAUGGAUACUCCUGGAAUCAUCACCAACAAAUCGUAUGUGGUACGCUCCCUUAUUCGCCUUAUGUGGUUUUUUGGUUGAUUUUACUACUGUUGUUGGGCCACUGACAUGAUGAAAGUGCAUGAUUAUUUCUGCAGCAUGACUCACAGAAUGUUCGGGCGUAACUUGCGUUACAACUUAUAGACUCUCCGUUCAACAAACAACGCGAUCAAUUAUUGACGUUGGCUAAUGCACACUACAGUAACGCUGCAACGUACAUAAAUGAAUCGAAUCGAAGCUUGCAUCAACAGUGAAGCCUCGUAAUGUGUCCACCAAAAAAGGUCAUAAGAAUAGUUCCACAAAACGUCAUUUCAGGCGGAAGGUCUAAGAUUGUUGUGAAUAUAGAUUAUGAUAAUUUUUUGCUGACUUCAUUCACAACCCUAAACUUUUGCUAAAUUUACCUUGUAACUGGCGUUGACGUACGAGUCAUGUAAAUUGUUUUGGUGAUCCAAAGACGUAGAGGGAUUAAUGGGGCAAUUAUGAUUUUUUCCUUCGGCAACCGGUUGUCUUAAUUAAUAUAUGUUGAAAGGAAGAUAAUUGUUGUAAAUGUUGCUAUUAUCACUAAGUAUGCAAAAUAUAUUAUUACAUUGCCAUUGUUCACUUCUUACAUGAUAAUAUAACUCAAUGAUUUCCAAAAAGUUCAUUCUACCCCUCAGUUCAGAUCCAAAAAUUGUAUCAUUAGCGAUCAUCCUCCAUCCUCCAAGUAUGUGUACCGUCCUCAACUAAGCAUAAUGUUACUGCUGUCGUAAUGGUCGUCAAUUCCUUCUGAGAUGUUAAGCCUCCAAGGACAAGUUGUCUCGAACGUAAAUGUUGGGGAACUUGGCGAGCUUGAUUCCAUUGAAACAGGCGGUGUUAACACAUUAUAAGAACAAUGCCUUGGAUGAUCGUCAGUCGAAACACAACCAAUACCGCUAACGCUGCAAUGAAGGUCAUUGGGCUGUAUGUCCUUUGGCAGAUAUAGCGGGCAAGUCCGUUUAGUAUGGCCAGGCUGAAAACACUGACUGCAUUUGCGAUUUUUAGCCCCAUCGUGUUUAACGGUUUUAGAGCAACCUUUACUAUUAACCGUAACCGGGUCUUUCAACUUCAUACCUGCUUGAAGUACACAAUUCCUGGCUCGUUUAGCUGAUUCAUCAUCCGCAACCAUCUGUUCAACGCGAAGCGUCAGCCGUUGAAUCUCAUCUAUCGCUAUCAUAUAACUUUGUUCAUUCUUUGCGGCAAAAAGACAAAGAUUAGUACAUGCCGCUGAAAGUGAGGCAAACUUUGCUGUUUCUAACACUCCUUUAUCGAGGUGUGACGCUGCAGCGGUUAUUUUCAUCACUUUACUCACCUUCGCUGAUUUGGUCCAGCGACCAAGAAUCAAUAGUGGUGGUAUGCGAACUAGUUGCUCGAACUUCAUGACGUGAAAUAUAUCCCUACAUGGAAUACCUGCUGAUUCCAUCAUCUUACAUGAACAAGUAAUUGCAACUUCUUUACUAUAAAAUACCACUGUCCAUUUUUGUUCUGGAUGCUGAAAUUUCAUUAAAGUAUAGAUAUUGGAAUUAGCUGUCUUGGCACACUCAAGCAUAAUUAGCGUGGCUUCUCCGAGGAUCUCCAUCCGAACCCACUUCAAUACAUUCCUUGUAUAUAUUUCGGACGCAUGUUUUUCAAUGCUUAGCAGAUGUGUUGUAAGAACUGGGGCUGUGUGGUUUGUCUCAUACUCAUCUUGGACUUCUUUGUGCCGUAUGCAAUACAUUGCACGAUGAAUUUGUCUAAUGAAAUCAUACAGUUUUAACUUCUUCUCAACAAAGCGACGCAAGUAAGAAUUCAAGCUCUCACACCUUUAUGUGGUUCGCAUUCCGGCGAAAAAGGUUCCUUUCAAAUAAGCCACUGCCCAUUUUCUACGCUUUGCAUACAUUUUUUCCACCCAAGAAUUUUGUUCCAGUCCCAGAUCAUAGAGAACCAAUCUCGAUCAAACUCCUCCAUGGUCAUUGGAUUCAACAUUAACUGCCGAAACUUCGACGUGAACUUAUUUCUCUUCACAUUUGCUUGUGCAUUCCGCUCAAGAUGCCAGCAGCAGAGUCGAUGUACACAUCCAGGCAUAACAGUUUUAAUCGCUUUCGACAUAGCUUUAUCACCAUCUGUUAUGACACUUAUGGGUUUUUUUUGUUUCAUUGCCGAUAAGAAAGUCUGUAGCAGCCACACAUAUGAUUCAACAGUUUCGUCAAUCAGUAUCGUAAAUCCAAAAACAGUAGUUCUUUUAUGAUGAUUUACACCAACAAAUGCGACCAAAGGUUUGUUGUAUGCAUUUUUCUUGUACGUUGCAUCAAAACCUAAAACAUCUCCAAAUUGUUCAUAGUCGUACCGAGCAACAGUGUCGGUCCAGAACAAGUUUCGCAGUCGAUUUUCCUCAUCAAGAGUAUACUCGAAGUACACUCCAGCAUCAUAAUCAACCCUUGCAGAUAAGUACGCAAUGGUAGCCUUUGUGUCGGUGUCAAUAAUUUGUGCAUGGUGAUCUGCGUCUAUUCUAUUCCGCAUGUCCUUACCCAUAUACCCAACAUGAUGGAACCCUCCUGCUUGAUCAGACUUGUAGUUCAUGAGCUGGCACACUUUCACCCCAACUUGUCGCAAUGCCUUUGCGUGAGCCAAAUCAGCUUCGUUGACAAGUCUAUGCAAACGAAGAAAUUGUGUCUCGUGCGGUUCAACCAAGCGAUGAGUGUGCUCAAAAACGAAUUUAGUUACCACGUACUUCCCUUUAAACUUAUCAUAGUUCACGCGAAGUUCCGCCUUGCACCCGUUACGAGUAAUGCCCCUCGGUUCCCUGAUUCUGUCUGUUUUCUCCAUCCAUUUUUUUAGCUUGUAUCCCUGUCCUGAGCAAACCCAUCGCCGACUUGCUACUUCACCACUUUUGCCGUCACAACGAAGUUCAUCUUUUCUCACAGAGAAUCCAACCGACUUAGCAUACUUUUUAUACCAUAUGUGGGCAUCAUUGACAUUUUCAAAACAGGAUCCGACACCCACUUCAAUGAGUUCACUUUUUUUAGGCAAACUGUAGGUCGUAUGACUAGAUGAUCUUGUAGCAGAUUUGUCCCCAAAAUAAUCACUGAUUUCGCUAGUUUGUGGCGGUAAUGACGUACCUGCACUUGCACAAAUUUCCAUCCCAUUAUCAUAUGACGGGUUGUCGGGGGGUCCACUUAUUUUCUGUUCUGAUGGCUGGUUAUCAUUGAGGUCUAACACCCAUGCAGAAAUGCUUCCCACGUCUAAAGAUGUUGUCAUGCUCUCUGGUUAUCUUCUCUCAAGAUUCUAGCAUUUGAAGACCAUCAAAAGGACCUAGUUGAAGACUUAAAAGAGUACUGCGUGGGUUAUGUUUGUUGGCAUUCAAUGUCUUCAUUAAAUGAUGGGGUUUGGUUGGUGCUUGGGUUGGUGGAUACAACAUUUAAACGCCUAGCCUAUUACCUAUAAAAGGUUAGCCGGUUUCGCAUUUGUGCUCUCUGGACAUUAAACGGCAAGCCUUUUAAACUCAUGCGGCUAGCCUUUUUCGAAUUGAUGCUAACUGGAGGGGAAACGACUGGCCUCUAAAAUUUAAGAGGCUAGCCUUUUUCGCGUUGGGGCUCAUUGGAGGGGAAACAGCUAGCCUCGAAAAUUUAAGAGGCUAGCCUUUUUCGCGUUGGGGCUCACUGGAGGGGAAACAGCUAGCCUCAAAAAUUUAAGAGGCUAGCCUUUUUCGCGUUGGGGCUCACUGGAGAGGAAACGGCUAGCCUCGAAAAUUUAAUAGGCUAGCCUUUUUCGCAUUUGUGUAUGGGAUGCUCACCAUUAGCGAAAACGGCUAACCUUUAAAAUUUAGAGGCUAGCCGUUUUCGCUUUUGGUGCUCUCUGGACAUUAAACGGCUAGCCUCUAAAAAUAAAAGGCUAGCCGUUUUUUCUUACUAGAGUUUCUGGAACAUGAACGGUCACCCUAUUAAUUUGUAAAAGGUUAGCCGGGUUCAAAGGAAUCAAACUGUUUCGUCUUCACAAAACUGGUCAGCCGCUUCUAUCUCUAAAAGUCGAAUCCUCUCUCCUACGUUCUCAGCCGAAAGAUCCACCGUUUAUAAUCAGUUCAUAGCCCAAAUUCAACCUUAGAAAUCAUUUCCCACCAUUUGCUCUUGCUAAAUUUAACCCUCGAAACCGAAAAACCCUAAGUUGUAAACCCCUUUGACUUCGGUAAAUGUUUGCCGAAAUUGAACUCACAUAUCCCUUUUAAGCAUCAUUAUCUUCCAUUUAAUCGGUUUAUUCCUCUUCAAAUCGCUGAAAAAUCAUAAUGUCAACUUCAAGGCCACGUAGAGCGAAAGACAACGGGAAAGAUGCGAUUCCACCACCCAAACGGAAACGGAAGGACGGCGGCCCUGUAGAACAACCUGAUUUUGAAUCAAGACACUUCCCGGACAAGCGUUUGGCCACCCGUUUUUGCCAAAGAUUCAUGACCCGUAAGGUACUUGAUACAUUCUAUAUUGUGUCUGAUUGGCUUCGUAGCCUUAGUAUCAGUAAUGGAAAUUUGUUGCAAUUGUUGGAGGAAGUUGGUUGGAUUAAUGCCCUUACGAUUAAUGAGAAUGUGUAUCCUGACUUGGUGAAAGUAUUUUACUCGAAUAUGGAUACUUCCACGGAGAAAGAGAAUCGAGUAAUCACCAACGUUAGAGGAGUUUUGAUUGAAUUUGAUGAUACUAAUUUGAAUUCUAUCCUAGGAACCUCCGAAGAUGGGUUAGAAAUAUAUUCUGCUAGGAAAGUUCCUACGAUUGAUAACUUUGUUCAUGUUGAUGCCGUUAGAAACAUUUGUAGGCGCAUUGAUCUUUCUGAUGAGGUCUGUACAAUCGAUUUUCGUGCUCAAUGUCUAUGCCUUCAAUCGCGUAUUUUACAUCGUAUAAUUCAGAAUAUUGUCCUUCCUAGGUCGAGCCACUUAGAUGAUGUUACCCACAUGGAUGUUGCUUUGAUUGAUUCUAUCCUCAGGCAUCGUCCGGUUAGCCUCGGAUACACUAUUAUACGCACCAUGCUUUCCAUACCUAACUUGAUCAGUCGUGCUCUUCCAUACGGAAAUUUCAUCACGCAGAUCCUUAAAUACUUUAGGGUGCCCAUAAACGAACCGUCUUGUAAACCCUGUAGGAGUAUAGGAGAUGAGGCCGUGUAUGCCUUAGGAUUUUUGUGGCGUAAUGGAGCAUGGGUGAAGUAUACUGAAGCUAAGUACACAAUGCUUGCUCCGAAUGAUGAUCGUCCUUUGAAUUUUGUAGUUCCUGCUAAUCAGCUGCCUAAUUUUUCACUUCCUUUCUAGGGUCAACGUAGACGUGAGGACCCUCCUACAUGUGAACCUGAUCAUGAUGCUUCUGCAUCUGCUGUACCACCUGUAGAGCCACAUGACUCCAGCGAAGUUACUCUUCAAUAACUUAUGGACGAGGUGAGGACACUUUAUGUACAGCAGACCAGCUUUCAGCAGCACGUUUUGGAGGAGCACCGGCAUCUGUCACAGCAGCAUCAGUAGUUCCUUCACGGACAACGCCUCAUGUUCGAGCACUUUGGCAUUCCUUAUCCGUUUCCACCUCCACCACCACCAUCCCCACCGCCUCAGUAGUUUCCAUUUCUUUAUUCCAUUAUGUAUGUUUGGAUGUUAGUUUUAUGUUCAGAUGAUUGUUUUAUAUGUUCAGAUGGUUGUUUUAUAUGUUCGGAAGUUUGUUUGACAAGUUCGUUUAUAUGUUCGGAAAUUUGUUUUAUAUGUUUGGAUGGUUGUUUUACGUGUUCGGAUAUGGAUUUAAAGAGUUCGGAAGUUUGUUUAACAUGUUCGGAAGUUUAUUUUAUAUGUUUGGAUGGCUGCUGCUUAUUGUAGCAAUAACAUCAGCUGUCGGGUGCUUAUGACAGCAACUGUUAUUGCUGUUGCUGUCAUAAGGCAGCAGCUGCUGCUGGCAGCUAGCAGCAGCAGCAAGAAUUCGCAGCAAUUGUGUUUGCUGCUGCAACUACUUAUGCAGCAACAGCUACUGCUAGAAUGCCAGCAGCAGCUGGUAUAAUGCACACUACAGCUGCUUAUGCAGCAACAGCAGUUGGUGCCUGAAAAAGCAGCAGCUACCGUUGCUGGUUCUGCACUUGCCUGUUGCAGCAUAACCAGCAGCUGCUGGCAGCUAGCAGCAGCAGCAUCUGCUGCUGGUGUUGUUGCUGCUGCAUCUGCUUAUGCAGCAACAGCUGCUGGCAUUCCAACAACAGCUAGUGCCUGUAAAAGCAGCAGCUUCUCUAUCCAUUAUGUCUGCUGCUGGUGUUGUUACUGCUGUUGGUGCUUAUGCAGCAACAACUGCUGGCUACUUUUACAGCAGCAGCAGCUGGUGGAUGCAUAAGCACCAGUUACUGGCUACUGCAGUUGCUGGUUCUGCAGCUGGUGGCUGCUGCUGCUGUUGAUUCUACAGCUGCUGCAGCUACUGGCUGCAGCUGCUGGCUGCUUUUGCAGCAGCAGCAGCUGGUGGAUGCAUAAGCACCAUCUGCUGGCUACUGUUGUUGCUGGUUCUGCAGCUGGUGGCUGCUGCUGUUGUUGGUUCUGCAGCUGCUGGCUGCUUAUGCCAACAGCAACAGCAACUGAAAUCCCCAAAAUAAGCAUUAGCAGUAGGGCCAUUAGUAGCUGCCACUGCUGGCUGCUUAUGUCAACUCCUCAUUCACUUCUUAUUGCUGAAAUUACUCACGCACAUUGAUUUCAAACCAGUUUGCAUGCUAUUUAAUCGAUUCAUAUUCACCUAAAACACAAUAUUUGUUAUUCAGCGGAAGCAAAGGAAACUAAAGGAACAUUAAAUCAUUAACUUCAAACAUGUGAUCAUUAACUUGCACUAUGGAAAUCAUGCAGAUAAAAAUGAACUCAGGACUAUUAACUUGAUACCGGGACCAUUAAACUUGAAACCGAAGGAACCUGAAACUUAGGGCAACAAACAUGAAAUAGGAUCUCAUUAACGUGCAACCUUAAAAAUUAUAUAUUUAAUGGACCAAUAAACAUGAAACCAUCACCAUUAACUUGAUAUCGAAACCAUUAAACAUUAAACCAGUGAACUUGAAACAUAGGCCAAUAAACCUGAAAUAUGAGAUCAUUAAAUUGCAACCAUAAAAAUAAUUAAAUUAAUGAACUUGAAACUUAGGGCAAUGAACAUGAAACAUCGGAUCAUUAACUUGCAACCUUCAAAAUUAUAUAAUUAAUGGACCAAUAAACAUGAAAUCAUGACCAUUAAUGUGAUACCUAAACCAAUAAACUUGAAACUAAUGAACUUGAAACUUAAGGCAAUAAACCUGAAAUAUGAGAUCAUUAACUUGCAACCAUAAAAAUGAUUAAAUUAAUGAACUUGAAACUUAGGGCAAUGAACAUGAAACAUAUGAUCAUUAACUUGCAACCCAAAAAAUUAUAUAAUUAAUGGACCAAUAAACAUGAAAUCAUGACCAUUAACGUGAUACCUAAACCAAUAAACUUGAAACCAGUAAACUUGAAAUUUAAGGCAAUAAACCUGAAAUAUGAGAUCAUUAACUUGAAACCAUAAAAAUGAUUAAAUUAAUGAACUUUAAAUUUAGGGCAAUGAACAUGAAACAUCUGAUCAUUAACUUGCAACCAAAAAAAUUAUGUAAUUAAUGGACCAAUAAACAUGAAAUCAUGACCAUUAACGUGAUACCUAAAUCAAUAAACUUGAAACCAGUGAACUUGAAACUUAAGGCAAUAAACCUGAAAUAUGUGAUCAUUAACUUGCAACCAAAAAAUGAUUAAAUUAAUGAACUUGAAACUUAGGGCAAUGAACAUGAAACAUCUGAUCAUUAACUUGCAACCGAAAAAAUUAUGUAAUUAAUGGACCAAUAAACAUAAAAUCAUGACCAUUAACGUGAUACCUAAAUCAAUAAACUUGAAACCAGCGGACUUGAAACUUAAGGCAAUAAACUUGAAAUAUGAGAUCAUUAACUUGCAACCAUAAAAAUGAUUAAAUUAAUGAACUUGAAACUUAGGACAAUGAACAUGAAACAUCUGAUCAUUAACUUGCAACCGAAAAAAUUAUGUAAUUAAUGGACCAAUAAACAUGAAAUCAUGACCAUUAACGUGAUACCUAAAUCAAUAAAUUUGAAACCAAUGGACUUGAAACUUAAGGCAAUAAACCUGAAAUAUGAGAUCAUUAACUUACAACCAAGAAAAUUAUUUAAUUAAUAGACCAAUAAACAUGAAACCAUAAUCAUUAACUUGAUACCCGAACCAUUAAACAUGAAACCAAAGGAACAUGAAACGGAAGGCAAUAAACAUGAAAUAUGUUAUCAUUAACUUACAACUAUGAAAAUCAUUAAAUUAAUGAACCAAUAAACAUGAAACCGUGAUCAUUAAGUUGAUACCUUGACCAUUAAACUUGAAACUCCUUUUUUAUUAUUAUAAAAUUAAUUUUUUUGUUAUGUCCUUUACUAUUAAAAUAGUGAUUAUUUUAUUAUUAUUUAAUUUAUUUAAGGGGCAACCGGUUGCAAAAACCGGUUGCUCCCAUUUAUUUUUUUUAGGGAAAUUAUCACUGGUAUACCCUUAAAUGUCACCGGUAUCAAACGUAUUAUAACACUUUUUGCUUAUAUCACUCGUAUACCCUAAAUUGACAAAAGAGUUCUGGCGUCCACCUUUCUGUUUACUACCGUUAAGAACUUAACAAAAUUUGAGCAAAAUGACUAUUUUACCCUUUAAACUCAAAAUGAUGUAAAAAAACAAAUUUGCCUUGAAAAUUAAAGUAAAUUUUCAAUACACAAUUUUUUUAAUUUUGUUAUUAACAAUACAUUUUUUUAUUAAAAAAAUGAAUUAUUAAUGGUACAUAUUAUUAACAAUUAUCCAUAAAAAAAUAUUCAUCUUAUACCAUAAAAAAUUAUUAACAACAUAUUAUUUAUAAUUAUACAUAUUAUACCAUAAAAAAAAUAAUGAUGCUUGGAGGAGUAGAUCUUCAAUAAUUUAGGUUAAAUUUGGAGGAGUAGAUUCAGUUGUAAAGUAGCUUUUUUUUUUUUAGCAAUUAUUAACAAUUAUCCGAUAAAUGGGAUGACAUGUCAUUUUUAUCAAAAUAUAUCAUAUGACAUAUCGUUUUUUACUAGGUAAAUGGGAUGACAUGUCGUUUUUUUAAAAAGACUAAAUUACCCUUAUGAUGUCAGUGUUGUGCAAAUUUUAAUGUACUCGCAAGCGCACGAAUCUAUUGUAGUAUAGAUCAUGGUGACGAGUGUCGAUCCCACGAGGAGGUGGAUUUUAAUUGUGUGUAGAAUUAAUUUUGUAAAUGGGUGAUUGGAUUUGUGGUGGAAAUGGUUUGGAAUAUGCUAAAACUUAAAUUAAAAUGGCGAGAAUAAAUUCUAAAAUUGGAAUUGCAAUGGCGAGAAUAAAUUGAAGAUAAUUCUAUUGAAAUGACGUACUUGGGUAUUCGGAUCCGUAUCAACAUGCAUCAUGGGCUAAAUAAUCCUUAUUAAUGCCAAUUAAAUCAUGAGGGGGGAAUCCACACCUCAUGAACCACGCUCUAAUCAAUAUGGUGCUAAGGGCUUAUCGUGCCAAAUAAUAAUAACCUUGUACUAGAGAGCCGGUGUAACCAAGGCGGUAUCUAGACAAGAUUAUUAUUAUUUGUCGACGAAAAGUCAAAUCAUCCACAAAAACUAGAGGGGAAGAGAAAAUAAAUUUACCAAAUAAAGCCCAUGACACAUGUUGAGACUUCACCUUCAACCCAAGCUUGAAAGAAAAUUAGCCACUCAUAAUUGAACUAAGGGCAAAAUGGGAAUUUAUUAAAAUAUGUAGAAAAUACAAGAUGGAGAGAGAAUUACAGAAAAUGGAGUCCAAAAAUGGAUUCAGAGAUAUCAAAUUACAGUAGCGCGGUUUGGUUGAAAAUAAUCCUGUGUGAUGCAUGUACCGUACGCGAGAUUUUUCGUCCACUGAUAUGCUGCCACGUCACCAUCAACAGUACAUAAGAAUUUUAGCCUAACAGGAUCGUGACACCUCAUCAGUCAAUGCCACAUCAUCGGUCAAUGCCACGUCAUCGAUCCGUCUAUAUGAACAGUGUCGUGAACAGUAACGUAGACAGUACCGUACACGUGAAUAGUACCGUACAUGUGAAUAGUGUCAUUUUUCCUUUUAUGCUCCUCCUAAGGUUUUCGACCGUCCUGAGUUCAAAAAUGAUGUUCGUUUUGCCGUCUGAUCUCUCCUUUAUUGUGAAAUGACUAUAAUGCCCCUAAAAUACAUAAAAUACUUAAUUAAAAUAAAACACACGUAAUUAAAUCACAAGAAGUUUAAAUACAUAAAAGUAAGGGUUGUUAGUAAGACUUGAAAUGUAAAAUGACGGUUUUCUCCUUUAUAAAUAUACAUUUUCUAACACUCAAUACACCCCCCAACCAGCUUAUUGCUAGUCCCUAGCAAAUAAAGCGAAAACAAAAUUCAAAUUCAAAAUGAUUUUUUUUAUUUAUUUUUAGAAACACUCGUGUUUAUUCAAUCAGAUUAAUGAUAGCAAUCAAAUAAAAGUAUAAGUAUUAUCUCCAGUCUAAAGCAACAUCACACCCACAUCAACCAUCCACAUGAAUUAGCCCAGUAGACUUUGUUAUAGCUACUUUCAAGAAUGACAUGUCAAACCCCAAAAUCUCACUAGAAGUAGUGACACUCUCACAAAGAAAUUAAAACCAAUAAAAAUAGUCACUCCAAUGAAUGGUAAUUGAGAGAGAAAAUAAUAAAGAAGUGAUAUCACAUGCUCUCACCAAGAUGAAAUAAAUAUGCCCUCAGCUUAGAAAUAAUACGAUCUCAAGUCAAACAAAAAUGCUAGUCAACCCAAUUUAUUUAUCUUUUUUUUUCUUUUAUUUAUUUAUUUAUUUUUAUUAUGCACCACUACAUCUUUUUAGCCCACAUAACUAGCUUCUACUUCAAACUAUAGUUCCCUAAAAUCAAGAAGGACUUUUAUUAGGACGUAACGUAGGCUAGGGAUAUGGCUAACAAAGAAAGGAAAUAAGGAAAACAAAGUGUAUGUUUGAGAAAAAUGCAGGGAAAUUUUUUUUUUUUUUUUUGGAAGUUGCAAGGUAGAUUUCACCUAUUAUUGUUAUUUUUAUUCUUUUGAAACAACAACUUUUUUUUUCUUUUUGUUUGUUUUUUUUUUUUUGCUUUUAUUUGGCAUAACUUCACUGAACAACAUAAUUAUUUACAUUUUCUCAAACAUAAAUAGGUAAUGGAACUUAUAAGACAUCGGGUAAUACUCCAAAUCGGAGUGGGUCAAGAUGAUAAGUUGACAAAGAAAAGGUUUUUUUUUUUUUUUUAAAGGCUCAAAAGGGUUAACUAUAGAUAUUUAAUAAAAGGGAUGGCUAGAAAGGCUCAAACGGAUCAAAGAUGGCCUUUCCAUCGUCUUUUAGGGCUCUAAAUAAUCAUCCAUAUCUACUAGUUAGACGGGCCUCCCAAUGUAGCAACACACAUUUUUUUUUCUUUUUCUUCUUUUUUUUUUUUUAAUUUUACCAUUUUUUUUAAGGGUUAACUCAAAAGAAAUCUAGAGAUCGUGUAUAAAAUAAUAAACUGCUAAGCUGUAUGAAAAAUGGGCAAAAGAGUUAUUCUCCAAGAAAAAUAAUAGGCUCAAAAACUCACUUGGUACUUAUUACGACAUGUUCAUUCCUUCAAGCAACUCAUAUUUGUCUUCGACAUCAACAUGUAAAGUAGCAAACAUGACGUAACAUCACUUAAGACCAAAGAUAAUACAAAUACUAAAAUUUGAAAUUCAUCAUGUCAUCCAAUGUUAAAACAAAUCACACAUUUUUUUUUUCAAACAACAUUCUACCCCCCAACCUAUUCUAAACAUGAAAGGAAAAUAUGAAUGCAGAAAUGUGAAAAUGAUGUAGAAAAACUAAUUAGAAACGUUACACUUAAAAUGAUAGAAAAAGAAAAUGAUUUUUUUUUUUAAGAAGAUGUGUUUCUAGAGGCACUACACUCCAUAUUCAGCCAUCUUCGACUCAAAAGUUGGGAAAUGUAUAUUUAUAGAGGAGAAAUUAAAAAGAAGAAGAAAAAUGAACAUCAAAACUUAAUUAAGAAAAAGAAAAUGUCUGAAUUUUUUAUUAUUAUUAUUAUUUUUUAUUAUUUUAUUUAUUUAUUAUUUUUUUUAAACGAAGAAGAUGCGUUUCUAGAGUCACUACACUCCAUAUUCAGCCAUCUUCAACACAAAAAGUUAGCAACAGUUAGUUUCUACAACAAAAAAUCAGUAAAAACUUAACCAAGAUUCCACAAUUGUCGACUAUUCCCUCCCCCCAACCAGAACGAAACAUUGUCCUCAAUGUUUUAAAGGAAAGAAGUAGAGUUUAGAAGACAUCACCUGGGUGGUGCAACACAAAAGAAAAUAUUUACAGGCGGAGAGUUAAAUCUAAUUUGUACUUCUUAUUGCUGCUACUGUUACCAUCAUUAUUUGGUCUCUCCAACACAAAGGUCCAGGGGUUUGGCUCCGGUCUAUAAGCUUGUAACAGAUCAAGUAGCUCAUUAGCAGUGUGAGCACAAAUAAAAAGUUUUUUCGCAUGGGAAGGAAUGAAGUAGUUUUUUAUUGCAUGGUUAAGAAAUGCGAUAAAGCCAUCAUAAAAGUUAUUGACAUUUAACAAACCGAUGGGUUUUUGGUGGAUGUGCAGAUGGGCCCAAGAUGCUAGUGUGAUAAGUGCCUCUAGUGUUGCAAGAUCUCCUGGAAUGAAAAUAAAAGCAUCAGCAUGAUUAAGCAUUUCAGUUAUUCUUUCUUGCAUACCUGAGACGACUAACUCUUCUCCAGUUGAUGAGUCAGACGAACUGCCCAAUGGUUUUAAGACUCUUGGGAUGAUGCCUAACACUUGACUUUCUCUGAUAAAAGCUGCUUCUGAGACCAUUUUUUAUAACCCUCGGUUACCUCCUCCAUACACCAAGUGUAAUUUUCUCGCUGCUAUGCUUCGACCAAGAUCUAUGGCUGCCUCCACAAACUCUUUAUGUUUGCCAUAGUUAAAUCCAGAAAGCACACAAAUGUUCUUGAAUUAUCUAUUGGGAGUAGCUGCCAUUGUGAUACUUCUCAAAAACAAUUUGUGAGUGCUUGACAAAAAAGAAAUCACAUUUAAGAGUCUUGGUGACAGUGGGUCACAAUUGUGUAGGAGGUAACAUGUCAGUGUCAAAUAACGCGUAAAGCACGUGGCUCGCGAGUCAAAAAGGAAACAGUAAAAAGGAAAAAGCAAAUAGUAAUAAGGAAAAAAGCAAACAGUAAUAAAAUUAUUAAAGACAAUAAUGCACACAAUAAAACAACAGUGAAAUGAAAUAAAAUAACAGUAAAGUAAAAUGAUAUUUACACAUAGUUGCGACUGUGGCUCACAUCUUCCUCUGGUUUUACGUCCAGAAACGGCUUGAACGCCCUCUAUAGGUCGAGGAUAGGCUUCCUAUCCAGUUUUCUUAUAAACUGGCAAACAGGGUCGUUUAUAGUCAGAUUCCCGAGACUAUAUCGUGCAUGCUCUUUCUGGAAUAAUGGUCAUAACUGGAGAAUCGCUCCUUGCACAUAUCCACUGGGAUGCGUUUCAAGAGACAGAAGGAUAUCAUCCAAUGACUCCUUAUUCAAGCCAUCCCUAAUGAAUUGAAUCUUAUCUUCCCUGUUAUCAGACACCAUUCCUAAAGAACAUGGGUUUUUAUUGCAACUCAUUCUGGCACACUUAUGACAAGCAACAGAAAUUCUUCGAGCUCGUCGUUUUCUUGCAUAAUUUCCUUUACCACAACCAGGCAUGUAUGCAAUAAAUUUUGGAGGUAACUCACCUGCCGAUCGUACUUUAGCCUCGAUUGACCAACGGAUGUCAGCAGGUAUGUUAUUCAUCAUGAGUAAUCGCAUGCGUUCGGACCGAGCUUUAUAGAUCGUAAGGAGGGCAUUCUGAGGAAGUGAAGGGAAUCGCUUGUGAAGUUUCGCUAGAAUCUCGUUUCUGUCCAUACCUUCGCCUCAGAAUAUCAAUUAUUAUGCGAAACUGAAGUAACCGACUUGAUUGUCACGGAGUACCGUUAUCCGCCACUUCACCGGGGUAACAAACUAAAGCACACAAACAGAAAAACAAAUUAAACACACAAAGAAAAUUAAAAUCGUCCUCUUAUGGAAUUUACCUCAAGCUCCAACUGGAUGUCGUAAACACUUCUCUCAAUGUCUCUGAGUUGGCGUUCUAAACCCUCAACAUAGGCUACUAACUCUGGUGGUUGUAGAGCCCAAAUGCAAUGUGUUUUACAAAAUUGAAUCUGCCUUUUGAGAUGAGUUUUGACACGUUGAAGUGGUUUAAGAAUGUUCAGGAGGAACGGUCUUAGUAAGGUACUCAUGAUUAAAAAUGAUAAAAGAAAACUUAAUAGUUAAACAAACACACUUAUGCAAAAAUAAUUUCAAUUAGCAGAAGAAUAACAUAAAGAAAGAAAAAAAUCAAAUCAACGAAAAGAAAAAAAAGUCAAUUCAAAUCUGGUGGGUCACUCAAAUUUAUUUCGGUGUCUUCUCCAUGUGGUUGGUACUCUAGAUAUGGCUUUAAUCUUUGACCAUUAACUUUAAACGUGACACCGUUCUUGGGGUCCUUAAUUUCAAUUGUCCCAUGUGGAAAAACAGUAUGAACAAUAAAGGGACCAGACCAUCGAGAGCGUAACUUACCUGGGAAUAGGUGCAAGCGAGAAUUGCAUAAAAGCACUUUCUGACCUGGAGUGAACGAUUUUCUCAUAAUUUGCUUAUCAUGGAAGACUUUCAUUCGUUGCUUGUAAAUCUUGGCAUUUUCGUAUGCGUCAUUGCGAAUUUCUUCAAGUUCUGCCAGUUGUAAUCUUCUUUCUGAGCUGGCUUGCUGCAUGUCAAAGUUGAAUUUCUUGAUGGCCCAAUACGCACGAUGCUCGAGUUCCACAGGUAGGUGGCAAGCUUUUCCAUACACUAGCAUGUAGGGUGACAUCCCAAUCGGGGUCUUGAAAGUCGUUCUAUAUGCCCAUAAUGCAUCAUCAAGUCUUAAUGACCAAUCUUUUCUGUCCGGCCUCACCGUCUUUUCUAAUAUGUGCUUUAUUUCUCGAUUGGAGAUCUCAACUUGGCCACUGGUUUGCGGAUGACACGGGGUCGCCACUUUGUGUGUGAUUGAAUACUUUGUCAAAAGAGCUUUGAAUGCUUUGUUACAAAAGUGGGCACCACCAUCACUGAUUAUUGCUCGAGGGAAUCCAAAGCGCGAAACAAUGUUGCUUUUAAAAAAUCCUAUCACCACCUUGUGAUCAGUGGUUCUACAUGGAAUUGCUUCUACCCAUUUUGAGACAUAGUCAACAGCAACCAAUAUGUAUUGAUGGCCAAAAGAAGUGGGAAAUGGUCCCAUGAAGUCGAUACCCCAUACAUAAAAAAUCUCAACCACUAAAAUUGGAUUUAGUGGCAUCAUGUUCCUUCGUGUAAUGCUCCCCAUUCGUUGACACUUAUCACAUGAAGAACAAAAAGUGUAAGCAUCUCGAAAUAUAGUUGGCCAAUAAAAACCACAUUGUAAAACUUUAGUUGCUGUUUUCUUAGCACUGAAAUGGCCUCCACAAGCUUAUUCAUGGCAGAAUGAAAGAAUAUUCUGAAUUUCAAUUUCUGGGACACAUCGUCUAACAAUUUGAUCAGCACAAUACUUGAACAAAUACGGGUCAUCCCAAAAGAAAUUCUUUAUCUCUGCAAAGAAUUUAGCCUUGUCUUGCUUGGUCCAAUGCUCUGGAAGUUUACCUGUAACAAGAUAAUUAACUAUAUCAGCAUACCAAGGUAAUACUUCCACAUUCAUUAAUUGUUCAUCUGGAAAUGACUCAUUCAAUAUUAAUGGCUCUGUAAUUGUGUCAAAAUGGAGACGAGAGAGAUGGUCCGCCACAACAUUUUCAGUGCCUUUCUUAUCUUUGAAUUCCAAGUCAAAUUCCUGCAAAAGUAACACCCAACGAAUUAAUCUAGCUUUUGCAUCUUUCUUUGUGAGAAGAUAUUUAAGAGCAGCAUGAUCUGUGAAUACAAUUAUUUUACAACCAAUGAGAUAAGAUCGAAAUUUUUCUAAUGCAAACACUAUGCUAGCAUUUCUUUUUCAGUAGUUGAAUAGUUCAACUGUGCAUCAUUCAAUGUCAUACUAGCAUAGUAAAUAACAUGGGGAACUCGAUCAACUCUUUGUCCUAAUACUGCUCCUAUUGCAUAAUCAGAUGCAUCACACAUGAGCUCAAAUGGUAAACUCCAAUUUGGGGGCUGAAUGAUGGGUGAUGAUGUCAACAACUGCUUUAAUUUUCCAAAUGCCACAAGACAUGAAUCAUCAAAGACAAAAGGUACAUCCUUAGCAAGUAGAUUGCAUAAGGGUCUAGAAACUUUGCUAAAAUCUUUAAUGAAACGUCUAUAAAAACCAGCAUGCCCAAGGAAAGAUCUUACUUCUCUGACUGUUUUAGGUGGAGGAAGAUUAGAAAUGAGAUCCACCUUGGCUUUGUCAACCUCAAUACCUUUGCUUGAAAUGAUGUGACCGAGAACAAUACCUUGUUUUACCAUAAAAUGGCACUUCUCCCAAUUUAAGACUAAAUUCUUCUCGAUACAUCUCUGCAGAACUAGCGUUAGAUGAUGUAAACAUUGAUCAAACGAAUCACCAAAGACAGAAAAGUCAUCCAUAAAGACUUCAAGAAAUCGUUCAACCAUAUCAGAAAAAAUGCUCAACAUGCAUCGUUGAAAUGUAGCAGGUGCAUUACAUAAUCCAAAUGGCAUUCUCCUAUAUGCAAAAGUGCCAAAAGGGCAAGUGAAAGUAGUUUUCUCUUGAUCUUUUGGUGCUAUGGGGAUCUGAUUGUAUCCUGAGUAGCCAUCUAGAAAGCAAUAAAAUUCAUGGCCUACUAAUCUAUCAAGCAUUUGAUCGAUAAAUGGUAAAGGAAAAUGGUAUUUACGUGUGACAGAAUUCAACUUUCUAUAAUCAAUGCAUACACGCCAUCCUGUAGUCACUCUAGUGGGUAUCAAUUCAUUAUCAGCAUUCGUAACUACUGUGACUCCUAACUUUUUGGGGACAACUUGUACAGGACUGACCCAUGAACUAUCAGAAAUUGGGUAAAUGAUACCUGCGUCUAAUAGCUUAAGGACUUCAGUUCUAACAACUUCUUUCAUAUUAGGAUUUAAUCGCCGUUGCAUUUCCCUAGUAGAUUUAGUAUUUUCAUCAAGGUGAAUGUAAUGCAUGCAGUCUACUGGGUUUAUACCUUUUAUGUCUGCUAUGGUCCAUCCUAAUGCUCCUUUGUGCUCUUUUAAAACAUCCAACAACUUACCUUUUUGUUCGUCAUUUAGGGAUGAUGAGAUGAUUACCGGUAGAGUACUUUCUUCUCCCAAAAAUGCAUAUUCCAAUGUGUUGGGUAAUGGUUUGAGCUCGAGUUUUGGUGGUGAUUCUGAUGAUGGGAUGAGUUUCUUUUCUGAUGGUGCUAGUUGUUCAACUCUUGACUUCCAUUUAUUAGUGUCCAUAGAUGGUGCUGAGUCAAGUAGGGCGUUGACCUCAUCGACUGAUCUGUCAAUAUCAAAAUCCAAACCAAAGUGAGUUAAACAUGUUUGUAAAGGAUCAUCACUAAGGUUUGAAAGAAAAGUAUUAUCAACUAUUGUUUCUAUUAAAUCCACAUCAACAAUUCCAUCAUCUGCACUGUGAGGUUGUUUGGCAAUGUUGAAAAUAUUUAGCUCCAUAGUCAUGUUGCCGAAGGACAACUGCAUAUUUCCAGUCCUGCAUUGAAUGUGAGCAUCCGCAGUUGCCAAGAAAGGUCGGCCUAAGAUAAUGGGGAUAUGCUUCCUUGAAUCCUGUAUUGGUUGAGUGUCAAUUACAAUGAAAUCAACAGGAAAAUAAAACUUAUCUACCUGGAUAAGCACGUCCUCCACAAUGCCACGAGGUAUUUUCGUGGACCGAUCUGCAAGCUGUAACACCACUGGAGUUGGGUGUAAUUCUCCAAGUCCAAGUUUCAAAAAUACUGAGUAAGGCAACAGAUUUACACUAGCUUCUAAAUUCAACAAAGCAUUCUCAAUUGUGUGGUUCCCUAUGCUACAUGAGAUAGUGGGGGAGCCUGGGUCUUUGCAUUUUAAAGGAAUUUUGUGUUGGAGUAUAGAACUAAUGUUUCUGUUAAAAAUGCCUUCUUUUGAACAUGCAUAUUUCUUUUUUUAGUACAAAGGUCUUUAAGAAACUUGGCAUAAGAUGGAACUUGCUUUAUAGCAUCAAGUAAAGGGAUGUUAACACUUACCUGUUUGAAGAUUUCAAGAAUCUCACCUGUGGAUUUUCCCUUCUUUCCUUUCGCUAACCUCUGAGGAAAUGGAGCUUUCGGAAUGUAUUCUCGUGGGUUGGUUUCUUCUUUCUCCUCCGGUGAUGAGUCCUCAACACUUACAGGUACAAUUUGAUUUUCUUUUGCCACCGGCAUCUCCACUUUGUUGUCGACUUCUUUUCCUUUUCGCAAAGUCAUGACUGCUUUGACUUCUCCAUGCUGCUGUGGUGAACUGGUACUUGCUUCAUGCACUCCUUUAGGAUUAGGCACUGGUUGACUUGGAAACUUACCUUUCUCAACGGUCAUUGCCAAGGUCUGAACUGAAGAAGCAAGUUGUCCCACCAUCUUCUCGAGGCUUGAAACUGAUUGAGCUUGUGAGUUGAAGCCUGCUCUCAACUCAUUUCGUAGUCCAUCAAUGGUGCGGUUUUGUUGCUCAAUCAUGGAGUGAGUAAGAUUCUUGAGAUUCUGGAAUGAAUCCUCCCAUGGUAUGGGUUGAGAGUAGUUCUGGUUCUGAUUGUAUGGUCUAAAUGGUGGCUGGGAGGCUUGAGGAACUUGAGGAAUUUGUUGCAUUGGUGGAGUUGGAGCUUCUGGUCCAUUCUGUUGGAAUCCUUGAGACCAUGAAAAAUUGGGGUGGUCUCUCCAUCCAAGGUUAUAUGUGUUGGAGUAUGGGUUGUAAUUUGAUGGUUUUCUCAUUACACCUAUGGCAUUGGCUUGAUCUGAGUAUGAGUCAAGGUCAUGUGGUUCAGUUGAUUUAGCAGUCGAUAACGAUGCUAUUUGUCGAGCAAGACCUUCAACCAUCUCCUUGACUUCUUUGAUUCCCGAAGUUGACUCGCCAAUGUGAACCUCAUUCACUCCUUUAAUUCUUUUAGUAUUCCUGAGUGAUCGACUCCGUUGUUGGGAAUUAUCUGCUUGUCGCUGGAAGAAUUCUCAAAUUUCUGAUGCACUUUUUGACAUUAGCUCUCCUCCACUUGUUGCCAUUAGCCAUUCUUGCACAUUCGGCAAUAAUCCCUCCAAAUAGUAUUGGCAUUGGUGCCAUUUCUCGUACCCAUGAUGUGGACACUUCAAGAGUAGCCCAUUGAAUCGCUCCCAUGUUUCGAAAAAUUGCUCGUCCUCUCUCUGGGUAAACUCCGAGAUUUCCCUGCGAAUAGCAUUGGUUUUAUGCACUGGGAAAUAUUUAUUCAAAAAUUUUGUUACCAUUUGUUCCCAUGAUGAAAUGCUAUUAGCAGGUAAUGUAUUAAGCCAUGAACGAGCUCUAUCCUUUAAAGAAAAUGGGAAUAAUCUGAGUUUAACAUCAUCGUCUGAAAAAUUUUCGUAUUUAAAAGUUUGACAAAUAGCAUGAAAAUCAUUCAGAUGAUUAUAUGGAUCCUCAUUUUCUAAGCCAUAGAAUGUGGGGAGACAAUUUAGCACACUAGGUUUUAACUCAAAGCUCCUAGCAGCUACAUUUGGGUAUCUUAUGCAUGAUGUGCUCAAAUUAGCUAAGGGACUAAAAUAGUCCUUAAAUGGCCUCUCCUGUGGUUGCAAAUCCAUUUUAUUUUUAAUUUGUUUGUGUGUGCGAAGUGUUUUUCCUAAUUCAAGGUCUAUAGGUUCAAGAUUAGGAAAUAAUGACCUACGACCAUGCAUGCAAAACAAAUAAAAUAAAAAUAAAGAUGGGAACAAAACAAAUAAAAAUAAAGAAGAGGGAGAAAUUACGAUACUAACCUUAUUGCGCUAUUACAACCUUACUAUAAAAAUACACAAAAAAAAUACGUGAAAUAAAUUAACUAAAAAUAAAUUAAUAAGAUAAACAAAAAAAAAUUACAAAGAAAAAUAAAUUAAAAAUUAAAUUACAGAAUUUUAAAGAAGAGAAAAAGAAAAGAAAUACUAACCUUUAAAUGUAGAUUCACUUUUUUUUUUAAUAAGAAAAAACAAAUACAAGAAAACAAAUAAAAGAAAUUAUUCACAAAAAUUAAUUCUAUGAAUUAAAAUUACUUACCUCCCCGGCAACGGCGCCAAAAACUUGUUGUGCAAAUUUUAAUGUACUCACAAGCGCACGAAUCUAUUGUAGUAUAGAUCAAUGGUGACGAGUGUCGAUCCCACGAAGAGGUGGAUUUUAAUUGUGUGUAGAAUUAAUUUCGUAAAUGGGUGAUUGGAUUUAUGGUGGAAAUGGUUUAGAAUAUGCUAAAACUUAAAUUAAAAUGGCGAGAAUAAAUUCUAAAAUUGGAAUUGCAAUGGCGAGAAUAAAUUGAAGAUAAUUCUAUUGAAAUGACGUACUUGGGUAUUCGGAUCCGUAUCAACAUGCAUCAUGGGCUAAAUAAUCCUUAUUAAUGCCAAUUAAAUCAUGAGGGGGGAAUCCACACCUCAUGAACCACGCUCUAAUCAAUAUGGUGCUAAGGGCUUAUCGUGCCAAAUAAUAAUAACCUUGUACUAGAGAGCCGGUGUAACUAAGGCGGUAUCUAGACAAGAUUAUUAUUAUUUGUCGACGAAAAGUCAAAUCAUCCACAAAAACUAGAGGGGAAGAGAAAAUAAAUUUACCAAAUAAAGCCUAUGACACAUGUUGAGACUUCACCUUCAACCCAAGCUUGAAAGAAAAUUAGCCACUCAUAAUUGAACUAAGGGCAAAAUGGAAAUUUAUUAAAAUACAUAGAAAAUACAAGAUGGAGAGGGAAUUACAGAAAAUGGAGUCCAAAAAUGGAUUCAGAGAUAUCAAAUUAGGGGGGAGAGGCCCCCUUUUUAUAGAUACAUGGAGUAAAUCAUGACCAUCGGAUUAAAAACAGUUUGGACGCUCAGGAUUGCACCACGUCAUCAGUCAACAGUACGCGGUUUGACCAUGUGGAUGAACAGUAACACGGUUUGACCCGGAUGAACAGUAAUGCGGUUUGGUUGAAAAUAAUCCUGUGUGAUUCAUGUACCGUACGCGAGAUUUUUCGUCCACUGAUAUGCUGCCACGUCACCAUAAACAGUACAUAAGAAUUUUAGCCCAACAGGAUCGUGACACCUCAUCAGUCAAUGCCACAUCAUCGGUCAAUGCCACGUCAUCGAUCCGUCUAUAUGAACAGUGUCGUGAACAGUAACGUAGACAGUACCGUACACAUGAAUAGUACCGUACAUGUGAAUAGUGUUAUUUUUCCUUUUAUGCUCCUCCUAAGGUUUUCGACCGUCCUGAGUUCAAAAAUGAUGUCCGUUUUGCCGUCUGAUCUCUCCUUUAUUAUGAAAUGACUAUAAUGCCCCUAAAAUACAUAAAAUACUUAAUUAAAAUAAAACACACGUAAUUAAAUCACAAGAAGAUUAAAUACAUAAAAGUAAGGGUUGUUAGUAAGACUUGAAAUAUAAAAUGACGGUUUUCUCCUUUAUAAAUAUACAUUUUCUAACACUCAACAGUCAGCGCUCGCAAACGGCAGUUAACGGAUCGGUGGACGGCAGAAGUGUUUUGUCAACUUAGGGUAUACGAGUGAUACACUUGAAAAAUAUUGUAGCACGUUUGAUACUGGUGUCAUUUAAGAGUAUACGGCUGAUAAUUUCCCUUUUUUUUAUUGCUUGCAUGUAUCAUAUACAUGUAUAUACUGUAGCCGUCCCCUAUUGUGAAAGGUUGUUAUUCUUUAGUCUUUACUACACAAAUAGUAGUUUUUUUUUCCUUCUUUUUUCAAAUUUUGGGUUUUCUUUUACGGCUUCUGAGAGAAGUACCUGCGAAUGGAUCAAAACAAGGGAAUUUCAAUUUAAUGAUUUGACUCUUCUGCCAUGCUUUGCUUUUCAAAUCAUUUGAUAUGGAGCGGAGCAGUGAUGAGCUACAGAAAAUUCUUGACUCUGAGUGCGAGGAGAGGGAGAUGUGUGUGUCACUGUUUGUAAUUUUUUUGUAUUACCAAUGAAAUAUAUUUAGCAUGAGUGUGAUAAAUAUAUGUGGGUCCAGUUACCUUGCAACAAUUGCAAUACACCAUUUAUUUUUGUCUUAUGUGACGUUACAUUUCAUUUAACACCUUGUUUUUUUUCUUAUUUACAUUUUAUUUAUAAGUUUAUAUGUUUUAACUAGUGAACUUUUAAAAUGUAAACUUAUUUUUUUAAUAUUAUUUAUUUUUUUACAUUUAUUUAUAAUUUGUAUGCUUUAGCUGGUAACUUUUAUAAAAUGUAAUUUUAUUUUAUUUAACAUUAUUUAUCUUUAAAAAAAAAGAAUAAAUAUAAUAAUAAGCCUAUGACUAAAUAAUAUUAAAUAAAAUAAAUAAUAUUAAAUAAAUUAAAUUAAAUAAAUAAUAUUAAAAUUUUAACUUAAAUAAAAUAAAUAAUAUUAAAAAUGAUAUUAUUUUUAAGACACUAUUGAUUUUUUAAUGUUAUUCAGUUUUUAAAGAAUAAAUAUAAUAAUAAGCCAAUGAUUAAAUAAUAUUAAAUAAAACAAAAAUAAAAAUAUUAAAAAUAAUAUUUAUUUUUAAAGCUCCCUAAUGAUUAUUUUAUUUUAUUUAAUGUUAUUUAGUUUUUUGAAAGAAUAAAUAUAAUAAUAAGUAUAUGACUAAAUAAUAUUAAAUAAAAUGGAAUAAAUAAUAGUUAUUUAUUCUUUUAAAUAAAAUAUAUAAUAUUAAAAAUAAAAUUUAUUUUUUAAUACUCACUACUAAUUAAACAAUAUAAAUUGUAAACAAUCCGGACUUAUGUGCUAAAAUUUUUAACUCUUUAAUUUGUUUGUGUCUUUAAUAAAUAUCAGGGAGUGCAAUGUUAAUAUUUAAAUGAACAAAUCUCUACCAUUGAAACAACCUUUUCACUAAAUCCAACGUUUUGUCUAAAACUACCUUUUCACUAAACUACCUUUUGUCUGAAAUCAAGAAAAGACAAAACUUGAGGGUACCUUGCAACUGUUGUAAGGUAGCUGAGUCCAAUAUAUAUUGCCAUAAAACGAAAUAUCAUAUCCAAAAUAAUAAUAAUAAUAAGUGUGUCAGAUGACACAAACAGCUGAAAAACGAGGAAACGUCUUCUUCUAACAAAGUUUGUAAUUAAAAAUUUAUAAACGAAUACAUACAUAUAUAUGAAAGGAAAGAUGAUGAUGAUAAUGAUAAAGAGAAUAGGGUUGAAUUUGGCGAGAGGGGUCCCCCUAUUUGUUGAAUUUCAUAUUAAAUAAAUAUCCGUUUGUCUCUUUAAUGGCCAAACAGACCAGCUGCCAACAACUUAUUCCAAUGUGAGUAGAUCACAGUGGGUACUGCACAUGAUGCUUGUUUCUCCUUUUGCAUCUAUUUUUGUUGUUAAUAUUAAUUUCAAUAGCAGCUCGUUAUUAUGUAUGCAACAUUUCAAAAUUAAUCCAAAAAAAACAAAAAUUAGUUCAGCUGACUAAAUUUGAAAGCAUGGAUUUGCUGUCGAUUAAAAAUCGUUUUGUAGGGAAAAUUUUUGGAUUGCAAUUCUCAUACAAUACAUAGAAUUAUCAUAAUCUAUAAAUUGUAUUUUUGCUUUUCACUUAUAUUUAGAUAGUUCAACAUUUUUAUUGGUUUGAUUUAGGGUUAGUUUGGUAACGUUAGUUUAAUACUCUGAUUAUUAUUAUUCGAUUCGUUUACUUUGAUUAUUAUUAUUUUUUAAUAGAGAAUAAAUUAUUCGAUUAAAAAAGUGAUUUUUUCUCUAUUAACAAGUGAUUUUUCUCUAUUAAAAAAUAAUAAUAAUCAAAGUAAACGAAUCGAAUAAAAAAAUAAUAAUAAUCAAAGUUCACAUAAUCUAUAAAUAUCAUGUUUAUUUAUUUAAGAUAGUUCAAAAUUUUUAUUGGUUUGAUUUAGGGUUAGUUUGGUAAUCCUGUAGCUUUAAAAUUAAUUACAGUUAGCUAUGCUGUAGAAAUUGAUCAAUCGUAAAAAGAAUCAACCGAACAUUUAGUAAAUUUUAUUUUUAAAAGUACUUUUAGUUUUAAAAGCAGUCGUGUGUGUUUCAUAAAUCUUAUUAUUAAACUGGUGAAAAAAUAUAAAUGACUGAAUUGAACAUAAUGCUAAAUAAAAUUUAUUUACACAUUUACAAACAUGCAUAUAAAAUAUUUUUAUUACGUACAUAUAAUUAUUGAUAACUAAAAUAAAUAUUUUAUAUUAUUAAAUUUUAUUCUCUAUUUUGUUAUCUCAAUGUAAUUGAUAAUAAUAAUAAUAAUCUAUUUUAAGUUAAUGAUUUUAUUUCUUAAUUCAUAAAGAUAAUUUUAGAUUUUUAUUAUAUAAUGGGGAUAUAUAUAGAAUUGGAUUGAGUAUAAAAGUGAUUCUCAAAAUCAAAUUUUGAAAAACUAUUCAUUCACUACUUUUCAAAAUCUACUGUAUUAUGAGAUGAUUUUACCAAAGUAAUUACUAAAAAAAUUUAUAAAACACUAAAACUUAGCUUUUAUGGUGUGUUUACUUCAUGGAAUGGGGAAUGGGAAUAAAAUGUGUGGGUCUCACACAAUUUGGGAAUAAGGAAUGAGAAUCCCAUGCCCAUGAGUGGUUGGGAAUAAAAGUGAGGGAAUGAGAAUGGAAUAUAUAUUUACUUUUGUAUCCCUCUAAUUUUUUCAUAUUUUCCAAAUUACCCUCAUUCAAAUCACAAUUAAUUUUAUUAUUUAAAAUGUCAUUAAUAAUAAUAAUAUUAUUAUUAUUAAAUUUUAUUAACUUUAUUAUUUUAGUUAUUAUUAAUUAUUUUUAUUAAUAUUAUUAUUAUUAACAAUAAAAAUAAUAAUUGAUAAAAAAUAAUUAAUUUAUCAUUAUUAACAAUAUUAUCAUUAUUUUUGUUAUUAUUAUUAUUAUUAAAAAUAAAAAUAACAAUAAUUAAUAAUAACUAAAAUAAUAAAGUUAAUAAAAUUUAAUAAUAAUAAGUUAAUAAUGAUAAUUUUAAUAAAAAUAAUAUUAACAAUAAUUAGUAAUAACUAAAAUAAUAAAGUUAAUAAUAUUUAAUAAUAAUAUCUAAUAUUAUUAUUAUUAAAUAUUAUUAACUUUAUUAUUUCAGGUAUUACUAAUUAUUGUUAAUAUUAUUUUUAAUAAUAAUAAUAGUAAUAAUAACAACAAUAAUGAUAAAUUAAUUAUUAAUACUAUGGGUAUUUUGGUAAAUUGAUUCUCAUUCUCAUUCCUCAUUCUCAUUUAUUUUGCCAAGUAAACAUAUCAAUAGCAUUCCAGCACAUUCUCAUUCCCAUUUAUUUUUGUCAAGUAAACAUUGAAAUCUCAUUCAUAUUUCUCAUUUCCAUUCCAGUCCAUUCUCAUUCCCAAUCCACUCACAUUCCACCCCAUUCCACUUCCAUGAAGUAAAUGCACCAUUAAUUUUUAAAAUCAAUUUUGAGCUUCCCAAAAACAAUCCAAACAUGCCUUUAUUUGGGUGGUGUUAGAACUGUUAGCCUAAAGGACUAUACAUAAUGUGAUUUUGAUGAUAACAAACAUAUGUAUUAAGUGAUUUAAUAAAUAUUGUAUUUCACAUUUUCACUAGUUUUUGAAGGAUAAUAUUUAUGCAAGUGAAUCAAGUGAAAUCAAGAUUGAAGACACUCAACGGACAACGGUGACAUCAAGAAUAGUCUAGAGCUCCACGAACAAAUUAGUGCGAUAAAUUCUUGUAAAGCCGGUAUGAUUUAAUUGAUGUAUGAUUUAGCAUUUGAGAAGCUCAAGAGAUUAAUUUAAUUAAAUACUUUUCAUAAACUAAAAGUUUUAUUUUUAUAAAGUAAAGUAUUUUGUGGAUUUAAGUAAUUUGGACUUAAAUGCUAAUAUUUGAAAUCUUUGAUUUUAAAUAAGUAUUAAAUUUCAGAGUUGGACGUUUUUACAAAUAUUUGAAAUGUUUUGGGCCAUACUAUAAUUUAUGAAUAUGUUGGACUAAAGUGAAAGGUUUUGAGAACUUUGAAAAAUAUGGGUAUUAUGUUGAAAAGGACCUUUGUGCGAAAUAAUAAAAUCUUUGGGGCCAUAUCAUAAUUUUAGAAAGUUUGGGAAAGACGACUAUUCUUAGGAAGUUCUGAAAUUGGAUCUAUUUGUAAAGUUUUAUGACAUUUUGAGCCAUAGUAUAAUUAUAGAAAGUUUUGGGUCAAAGUAUAAAUUUAGUGAACAGAGUUACUGUAGUAAAUUCAAAAAUAACGGUAAUAUCACUGUUCCUGAGCGGCUAGCCGGAUAAUCAAGCGGCUAACCGCUUGGGCGCGGGAAUUUACCUAUAACGGCUAGUUUUCGGGCUUUCACUAUUAAAACUCAACUCAAACUUCAUUCCUUAAACGAAUGCAAGGAAAAACAAGAUCAUAUAACAUAUAUUGAGCUUCCAUUUCGCAAAUCAUCAUUGAUUGAAUGAUCAUUGAGCUAUAAUUUGUUAUCUACUCUUAAAGAGAGUUUCAUUGUUGUGAUUUUCAUUUCUCAUCAAAUUGUGAGUGUACAAGUGUGAGAAACACUUGGGGUGAAGAGAUUGGGGAGAUAAUCUCUUGUUGUAAAGGUUCAUUGACACCUUAGAAGUCAAUUGUAAACAUUUGAAGCCUUGGGAGGUUUGGAUAGUGAAAUCCUCAAGCCAGGUGUGCUUGGAGGCGUGGACGUAGGCAGGGAUAGCCGAACCACGUAAAAAUCCUUGUGUUUGUUUUAUCUUCCCUUACUCUUUUAAUAUUGUGCUUGAUUGAAUUUAUUAUUUUUUUAUUUGAUUAAGGCAAUAGAUUCAAUUGUUGUGCGAAUUGUAUUGCAUAAUUUUAAAAACCCAAUUCACCCCCCUCUUGGGUUGCAUAACUUGCAUUUCAUUUGGUAUCAGAGCGAGGUGCUCUUGUGUAGACUUAACCGUCUAGAGUAAAAGAUCCAUGGCAACCCAUAAUGAUUCAACCUUUAGGGAAGGACAAUCCACAAUUAGACCACCGUUCUUUGACGAUAAUGACUACCCAUAUUGGAAAACUAGGAUGAGAAUUUAUUUACAAGCUUUAGAUUAUGAAAUUUGGGAAAUUGUUUGUGAUGGUCCAUUUAUGCCUUUGACUAAAAACGAAGUCGGGGAAGAUAUUCCAAAACCUUCACGGGAAUGGAAUGAAUUGGAAAAGAGAAAAGCUUCUCUAAAUUCCAAAGCCAUGAAUGCCUUGUUUUGUGCACUUGAUAAGAAAGAGUUUCAUAGAGUGUCAAGUUGUGAAAGUGCUAAUAAAAUUUGGCACAAACUUGAAGUUGUUUAUGAAGGCACGAAUCAAGUGAAAGAGUCUAAAAUUAGUAGGUACACUCGACAAUAUGAAUUGUUUCAAAUGGAACAAAAUGAGAGUGUGUAUUCUAUGUAUACUAGAUUUACGGACAUAGUGAACACUCUAUGAGCCCUAGGAAAGACCUUUUCAAAUAGCGAGAAAGUUAAGAAAAUCAUUAGGUCUCUACCUAAGGAAUGGAGACAAAAAAAGACUGCCAUUGAGGAAGCCAAAGAUUUAAAUAUUUUACCUAUUGAUGAUUUAAUUGGUUCUCUUAUUUCUUAUGAGGAAGACUUGGCAGCUGAAAGAAGCAAUGAGGAGAAGAAGAAAAGUAUUGCUCUCAAAGCCUCGAAACACGAGAGUGAUGAGGAAAGCGAGCUGGAUGAGGAGGAGAUGGAUAUGCUGGCGAGGAGGUUUAGAAAACUUUUUAAGAAAUCCGGUGAGCGAAGAAAAUUUAGAGACCUCAAGAAAUGAAAGGAGAAGAAUGAAGUAAUCAAAUGUUAUGAGUGCAAAAAGCCUGGCCAUAUAAGAACGGAUUGCCCUCUUCUCAACAAACUCAAGAAGAAAGCAAUGGUAGCCACAUGAGAUGAUAGCGAUGAGGAAACAAGUGAUGAUAAAGAGCAUCAAGAAAUGACAAAUCUAGCUCUCAUGGCAAUUGGAGAUGAAUCGGAUGAUGAACUUGAUGAGGUAAAUGAUAUUUCUACUCAUGAUGAAUUAUAUGAUGCUUUUAAAGAAUUGCAUGAUAAUUGGAUAAAAAUUGGUAAAAAGAAUGCAUGUUUUAAAAAGAAAAUGGUAAAGCUCACAAAUGAAAAUGAAUCUCUAAGUGCAAAGAUUACAUGCCUAGAAUUAGAGAAUAAAACAUUACAUGAUAGAGUUGUAUUAUCAAAUGAGAAACCUAGCACUUCACAUGAGCAUCUAGAAUCAUAUGUAGAUGACUUGAAAAAUGAAAAUGAUGCUUUACAAAAAUGCAAUGAUUCAUUAAAUGAAAAGCUUAAAGGACUAGAGUUAGAUAAUAAAAUGUUGCAUGAUAGAAUUGUAUCAUUUAAAUGCAAACAAAGUACUUCAUAUGAGCAUGAGAAAUCACAUGUUGGUGAAUUAAUGAAAGAAAAUGAAGUGCUUAAGAAGAAGAGUAAUGAACUAAAUCAAAUUGUGUUAAAAUUCACAAAUUGGCAAAAGAUGUUGGAUAACUUGCUUAAUUCACAAAAAUGUGUGUUUGAUAAAGGAGGUAUUGGUUAUAAGCCAAAUUUGAAACAAAAAUAUUAUAAGAGUUAUUUUGUUAAAACUACCUCCAUUAAUGAUCAAAUUGUAUGUCAUUAUUGCAAUCAAAAUGGUCACAUAAAGAAUAGAUGUCCAGUUAAAAUAAAUGCAUAUUAUGGAGCAAAAUGUAUUUGGGUUCCAAAAGGAACCAUUACUAACACUCAGGGACCCAAGAAUAUUUGGGUACCAAAGUACACAACUUGAAUAAUUUUUGUAGGUACCACAAACAAGGAAGGGUGGAGAGUUCCUUGAUGAAACUUGUGAGGAUAAUCACUUGAUCAUGGUCUAGGCAAAAAUAAUGAGGCAAGAUGGUUUAAUUGUUUUGGUAACAAUUAUUGCCUUAUUGAUUAUAAGUUACGGUCUUUUAAUCUUAGUAAAUAUUUCAUAUUUCAUUAUAUCAUUAAGUGCUUUAUCAUGAUGGAUUUGUUUGAUUUUAAUGAUUAUGUAAUGCCUAAGUAUGAUAAAUGAGUAAUAUGCUUGAAUUAUUAAUCUUUGAAUGCUUAUAUGUUUCAUGAUUGAGUAAAAUAUAUACAUGAUGGAUGAAUUAUAUGUGUGAAUUAAUCAUGUCUUAAAUGUUUAUAAUUUCAACCAUAAAGGUUAUUGUAUCUCAUAAUUGUGAUGGAUAUGCAUGAUGAAUAUGUUAUAAAUUUGAGUUUUAUGAUUUUUUGGAUGUUAAUUAUAUUGAUCCAUGCAUUAAAAUGGUUUUUGAAAAUGUUUGGAUCACGAAAUGGUCUUAAAAUCGAUCAAAAAUAGCCAGAGAGCAAAAAUUGGUGCAGAUGGGCAGCCAUGAGGUAGCUAGCCGCCUGCCCCAAGCGGCUAGCCGCUUUGUCACGGGUUGGAGUAAUUGUUUUUGCUUCUUCUUCUUCCUUCGUUAUUUUUCUGCACUUGUUCCUCUCUCUCUCAAAACCGUGAGCCACCCUCUUCCAUUUCCAAUCAAUUUCUCUUUAUUUCUCAACCAUUUUUAUGCCAAAAUUAAUCAUUCAAACCAAUACCCAUGCAUUUCACUCUCAUUAAACACUUCCCAAUCAUCAUUUCUUCACUUGUUCUUGAUCAUUUCAUCAUCAUCUCUCACGCGUGAACAGUACCUCUCCAUUUCUCUCUCAAAUUUCUUCAUCUUUCACUCAUUCUCUUGCCAAAAUCAAUCAUCCAACUCAUUAUUCAUCCAUUACUCCUUCAAUUUUCACUCUCAAAACAUGAUUUCAUUAUCUCUCCACAUAAAACCCAAAAUCAAAAACCUAACUUACCCAUUUCUUUCUCUUCCAAUUUAAGCUCUUUUUAGUCCACUUUUGAUCCAAUCAACACCAUCCAUUAUCUUAAAUCAUCUCUUGGAUCAAUAUAAUCAGUUUAAAAUAAUCCAUUUCACUCAUUAUUUUACAAAACCGAGUUUGUGCAUUUUGGGUAUUUUAAAUUACCAUGGUUCCUUAUUAUAUUAUGCACCUACAUUUUCAUAUGCAUAAUUGUUUUAAUUGUAGAUUACGGAUGAUGGUUGUUUAAUAUUUGGAUAACUUAUAUUUGGAUGAUAUUUUCUGAAUUCUUAGAAUGAAUAUGACUCUUUAGUUAAUUGAAUGCUUAAUUUUUAUAUGUUUCUUGAUUAAUCAUUGAGAUAUUCUUUUUGGUAUAAGCAUAGAUUUAUAGUACUUUUGAUGAUUGAUGAUUAUAUGUGUGUUGCUUGAUGAAUUAAUGGAGUUGUUAGUUUGUUAUAAUUGUUUCAGCUUAUAUGGAAGUGUUUUUAACCAUGUUGUAUAUUUAAGGAUUUGUUCAUUUUAAGGGGAGAUUCUGCCGAAAUUUUUGCUCGCACAAAAUUGGUAAUAUCUUUAUCGAAUUAUUUUUGAUGCUCUUGUUUCGAUUGCAUCUAUCUAUUUUUUAUGAAGGGGAAGAUAAAUAUGAUAUGUUUUUGGAUAAUAUCAUUUUGGUUAAAUUUUUUAAUUGGCCAUAUAUUUAGGGGGAGCAUACAAUAUGAUUUUGGAUAAUAUGCAUUUUGAGCAUUCUUUUGAUGGGUUGAUGGUUCAUGAUCAUUUUAUGGUUAAUUGGAUGUUUGGUUAUUAUAUGUUUCUUGAUUAACCAUUGACAUAUUAUCGAUCUUCACAUGAAUUUCUAGUAAUUUUGAUGAUGAAGGGGGAGAAGUCAUGUAUUUUGAAUAUGAAGACAUAUAAUACGUAUUUUGUAUUUCAAGUAUUUAUGCAUGGUUUUGAAAUAUUAAGGGGGAGCUUACAAAUUAUCAUAAAUCAAAUAUUCAGGGGGAGUUUUUGUUUUGAAUUUGAUUUAUAUGUUUAAUUAUAUAUGCCAUGUAUUAAGGGGGAGUACAAAUGUCAAAAUACAUGAGAUGUUUGUCAUCAUCAAAAAGGGGGAGAUUGUUAGCCUAAAGGGCUAUACAUAAUAUAAUUUUGAUGAUAACAAACAUAUGUAUUAAGUGAUUUAAUAAAUAUUGUAUUUCACAUUUUCACUAGUUUUUGAAGGAUAAUAUUUAUGCAAGUGAAUCAAGUGAAAUCAAGAUUGAAGACACUCAACGGACAACGGCGACAUCAAGAAUAGUCUGGAGCUCAACGAAUAAAUUAGUGCGAUAAAUUCUUGUAAAGCCGGUAUGAUUUAAUUGAUGCAUGAUUUAGAAUUUGAGAAGCUCAAGAGAUUAAUUUAAUUAAAUACUUUUCAUAAACUAAAAGUUUUAUUUUUAUAAAGUAAAGUAUUUUGUGGAUUUAAGUAAUUUGGACUUAAAUGCUAAGAUUUGAAAUCUUUGAUUUUAAAUAAGUAUUAAAUUUUGGAGUUGGACGUUUUUACAAAUAUUUGAAAUGUUUUGGGCCAUACUAUAAUUUAUGAAUAUGUUGGACUAAAGUGAAAGGUUUUGAGAACUUUGAAAAAUAUGGGUAUUAUGUUGAAAAGGACCUUUGUACGAAAUAAUAAAAUCAUUGGGGCCAUAUCAUAAUUUUAGAAAGUUUGGGAAAGACGACUAUUCUUAGGAAGUUCUGAAAUUGGAUCUAUUUGUAAAGUUUUAUGACAUUUUGAGCCAUAGUAUAAUUAUAGAAAGUUUUGGGUCAAAGUAUAAAUUUAGUGAACAGAGUUACUGUAGCAAAUUCAAAAAUAACGGUAAUAUCACUGUUCCUGAGCGGCUAGCCGGAUAAUCAAGCGGCUAACCGCUUGGGCGCGGGAAUUUACCUAUAACGGCUAGUUUUCGGGCUUUCACUAUUAAAACUCAACUCAAACUUCAUUCCUUAAACGAAUGCAAGGAAAAACAAGAUCAUAUAACAUAUAUUGAGCUUCCAUUUCGCAAAUCAUCAUUGAUUGAAUGAUCAUUGAGCUAUAAUUUGUUAUCUACUCUUAAAGAGAGUUUCAUUGUUGUGAUUUUCAUUUCUCAUCAAAUUGUGAGUGUACAAGUGUGAGAAACAAUUGGGGUGAAGAGAUUGGGGAGAUAAUCUCUUGUUGUAAAGGUUCAUUGACACCUUAGAAGUCAAUUGUAAACAUUUGAAGCCUUGGGAGGUUUGGAUAGUGAAAUCCUCAAGCCAGGUGUGCUUGGAGGCGUGGACGUAGGCAGGGAUAGCCGAACCACGUAAAAAUCCUUGUGUUUGUUUUCUCUUCCCUUACUCUUUUAAUAUUGUGCUUGAUUGAAUUUAUUAUUUUUUGAUUUGAUUAAGGCAAUAGAUUAAAUUGUUGUGCGAAUUGUAUUGCAUAAUUUUAAAAACCCAAUUCACCCCCCCUCUUGGGUUGCAUAACUUGCAUUUCAAGAACUUGUAACUUUUGGAUCUUUUAGUUUUUAUUGGUUGGAUACAAUAUUAUGACUUGAGCGUCGGAAGGUUUUCACCGAAAUAACUUCCAGCACCCCCUGACUGUUCUUUGUGCUUGCAUGCUCGCGGGUUAUUUGCUCAUGGAUCAUCUGCUCAUAGAACAUCUGCUCACGGUGCUCACUGAUCAGCAGCUCGUGGAUUAUCUGCUCAUGGUGCUCACUGAUCAGCAGCUCAUAGAUUAUCGGCUCAUGGAUUAUCUGUUCAUGGUUAGAGGAUUUUCUUGGAGAUUAAUAAGUCGCUUCUCCACCAAACAAAUUUAUUGCUGAUGCGGGGAUGUGGUAUUGAGUCAACAACUGACUCGACUUUAUUUCUGCAUCAAUAUAAAGUAUUAAUCAGCUUAAUUAAUUUAUAAAAUUUAAAUCUAAUUAAUAAGUGACACAUAAAUGCCAAGUGCAAUAUAUGCAAAUCCUGUUUGUCGAUCAUUACAAAACUGGCUCUUGAAAACAAGCAAGAAAGCUUAAUUAAGAACUUAAAACAAAAAGUAUUAGAUUGAGGAUAGUCAAGCCUUAUUUUUUCAAGGAUGGAGCUUAUAAAUCUUCAAGUACCAACAUAUGCUUGGCCCAAUUGUUGUUUUUAAAAUUUCAAAAUAUAAGUAUGACAUAGCAAAAAUUUGAUGGUACAUGUGUCGGAAUAUACUAGCUAGUUCAUGGAUGCAUUUGAUUACUAUUUCCAUAAAUUUGAACUAAGAAGAAUGACACGAGAAAAUUUGAUUUUAUUAUAUGGUUGAUUUCAUAUCUCAUGCACUCAUUUCUUAAGAUAAUUAGAUUUUCUCUGGCAUCUUUUGCAAAUGUGGAAAUAUCAAUUAUGAUCAAUCAAAACGAUCUCAAAACUUUUUAACGAGACAUAUUUAUAAUACAAUAUUAUGAAAAUUACACCAAAAAUUUGAUUUAUUAUAUAUUAUUAUCCAACGAGCACACAAAAAUGAAUUCAUACAAAUCUAUAAUACUUAGCAAUUUUCAAAUAGAAUUUACCAUGUACUAUAAGAAAAUAUGGUAUAUGUGACCCCUAUUGUGAAUGCAAAAGCAGCCAUUACGUAUAUCACUAACUUCUAACUUUGUAACCCUGAGUUGCUUUUGUUACCCUUUAUGUGACGGCCAUACUGCUGUCACAUAUGUUACUAACCACGUGACGGUAAAGAGCCGUUCCGUAUACUACUAUUUUAGAAUUUUAAAUUUAUUUCCAGUUGGAAAACUAUUCGCUGGAUUACGAGUUUAAAUGCUGUCACCAUCGUAAACCUAACUGGUUGCCGGCGAACGGCGUAAAACACCGGCCAUCUUCUUCUUCAUCGUAUUCGCCCUUCAUCUUUUGAGUUAAGCUUGUGAUUAUGAGUUUCUUCUCUUACUUAGCUUGUAAUUAUAGAUUUUGAUUCUUUUUAAUUCGUAUUGUAGUCGUUAUUGUCAAUUUUUGUCCCGCCAGCAAUUUUUUUUAUUCCUACAAGUUGAAGCCCCUGUGUUCUUGUUCCAUUGGUGUGUUUGCUCACUCAAAUUAAUUUUGUUCUACAAAGUUCAAAUGGAUUCAUUUGAAUCACUAUUGAAUUCAGCUUUAAUUCCAACAACCAUUCUAAUGUUUUGUUAUUAGAUUUACUUUAAUUUUAUGUUUAAAGCUUCUACAAUGAAUAGCGGAGCUUGGGUUUUAGUUUCAUUUUCUAGAUAACUUGUUUUUCUUGUAUGCUCACCAAGUGCUUGUUAUAUUGUCUGAUAAGUUAAUAUAUUGCUGAUUCUAUAUUAAUAAUGUUACGUUCUAUUUUCAGAAAUUAUAAUAUAAACUGAAUUAACUUGUAGAAUAAGAGCUUGGAGUAGUGUUAUGUUCUUGAAUAAAUGAAAGUCCAUAUUGUGUAAGAGCAUGUAGAUGUAAAGCGCAUUGCCAUUUCUAUAAAGGACUUUCAUUCUGUUCAGAUGCUCCUCUUGAACUCUGAAAGGUGCCUCAUUCAAGUCCUAGCUAUAACUACUAGCUUUGAUUAAUUAAUUUCCUGUACUAGCAGAAACAGAUUUAUUUAUUUAAAUAAUUGUCUAUGUACUAAUUAUAAUGAAAGUAUAUGAAGAAAUUUUUUAACAUGAAUGACUUCUAAAUGACUUAAAAACCUAAAGGAUAUGAGAAAUAAUGCUCAUUUCACUUGAACGAGCCUAUUAAUACUUGUAUGUCUAUGAUUCUUAAUAUUGGCUUAAGCAUUUCAGUAAAUGGUUUACAUAACAGAGAAAAAAAUUUAAAUGAAAACUUUAGAGUUCUAACAGAAAUAUAAUUGACUAUGCAGAUAUAGUUAUUUUAUGGUAUACAAAUCAUGUUGCCUUAAUCUCAAUGUCCUAUGACCUAUUUUAUUUUAUAUAGUCGUUCAUUUUUGCCAUCGCUUUUUGUGUUUAUGAGUAUGGAAGUAGUGGGAUUUGGUGUAUCUUAGCAUCUUUGGAAAAUUCUCUUUAAAUGUGGCAAACAAAAAUAUACAUAUAAUCAAGUUUCUUAAUCAACUAUCAUAACUGGCUAGCUAGUUCUUGCCUGCCUUGCUGCCAUUACCCAGGCCAUUACAUUGCAUAGCAUAAGGAAUAGUGAUUAGGUGCUUAUUAGUGAUUCGUUGAGCUUAUUAUUGACCAAACAAACAUAUUCGCCUUUACCCACAACUUAGUUUGAUUAGUUAUUAGACCAUAAAGAGCGUUAAUCUGUUCAUUGGCUUUGUUAUUUUUAUUUGGUUUUUCUUCCAACAAUACUGUUGAUUUCUUAUAAAAAUACUCAUUGGUUUUUAGUUAUUAGACCAUAAAGAGCAUUAGUCUGUUCAUUGGCUUUGUUAUUUUUAUUUGGUUUUUCUUCCGACAAUACGGUUGAUUUCUUAUAAAAAUAUUCAUUGGUUUUUAAACACCUAAUCAUUGGCUAUAAUGAAGCUAAUUGAAACUGAGGCUUAUCAAUUUCUUCCUACAAGAUACAAUUGAGCAUAAACUAUAUCCUCAGUAAAUUUUUCUAAUAUCCUUGAUUUGUUAGGAUAUGGAGGCCUGAAAUCCUCUAGAUUUUUUUAACACUGUCAAUGUUCUUUUUACUCUGAAAAGGGAAAAAAAAGGUAUAUCUUUCAUACCCUAAUAGUAAGUAGGCCUUGACUUAACAUGCCUUCCCGAGGAUUUGCAAGAUUCACAAGCAGCUCACCCCCCCCCCCCCUCCCCCAACCCAAAAAAAAAAAAGAAAAACAAAUAGGAAGAUUUUGCGAGAUUCACAACCAGGUUAUAUUUAAUUUAUUAAUUGUGUGCACGUACUAGUUAUAUGUUGAAAGAAUAGGAAAGUAUUUUAACAUGAAUGACUUAAAACUUAUUGCUUAGUAAACAUAAUCUGCAUCAGUGCUAGAAAAUGUAUUUAUUGUUUGUAUUUUUUAUGGAUUUGCUUAAGAAAUGAUACGGGUAAUAAUGCUACAUUGUAUUAGGAACAAAUUGAAGAGAUUUAUGAUAUUUAUGUGUUAUUCAAAUUUCAGAUUGAAUUUUAAACUUUCAAUACAUGCAUUGAAAGCUUAGAUCGUUUAAGAAAUUAUAAAUAGACACAUGUUUUAUUAGUGCCAUCUUUGGAUGAUAGUGAGGAUCAUAUGCCUAUUAAUAAUUCUUGAAUUGUCUAGGCUUGAACUGUUUGGGAAUGCAUAGUUUUCUAUGGUAGCUAGUAGCUGAAGUUUUUUUCCCACAUAAAAAUGGGUUUUUCGCUAGCUGCUUCUCAUCUUCUUUGGGUGCAUACUAGAUAACACAUAAACACUCUUAUAUCUAUGUCGUUGCUUGGAGAACUAAAGGGAGAUGCUGCCGAAAUUUCUAUAAACGUAGAAGAAAACUUUAAAGUACUUGAGAUUGAAGAAACUUAUGCAUUCUUGAGAGGGAUAUAUGGGACCACUUACCUUUUGUAAAUAUGAAGGGAGUGUUGGACAUAUUGAUGGGAGUGGAGGAGCUGAGUUGGAUGGAUGUAAUCGGUUAUAGUUUUGCUGAGUUAACUUGGUUUUGAGCUUGUAAUUUUGUUUAUAAAUGGAGUACUAUCUCCAAUGUUGGUUUAUAAAUAUGUUUCAGCUGGCUGACCUUAUUUUUUGUUUCUAGGUAACAUGCUUUGUAUCUGUAAUUGAUAGCCAACUGAAGUUCUCAGCUGUGGGUGAGGAUAUUUCUUUACAGAAGGUAUUGGAAACUGUUUUUUACAUUAAUUAUUGUUGUAUAUAUACUUUAAUUUUCACAUCUUUUUCUCUGAUUCUUGUCACUUUACUUGCUUUCAUAUACAUAAAUUCUAAUGAAAUUAACCAUAAAAUUGUAUAAUGAUUUUUUAAUUAUAUUGCAAAACUGUGCACACACGAAAAUAUCUUGGUCAGUAGUAGAAAUGAAAAACUAAAAUGAUUUAUCUAACUAAUUUUUGUAGUGCAUUAAAAGGAGACGGUAAUGGAGAAGAGUUGGGUUGGUUUGGCAAAUAGAUAUCUAAGUUAUAGAUUUUGCAUUUGAGAAUGUUGUUGGUGAUGCAAGAAUUUAUUAUCCUUGUAAGAAGUGUCGAAUAUUUCGUUUUAAGGGAAGUAGCAAGAGACCAUAUCAUUAUAAAUGGUUUUUGGUUAAAGUUUUAAAACUGGAUAUUGCAUGGUGAGCCAUCUUCAUCUUUGGAAUCUAACCAAGAAACAGGUUAGUCAUGACUCGGGUGCUGAUGAUGAUAUGGUUGGAAUGAUACAUGAUACAUCACGUAAUCAAAUGUUCAAUUCACAGACAGCAUUGUUAUGGACUAUCAGUGACUUUCUAGCACAUGCCAACUUGUCUGAGUGGAGUAUUAAAGGUAAAUAAGCAUUUCUUGUUUGCCAACAAAACACCAGAUCGAAUUGGUUAAUACAUAGUAGAAAAUUGUCACGUCGGUAACGUCGAUUUUUACCGACGAAUCAUAGGUUUCGAAAAUAUAGUGCCUUUCGAAAAUCUGGAGCUGAAGUGAAAAAGCAGUUGAAUAAUAUCCUUACUGAGUUUAAGAUUGAAGACUUGAAAAGUGGAGAAUGAAUAAAAUGAGAGAAAUGACAAGAUUACUUGGAAGAAGAAAAGCAUAUUUUAUGAACUACCGUGUUGGGAGUUCAAUUUGAUUCAUCAUAAAAUGUGAGACAUGAGGGAGAGACAAAAGCUCAGGCUUGUCUGCAACCAUGUGGGCCCUCAUAAGCAAUUCGUGUACACAACUUGGUUCACCAAGCCCAACAACUUGAAGCAGGCAAAAUCCGGGAACGAUCCUUCUCCUUCGCAACCCUAGCUGCCUUAACCUUGUAUUUCUGAUAUUUAGUUAAAGAGUAAGAAGAUUGCUCCUCUGUCAAUUACCUUCGAGAGAGACUUUCUUUUUCAUUCAUCGAUGCUUGCUUGUGAAAGCAAGGGUUUUAGUUACACUUUCAACGCUGUCAAUGUAGUGAAGUAAAGCAUUCGUAGAAUAAUGAAGAUGGAAGCCCCACAGCAUGAAAACUUUUAAACAGUAACACAGCUCUUAUUCCAGAGGCUGCACGCGAGUGACCUGAAUCUUCUUCAGAACUUUCAAAUUUUAUCAGGCAAAGCUUUCAAAAUUUCUCAACAAAUUGAUUAUUUGGUGUGGUUGCCACAUUUUGAGUAACUGCUAUUUGUUCUCAAGUACAAAAUCCUUGCCUUCCUAAGUUAGGAAAUAUAGAUGAGAAGCAAACCAAAUGAAAUAAAUGGGUAAACAGAACAAACAGUGCAAAAAUUAAAAAUGAUGGCAAUUAACAAAUUAAUAGCAAUGUUACAUUUGACUCUUUAGCCCUUUGCUCCUUCUCUUAACAUUCUUCAAAGCUUUUGAAAAUUGGAUGUGAAGCAAACAAAAUAAAAUAAAUUUAGACAACACAUACCCUGUAUUCAGCAUCAUAUAUAUGUCGAAUAUCUAAUUUAAUAAAUUUCACAUCCAAAAUACUAAAAUUUUAUUUGCAUGCAUGUCUGUCAAAAUUUCCGUGAUUUAAUGUGCUUUCAUGCACGCAAGUUCUAACGUUUCUGUGAUCACAAAAUAAAACUGAAGAUAAAACAGAACAACUACCAAACCUUUCAAGCUUGACGAAGCCAUGAGAAUUGAUAGCUCAGGCUCUGAUACCAAGUUAAAGUUUCUAAUCUAUUUGAUAAGUAAGAAAAUGAGAGAAAAUGAAAGAAAGAACAGAGAUCAUCUAAGAGCUGGAUUUGAUGAAUAAAUCUGAAUCAUCCAUUCUUUAGCUGAUUACAAAUGUAUUUAUACAAGUUUUCUAAGCACCUGAGAGUUGAAUAACUUAUGCCAGCUCAGCUAACACGUCAGUAACUCUACCUAUCUUGCUUAACAAACUGAAACAAUAACUAACAAUUUUAACUAUCUUAACAAUCCCAAUAAUUUCUCCGUUUGUGUAUUUUUUUGAAUCAUAAUCAAAUGGGUAAAUGUUGCAACUAUUUUUUUAGACAUUUUCACUUUGGGAUGUCAGCCCGAGGAAGUUCGGGGGUCUGAGUUAUUCAACUGAAAAUGUCGGCCAAGUUCUCGCCAUCUCAGGUUCAAAACUGAUAAUCUUGCUCGUUGCUCCCCAUUUAUACUUAUUACGAAACUGAAAAAGUUACUCGUUCCUCUUAACUUGUUUUCUCAUGCAUCAACCCCACAAAACUGCUUAUUGCAGGGGGUAAAAUUUUGAACACAUCAUGUGGAAUUUGGACUAUUUGAUAGUUUGUUUCAAACAUAUCUGUUUAUAAAAUACUUUUCUUCAUGGUUUUGGUCCCAUAAUUUUCUAUGUAUGUACAGGUUUUAUCCAUACCUCUUUUGACAAGUUACACUUACAUAGCAAUGUUAUCUGGGUUCAGCCUUGCCUUUUUCAUAAACUGUGCUUCUGUGAUGAAGAAUGUUUUAUCUGUAAGUGGAUAUCCUAAUCAUUGAUCCAUAAACUUAGGUUAUAUUAUCCAUCAGCAAGUAUGUAUAAAAUUAUUUUAUGUCUUUUUUUAUUAGAAAUGUUGUAAUUCUAUUUUAAUCUUCCUGAAUUAUAACAUCAGGUGUCUAUAAUAACUGGAUUAUUCCUUCUGCAAAACAGAGCAGUGGUAAAUAUUUUUUUCUUUUGUUUGUUUAGUACAUUUACAUGCUUUCAGCUUUUUCAAAUUUUGUAUGUGUCAAAGUUUAAAUUUAAUUUGUUGGUUUAUGCCACAACAAAAGGAACAGCAUCAAAGAGGAGCUGCUAAUGGACUUGCUAUGACUGUAGUGUCGCUUACCAAAACUGCCGGUCCAGCUGUAGGAGGUGCUCUGUGAGUGUCCUGUUGAUUUUGUAAAAUUAUAUGUAAAUGAUGUUAUAAUAUUUUUUUUCAUUAAUUGGGGUUCUGGCAGAUUUUCUUGAUCACAAAAGCGUCAAGAUGCUGGUUUCCUCCCAGGUAUGAUGAUCUACUAAUGAAAUUAUAUUCUUUUUAUUUCAAAUAAUCUAUAAGUUAACUCAAAACAUAAUCAAGCUGAGAAUUAAAAUAAUGCCACUGUAUGAGAAGAUUUUUAUUUUUUUCCCGAAGUUUCACUAGGAAAUUAUUGAUAUAUAGCUUUAUUCGGAUCAUCUCAGUUCAAACGACAGCUAAUUGAAAGACUAAACUAAAUAGACCAGCCAACAACUUUGUACAGUAGAGUUAAAAAAAUAAAGUCAUGGUAUUGAGGUGUUCUGUCUUGAAAAGUACAGCAUAGUGAUAAAAUAAAAACUAUUAGUAUUUGGUAAGAUAUGACUUUUAAUUAAAAAAUUUCACAAAAAUAUAAAAAUAUUUAUAAAGUACUUCUGUAGUGCGGAGACCCUCACUUUGUUAAAGUGAAAAUAUCAACAAUAAACAAAAGACAUAUAUUUUAACACAUUAAAAACUGUAUUUUUUUAUCUAUUGGUGUAUUGAAAUAUGUGUUAUUUAGUUUGCUAAUGAUAUCAUCACUUUGUUAAAAUGAGGAUGUCAUCACUAGAGAAUCAUUAUAUAUACAUAUAUAUAAAGUGGUUCUCUCCAAGACCUAAACUUUAUUAAAAGUUUAGAAAGCAAAUAUAUUUUGUAUGGUAUAAUAGUGUAAUAACAUCACACUAUUAUAUCAUAUGAGUCCCAUAUAGAGUAAUAGUUUUUCGAACUUUAAUAAAGUUCAAGAUUAUAGAAUGAAUGAUUUAUAUAUAUUAUAAAUUUUUUAUUAUAUAGUGAAGGACAAAAUUAACAUAAUUUUCAAAUUAUAUUAAGUAUUUAUCAAAUAAUUUAACAUCAUAAUUUCUCCUAACUAGUAUAGUAAAUACGGCCUAGGAGGUACAUUCAAAGCAUUUCAUAGGUUCCUUGUUCGCUCCAGAUUCAGUCACAGACAAGGAGCCGUUUUUUGAGAAUAUUAAGCAUCAUCUUCAAAUGAAUUUUCUUGGCAAAGGUUUCAGAUCCAAAUUGUUGUUCCAGAUUAGUCCAAAGCUCAAGUAAGGUUUGAGAGUUUACCACAAGACUAAGGAUCUCGAUACUGAUGGAUGACAUUAACCAGCUCAACAACAAUUGAUCGUUUCUCUUCCACGAAGUUGAAUCUUCAAUUUCAGUAAAAAGAAAUUGGUUAGGACAGAGUUUUGAUCUAUCAAGUAGAUCUUCUAGUCCAUUGGCACGGACUGAAGACAAGACCUGUGAUUUCGAGAUCCUAUAAUUCGAUCGAUCCAGUUUGAUGGGUGAAGUGAAAGUAAACGAGGAAACAUAGGAGUUUGUAUUCUGAUUUGAGCUUGACGAAGCCAUGAGAAUUGAUAGCACAGGCUCGGAUAUCAAGUUAAAGUUUCUAAUCUGUUUGGUAAUUAAGAAAACCAGCGAAAAUGAAAGAAAGAACAGAGAUCAUCUAAGAGCUGGAUUUGAUGAAUAAAUCUGAAUCAUACAUUCUUUAGCUGAUUAAAAAUGUAUUUAUACAAGUUCCUGAAUAUUUUAGAUUCCAUAUGCUUGAGCUAAGCACCUGAGAGUUGAGCAGUGUGCACUAACAAACUGCUAACAAAAUAACUAACUUAUGCCAGCCCAGCUAACACAUCAGUAACUCUAACUAUCUUGCUUAACAAACUGAAACAAUAACUAACCAUUCCAAUAAUUUCUCCAUUUGUGUAUUUCUUGAAUCAUAAUCAAAUGGGUAAAUGUUGCAACUGUUCUUUUAGAUAUUUUCACUUUGGGCUGUCAGGCCGGGGAAGUGCGGGAGGUCUGAGUGACUCAACUGAAAAUGUCGGCCAAGUUCUUGCCAUCUCAGGUGUAAAACUGAUACUCUUGCUCCCCAUUUAUACUUACUACGAAACUGAAAAUGUUACUCGUUCCUCUUAACUUGUUUUCUCAUGCAUCAACCCCACAAAGCUGCUUAUUGCAGGGGUAAAAUUUUGAACACACCAUGUGGCAUUUAGACCAUUUGAUAGUUUGUUUCAAACAUAUUUGUUUAUAAAAUACUUUUCUUCAUGGAUUUGGUUACGUAAUUGUCUAUGUAUGUACAGGUUUUAUCGAUACCUCUUUUGACAAGUUACACUUCCAUAGCAAUGUUAUCUGGGUUCAGCCGUGCCUUAUUGAUAAAUCUGUAAUGAAGAAUGUUUUAUCUGUAAGUGGAUAUCCUAAUCAUUGAUCCAUAUCCAUAAGCAAGUAUGUAUAAAAUUAUUUUAUGUCUUUUUAUUAGGAUUGUUGUAAUUCUUUUUUACUUUUCCUGAAUUGUAACAUCAGGUGUCUAUAAUAACUGGAUUAUUCCUUCUGCAAAACAGAGCAGUGGUAAAUAUUUUUUUUCUUUUGUUUGUUUAGUACAUUUACAUGCUUUCAGCUUUUUCAAAUUUUGUAUGUGUCCAAGUUUAACUUUAAUUUGUUGGUUUAUCCCACAACAAAAGGAACAGCAUCAAAUUUUGUUGGUUUAUGCCAAAACUACCGGUCCAGCUGUAGGAGGUGCUCUGUGAGUGUCCUAUUGAUUUUGUAAAAUUAUAUGUAAAUGAUGUUAUGAUUUUUAUUGUCCCCCCCCCCCCCCCCCCAACACAAAAAAAAGCAUGAUUAAAUUGAUCAUUUGUUGGGUAACAACUUGAUUAACCGGUCCUGGCAGAUUUUCUUGGUCACAAAAGCGUCAAGAUGCUGUUUCCUCCCAGGUAUGAUGAUUUACUAAUGAAAUUUCUCACGAGUUGGUGAAUUACUUUGUGCUAAUUAGCUUAAUUAGCUGCUUAAACUAAAGUGCAGGUAACCAAAUGGUUUUUUUUUUCAUUCUGAAUUUGGUUGAGGCACUUGGAGUAAUAUUGACAUUCAAACCGUUUCUAACUCAACGCGCCCCGUGAGUUGAGAAAAGAUGCAUCUGUUGAAAUAUUCAAAUAUAUUUCAAGCAAAUUAAAGCUUUUCAAAAUCUAUCAACAAUAUGAUUAUUUGAUGUGGUUGCCACUUGCCAUAUUUUGUGUUACUGUUCUAAAGGGUUAAAUAUGAAAAUGGUUGUUGGUGCUCACACCAAUCGAUAGCUGGUAACAUUAACUCCUCAAUACUUAUACUUGUUCAUUUUCAGAACUACGACAAUUUAUCUUCACAAUGAUGCAAGCUAGAAAGAAUUUUUCAUGUUAAGUAAAACAUUGAAGCCAUAAAGAGUCUUAAUUGAGUACUAAGUUUUCUACCAUGCUUUCAACGGUAACAUAUUUGGAGCUCUUAUUCCAGGGGCUUCACAGUAGAGAGACCUGAUUUCGAUCUUCUUCAGAACUUGGGGAUUCCGUAAUAACAGAGGACAACAGUUAUAUAAGAAUAUUAUUUUGUACAAUUUUCGUAUAACCUGACCAAUGCAAGUAUAAUUUUAUGAUCUUAACUCAGAUCAAAAGACCUUCAAUGAUGUAAAUUUGCACAUAAAGCUGAGAUCCAAACAUUAGAACUUAUGAUGAAACGCAAACAAAAACGGUGAGAUUGAAAAGAUAGAGAAACACAAGCUUUUUAGUAGGAAUAAAUGCUCAUUUAGUCUCUAUAUUUUGACUCGAGCGCAUUUAGUUCUUAUAUUUUAAAAAGUGCCUCAACCUCAAGACACCCCCUAUUGUGAAAUAUAUUUUGUUUCUACCUUUUUUUUUUACAAUAAUACUCUUGGAAUAAUAUUUUUGGGAAUAUUAAUGAAAAUAAAAAAAUGGUAAUCAUCUAGCCAGCCUUAAACAAAAUAAAUAUUAAUAAAAACUUUUAUGUUAUUAUUUUAGUUUUAGGACUAAUUUCGUAAAUUAAAUUUUUUAUGCAUUUAUUAGUAAGAUUGCUUUAAGAAUAUUAAACAUUACUUUAAGAUGGCUGAUAUUAAUUUAUUUAUAAAGAAUUAUUAGCAAGAUUGUUGUGAAAGUACAAAAAAUACUGGUUAUUUCACAUUGAUAUUUAUUGAUUAAUUUGCCAAUUAACUUUUUUUAUAAAUAAAUUUAAGAAUAUUAUUGCCAAGAUAUUAUUGUAAAGGUAAAUAAAAUUUAAGGAAAAAAUGUAACGUAUUUAAUAUCAAGGUAUAUUGAGGUAUUUUUUAAAAUAUAAAAACUAAACGAGCAUUGAAAUUAAAGAGCAAUGAUAUAGCCACAAACUCUUGUACAAACUUAUUUUGUACAAACUGAUGUGGCAUGAUAAGAUUAGUUGAAUUAAAUAUCACUUUGCCCACAUGAUUUGUUUUUAUUAUUUUAUAUUUUCAUUCAACCAAUGAAUUAAUGCCACGUCAGUUUGUACAAAAUAAGUUUGUACAAGAGUUUGUGACUGUAUCAUUACUCGAAAUUAAAAUACAGGUACCAGACAAGUAUUUUCUCUUUUAGAAAGUUUUAUAUUUUAUUAAUGAAAGUCUGAAUAACAAAAUUAAGGUUUUGGACUUCUUUUAAACUAAACUUAAAUAUCACAAAUUUACCAAAAUAAGUAAACCUAAAAUAUUAAUACAUAAUAACAUUCUCCUAACUGAAAUAAAGAUAAAUGCUACUCAAAUUCUAUAUCUAGAAAAAAAAAAAGGUAAAAAUCCUGAAAACAAUAGGAAAAUAGAUCUUAAACUUGUAAAAUUAUAUGAAAUAAAUAUAAUUUUCAAUCGAACCACGAGACUAAUGUGGCGCUACAGUAUUAGAUUAGAUUCCCCUCGUUGCAAACUUCGAAAGGUAUAUUAUACACCCUAAAUACAUACUUAUAGCUCAAGUUGUUACCCUAGAGAGAUACUCUACUCAUCCUAUGCAACCAUCCGUUGCAUCAAAUUCGUUCCAAAAUUAAGAAUAAAUCAGCUGAUGCAUUCCAAAUAAUUUAGAUGAAACGAUAAAAUAAACCUAGAGAUCAAAUAAAAUGAAAUGAAAAUGAUAAUUACCUCGGACUAAAGCUCAUACAAAUUCAUUAUUUGACACCUCCAGCAAUUGUUGAAAUAAUAGUUAAUGAAAUAUAAAAUAAGACAAAAGUACAUAUUAAUGACACACCACUGUGAAUCGAUACAUCAACGUAAUACAUCAAUUGAAAUAUCAUACGAUAAAUUAGUCAGAGAAAGAAAUAAGUAAAUAAAUCAGCAAAGGAAACAUGCAUAAACAAAUUAAAAAAAAAACAAAGACAAAAGAAGGAAGAGUUGUCUGUGAGAAUCUUCUUCUAUGGUCAUUGAAGUCCCAAAACUAAUAAGGAUCGAUCAAUUGAACAGUUGCAAACUCAAUGGAAAUACAAUGGAACCUUAAAAAUGAACAGUGAAGGAAAAUGAAGAAAUCCGCAGGAAAUAAGGCGAGUAAGAGUGAAGAAUUAAUUACCACUGAGUAAAAUUGAGAGUUGUGAUCUAGAAGAGAUUCUUCUUCUCCGUAAUCCCCUUUUUUCUUUUAAUGUUGUUAUUAUUAUUAUUAUAUAUAUAUUUUCAAUUUCAUGAUUUCUUUUUUGUUUUAAACGGUAUUGGCAUAUUACAUUUAUUUAUGUUAAUUUUACAAUACCUCCCUUCAGAUUGCACAAAUUACAUAAAAAAAAAGCGCUUUAUGUAUAAAACUUUCAAACAAAUUGGGCCAAAAUCUAACUUUACCAAGUUUAGAGUAAUUUUGGGCUCGACAUUCCGUUUCCGACAAACGAAUUUUCUUUAUCACCAAGGUAUGAUACUUUUCAUAUUUAUCCAACGGCUCGUCAAUGACAAUACCUUUGUAAAAAGUACUUAUUUUGAAUAGUAUAUUGUGGAAAUGUCUGGUCGGUAAUACAACUAUUUCUUAUAGUGUAAAAAUGAUACACUAAGCGUUCACAUUUUGAUGAGUAAAUUAAGGAUUUCAAGAUGAAGUACAUAAUUAGAUUAAUGCUAAGAAACUGAAGUUUGAUCGAUUGAAAACGAAAAUAAUAAUGAAGGUAAUUAAGAAAAUGAACAAUAUAUGCGGAAGCGGUCCUUAUUAGUACUUCUAGAUUUUCUCUUGGGCUUUCCUUAUUAUUGUUAAAAAAUGACCCGAAGAACUUUGAGUUUAAAAAUCUGGCCCUGAUGCCUGGUAGCCCUUCAACACAUGAAGCACCAGAUGUUUUGAUGAGAAAAUGACAAGACCAUUUAUCAAAUUUCUUGUGGAUAUAAAUACAUACACAUAGACGAGACCAACCUCCUCAAAUGAGAAUCAGAGUGAUUACAAGACCUUGCAAUGAGACAAUGAUACACCAUCAAAUGUCAAAAUACAAUAGAAAUUCACGACAUAUAUAUAAUAAAAGACCUCUCAUUGAGUCAUAUAUAUUGAGAAUAAAAAUGUUAUAAUACAUACACAGAGCUUAGUUAGAAUAAAAUGUCUUUGAACUUACGAUGAUCAAACAAAGGAAACAGACAGGUUGUAACUCACACUAUCACAAGAAGAUCACGAAGAUGGAAAUGGGAACCCCUCAGAAUGGAAACUUUGAAUAGAGCAAAAAAGAAAAAACGACCUUAUUCACAGAAGAAGAGUGAUACAACUUGGCCAAUUGUUGUGAAUCAGAUCGAGCACAAUGAGACAGCAAGGGAAGAGACCCAGCCUGCAGAAAUAGAAGAAGUCCAACCCUUGAAUGAGACACAAGCUAAAGAGCAGCUCAAGACAGGUCCAGCUCGCGCGAGAAAGAAACCAGGAUGGCUCAAAGACUUUGUCAUUUGAGGAAUGUUCGAGAAUGCUUGAGAUAUCAUAAUAACGAAUAUUGUUCUGUUUUCAAUUAUUGUUUUGUUGUUAUCAAUUUUAUUCUAUUUAGUUAGUUAAGGGUGCGUGGCUGUUUUUGGAAGGGAGAAUAUAUUGUACUGUCAAGGGACCCAUGAGGGCAUGAAAAGAAAGGAUAUCAUUUUGUCUUUUUUCAGCUUCGUCUUCUUUCUCUUCUCUGUAACUCCCCUGUCCCAUUUCUCUUUCUUCAAAUUAUUUUCUCCACGAAUUGGAGCUUGCACUCGCUCAAAGAGUGUCGUAUCAACUGGUGCUUUCAUUGCAUUUAAUCUCUUUACACAAAACAAAAAAAAAAUGUCUCUCACAGAACCAACGACUGAUUCAGCAGUUCUCUCCACCAUGAAGACGCUCAUUGAAAAUCAAAUGCUUGCUGUUCAUCAGACCUUAUAGCAAUAUAUGUCCACGGUGGAUUCUCGAUUUGAGGAGCUACGUUCCCAAAUCAAUGGUUCCGUCGGAGGGUCAGUGGGUUCUUCCCGCCCAAUGGCGCCAGAACCAGCGUCUUCGACUGUACUGUCAGGUGUUACUGAUAUCUCUCCUCUGUUGCGUUCUAUGAAAAUGAAUGUCCCAAAAUUUGAUGGCACUGAUCCGAAUGGUUGGGAUUUUUGAAUCAAUGAGUUCUUUGAUUUUCACGGCACCCCUGACCAUUUACGCCUUCGUAUUGUAUCUUUUCACAUGGAGGGAAAAGCAGCAGCAUGGUAUCAAUGGAUGAAGGCCAACAACUUGCUGAGCACUUGGCAGAAUUUUUUACUCAAUCUUAAGCAAAGAUUUGGUACAUCCUGUUGAAAAGUCAAAGAGGUUUGGUUGAAAAAGAAAAGUGAGUCACAUGCAUUGCUUUUGUUUUUCAAAGUCAGCACCAAAUUGCAAGCUGUAAAAUAUUUGGCAUUUGACAAUCCUGCACCAAAUGAAGAAAAAUGGAAAAGUAAGCAAAAUUUGUCAAAUUGACAGAGAUGGAGAUUGACAAAUUGCAGAGGGAUUAGGUGGAAUAGUGCAUGCUUGAAGCCUAUAAAUUGAAGCCAUUUUUUUUCAUUCUAAAUCAUCCCAAAAUUUGUUAAGCUUAUAAGUUUCUAAGCUUUUGAGAGUUCUGAAAGUGUGAGCAAUUGGAGAGUGUGUGUGAGAGUACUGGGUGUAUUUGGGUUCUGGAAAAGUGAGAUUUCUUUACUCAAAUUUGUACUCAAAUAAUUGUUAAUAAUACAAUUAUUUUUCUCUUGCUCCCAUGGACAUAGGCAUAUUGCCGAACCACGUAAAUUCUUGUGUCCUUUAUUUUUCUAUGAUUAUUCGGUGUGUUUGUUUCCGCAUUCCGCGCACAACAAGUGGUAUCAGAGCCGACGGUUCGUACUUGGGGGGAUACGGUACAAUUUACGUAUACGGUACUAUUCAUGUAUACGGUACUGUUCACGAAUACGGUGGAGACGGCCAUUUGUACUUAGGAGACAGUCUAUUGUAAGUAGUGUGUAUUUUUGCAUGUCUAGGAAAGUUCUGUCAACAAAGGCGAUAAGAGUCUAAGGAUUCUGGUUUUUAAUUGGGACCAAGUUCCUGUCCAGUUUCCUGGAAACUUUCCUGGUGCAUUUAUUCACGCGAAAUUAACAUCAUAGAGACUGUUUUUCAAGUGAAAAUAGUUCGUUGAGAAAAUGGUAGAAGGUGAAACUUCCAGAAUUGGGGAGAGAUCUGCCGAGACUAUUUCAGGAGACACUUCAGGUAGGAGGCGAGAUUUGUCAAAUCGCUAUUCAGCACCUGUUAUAGGAGGCCAGAAGAUCGAUAUUGAAAAGUUUGAUGGGAAAAUCAACUUCGGCAUGUGGAAGCGCGAAGUUAUGGAUGCCCUUAUUCAAAUCGAUCUCGAUGUUGUUCUGAAAAAUAAAAGACACUUGUAUGAUGAAGAAAUUUAGGAUCGUAUGAACGAGAAAGCUUGUGGUCAGAUUUGAUCUUGUUUGACUAAGGAGGUGAAAUACUUGGUGAAAGAUGAGGAGUGUGCGGUGACUUUGUGGCGUACAUUGGAGGAGAAGUACCUGCUAAAAAGUCCUGAAAAUCAUCUUUCGAAUGAAGCCUGGGGUGUCAAUGCACGAUCAUGUCUCAAGAUUUGAAAAGUUACUUGCUGAUUUGAAGAAUCUUGAUGAAGAUAUUAAGGAUGAAAUCAAGGCUAUGAUUCUGUUACACUCACUGCCAGAGGAAUAUAGCCAUUUUGUGACUACCUUGAUAUAUGGGAAGAAUGUGAUCGUCUUCAAAGAUGUUUGCACAACAUUGACUAACUUGGAGAUUCGGAAUAAUGAUAAAAAUUCUGAACGAGCAUCGUCUGAAGCUUUAGUGAGUAGAGAUUGGGUGAUGGAGAAAAAGAAAAAGCGUGGUGGAAAGAAUUCUCGAUCCAAAUCGAGAAGCAGAAAUCUAGCUCGAGAUGAGUGUGCCUUUUGACAUGAAAAGGGCCAUUGGAGGAAAGAUUGUCCAAAGGCUCAAAAGAGAGAUGGGAAGAAACCAGCAGCAGCAAACAUGGCACGGAAAGAUGAGGACUCUGAUUAUUCACUAAGUAUUACUCCUGCAGCAUACGUGGCUAGUUCGAGUGAGUGGAUACUUGAUACUGGAGCAACCUAUCAUUUGUGUCCCAUUAAUGAAUGGUUUACGAAUUUUCGUAAUCUGGAAUCCGGUGCAGUUGUGAUGGGGAAUGAUCAACCUUGUCGCACAAUGGGGAUAGGAACAAUUCGGCUCAAAAUGUUUGAUGGAAUGAUCAGAGAACUCAAAGAGGUUAGAUUUGUUCCAGCUUUAAAGAAAAAUCUAAUUUCUGUGGGUGCUUUGGAAGCUAAAGGCUACAAGGUUACCAUUGAAGAUGGCACAAUGAAAUUUACACAUGGGGCUAUGGUGAUUCUGCAAGGGGUUCGGCGUCACAAUCUGUACUAUUUGAAGGGAGGUACAACUGAUGAAGCAAAUAUUAUUGAGGCGCACAGUAACACCACCAAGCUAUGGCAUGUACGGCUGGGACAUACUGGCGAGAAGUCUUUGCAAACUCUGAUGAGGCACGGACUCUUAAAAGGUACCAAAACCUGUAAAUUAAAUUUCUGUGAGCAUUGUGUAGUAGACAAGAAAACAAGGGUCAAGUUUGGUACAGCCAAUCACGAUACUCGUGAGAUCCUUGAAUAUGUUCAUAGUGAUGUAUAGGGAUCAACCAAGAUUGCAUCAAUUGGUGGAAGCCAUUAUUUUGUUACGUUUGUUGAUGAUUUCUCUAGAUGUGUGUGGGUGUACACCAUGCGAGCAAAGGAUGAGGUUCUAGAGAUUUUCGUGAAAUGGAAGAAAUUGGUGGUGACUCAAACUGGCAGAAAGAUCAAAGUAUUACGAUUUGAUAAUGGAGGUGAAUAUACUUCUGAUCCAUUCUUGCAAGUAUGCCAGAACGAGGGUAUUAAAAGACAUUUCACGGUGAGACAUACUCCGCAACAGAACGGUGUGGCUGAGCGUAUGAAUCGUACUUUACUGGAGAAGGUACGGUGUAUGUUAUCUAAUGCUGGUUUAGAUAAAAAAUUUUGGGCUAAAGCUAUGAGCUACGCAAGUCACUUGGUAAACCAGUUGCCUUCUGCUGCAAUUAGAGGUAAAACUCCUAUGGAAAUGUGGUCUGGAAAGCAUGCACAAGACUAUGAUUCUCUUCGUAUAUUCGGGUGUCCAGCUUAUUAUCAUGUCAAAGAUGGUAAACUGGAUCUUCGUGCUAGAAAAGCUAUCUUUAUGGGAUUCAAAUGUGGAGUAAAGGGCUUCAAGCUUUGGGAUCUCGAAGACAAAAAGUUUGUGUGUAGCAGAGAUGUCACAUUUGAUGAAGCUUCAAUGAUGAAAGCUUCAAGUUCUCAGCAGGUGGAGAACAAGACCAAAGAGGUAUUGCAGCGGGUGGAGUUUGAUGCAACUUCAUAUGUACCAGUUAGUUCUACAUCAAAGAAUGGUUCAACUAUGGAGGUGACACUUAGAGUUGAAGAAUAUGUUAUUUCUUCUGAUGUCCCACAAAAUGAAGAAACAAUUGAUGAUGUAGAUAAUUAUGAUUUUAUAGCAACAAGGAGACCAAAAAGAGAGAUAAAGAAACUCGAAUGGCUUACUAAAGAUAUGGUGGUAGCCUAUGCACUUUCAGUUAUUGAUGAUGACAUCCCCAACACUUUCGGUGAAGCAUUACGCAACAGUGAAAGUGAUCAGUGGAAGUUAGCCAUGGAGGAAGAGAUGAAAUCUCUCCAUCAAAACCAGACUUGGGAACUUGUAAAGUUACCAAAGGGGAAAAGGGCUAUUGGCAAUAAAUGGGUCUACACCAAAAAGCAAGGAUUUCCGAAUCAAACAACUCCUCGAUAUAAGGCAAGGCUCGUGGCAAAAUGUUUUGCUCAAAAGGAAGGUAUUGACUACAAUGAAGUUUUCUCUCCAGUUGUAAAACAUACUUUCAUUCGUAUCCUACUUGCCUUAGUUGCAGAAUAUGAGUUAGAGUUGGCUCAAUUGGAUGUUAAGACAGCGUUCUUACAUGGAGAGUUGGAGGAGGAAAUCUAUAUAAUUCAGCCUUGUGGUUUCAGAGUUGCUGGAAAGGAGAAUCAUGUGUGUAGAUUGAUUAAAUCUUUGUACGGACUGAAGCAAUCAUCAAGGCAGUGGUACAAAAGAUUUGAUCAAUUUAUACAAGGGAAGAAAUUCACCAGAAGUGAACACGAUCAUUGUGUUUACUUUAGAAGACUACUAGAUGGAGCUUUCAUCUAUUUGUUACUCUAUGUCGACGAUAUGCUUAUAGCUUCAAAGAAUAGAGAUGAGAUCGAAAGAUUAAAGAAGCAGCUGGCUUCUGAGUUUGAGAUGAAAGAUUUGGGUGAUGCACAGAGAAUACUUGGGAUGGAGAUUCAUAGAGACAAGAAGAAUGGGAGCGUAUGGUUGACUGAAAAGUCUUAUUUGAAGAAAAUGCUAGAAAGAUUCGGUAUGGAUGACAAAACUAAACCGGUAUGUACACCUCUAGCUCCUCAUUUCAAAUUAAACUCUUCUUCAUGUCCUAAAUCUCAAGAGGAGCGCGAUUACAUGGCUCGUGUUCCAUAUGCUAGUGUUGUGGGUAGUCUUAUGUAUGCUAUGGUAUGCACAAGGCACGAUAUAUCUCAAGCAGUGAGCAUGGUUAGUAGAUACAUGCACAAUCCGGGUAAAAAUCAAUAGCUUGCGGUAAAGUGGAUUCUCCGAUAUCUGUAUGGGACAGUUGAUGUUGGGUUAUUGUUCAAGAAGGAUUGUGGUCAACAAUGUGUUGGGUAUUGUGAUUCUAAUUUCGCUGGAGACCUUGACAAGCGAAGAUCAACAACAGGCUGCGUAUUCACAUUGGGUGAAGGUCCGGUUAGCUGGAGGUCGAUUCUACAAUUGACAAUUACUCUAUCCAGUACGGAAGCAGAGUAUAUGGCAGCAACUGAAGCUGUAAAAAAAGCUAUCUGGUUGAAAGGCUUGUUAAGUGAUUUGGGAGUAAUCCAGGAAAACAUUACGGUCUUCUGUGAUAAUCAAAGUGCGAUAUUCCUUGCGAAGAAUCAAACAUAUCACGCUCGGACGAAGCACAUAGAUGUGAAAUAUCAUUAUGUGAGGGAGAUUAUCAAGAGCGGUGUUGUGUUGUUGAAAAAGAUCGAUACCAAAGAUAAUCCAUCAGAUAUGUUGACGAAGGUAGUUUCUGGAGUUAAGUUUCAACAUUGCUUGAAACUAAUUCAAAUCCUUCGAUUGUGUUAAGUUAUGUCCUUCGAUAAUUUUGAACUACGGUUGGCUUGAUCCCAAAUUUUGGGUACGUAGGCAGUCACAUAGAUGUAACCACUUUGGGGAUGAUGAUUGGUUGGUAGUCGGCUCAGAUUUGAACAAAUCUUCGCCGAGGUGGAGAAUUAUUGAAAAGUCGCCGAGGUGGAGAAUUGUUGAAAAGUCAAAGAGAUUUGGUUGAAAAAGAAAAGUGAGUCACAUGCAUUGCUUUUGUUUUUCAAAGUCGGCACCAAAUUGCAAGCUGUAAAAUAUUUGGCAUUUGACAAUCCUGCACCAAAUGAAGAAAAAUGGAAAAGUAAGCAAAAUUUGUCAAAUUGACAGAGAUGGAGAUUGACAAAUUGCAGAGGGAUUAUGUGGAAUAGUGCAUGCUUGAAGCCUAUAAAUUGAAGCCAUUUUUUCAUUUUUUCUUACUUUUCCAUUUUUUAUGCAGAGGGAUUAGGUGGAAUAGUGCAUGCUUGAAGCCUAUAAAUUGAAGCCAUUUUUUUCAUUCUAAAUCAUCCCAAAAUUUGUUAAGCUUAUAAGUUUCUAAGCUUUUGAGAGUUCUGAAAGUGUGAGCAAUUGGAGAGUGUGUGUGAGAGUACUAGGUGUAUUUGGGUUCUGGAAAAGUGAGAUUUCUUUACUCAAAUUUGUACUCAAAUAAUUGUUAAUAAUACAAUUAUUUUUCUCUUGCUCCCAUGGACGUAGGCAUAUUGCCGAACCACGUAAAUUCUUGUGUCCUUUAUUUUUCUGUGAUUAUUCGGUGCGUUUGUUUCCGCAUUCUGCGCACAACACAUCCAUGUAUGAAGAUCAUCCAGGUAACCUCUCCAAGCUCUCCCAAACGUCGACUGUUGCUGAUUUUCAGUCUGCCUUUGAGGAUUUGAUGAACAAGGUCACGGGCAUCUCCGAGCCAUUGUUGGUUAAUUUCUUUAUCACGGGCUUAAAACCCGAUAUCAGGCGAGAAUUAUUAUUUGCAAGACCCACAUCUCUCAUGGAGGCUUUUGCUUUAGCCAUAGCUUAUGAGGCACGAUCGGAAGAAAUCAAGACCUCUAGCCGUUCUUGGACAAAGUGGACACCCUCAUCUACUUACACCCACCAAUCCACCAUUACUGCCUCCCCACAUCCUGCAUCAUAUAAAACCCCAACAACAACUACUCUUCCGAGUUUGUUAGCCACUAAACAGCCACCUCAACCCCCAUUAUUGCCUACUCCCACCUUGCCUAUUCAUCGAUUAACUCCAACAGAAUUAAGAGAGAAAAGAGAAAAAAGGGCUCUGUUACAACUGUGACAAAAAAUAUAGCGCCACACAUCGCUGUCGUAGCAAGUUUUUGUUAUUAAUGGGUACGGAUGAUGAAGAUGAUGAGCCAAGUGAGGACGCUUUUAUUCAUGCACAACCAGACGAAGUAGUCACAGCGGACAUAUCUAGUUUGCAUGCCUUGGCUGGGCAAACUAAUCCACGAUCUUUAAGGGUGAUGGGCACCGUUGUCAACUAUCAGUUUCAGGUGUUAAUUGACAGUGGCAGUACCCACAAUUUUCUUAAGCCGCCAUUGGCUAAACGCCUUGGCCUUUCCGUUCAAGCUAUAACUCCUUUUCGAGUUUACAUUGGCAAUGGCAAUUUUCUUACUUGUCGAUUUCUCUGCCCUAAAGUGCCUAUCAAUAUGCAGGGGCAUGAAUUUCUUUUGGAUUUCUUCCUUUUGCCAAUCGAAGGCCCUGAUGCUUUCCUUGGGAUUCAAUGGUUACAAAGCUUGGGAAGAAUUUCUACGGAUUAUUCCGAGAUGACGAUGGAGUUUCAGUAGGAGGGAAAAUCUGUCAUUUUACGAGGAGACCCAAUUCCAAAUCCGAAUUUAAUCUCUUUUAACCAGUUUCAUGCCUUGCUAUCCAACUCCAAAAUCGACAACGUAUUUGAACUUCAUUCUUUACCAACUGAACCAUCAACAACUCACACAUCUACCAACACAUUGCCGGAUAAUGACUUAGAAUUUCCGAGGUCGUUGCCUGAACCUAUUACUACUCUCCUUCAAAAAUUUAAGGCAUUAUUUGCUCCACCCACUGGUCUUCCCCCUCAACGGCUAUUUGAUCACAAAAUACACCUUAUUCCCAAUUCCAAACCAGUCAACGUUCGCCCAUAUCGGUAUCUUUAUUUUCAGAAAACCGAAAUGGAGAAAUUGGUGAGAGAAAUGUUAAAUCAAGGCAUCAUAAAACCCAGCCAAAGCCCAUUUUCUUCACCGGUAAUGCUAGUAAAGAAAAAGGAUGGCUCCUACAGAUUCUGUGUGGAUUACCGCGCUGUGAAUACGGUGACAGUGAAGGACAAAUUUCCCAUCCCCACUAUUGAUGAAUUGUUUGACGAACUUGGCGGUGCUAGGAUUUUCAGCAAACUUGAUCUAAGAGCCGGUUAUCACCAGAUAAGAGUUCACAAGAGGGAUACUUAUAAAACAGCGUUUCGCACGCAUGAUGGACACUACGAGUUUCUUGUUAUGCCGUUCGGUUUGACCAACGCGCCGUCCACUUUUCAAGCAACAAUGAACCAAUUAUUUGCUUCCUUUUUACGUAAAUUUGUUAUUGUCUUUUUUGAUGAUAUAUUGGUCUAUAGUGCAUCAUUGGCUGAUCAUGUGUAUCAUUUGGAGCAGGUUAUGAGUUGUUUAUACACAUAUCAAUUUUAUGUCAAAUUCUCCAAAUGUUUGUUUUGCCAGGAAUCAAUUGAUUAUUUGGGCCAUAUUGUGUCGGCUCGAGGAGUGCACGCUAAUCCGCAAAAGAUCACAGCCAUGGUAGAUUGGCCCUUGCCUAAAUCGGUGAAGCAACUGAGAGGGUUCUUGGGGCUGACAGGGUACUACUGACGUUUUAUUCAAGGCUAUGCAACCAUCGCAGCUUCUCUCACUGAGUUGCUUUGUAAGGAGGCUUUUUAUUGGAAUCUGGCAGCUACUCAAGCUUUUCAAGCAUUAAAGAAGGCUCUUGUGGAAGCCCCUGUACUUCACUUGCCGAAUUUUGCCUUGGAGUUUGUCAUUGAGACCGAUGCUUCUAAUGUCGGGAUCGGUGCUGUGCUAAUGCAAGUCGGGCAUCCUCUAUCUUAUUUUAGCAAAAAGUUGGGUCCUCGAAUGCGUGCAUCCUCGACAUAUUUGAAGGAAUUAUAUGCUAUUGUAGCUGCGGUUCAAAAAUGGCGUCAAUACCUCCUUGGUCGAUUUUUCCUUAUACGCACUGACCAUAAAAGCAUAAAGGAACAGUUUCAACAAGUUAUUCACACCCCAAAGCAGUAAUUUUACAUUCGCAAGUUGAUGGGUUAUCAAUACAGAAUCGAUUAUAAAGCUAGUAACUUCAAUAAAGUUGCUGAUGCUUUAUCGCGAAUUCAUGGGGACAACGUGACUGAAGAACCCAAACCAACAGCACUCUGUUUGUCAUUUGUAAGCCAACCUUCUAGUGAACUAUUGACAGCUCUGCACAAGGAAAAUUGCACUCUUCCUGAUAUGAAAUAACUCCAUCAGAGGUAUGCAGCCGGUUCACUUUCUUCUGACUUCUCGGUUCCUGCUAUUUCGACAUCGAUAUUACCUCAGCCCCAACUCAUCAUUAAAAGCCGUGCUACUCAAAGAGUUUCACGAGACACCUAUGGCAGGACAUGCUGGUAUUAAAAAGACAUUGGUACGUCUUUCAUCGACUUUUUUUUGGCCUAAGAUGAGGAAAGAUGUUGAGCAAUAUGUAGCCGCUUGCCUUGUUUGCCAGCAAAUUAAAUACUCAACUCAAGCGCUGGCGGGUCUGUUACAACCUUUGCCCGUCCCUUCAUUAGUUUGGGAUGAGUUAACCAUGGAUUUCAUUACAGGGCUGCCACUUUUGAGAGGAUUUGAAGCAAUUCUGGUUGUUGUGGAUCGUUUAUCAAAGUCAGCUCACUUUGGAGCCUUGCCUUCUCAAUUUACUGCCAUCAAAACAGCAGCUUUAUUUGCUGACAUGGUUGUAAAAUUACAUGGAUUUCCUAGCUCUAUAAUUUCAUAUCGUGAUCCUAUAUUCAUGAGCAACUUUUGGCAAAAAUUGUUUGAUUUAAGUGGGACAUAGUUAUGCCACAGCACGGCUUAUCACCCUCAAACGGAUGGCUAAUCCGAAGUAGUUAACCGAGGGCUUGAGCAAUAUUUACGAGCCUUCGCACAAGACAAGCCACAGACAUGGUCUUCAUUUUUAGGCUGGGCUGAAUUUUACUACAAUACCAGUUAUCACAGCAGCUUGCGUAUGACUCCCUUUCAAGCCCUUUAUGGACGUCUUCCUCCCACAAUUCCAAGUUACUCAAGGGGCUCUACUUCAAUCCAAGCGUUAGAAGACAUGUUAAUUGAGAGGGAUGCCAUGCUUUGCUCAUUGAAAGAGAACUUACGACAAGCUCAGCAUCGAAUGGCUCAAAAGGCUAAUUUACAUCGCCGAGAAAUUCAAUUGCAGGUAGGUGAUAAAGUGCUGGUACACCUUCAACCAUAUCGCUAGACAUCAGUUGCUAAGCGCUCAUCUCACAAGCUGGCAAGGCACUAUUAUGGACCAUUCACAGUGGUAAAGCGUAUUGGACCCGUUGCUUACAAGUUAGAGUUACCCACAAAUUGUAGAAUUCACUCGGUGUUCCAUAUUUCCUUACUAAAACCUUAUGUGGGAAACUUCCUCAUUGAUGUUUAUUCACUGCCUCCAGGAAGUGUGGAUAACAAGCCCCUGUCAUCGCAAAUUGCAGUAUGUGCUGAGCGAAAGAUACUUCAACAAGGCAAAGUAAUUCCACAAAUUUUGGUGCAAUGGUCUGAUAGCUCACCAGAAAAUUCGACUUGGGAGGACUUUGAGGAAUUUCGUAAACUCUACCCUGCACUACACCUUGAGGACAAGGUAAGCUUUCAAGGAAUGGGGAAUGAUACAACUUGGCCAAUUGUUGUGAAUCAGAUCGAGCACAAUGAGACAGCAAGGGAAGAGACCCAGCCUGCAGAAAUAGAAAAAGUCCAACCCUUGAAUGAGACACAAGCUAGAGAGCAGCUCAAGACAGGUCCAACUUGCGCGAGAAAGAAACCAGGAUGGCUCAAAGACUUUGUCAUUUGAGGAAUGUUCGAGAAUGCUUGAGAUAUCAUAAUAACGAAUAUUGUUCUGUUUUCAAUUAGUGUUUUGUUGUUAUCAAUUUUAUUCUAUUUAGUUAGUUAAGGGUGCGUGGCUGUUUUUGGAAGGGAGAAUAUAUUGUACUGUCAAGGGACCCGUGAGGGCAUGAAAAGAAAGGAUAUCAUUUUGUCUUUUUUCAGCUUCGUCUUCUUUCUCUUCUCUGCAACUCCCCUGUCCCAUUUCUCUUUCUUCAAAUUCUUUUCUCCACGGAUUGGAGUUUGCACUCGCUCAAAGAGUGUCGUAUCAAAGAGUGACUUAAAUUUUCAUCAGUAUCCAGACAUUCUGCAAUCAUAGAGUAGAGAAAUUUUAACAGGAACAGCAGAGAAAAUAUUAUGAAUAUGCUAUAGACCAAUAUACUUGUUCAUAGCUAACGUUUGAUGGUUUAAGGAUUUGUUCUAGGAAUAAUGGGUUGAUUACUUUUUUUAUUUUAAUUUUUUUUAAUCCAAUGAAUGAUAUUCAGCUGUUAAUUAUGUGUUCAUAGGGAAGAACAUUUUCUAAGUACUUUCCUUGCCUUCUAACUUUCCGAAAAGCAAACCCAAUGAACAAACAGAGCACAAACUAAAAUAAAAGAACAGCAAUGAUGACAAUAAAUAAUUGGAAAAGAAAAAAAGGAAAAAGUAUGCACGUUUUCAAGGAAUUAUAAAAUACGAAGGCUUUUAAUGAAAUUUUAUCAUAAAAACGUAUGCAAGGAGUUAUAAAAUUUUAGAAGACGAGGGGAGCUCCCAAAAAAAAAAAAAAAAGAAAAAGACUCAAAUUAAACUAGACUAAAAAGACAUUCAAUUAUGCAAAAUCUGUCCAUAAAAGUCUGAAAGGAUCAUUAAAAUUGCAUUGCAAAUUUAACAGUAAACUGAGGGACCCAUUCUAAAUAAUUCAGUUGAAAUUGCGAAACAAGCCAUGGGAUUAAAUAAAUGAAAUAAAAAUUAAUUACCAGUUGAGACUUUCUUCUAAAAAUUCGCAACUCCAAGUCAUAAGAAGCCUAUGAAAUUAGUCGUAAUACGUAGAGUAUAUCGACGACACCGCCAACAGCUGAAAGUAAAAUUCUUAUUCAUCAAUGUAAACUUACUUUAUAACAAAUAUCUUAUCUAUAUUGUAUUUAAGAAAGCAAAUUUUGUAAAAAUUUAUCAUGGGAGAUAGAGAGUAAUAUGUAUAUCCGUACCUUCUCAGCAGGUAAUUGUUGUAUGGUUGUGUUUAGAUCAUUAUUAGCCCAGCGCCGUUGAUCCGCUGUCUCUCCAUACCAGACAUUUACUCUUGGAGGCGUGAUUGCUUCUCCUGUAGUGAAAAUCUUCAUCUUGGGACAACCAAUCACCCACAAAUCUUGCAAAGAUGGCAAUUUGAAGGUGUAAUUGGGAGAGCAGAAACUUGUGAGGCUAUCUAAAUCAAACAGUUCCAACGUCUUCAAUUUGCGGAAAACAAUCUCUUCUUUUUCAACUCCAUCUUUGUCAUUUAUUACCACCUCUGUCAUUGCUCUGCAUCCAUAUAUUUCUAUUGCUACGAGUCGCACCAGAGUUUUUGCUGUGGAGGAUGUUACCAUGUGUAACAAUUUCUUGCAACCGAAAGCCACCAGAGCUGUUAGGUUCUGAAAAGAUACCGAUGAUGAUGGCAAUAGAAUUAACAGACUUUGACAAUGAUAUGCUUUUAGAAUUUCAAGAUACUGAAAAAUGGGGCCAAGUUUGGAGUCUUGUUUGCACAGCUGCUUCAGAUGAUAGUGCCAGCGCAGCUCUAAUGUUUUUAUCAUUGCCAACUUCCCCACAUGUUUCUCUAAGCUUCCUUCCUCCGAAAAUACCUCUUCGUGGAAUGAAAAUUGAAACAGUGAGAGUAUUUCGAGAUUGUGAAAUCUCUCAAGUACAUUCCAGAUUGGAAAACAAGCUGAGUUAUCUUCGGCAAUCUCUAGUUGUUUAAGACUGCCAAAAAGGUGUUGUGGGAAAUCGGCCUGCAAAAUCAUCUUCACGUCUUUUCCAUUCAAUGAUAGGUCCUUCAAGUUGGGUAAGAUCUGAUCAUCAUAAAUCAUAAUAACUAAUGAGGUCAAUUGAUGUUCUCUCAAAUGAUUUUGAGUAAUCCAAUUACCAGCAGUGACUUUAUAGUAUCUGUUUUAUAUUAAUUUUACCCCCAAAAAAAAUUUAAUUAGUGAUAAAAUUCAUUAUAUGAUUUUUUAUAUGUUAAUUUUAGAGGUAAAAAAGAAAUUAGGGAAAAAGGGUUGAUUUAUAUUUGCAUGAAUUUCACAACAAUAAAUUAUUAAUUUAUUUUGUAAGUCGUUGUAUAAAGAAAAACUAAGGAUUCUUUACCUAAAAAAGUUCAUAUAAUUAUUAAUCUCCCACAUUGAUCCCUUUGUCAAGACUAGCAAAGAUUAUUAUGUAAUAAAAAUUUUCAAUUUAUUAAGUAUUAAUUUAUCAAUGUUUUGUUACAUUUUUCAAAGUCAAAAGACGUCAAUGAGAUAUUGAAAAAAAUAUCUAGAAAAUGACUUCAUACCUUUUCCAAUGGCAAUAGGGGCUGUUGUGCAGGAAUACCAAGUUGAUCAUUCCCAUUAUUCUGCGAUAAAUCUGCAGCGAAUAUUUUUAAUUUGUCACAACGACACACUGCAAAAUUUUCUAGUGCUGGCCAUUCCGAAGUAUGCAUUCCUGGGUAUAAACAUCUAAGUUUUGGUAGACCUUGGAGUAUCAGAACGGUGAGCUGUGGAAAGACAAAAUAAGGGAUCACUUCAUCUGCUCUGUUUUCAGAAAUGAUCUCCUGUAAAUCCUUACAGUCUCGUAUAUCUAGGUGUUGGAGCUGCUUAAGGCUUCCGAUCAUAGACGCUGAAAAUAUGUAUUUCAGUUUGUCACAGUACCACACAACUAAUCGUGUUAAACUUUGAAAGUGAGGAAACACGGCCGCCGGAAUUUGAUUGUAGUGCCAAAUCUUGUCGACAUUAAUUGCAGAUAUCUCCAAAGCCUCCAAGUUAGGCAACGCAACCUAAAAAAAAUAAGAAUUUCUCGUUAGAUCCAAUAUCCAUAUGGGAAGCACUUGUUGAAAUUUUCUUCUUUGAUUACAAAUUAAUGCAAGUCAGAAUCAAUUUUCAACUGACAGCUGAGUUUGAUGCAUUCUAAUUCAUACUACUUGUUAAGAGCUCAAUUAGUGAGCGUGUGAGAUUCUUUUUAUCCUUUUUUCCAUUUUCUUUCAAUUCUUUAAAUGAUUUAAUUAUUUUCCACGUAUGACAUCAAAAGAGAACGCAUGAUAGAAUAAAAUCUGUUAUAUAUAUAUAUAUGAAGAAAAUGUUAGCCUACGCACCUUCUUGUUGAAAAGCAGAGUUGAAGUAUCCUCUUGCGACGAUGGUCUGUUUAGUGAUGCUGAAGGAGUCUUUACUUCACGGCAGACAUUUGUAACCUCUGGAAGAUUCCCCAGACUCAAAGAUCUUAAUUGAGCAAACUCUAUCUUCUCAAUUGCAUUAUCAACUUCUUCCCCAAUUGCAAAAAUCUCUUUCAUCUUGCUGCAAUUAACAACUGCAAUUCUCUCAAGUCUUGGAAGGCAUUUUGUAGUAGAGAGCCAAAAGAUAUUACUCAAUUUAUCACAAUUAUAUGCUUCUACGGUUUUGAGUUAGUUGAAAGACUCUACUUUGAGCCGAUCAACACAUAUCCUCUCCAUGUUGAUCAAAUUGUGAAGGAUAAGUGACUCCAAAAGAGGAAAGGCUUCACAAGCUACCAUCUCCAUUGAGUCCACGAUACACAGGAAGUUAGGAUUAUUUUGAACAUGGAGAUGCUUCAAUUGUGAAAAGCCUUCUGUGUCCAAAUAAAAAAGAACAUUCUUGACACCUUGCAGCUUGUCCAACCAUAGGUAUUCAACGUUAUUGAUGCCCUGCAAUUUCAUGGAGCAAAUGUCCAUAAAAUCAAGCUUGAGCUUCAAUUCUCUUAAACUCUCACGAUUACUCUUGAUCAAAAAGUGCGGCCGGCUUUGAAACCGUUCUCUUGUAACAUUCUUGGGAGGCAUGAAUGACUCAUUUCCAAUGGAUAUAUUGAACCUUUCGAGCUUUCUGGCCAAAAAGCCUUCCGAUAAAAUACUGUCAUUUUUAACAUCAAUUUCUAGAGUGGUUAGCCAAGGUAAAAGCAUCAAUUCAUCAAGGCUAGCAUUACUUCUUUCACUGUUGGCUCUUUCAACCUCCCAUUCAACGGAGCAAUUACCCAUAUACAAUUAUUCUAAUCGGAUUAAGCUUGAUAUGACAUUUGGGGCAAUAACUUUCAGACGGAAACAGUCUGUUAAAUCUAACAGCCUUAGCUUAGUCAGUUGCCCUAGUGCUUUAGGUAACUGUACAAUAUCAGACCGCACAAAGCUAAGGAUUUCUAGAUUUUCCAACUUUCCAAUAAUGGCUAUGUCCAUGUCUCCCAAAAUGCUUUGAUUAAGACAAAGUGUCCGAAGAUUUACUUGAAGAUCAAUUGAAGAUGGCAAUGACAAUAACCGCAUUCUAGUCAAAUCCAAAACCCGAAGCUUUUUCGUCCUUUUGAAGAAGUUCUCAGGAACAUUGGGCCCAACAAAAGAGUUAUUGGGUGACAUGAAUUAAAAUUCAAGUUGUGUAGAUUCCAACACUUCAGGAAUGUCAUUAAUAAUACUAUCUUUUAAACAAAUUGCAAAAUAUUUUUUUAGUGCAUCUGCAUCUGGCCAGUUCCACACACCCUCAUUUCUCACCGCAAAUGCAAUUUUGUCACGACGUGCUAUUGAAAUGGCAACAUCGCGAACAACAUCAUGCAUGGAAAAGAAUUUACUGCUACCAUCCUCAUGCAACAAACAAGACUCUCUUAGUUGAUGGACCCAUGCAUGUAAUUUGUUUGUUAUGUGCAUCUUCUAGCUUAUGGACACUUUCAAAUGCACCCAAGCCCAUGCUAUAUUUGAACAAGUCCAUAAUUGAAGUUGGUGUAAUUAGACUACACAGUAAAAAAGUUUUCUUGAGUUGCUCACCUCUUAAAUACUUGUAACUUAGCUCAAUUGUUGAGUAUGCCUCUACUGGUACUCCUUCAUCGAAGCUUGCCUCUGAAGGCGUUUGGAGUUCUUGCAAGGCAUUCUUCCACACAGGCAGCUCUUUGUUUCUCAGUGCCUUUGCUACUGUGGUUAGGGCAAUAGGCAAACCUCCACAUGCCUUGGCUACAUUUGUUGCUGUAGAUUUUAACUCACGAUUUUCAACAUAAUUACCAGCCAUUAUCUUGAACAACCUCCAAGCUUCUUGCUCAUUUAGAAUGCCAAUCAAGAAGUUAUUUUCAGAUCCCAUACUUAACAAGACAUUACGAUCCCUUGAUGUUAAUAAUAAUUUGCAUCCUCUAUGAUCAUCGCCAAAAGGAAUUCCGACAGUCUCUAAAUCAAGAUAUUUCCAGAUGUUAUCCAGAAUCACAAGGAUCAUCUUCUCUUUCUUCAAUCGUUCAUAAAGUCUACUAGCUCUUCUAGAUUCAGCCUCCUCGGACAACUCCAGACCUAGUUUCUCUGCAAUUUCCCCUUGAAUCUUUUUUAUGUCUGGAGUUUGGGAAACCUCUGAAAAAACCACCUGAUCAAAGAGUUUCUCUUCACUGGCUUGCCUUGCAAACUCCUUCACCAGUGUUGUCUUUCCAAUGCCGCCCAUGCCGUAUACCCCAACGAUGCUGACAUUGACAUCAGUCAAUGCAUCUUGUAUAGACUUCAGAGUAGAAAGUCUUGAUUUAAAGGCCUCGUAACCUUUGUUAGACUUUAGCCAUACCUCCUCCGCAAUGGUACGGUAGAAAAUUCUAUCAUCAAAUCUCCUAGCUUCUUCUUUGAGUUCAACAAGGGCCUUCACCUCUGUUUCUGCUUUCUUGCUAAGCUGAUAGCGGGUCUUCAAAUUAGGACACAAGCCCUUGAAACAUCGCUUACUUGUUGUCUCCCCAUCUUCAAUGAAUUUGGCUGCCUGCUCAAUGGUGUUGUUCGCACUAACCAUCCACUUCUCAACCUUCUCUUCAAUCUUUUCUCCUUUUCUUUCAGCCUCAGAAACUCUGUGCUGAAUGCUCUUACUUUCAUCCUUGAGCUUGUCUAUUUCUGCCUUGAGAUUCUCAAAGUUGUCUUUAUAGUUACGCAAAUAACCAAGUUGGCGUUCUGUUGGAGGAGCGAAGCAUUUCACAACUUCUAACAGAACAGUAACAAUGCUUUCCACCAUCUUCGAUCCUAUUUUUUUCAAAGUUCCGAAAUGAAAAUAAACGACGAGCGAAACACAGAGAGAGAGAGAGAGGCAAAAAAAAGAAAAACGAAAAAAAGAAAAUGAAACAACAAAGAUGACAAGUGUAUAUGGUUGUGGAAGUGGAGAAAUCAAUGAAAGCUUAAAAACUGCUGUGAAUCUGGUGAGAAGAUGGAAACAAGGAAAAGGUUUCUAGUUCAAAAGUGAUUGAAUUGAUAUAAGGAAUGAUUUAGAUAAUAGAGGAAAAGUGAAUCAGUCAAAACAACUUAUGUAUUGACCAGAAGAAAGAUGCAAACAAUAUUAGAGACAACAACCGCGCUAUUGACUGGUAAUAGAGAUGGAGAAAAAGAAAUAUCUUCACACGGUGGAAGUACAAAGGGUAGAUAUGGAACCAAACAGAGACAACAACAUGCCACAACUAGAUUGGGAAUGGAGAGAAACAAAUUAACAAAGACUGGAGAUUACAACAGAACAGAUGCCAAGAGAAAAGGGUUUCUUCAUCCAGUGAAAUUCAAGAGAGUUGACAGCAAAAGGGAGCAUAUGUGUUUCUUGAUUGAGAACGAGUGCAAAGGAUGACUUUUUAAUGAGGUUCUGAAGCUGACGAAUAACGAUUUGCUAAAAUUUUGAGAAAGUUAUAUAUUCCGUAACUUCAACAAGUGAAGAAUAAAAGAAUAAUAGUUCGUCAUCUUCACAAUGAAGAUCAUGGAUGAGAUUAAAAGCUAAAACUAGUUUUCAAAAUAAUUCCUUAUGAANNNNNNNNNNNNNNNNNNNNNNNNNNNNNNNNNNNNNNNNNNNNNNNNNNNNNNNNNNNNNNNNNNNNNNNNNNNNNNNNNNNNNNNNNNNNNNNNNNNNUCUUUUUUCUUUAAUACACGAAUAUACGCGACAUCUUAUUUAUCUUAAUAUGGUUAUUUGAUAUUUAUAUUUUCACAAAUCAAAACAAAAAAAAAGUAGUUAGAUUUUAUAGUUUAAGAAAUAAAUAUAUUUUAUAAAAAUAUUUUUAGAAUAUAUAUUUACUUCUUAUUCAAACUUUUUUCUAUUCAAUAAAAGUCACAAAAGUUACUUUUUCUAUUCAAAUGUAAAUGCUUAAAAAUCAGAUAUAAGUUACAAAAAAUGUUUUUAGAAAAAGUCAUAAAUUAAUAAAAUUUCAGAUUUUAUAUAUUUAACUCCCAAUGCAGAUCCGCCCCUAUUAGUGUUAGGAAAUUGACCGGUGAAGUAGGUCCACAACUAAAAUGAAAUUGAAAGAAAAUGAAGAACAAGCACACAGAGAACACCAAAAAUUACAUGGUUCGACUUUUAGCCUACGUCUACAGGUAAAGACAGAAGGAUAAAACUUUACUGGUGAAAUGAGGAUUACUAGUAUUAUAAUAUUUUGUUUCACUUCCCAGAACCUCAAUCCACUCAAUCUCUUAAAACACUAAUCACUCAAGAGCAUUAAAACUCUUAGUCUCUCACUCUAGAAUUGAAGAAGAAAAGAAUGAAAUGCGGGGGUGAACCCCUCAUUUAUAGUUAAAAAUUUGGGCACUAUUUAUAUAUUUAUAUAUUUUUUUUUAAAUUCAAAGUUUGAACUUGACAUUCAAACUUUGAAUAUCAAAAGGUAUUGGUCGCUCUUCUAGAAAAGCGAUAUUGACUUUGACAUUCUCCCACUUAGAAAUUUAAUUGAGAAUCAAUCAAUCUCCACACCAUCCUUUCUACUUCGCCGCUAUCAUGUUGCUUAUGUCUCUACUAGGCCAUAAAAUGAUCUACUCCAAACAAAUUUAUCAACAUUGAUAGGCUUGGGCAAAACAUUUGUUAGGUUCUCCUUGGUAUCCACUCUUGUAUCUUUCACUACUUCAUGAAGAAGUGAUAUUGUACUCCUAUAUUCUUUGUCCUGGAAUGAAAGGUUGGAUUCCUUGCAUCCUAACUAUCACAAGCCAUAAAAAAUUUUAUGCCCAAGCUCCUUCAGUAACCUUUGUAUCCAAAUAGCCCUUCCAAGCUUGUGUAGCUGCUAUGUAAUCUACUUCUGUUGUUGAUAAAACCACAACGGUCUGCAAUUUUGAAAUCCAACUAACAAUUUCUCCUUCUGGUGUAAAUACUUAGCCAGUAGUGGAUUUCCUUUUAUUAAGAUUUUCUGUAAAAUCUAAAUGCACAUAGCCCUUGACAGUAAAUUCUAAUCCUUCGUAACAUAAUGCAACAUCUAAUGUUCCUCUGAUAUAUCUCAGAAUCCUCUUAAUAGUCUUCCAAUGUUCUUUGCAAGGAUUCGCUAUGUAUCGACUAACCGCUCCCACUACUUGUACAAAUCAUAGUGAACCUUAAAUUUUCCACUGCUGAUGCAUACAGUGCUCAAGACAUCUCUUCUUCUCUACUUCAUUACCAGAUGAAUACUUAAGAAUAACUUAAAAUUAAUAGGAGGCGGGGUAGAAAGCCAAAUCUUCUUGCUAUUACUAUCUCGGUGAAUUUGCAUCCCUAAAAUCUUGUUUACUAGUUCUAAGUCUUUUAUUUCAAACUCCCUAGUUAACUGUGCCUUCGGUUCUUGGACUCGGUCUUUGUUGGGGUCUGCUACCAAUAUGUAAUCCACAUACCACAAUAAAAUGAUGAAAUCAUUAUUAUCAAACUUGUUGUAAUAUGUACAACAAUCUGAACUGAUUCUAUUGUAUCCAAUGUUUAUGAUGAAGGGAUUAAAAUCUCUUAUUUCAACAUUUCGGUGCACGUUUGAGAUCGUAUAGAGAUUUGUUCAACUUGCAAACCAAGUGUCCCUUUUUAGUAAAAUCUUCUAGUUAGAACAUAUAAAUCUUUGUUUCAAGUUCUCCAUGAAGAAAUGAAAUUUUCACAUCUAACUGCUCCAAAUAUAGGUCAAAUGUAGCACACAUUGACAAGACCACUCUGACUGUCCUAGGUCAAAUCACUGGAGAAAAUAUGUCAUUGAAGUUAAUACAUUCUUUCUAAGCAUAUUCUUUCACCACCAAUCUUUCACGAUACCGCUCCACUAAGUUAUUACCAUCACAUUUGAUCUUGUGGACCCAUUUGCAACCAAUGGUUUUUUUUUUUUCAUAUGGUAGUAGUACGAGUUCCUAUGUCAUAUUCUUGUGUAGAGCCUUAAUUUCUUCCUGCAUUGCUAUCAUUCACAAAGUAACAUCUGAGCUGUUUAAAGUUUCAUGGAAAGUUGAUGGCUUUCCAUUCUCUGUUAAAAGACAGUAUGCAAAAUUGAUAUCUAUGACAUAAUCCAAAUGCCACACUGACAGUUAUCUAUCACGAGUUGACCAACAAACUUUUGGGGCCUCAGACUCGAUUGGUUCUUGUUCUCAUACUUUGGUGUUGCUUCAAAAAAAUAUGAAUCUUCAUUUUCCAGAUUAUUUUCAACAUAUAUUAGCACAAUCUCUGAAUUUUUAUAGUGCUAUCAUCCAUAUCUCUCUUUUGCAUUUGAUCUUCUACAAAGAUAAUAUCUUUGCUGAUAACGAUCUUGUGAGCAUUGAGGUCCCAUAGAUAAUACCCUUUCACUCCAUCAAUAUAUCCUAAGAAGAUACAUCUCUAGGAUUUUGGAUCCAUCUUUAAUCUCACUUGGGUAUUGUAUAUCACGUAAAAGGACAUCAAAAUGCCUGAGAUGAGAGUAAUCAAUUGGCUUUCCUGUCCAUUUUUCCAUUGGAAUCUUCAACCUGAUUGCCUUGAAUGAUGACCCAUUUACCACAUAACAAGUAGUUUUUGCUACUUCCGCCUAGAAUGAGUUGAUAGACCAGCAGUUCUCAACAUAACUCUUAUUUUUUCUAUAAGAGUCCUGUUCUUUCACUCUACUACUCUAUUUUAUUGAGGAGUGUAUGCCACCGUGAACUAUCUCUAGAUACUUUCUUGCUUACAUAUGCAAGAAACAUGUUAUCUGUAUACUCUCCACCAUUGUUUGUCCUCAGGCACUUGAUCCCUUGCCCUGAUUUAAGUUCAAUCUACGCUUUGAAUUCUUUGAACAAUAGAAAUACAUUUGACCUUUUCUUGAUUGGAUACACCAAAUAUCUCCUAGAAUAAUCAUCAAUAAAAGUCACCAAGUACUUUGCACCUCCUAUAGAUAUAUCAAGUUAUUCCCAAACAUUAGAAUGAAUCAAGUCUAAAUACAUUUACUUUUGAAAGUGGAUCUGCUAAACUUUCAUCUAUGAUGCUUCCUUGUUUCGACAUGUGGCCAAGUUUAAGAUACCACAUCAUCGUUGAAUUUUCUCUAUUUGAUGUGACACACAUAAAAGCUUUCUGUAGUGUUUCCCUUUAAGUAUGAAUAGAUUAGCACCGAUCUUUUCCACUUUCAUUAAUGCAAGUGCGCCUUUGACUAUCUUUAUGAUCCCAUUUUCUACAUGAGUUUUGCGCGCAAGACUAUUUAUUUGUCCUAAAGAUAAGAGAUAUUUUUCAAGUCUUUGACAUGUCUUACCUUCUCAAUUGUGUGAACCGUACUAUUAAACAUAUUUAUUUUGACAGUACCAAUAUCAGUAAUCUCAAAGGCAUGAUCAUUACCUAUGUAUACAAAUUCUCUUGAAAUAGGUUCAUAUUUGUGAAAUCAUUCUCUUGGAGAGAUCAUGUGCCAGGCAACUAUUAAGUCUAUAAGCCAGACGUCAUAUAGUGGUUUUCUGCCUUUUGAAGUAGUUGUUGCCUUACUGUAGAGAAUUUUGCCCUCAUACGAGGUACUUACUACAUACCCUUGAGCAUUUGAUGACUUAGGAUCUUUACCCUCUCUUCUCUUCUAGUUGUUCCAAUACUCUUCCUUGCCACGCCCUUUCUUGCCACAAUUGUUGCAUUUGACAUUCUUCUUACUUCUUGAUUUUGAUCUACCGUGAUUGUGGCUCUCACUAGGGCCACGUUCCAUGGAUCUUCCUUUCAUCACCAAUAGUGCUUCUACUUGUUGCGAACUCGUUUGUCUAUCUUUUUUAUUUUUUGCUACUCUCCUCAUUUAAUACGGAGGCUGCCAUAUUGUCAAAGACUAACUUGUCUGCUCGAUUGUUAUUAGUUAGAUUAAUGACGAAUUGAUCAUACGAAUCUGGUAAACCUUGAAGUAGAAGCUCCACAUGUUCAUUUUCCUCUAUUUUAUGACCUAACGUUGUAAGUUAUGAAAAUAAAGUCUUUAAAGUGUUGAUAUGGUCGAUCACUGAUGUAGAUUCCGCCAUUCGAAGAGUAUAAAGCCUCCUCUUUAAAAAGAUUUUAUUUUGUAGUGAUUUGACCUCGUAUAGUCUUGUGAGAGUAAACCAUAUUUCCUUUGCUUUCUUUUACUCUACCAUAUUGAAUAAUACCCUAUCUGAAAGUGGGAAGUGUAGAUCUGCAAUGGCAUUAUUGUCUAUUUGAAAGUGGUAAGUGUAGAUCUGAAAUGGCAUAAUACCACUAUUAGAAAAUUGAUUGGUGAAGUAGGGUCACGAUUAAAAUAAAAUUGUAAGAAAAUGAAGAACAAGAACACAGAGGACAUCAUCAAUUAUUUAGUUCGGCUUUUAACUUAUGCCCAUAGGCAAGGACAAAAGGAUAAAACUUUACUAGUGAAAUGAGGAUUAUAAGUAUUUUAGUAUUUUGUUUCACUUCUCAAAACCUUAAUACACCCAAUCUCUCUAAACACUCUUAAUCACUCAUUAUAGAACUAAAGAAGAAAAGAAUGGAAUGAAUGAAAUGAGGGGGUGAACCCCUCUAUUUACAGCUAAAAAUUUGGGCAUUUUUAUAUUUAUUAUUAUUAUUAUUAUUUCUAAAUUUAAAGUUUGAACUUGAUAAUCAAACUUUGAAUAUCAAAAGAUAACGGCACCAACCUUGACUCUUAGGCUGACCUUUAGAGCUUUAAAUAAAGAAAAAGCUUUUAAAAAUGUCAUGUGUACUUGAUUAUACAAAAAUCUCCACCACAUAGAAUGAUUUGAUAAAAGAAAAUUUUUAUUUUUAAUUUUACUUUUAUCAGGCACAGUGCAUUUCCCCUUGGGCUCAUAUGUAAGGAUGUCAAUAAGAAGGGAAGGAGAGGGGAUUGAUUUCCCCAUACUCAUCUUUAAUACUCUGUCUAUCUCUUUGUACUCUAGACAUUUCCUUCAAAAUUACUUGAAAUGAGGGGAUGGAUGUUUCUAAAUAAUACAAAGGGAUCUCCGAUGGUAUCCGAUCGCUGAUUAUUUAAUUUCUUUUUUUUUCUUAAUUUAAUCAUCUUAAAGUAAAAAUAUAAAAUCAUAUUAACACAAAAAUAUCAAAUUAACUAAAGUGAUUAAAAUCAUUUCCAUCAAAUUAAGUCAAUGUCAUCAAAUUAGAACAUAAUCUUUGAACUAAUUAAGCAAAAGUAAAUCUUCAAAGUUGAACUCAUCCAUAAAUGUCAUAUAGUAUAAACCAUCAAUUAAAUUAUCUUUGUCAAUUUUAAAUUGUUUAUAUUUACUUUAUAUUGGCUGUUAUUUAUAUUAUUUUUAUAAAUGUAUUAUAAUAUUUUUUAUUUACAUCACACUAUUACAAUUGAAAUUUUAAAUGUAUUUACUAUAAAUUUGAAAAAAAUGAAUUAAAAAUAGAAACUAAAGAUAGAAAUAGAAAAAUGUGGAGCCAAAUAAAAUAUUAGGGCAAACACCAAGUUAUAUUUCAUGUAACUUACACCCACACAUAUUAAUUUAUCAGAUUCUUGUCUCCACAUAGAAAAAUUAGAUCUAAAAUUAUCAAACUCCCGAAUGAGGAAGAUCCCUCGGGGCCAUCGUCCCUGUGGAAAUUUCUGCAUCCCUGCAGUCUACAACGCCUAAUAAUGAAUUGAACGGUUGAAAUCCCUCUAAAUUUUUGAUAAUUUCUAAUCGCCCCUCCGUAUUUGAUUGAACAUCAAAACUAUUGAGUCCAAAUUUAUAACUUUGAUUUAUCUUCCAUUCCAUAGUUUUCAAGUUCUCUCUCUCUCUCUCUCUCUCUCUCUCUUAAUCCUUUUUACUGCAACCACCAUCAAAGCCUAGUAGUUAAUAUGUAUGCUGCUUUGCUUUCAAAAUCGGACACUACUGCUAUUUAUGGUUUUUAUUCUUUAUUUGACACAAAAUUUGGUGAUAUCUCCGUGGAAAAACACUACUGGUGUAUUCAAUUUUAUCCGGUAAUGGUUAAAUUGAUUAGUUAUAUGAACGGUAACUUCGCCAAGACGAAAAUACAUAUUAAGUUAUAAAGUGUUGGCACUCAUUAUUUUUCGCAAAAAGUUUCGCCCAAAAUACAUAUAUUUUUUUAUUGUUUUAUUUGACACAAAAUAUUGACAAAUUUUUCUGUGAAAAAACACUACUAUUAUAUUCAAUUUUAUCAUUAAAGUUGUUAGUUACAUGAACCUUAAAUUUGUUGGAUCAUAAACUUGAUCCAAGAUGAAUAAAUUCAAGCCCAAUUCAUGGAAGAUUCCAUGAGUAGGUAUGGUUGGUGAAGUAGGUGAGUGGUAGGUUUUAAUAAAUGGUGAUGAUUUAUGUAGUAGUUGAAUAAAUGAAUAGUUGUGAUUAGUUUGUAUCAUGUAUAAAUACCCCCUCUCCCCUUUGGUUUAAGCAUCAAGUGAAGUAACAAAAUCUCUAAGGUGUAGAGAAUGAAAAAUAAGAGUUGUAAUUGGUAAGGAGUGUUGUUGAAGAAAUAAAAUAGUGUGAUUUGUGUGUUUUAUUUGUUAAUUCUCCAACAAAAUUAACACGAACCGUAACUUAGCCAAGCCCAUAAUACAUAUUUCAUAUUUGUAUGAACUUUAAAGUUUUUCCACUUAUUAUUUUUCGCUAAAAGUUUCUAAAUUGUAUUGUAGUUUGAACUUGCCCAUCAUUCAAUUUUUUAACUCCACAAUUAUUUGACCUUACCAAGCUUGAAAAUAUCCUUCCAUACAUAUUUAAUUUUCUCCAAGUAUGAUCAAGAUUUAAUCAAGAGCCUCCGGGAUCUUAAAGUAUAAGAAAGGUCCGGAAAAUCUUUAAAACCCCACUGUUUAAAGUUUUUUUGGACUUUCCUGUACUUUAAAAUCUUGAAUUGAUAUAUAUAUAUAUAUAUAUUAUCAUUGUUAGGUGCUAGUACCCUCAUUUUUUUUUUUAAUGCAAACACCCUCUUAAGCAGUAGGGUUUAAUAGGAUUAUUGUUGAAUAAACUAUAAAGUCGUGCAUCUUAAUAACAUUAAAAACUAACUUUCAACUAGCUCUCUUAAAUUGUACGGCUUAAAAGCAUGUCCGCAUGAAAAAAUAAACAUGCCUGCACCAAAAAAGGACUAUAUAUAUUAUUUAUUUUAUAUAUACAUACGUGUGCACGCUCGUGUAUAUAUAUAUAUAUAUAUAUAUCUUUUUAAUAUAUUCGAUUACUUUAAUAAUCAAUUUAAAAUAGUUUGUGAUAUUUUCAGCUAUUUAUUUAUCUACUUUUAGUUAGUUAUUUACACCGAAUGAAGUGCUAGGGUCCAAAUUUUAGUAUCCUUCUCAGUUGUUUGGGAUUAGUAAAUACUAAUUAGCUUAUUCGUCCCGAACAGGCGCGUAAAUGCUGUUAGAUUUCGGAGAGAUCGAUGCUGAGGAUGGUACAAGAUUUAUCAAAUUGUGGCGACAUUUUUAUACCUUUAGAAUUUCAAGAUUUUGAAGAAAUAAAUGGAAUCUGUUUUCCAUAAGUGCUCCACUAUCCACCAGGAGGAAUUCUAAAACACAUUACAUAUUCGUGAUUUCUCAUAAUAAAUAAACACAUGUUAUAACAUUAUUUACUUAUCGUAUGACUGAUAUGAUACUUUGGAUUGCAAUUCUCAUACAAUACAUAGAAUUAUCAUAAUCUAUAAAUUGUAUUUUUGCUUUUCUACGGUAGUAAGUCAAGAAUCCUUAGUGACAAUUUAAAUUGAAAAAAUAAAAUCAUAAAUAAGAAUUAUUUGAUAAGAAUUAAAAUAAUUGAUAAAUAUUUGAGAGGAGCAAUUUUGGAAGACUCGAUUUCUAAUAGGAGGGGAAUUUGAAUUUUACAACUUUCGGUGAGGAAUCCAAAAUGCACAAUUUGAUGAAAAUUAAAUUUCAAUAGAAAUUGAAUUCCCAUAUGUUAGUGAAAACCAAACAACAGAAAAGUGAAAGGAAUUUGAAUUCAUUUCCUUCCCGUCUCAUCCCUCCAACUAAACACCAUCGAGACCCAAAGAUAUGGGUUUGGAAUUCCAUACUGAUCACAAUGGGAUUUGUCCAUAUUAUUAGGACCAAUUUUAAAAGCAGUCGGAGUUUAAAAUUGAAAUUAAUCCUAAUUUUUUAUUUGGGACUAGAUAAGAAUUUAUAUUGUAACUCCAAUUCUCCCAAUUAUUUUAGUUGAUAAUAUGUUUAACAUUAUUAAUUGCAUAUUAUUUAAUUAUCAGUAUAUAAUAUUCUUUAAUUUUCCAAUUUUAUAGGAUUAGACACAAAAUUGAUUAUGCUAAUAUUCUUUAAUUUUCCAAUUUUAUAGGAUUAGACACAAAAUUGAUUAUGCCUUCUGAAAUUUAAGGGUUAUGUCAAUUGAACAGAAAACUUGGAGUUGAACUUUUGGAUGUUUUUGUUGAUUAUCAAUUUAUGCAUGAAUUUUUGUACGUUUACUUUGGUUUAUUAUUGUUACUUUUAGACAUUUUUAUUGGUUUGAUUUAGGGUCAUUUUGGUAAUCUUGUAAUUUUUAAAGUAGUUACAGUUAGCUAUGCUGUAGAAAUUGAUCAAUUGUGAAGAGAAUCAGCUGAACAUUUAGUAAAAUUUAUUUUUAAAAGUACUUUAGUUUUAAAAGCAGUUGUAUGUGUUUCGUAAAUCUUAUUUUUAAACAGGUGCAAGAAUAUAAAUAACUAAAUUGGACAUAAUGCUAAAUAAAAUUUAUUUACACAUUUACAAACAUGUAUAUAAAAUAUUUUUAUUAUGUACAUAUAAUUAUUGAUAACUAAAAUAAAAAUUUUAUAUUAUUAAAUUUUAUUCUUUAUUUUGUUAUCCCAAUAUAAUUGGUAAUAAUAAUAAUCUCUUAAAGUUAAUGAUUUUAUUUCUUAAUUAAUAAAGAUAAUUCUGGAUUUUUAUUAUAUAAUGAGGAUAUAUAUAUAUAUAUAUAUAUAGAAUUGGAUUAAGUAUAAAAGUGAUUUUCAAAAUCAAAUUUUGAAAAACUAUUCCUUCCAUACUUUUCAAAAUCCACUGUAUGAUGAGAUGAUUUUUCCAAAAAUAAUUGCUAAAAAAUUAUAAAACACUAAAAAUUAGGUUUUAGUUUUUAAAAUCACUUUUGAGCUUCCCAAAAACAAUCCUAACAGGCCUUUAUUUAGGUGGUGUUGGAACUUGUAACUUUUGGAUCAUUUGGUUUUUAUUGGUUUGAUACAACUGUUACACUAAAAAUUGAAUGUAUCUUAAACCCCACACUUCUUCUUCUUCUUUUUUGAUUGCACAAAAUUAAAAACAAUAGUGAACGCAUUCUUUAAUAAACAAUAAGUAAUUACUAAAAUUGUGUUAAAGAAUUUAGUUGAAACAUAAAUUGAUUUCAAUGUUGUAUAUGCUAAAUUUCUUAAAAAUUUCUUUCACGGUUUGCUGAAUAGUUUUAUUAGUAUUUUGAAUAAAUAAAAAUAAUUGAUUUAAUUUUUUAAAGAAAUUUAUUAGGUUCAUGUAAAUACGUUUUUGUUAUUUUAAAAGUGUACAAAGUAAAACUUAAUUUUUUAAAUUUAUUAGAUGAGUGGAUAAAAUAAUUGAGUGUUCAUAGUAAAUUUUAAAGUAUAGAUAGUGAGACCCUAAUAUUUUUAAUAUAUGGAAAUUUUGAAAAUAUGUUAAUGGGAAUUAAAAUGAUAAUUAAGGGAGGCAUUCGAGACAUUCAGGAUUGUUAGGAUAGGACAUGAUUGUGAGCGGUUUGAGAUUGGCCCUAAUUUUGAUCACAAAUAUAUAAGCAGGAUGAGUUUAUCCAUUCUUACAUUCCAUUUGAUAAUUAAGAUGAGAGUGGAAUUGUCAAAUCCCAAAUUAUCCCGGACCAUUGCCACCAAAGGUACUCUCACUAAUAAUAUCUAAAGAAAAAUCUACAUCUAUUUCAUACCUUUUUUUUAAACGGAAAGAGCCCUUAUGGGGCUUGAAAUGGUAUCCUAAAUAAUAUUCAAAAUAUCAGGCCAUGACUGGGUUUGUAACAAACAAAUAUUACAUAGUUGGGAUACGUAGUUACUAGUGUCCCAAUUUAUGUAGUAUCUAUCAUUUAGUGCACAUAUAAAGUGUUUGGGAAAUGAAAUAGGGUGACCAAGAUAAGGUGUUUGCUCAUACAUUAUCGUGCUCUCCUCAAAGUAAAAAGUGAAAAAAUAGUUGAUAGGCUACUAGGAGUUUAUUUGGUCACCUCGAGCACAUCACCUCGACCAGGAUAUUAUUUGGUGAUCUCGAGCACAUCAUCUUGACUAAGAGAUUAUUUGGUCACCUUGAGUAUAUCACCUCGACCAGGAGAUUAUUUGGUGACCUCCAGUAGAUCAUCUUGACCAGGAGGUUACCAGGAAGCACGACUCAGUCGAAACAAAUCUCACUUAUUUUCUUCGAAAUAUUAGGGACCAUAUUCUUAGUGGGCUGAAAAUUGGUGGUUUUCUUGAGAGUUUUAGGUGAGAGGAUAAAAAUCACUAUAAUUUGCUAUAAAAACCCUGGGAAAGGGAGGGAAAUAGGGAGAUUCUUUUUAUCUCUCUCUCUUUGGGUGACUGAACCCAUGGGAUCUUUUUCUUUCUACCACUGGGAACCUUCUCUUUCUCUCAUGAUUUAUUUUUCUUUAAGAUUGGUUAUUUUUUAUUCUUUUCCCAUAAAUUUACUUAAAAGCUUUUUGUUUAAAGUAUUCAUAAUUAAGCCGCGUGAAUUGUGGUACGGAUUUUUCCAAGUAGACCCAAAUCGCUGACUUGAGCAUCGGAGGAUUUUCUUUAAGAUUGAUUAUUGUUUCCAUAAAUUUGAACCAAGAAGGAUGACGCGAUAAAAUUUGUUUUUAUUGUAUGGUUGAUUUCAUAUCUCAUGCACUCAUUUCUUAAGAUAAUUAGAUUUCAUCUUUUGCAAAUGUGGAAAUAUCAAUUAUGGUCAAUCAAAACGAUCUCAAAACCUUUCAACGAGACAUAUUUAUAAUACAAUAUUGUGAAAAUUACACCAAAAAAUUAAUUUAUGAUAUAUUAUUAUCCCACCAGCACACAAAAAUGAAUUCGUACAAAUCUAAAAUACUUAGCAAUUUUCAAAUAGAAUUUUAAAUUUAUUUCCAGUUAGAAAACUAUUCGCUGGACUCCAUAUUACUAGCCACCAUCGUAAGCCUAACCGGUUGCCGGCGAACGGCGUAAAACACCAGCCAUCUUCUUCUUCAUCAUAUUCUCCUUUCAUCUUUUGAGUUAAGCCUGUGAUUAUGAGUUUCUUCUCUUACUUAGCUUGUAAUUAUAGAUUUUGAUUCUUUUUAAUUCAUAUUGUAGCCGUUAUUGUCAAUUUUUGUCCCGCCAGCAAUAUUUUUUUAUUCCUACAAGUUGAAAAUGGAUUCAUUUGAAUUACUAUUGAAUUUAGCUUUAAUUUCAAUAUCCAUUCUAAUGUUUUGCUAUUAGAUUUGCUUUAAUUUUAUGUUUAAAGCUUCUACAAUGAAUAGCGGAGCUUGGGUUUUAGUUUCAUUUUCUGUAACUUGUUUUAGUUUAUCUUGUAUGCUCACCAAGUGCUUGUUAUAUUGUCUGAUAAGUUCUAUACAUUGCUGAUUCUAUAUUAAUAAUGUUAUGUUCUAUUUUCAGAAAUUAUAAUACAAAAGUUUUUACAAUGGCGUGCAUCUACAAACUGAAUUGACUUGUAGAAUAAGAGCUUGGAGUAGUGUUAUGUUCUUGAAUAAAUGAAAGUUCAUAUUGUGUAAGAGCAUGUAGAUGUAAAGCGUCAUUACCAUUUCUAUAAAGGACUUUCAUUCUGUUCAGAUGCUCUUCUUGAACAUUGAAAGGUGCCUCGUUCAAGUCCUAGCUAUAACUACUAGCUUUGAUUAAUUAAGUUCCUAUACUAGCUGAAACAGAUUUAUUUAAUUAAUUAAUUGUGUAUGUACUGAUUAUAUUGAAAGUAUAUGAAUUUUUUUUUUUUUUAACAUGAAUGACUUCUAAAUGACUUAAAAACCUAAAGGAUAUGUGAAAUUAUGCUCAUUUCACAUGAAUGAGCCUAUUAAUACUUUUAUGUCUAUGAUUGUCAAUAUUGGCUUAAGCAUUUCAGUUAAGUGGUUUACCUAACAGAGAAAAAAAUUUAAUAGAAAACUUCAGAGUUCUAACAGAAAUAUAGUUCACUAUGCAGAUAUAGUUAUUUUACGGUAUACAAAUCAAGUUGUCCUAAUCUCAAUGUCCUAUGACCAAUUUUAUUUUAUAUAGUCAUUAAUUUUUGCCAUGGUUUUUUGUGUUUAUGAGUUUGAAAUAGUGGGAUUUGGUGUACCUUAGCAUCUUUUGAAAAUUCUCUUUAAGUGUGGCCAACAGAAAUAUACAUAUAAUCAAGUUUCUUAAUCCUGUAUAUUAGUUUUGGGUAUGAAUGGUCCUAUUCUAGCUCUAGGCAAAGCUUCUUUGUUUUGGGCUUCAGAUUUCCAGUAGGUUAAGUUAAUCAACUAUCAUAACUGGCUAGCUAGUUAUUUGUUUGCCUUGCGGCCAUUACCCAGGGCAUUAUAUUUGCAUAGGCAUAAGGGAAUAGUGAUUAUUAGUGAUUUGUUGAGCUUAUUAUUGACGAAACAAAUGUAUUUCGCCUUUGCCCACAACUUAUUUGAUUAGGUAUUAGACCAUAAGGAGCCUGGAUCUAUUCAUUGGCUUUAUUAUUUUUAUUUGGUUUUUCUUUCAACAAUAUUGUUGAUUUCUUAUAAAAAUAUUCAUUGGCUUUUAAACACCUAAUCAUUGGCUAUAUGAAGCUAAUUAAAACUGAGGCUUUGGAUCAAUUUCUUCUAACAAGAUACAAAUGAGCAAAACCUUUCUCCUCUAAGUUAAUUUUUUUAAUAUCCCUUGAUUUGUAAGGAUCUGGAGGCCUGAAUCCUCUUGAUUUUUUUUAACACUGUCAAUGUUCUUUUUAUUCUGAGAAGGAAAUAAAAGGUUUUAUCUUUCAUACCCGAAUAGUAAGCUGGCCUUGUCUUAACAUGGCCUCCCGAGGACUUGCAAGAUUCAUAGUGCCCCCCACCCCAAAAAAAAACAUAAAAAACACAAAUAGGAAGAUUUUGCAAGAUUCACCACCAGGUUUUUUUUAAUUUAUUAAUUGUGUGUACGUGCUAGUUAUAUGUUGAAAGAAUAGGAAGAAGUAUUUCAACAUGAAUGACUUAAAACUUAUUGCUCAGUAAACAUAAUCUGCAUCAGUGCGAAAAUGUAUUUAUCGUUUGUAUUUUUUAUGGUUUUGCUAAAGAAAUGAUAUGUGAAAUAAUGCUACAUUGCAUCAGGAAUAAAUUGAAGAGAUUUAUGAUAUUUAUGUGUUAUUCAAAUUUCAGAUUCAAUUUUAAACUUUUGAUACGUGCAUUGAAAGCUUAGACUUGUUUAAGAAAUCAUUAAUAGACACAUGUUUUAUUAGUGUCAUCUUUGGAUGAUAGUGAGGAUCAUAUGUCUAUUAAUAAUUCUUGAAUUGUCCAGGCUUGGACAGUUUGGGAAUGCAUAGUUCACUCUGGUAGCUAGUAGCUGAAGUUUUUUCCCACGUAAAAAUGGGUUUUUCGGUAGCUGCUCCUCGUGUUCUCUGGGUACGUACUAGGUGAAUGGGUGUCAUGUGCUGUUUUGGCAUAACGCAUAAACACUUAUAUAGCUAUGUCGUGUGCUUGGAGAAUUAUAGGGAGAUGGUGCCGAAAUUUUUAUAAACGUGGAAGAAAACUUUAGGUACUUGAGAUUGAAGAAACUAAUGCAUUCUUGAGUGGGAUAUGUAGGAUUAGUUGCCUUUUGUAAAUAUGAAGGGAAUGUUGGAUAUAUUGGGGAUAGUGUAGGAGCUGAGUUGGAUGAAUGUAAUUGGUGAUGAUUUUGCUGAGCUGACCUUGGUUUUGAGCUUGUAAUUUUGUUUGUAAAUGGAGUGCUAUCUCCAAUGUUGGUUUAUAAAAAUGUUUCAGGACUUGCUGACCUAAUUUUUUGUUUCUAGGUUACAGGCUUUAUAUAUCUGUAAUUGAUAGCCAAGUGAAGUUCUCAGCACUUGGCAAGGAUAUUUCUUUACAGAAGGUACUGGAAACUGUUUUUUACAUUAAUUAUCGUUGUUUAUAUACUUUGAUUGUCACAUCUUUUUCUCUGAUUCUUGUGGCUUUGCUUGCUUUCAUAUAUGUAAAUUCUAAUGAAAUUAACCAUAAAAUUGUAAAAUGAUUUUUUUAUUAUAUUGCAAAACUGUGCACACACGAAAAUAUCUUGUUUAGUAGUAGAAAUGAAGAAAUAAUUUUUGUAGCGCAUUAAAAGGAGAUAGUCAUGGACAAGUGUUGGGUUGGUUUGCCAAAUAGAUAUCCAAGUCAUAUACUGAUGGCGUUGAAAAAUUUAUAGAUUUUGUAUUUGAGAAUGUUGUUGGUGGUACAAGAAUUUAUUGUCCUUCUUGAUAAGUGUUGUAAUCUAUAUUUCGUUAUAAGGGAAGUGGCUGAUGAUGAUAUGGUUGGAAUGAUACAGUGCAUCACGUAAUCAAAUGUUCAAGUUACACGCAGCAUUGUUAUGAGUGGCAACUUGUCUGGGUGGAGUAUUAAAGGUAAAUAAGCAUGUCUUGUUUGCCAACAAAGCACUGGAUCUAAUUCGUUGAUACAUAGUAGAAAAUUUUGUCACGUGGGUCACCGUCGAUUUUUCCCAACAAAUCAUAGGUUUCGAAAAUAUAGUGUCUUUGAAUAAAACUAGAGAGUAGGGACAAGCACCUUCUCAGUUGUCUGCAACUGAAGUGAAAAAGCAGUUUAAUGUAUUUACUGAGUAUAAGAUUGAAGACUUGAAAAGAGAAGAACGAAUGAGAAAUGAUAAGAUUACUUGGAAGAACAACAGCAUUUCUUAAGAUUACUUGGAUGAGAAAUGAUGUGGAAGAUGGCUAUAAAAGAUAAAAGGAAAGGCUUAAAAAGAAAAGCCACGCCUGUCAAAAACAAAAAUCAAUGGCAGCGUCAAAUUUAUAACAAAAAUCAAAACGGUGCGUUUGAGAGUGUAUAAAAUACAUUUAGAGUGGGAGUUGUGUUGUUGCUUGAAGGCAGAAUGUUUGUGAGAUAUUUGUCGACGAAGCCGAAACCAAAGAUGAAGCCCAUCGAAAGUAUUUAUAGUGUAAAAAGUAUAUUGUGGAAAUGUCUGGUCGGUAAUACAACUAUUUCUUGUAGUGUAAAUGAUACACUAAUUUGAAUUUAUAUGCUUUUAUGAUUAUUUGAUUAUCAAGUGGUGAUCAUAUGUGAUGAUAAACUUAGGUCGUACCUUUAUAUUUAUAGCCUUAGUUUUCUAAGCGUUCACAUUUUGAUGAGUAAAUUAAGGAUUUCUAGAUGAAGUACAUAAUUAGAUUAAUGCUAAGGAACUGAAGUUUGAUCAACUGAAAACGAAAAUAAUAAUGAAGGUAAUUAAGAAAAUGAACAAUGCAGAAGCGGUCCUUAUUAGGACUUCUAGAUUUUCUCUUGGGCUUCCUUAUUAUUGUUAAAAAAUGACACGAAGAACUGAGUUUAAAAAUCUGGCCCUGAUGCCUGGUAGCCCUCCAACAUAUGAAGCACUAGAUGUUUUAAUGAGAAAAUGACAAGACCAUUUAUCAAAUUUCUUGUGGAUAUAAAUACAUACACAUAGACGAGACCAACCUCCUCAAAUGAGAAUCAGAGUGAUUACAAGACCUUGCAAUGGGACGAUAACACACCAUCAAAUCUCAAAAUACAAUAGAAAUUCAUGACAUAUGUAUAAUAAAAGAUCUCUCAUUGAGUCAUAUAUAUUGAGAAUAAAAAUGUUAUAAUACAUACAAAGAGCUUAGCUAGAAUAAAAUGUCUUUGAACUUGCGAUGAUCAAACAAAGGAAACAGACAGGUUGUAACUCACACUAUCACAGAUGUAGCGACACGAUGCAGUGAAUCACAAGAAGAUCACGAAGAUGGAAACGGGAACCCCUCAGAAUGUAAACUUUGAAUAGAGGAAAAAAGAAAAACGUCCUUAUUUCAAAUUGUGCACAGAAGAAGAGUGACUUAAAUCUUCAUCAGUAUCCAGGCAUUCUGCAAUCAUAAAGUAGAGAAAUUUUAACAGGAACAACAGAGAAAAUAUUAUGAAUAUGCUAGACCAAAUUAGUCCCUUUUUUGGUUUGUGAAAACUUUAUUUUUUAUGAAUACGCUAUCCAAUAUUUUCAAUCAAUAUUUCCACAAUAUAGUUGUUCAUAGCUAACGUUUGAUGGUUUAACGAUUUGUUCCAAGAAUAAUGGGCUGAUUACGUUUUGUUUUAUUUUUAUUUUAUUUUUUUUAAUCCGAUGAAGGAUAUUCAGCUGUCUUUAAUUAUGCAUUCAUAGGGAAGAACAUUUUCUAAGUACUUUCCUUGCCUUCUAACUUUCCAAGGAAAGAUAGGUGUAAAGAAAAGCAAACCCAAUGAACAAACAGAGCACAAACUAAAAUAAAAGAACAGCAAUGAUGAGGAUAAAUAAUUAGCAAAUAAAGAAAGGAAAAAGUAUGCACGUUUUCAAGGAUUUAAAAAAUACGAAGGCUUUUAAUGAAAUUUUAACAUAAAAAAGUAUGCAAGGAGUUAUAAAAUUUUAGAAGACGAGGGGAGCUCGCAAAAAAAAAAGAAAAAGACUCAAAUUAAACUACACUAAAAAGACAUUCAAUUAUGCAAAAUCUGUCCAUAAAAGUCUGAAAGGAUCAUUAAAAUUGCAUUGCAAAUUUAACAGUAAACUGAGGAACCCAUUCUAAAUAAUUCAGAUGAAAUUGCGAAACAAGCUAUGGGAUUAAAUAAAUUAAAUAAAAACUAAUUACCAGUUGAGACUUUCUUCUAAAACUUCGCAACUCCAAGUCAUAAGAAGCCUAUGAAAUUAGUCGUACAGCGUAGAGUAUGACGACGACACCGCCAACAGCUGAAAGUAAAAUUCUUAUUCAUCAAUUUAAACUUACUUUAUAACAAAUAUCUUAUCUAUAUUGUAUUUAAGAAAGCAAAUAUUGUAAAAAUUUAUCAUGGGAGAUAGAGAGUAAUAUGUACAUACGUACCUUCUCAGCAUGUAAUUGUUGUAUGGUUGUGUUUAGAUCAUUAUUAGCCCAGCGCCGUUGAUCCGCUGUCUCUCCAUAGCAGACGUUUACUCUUAGAGGCGUGAUUGAUUCUCCUGUAGUGAAAAUCUUCAUCUUGGGACAACCAAUCACCCACAACUCUUGCAAAGAUGGGAAUUUGAAGGUGUAAUUGGCAGGGCAGAAAUUUGUGAGGCUAUCUAAAUCAAACAGUUGCAACGACUUCAAUUUGCAGAAAACAAUCUCUUCUUUUUCAACUCUAUCUUUGUCAUUUAUUACCACCUCUGUCAUUGCUCUGCAUCCAUAUACUUGCACUUUGACCAGUCGCACUAGAGUUUUUGCUGUGGAGGAUGUUACUAAGUGUAUCAAUUCCUUGCAACCGAAAGCUACAAGUUUUGUUAGGUUCCGAAAAGAUACCGAUGAUGAUGGCAAUAGAAUUAACAGACUUUGACAAUGAUAUACUCCUAGAAUUUCAAGAUACUGAAAAAUGGGGCCAAGUUUGGAAUCGUGUUUGCACAGCUGCUUCAGAUGAUAGGGCCGGUACAGCUUUAAUUCUUUUAUCAUUGCCAACUUCCCCACAUGUUUCUCUAAGCAUCCUUCCAUCGAAAAUACGUCUUCGUCGAAUGAAAAAAAAGACAGUGUGAGUAUUUCGAGAUUGUGAAAUCUCUCCAGUACGUUCCAGAUUGGAAAACAAGCUGAGUCAUCUGCAGCAAUCUCUAGUUCUCUAAGACUGCCAAAAAGGUGUUGUGGGAAAUCGGCCUGCAAAAUCAUCUUCACAUCUUUUCCACUUAGUGAUAGUUCCAUCAAGUUGGGUACGAUCUGAUCAUCAUCAAUCAUAAUAACUAAUGAGGUCAAUUGAUGAUCUACGGUCACACGCAGUGACUUUAUAGUAUUUGUUUUAUAUUAUAUUUUAAAAAAAAUUGAAUUAUUGAUAAAAUUUAUUAAAUGAUUUUUUAUAUGUUAAUUUUAGAGGUAAAAAAGAAAUUAGGGAAAAAGGUUGAUUUAUACUGGCUCGAAAUUAUUUUAUUGCACAAUAAUAAAUUACUAAUUUAUUUUGUAAGUUCUUCUAUAUGGAAACACUAAGGAUUCUUUUAGAAAUGCUAUACAAAAAAAAGUUCAUAUAAUUAUUAAUCUACCACAUUGAUCUCUUAAUCUAGACUAGCAAAGAUUAUUGUAUAAUAAAAGUUUUCAAUUUAUUGAGUAUUAAUUUAUUGAUGCUUUGCCAUAUUUUUCAAAGUUAAAAAUAAGCUAUAGACAAAAAAUCUAGAAAAUGGCUUCAUACCUUUUCCAACGGCAAUGGGGGCUGUUGUGCAGGAAUGCCAAGUUGAUCAUUCUGCGAUAAAUCUGCAGUGAAUAUCUUUAAUUUGUCACAACAAUGCACUGAAAGAAUUUCUAGCGCGGGCCAUUCCAAAGUAUGCAUUCCAGGGUACAAACAUCUAAGUUUUGGUAGACCUUGGAGUCUCAAAGUGGUGAGCUGUGGAAAGACAAAAUAAGGGAUCACUUCAUCUGCUCUAUUCUCAAAAAUGAUCUCCUGUAAAUCCUCACAGAAGCGAACUUCUAGGUGUUGGAGCUGCUUAAGGCUUCUGAUCAUAGACGCUGAAAAUAUGUAUUUUAAUUUGUGACAACGCCACACAAUCAAUCGUGUUAAAUUUUGAAAGCGAGGAAACGUGACCGGAAGAUGAUUGUAGUGCCAAAUCUUGUCGACAUUAAUUUCAGAUAUCUCCAAAGCCUCCAAGUUAGGCAACGCAACCUAAAAGAAUAAGAAUUUCUGGUUAGAUCCAAUAUCCAUAUGGGAAGCACUUGUUGAAAUUUUCUUCUUUGAUUGCAAAUUCAUGCAAGUCAGAAUCAAUUUCCAACUGACAGCUGAGUAUGCAUUCUAAUUCAUACUACUUGUUAAGAGCUCAAUUAGUGAGCGCGUGAGAUUCUUUUUAUCCUUUUUUCCGUUUUUUUUCAAUUCUUCAAAUGAUUUAAUUAUUUUCCACGUAUGAUAUCAAAAGAGAACGCAUAAUAGAAUAAAGAAAAUGUUAGCCUACGCACCUUCUCGUUGAAAAGCAGAGUUGAAAUAUCCAAAGUGAUUUCGCUGGAGCAAUACAUAGUCGUCGAUUCCUCUUGCGACACUUGUCUGUUCGGUGAUGCUGAAGGAGUCUCCACCUCACGGCGGCAAAAACUUGUAACCUCAGGAAGAUUCCCCAGACUCAAAGAUCUUAAUUGAGCAAACUCUAUCUUCUCAAUUGCAUUAUCAACUUCUUCCCCAAUUGCAAAAAUCUCUUUCAUCUUGCUGCAAUUAACAACUGCAAUUCUCUCAAGUCUUGGAAGGCAUUUUGUAGUAGAGAGCCAAAAGAUAUUACUCAACUUAUCACAAUUAUAUGCUUCUACGGUUUUGAGUUCGUUGAAAGACUCUACUUUGAGCCGAUCAACACAUAUCCUCUCCAUGUUGAUCAAAUUGUGAAUGGUAAGUGACUCCAAAAGAGGAAAGGCAUCACAAGCGACCAUCUCCCUUGAAUCGACGAUACAAAAGAAGUCAGGAUUAUUUUGAACCCAGAGAAGCUUCAAUUGUGAAAAGCCCUCCGUGUCCAAAUUGAAAAGAACAUUCUCGAUGCCUUGCAGCUUGUCCAACCAUAAGUAUUCAACGUUAUUGAUGCCCUGCAAUUUCAUGGAGCAAAUGUCCAUAAAAUCAAGCUUGAGCUUCAAUGAUAUUAAACUCUUGCGAUCACUGUUGAUCGAAAAGCGAGGCCGACUUUUAAACCAAUGUUGGCCAACACUCAUGGGAUGCAUGAAUAACCCAUUUCCAAUAGAUAUUUUGAACCUUUCGAGCUUUCUGGCCAAAAAACCUUCUGGUAAAAUAUUGUCACUUUUAACGUCAAUUUCUAGAGUGGUUAGCCGAGGUAAAUGCAUCAAUUCGUCAAGGCUAGCAUUACUUCUUUUGCUGUUGGCUCUUUCAACCUCCCAUUCAAUGAAGCAAUUACCCAUAUACAGCUCUUCUAAUCGAGUUAAGCUUGAUAUGAGAUUAGGCGCAAUAACUUUUAGAUGGAAACAAUUGGUUAAAUCUAACAAUCUCAACUUAUUCAAUUGACCUAGUUCUCCGGGCAACUGCAUAAUAUCAGACUUCAAAAAGCUAAGGACUUCUAGAUUCUUCAACUUCCCAAUGAUUGCUAUGUCCCCCAACGCACUUUGAUCCAGACAUAGUGUGUGAAGAUUUGGUAGAAGAUCAAUUGAAGAUGGAAAAGAAGAAAACUGCAUUCGAGUAAAAUCUAGAACUCUAAGCUUUUUCAUCCCUACAAAAAAGUUCUCAGGAAUAUUGAUUUCAAGAGAAGAAUCUUUGAGAGAGACAAAUAAAAAUUCAAGGUUUGGGCAUUCUAAUCCUUCAGGAAAUUCACGAUUACUAUUAUUUCUUAAAGAGAUCGCAUUGCAUUUUCGAAGUGCAUCCUCAUCUGGCCAGUCCCACACAUCCUUAUUUCUCACCAAAAACACAUGUUGGUGGCGGCAUGCAAUUGAUAUUGCGACAUCACGAACAACAUCAUGCAUUGAAAAUUGUUCAUUGCUCUCACCCUCAAGCAACAAACAAGAGUGUCUAAGUUCAUGGACCAAUGCAAAUAAUUUGUCUCGUGCAUCUUCCAUCUUAUUGACUCCUUUAAAUAUACCCAAACCCAUGGAGUACUUAAACAAGUCCGAAGUAAGAAUACGGUUAUCCAUUAGACUACAGAGCAGAAAAAUUUUCUUGAGUUGCUCACCUUUUAAAUGGUUGAAACUCAGCUCAAUACUUGAAUAAGUCUCUGCAGAUACUCCUUCGAAGUUUACCAUUGAAGGCGUUCGGAGUUCUCGCAAGGAAUUCUUCCAUUCAUGAAGACUCUUGCUUCUCAGUGCCUUUGCCACUGUAGUCAAGGCAAUGGGCAAACCUCCACAUGCCCUGGCGACGUCUAUUGCUGUAGAUUUCAACUCACGAUUUUCAACAUCAUCUCCGGCCAUCAUCUUAAACAAUCUCCAGGCUUCUUCUUCAUUUAAAUUGUUUAUCAAAAAGUUGUCUUUAGAUCCCAUUUUUAAGAGGACACUACGAUCUCUUGCUGUCAGCAGUAGUUUGCAGCCUUUAUGAUCUUCUCCAAAAGGAAUUGCAAUAGUCCCCAAAUCAAGAGGUUUCCAGAUGUUAUCCAGAAUCACAAGGAUCUUCUUCUCAUUCUCCAAUCUUUCAUAUAGUCUACUAGCUCUUCUAGACUCAGCUUCCUCGCGCAACUCCAAGCCCAACUUCUCGGCAAUUUCCUGUUGAAUCUGUUUUAUGUCUGGAGUUUGCGAAACCUCUGAAAAGACCACCAUAUCAAAGUGCUUGUCUUCCAUAGCUUGCCUGGCGACCUUCUUCACCAGUGUCGUCUUUCCAAUGCCGCCCAUGCCGUACACCCCAAUGAUGCUGACAUCAACAUCGAUCAAUGCGUUUUUUAUAGCCUCCAAAGUAGAACGUCUUGAUUCGAAGGCCUCGUAGCCUUUGUGAGACUUGAGCCAAAUCUCCUCCGGAAUGGUACGGUAGGAAAUUCUAUCAUCAAAUCUCUCAGCUUCUUCUCGGAGUUUAAAAAGGGCCUCCUUCUCUGUUUCUGCUUUCUUUCCAUGCUGAUAGCGAAUAAUCCAAUUAGGAAACAGCCCCAUGAGACAUCGUUCAUUUGCUUUCUCUUCGUCUUGAAUGAAUUUGGCUGCCUGCUCAAUGCUCUUGUUCGCACUAAACAGCCAUUUCUCAACCUUCUCUUCAAUCUUUUCACUUUUUCUUUCAGCCUCAGAAACUCUGCGCUGAAUGCUUUCUCUUUCAUCCUUGAGCCUAUCGAGUUCUGCCUUGAGAUUCUCAAAGUUGGCAGCGGAGUUAUACCAAUAACUAAAUUCGCGUUGUGCGUGAGGAGACAAGCAGUUUACAACUCCUGGAACAAUGCUUUUCAAAAUGUCCAUUUUUUUUUUCUUUUUUGGGGAAGUGAACGAAAUAGAAAUAGAACAGAGUCAACGACCGCGCAAUUGAUAAUUAAGUAGAAAACAAGGCAAAAUUGAAAAAAGAAAUUAUAUUUGUACAAAACAAGGGGAAAAUCAGUGUAACAGAAGAGAAUCAAAGUGUUUUUGAGAUCAGAAAAUUGAACCAAGAAAAGGGUUGCUUGAUCCAAUGAAAAUGCAAAGAGCUGAUGGCAAAAGGAAACAAAGCUAAAUAAGAAAACGGUUAGCACGAGCAGUGACCACGAUCAACAGAAGCAAAGUGUGUAUGAGAUCAAAAGACGAAAAUGAGGAGAGGUUUUCUUGAUGGAGAAUUGAAGGCAAAGAGUAGGAGCUGACGAAUACGGGGAUCAAGAGGGAAAAACUGCUUGCUUGUAAAACUACUUUCAAGCGAAUCUGAUAAAAUUAUUUCAGUACUCGUGGGCGACUCCUUUUUAAACUGCAGAAGGGGGAAAAAAAAAGUCUGAAUUUCAAUAUAUUAAUCUCGUAAUCAAUGAUUAAUUAGUAGAUAAUCUUUCUAACAAAUAUGUGUUGAAUAGAUAUAUUUCUUGAUUAGUAGUAGGUUCGAUAUACUUUACUAUAGGAAUGAAAGUACAAAUUGUGUCAUAUUAGAAUACAAAUGGGACCUAAAAAUCCCGUUUUAUGGCCUUUUAAUUAUUUGUCAGCUAAUAAUGAAGUCAUAUACAAAAAUUAUUAAUCUGACCUAGUCUUUAAGUCUUAUAAAUGUUUCUAGAUUUUUAAUUAUAAUAUCAUUAUUUAAAAAAUAUUGCUUGACUUACAUUAGUAACAUUACGAUUGUUCAUAAAACAUGUGAUCCUCAUCCAAAGGCCAGGUGAACAAAUAUAAACGACAAAUUCUUUUCAAUUAAAUAAUCAUCAAGAGAUAAUCUUCUAUUUCAGUACAAAUAGCGAGUGCAGAACAGCUGUCAAGAGAUAAUCAUUGUUUAUGGAGCCAUAUAUAUUUUCUAUUAAAAUAGUUCGUGAACAAUUGCCAGAAUCCGUAAAAAUUGUUGAAAGGUCUAUUAUUUUCGAUUAAAAUUGUUGAAAGGUCUAUUAGUUUCGAUUAAAAUAUUUUCGAUUAAAAUAGUUGCGUGAAUAAUUACCAUAGAUAGUGUUUACAUUUUGGAUUGGACUGAAAAUCUUGAAAAGUAGAAAUCUUGGGAUUGAGAGUAUGGAGUAAAAGUGGGUGUAAGUUGUUUACUUACACUGGAAUAUCAGCAUGGAAUAAAGAUUAUAAUCCAAUUUAUGUGUUUACUUUAUCUUGGAUUGGGAGUAAAUAGUUUCAAAUUAUAAUUUUAUCUUUAUUUAAAGAAUUAUAGUUUUUAAUUACAAAGUUAAUAAAAAAAUAUAUUUAAUGAAUAAAAAUUUAUUUUAUUAUAUUUGUAAAUUUAUAAUAAUUAUUAAUAUUCUUAAUUAUGUACAUCAUAAUUUUUUAUUAAUUUUAAUUUUAAUUAUAUAAAUUAAAAAUUAUUGAUAAGAGCAAUGUAAAUGAAACAUUUUUACUAUUAACAUAGUACAAAAUUAAUAUUUUCUUAUAAUUAACUAUUUAUUAUUACUAAUUAUUGAUAUUAAAUAAAUAUAAUACUAUUAUUUUUAAAUAAAUAUAAUAAUAUUAUAUUUUCAAAUAAAGAUAGUAUAUAGUAAUAUUAUUAAUUCUCUAUUAAUAUAAUAAUAUUAUUUUUAAGUAAUUUAAACUUAGAAUCAAACCAAAUUAUUAUUUAGUUAAAUAUAAUAAUAUUAUUUAAAUAAAUAAAAUAUUAUUUAUUUUAUUUUAUUAAAUAUAAUUAUAGUAAAUUUAAUAAAAGGGGGUUAAAAAAGGAAGGUAAAUAUAAAAUGAAAUAUUUUUUAUUUAAUUAUAUUAAAUUUAUUAUUAUAUAAAUAAUAAUAUAAUAUUAUUUAGUAUAAAAUUAAUAUUUUCUUAGAAUAAACUAUUUAUUAUUAUUAAUUAGUAAUAUUAAAUAAAUAUAAUACUAUUAUUUUUAAAUAAAUAUAAUAAUAUGAUAUCUUCAAAUAAAGAUAGCAUAUAGUAAUAUUAUCAAUUCUCUAUUAAUAUAAUAAUAUUAUUUAUUUUAUUUUAUUUUAUUAAAUAUUAAAUAUUAAAUUUAAUUAAAUAAAGGUAGAAAAGGGAGAGGUAGGAGUGGGUUUCCCAUGGGAGUCCCACUCACACUCCCCACUCCAAAAAUGGGUGGGGUCCACGGAGUGGGAUUCCCAAUCCCUCCUUAAAAUAGUGAAGAAAACACUGAAGUUAGAGGAAUUCACACUGCGCACACUCACUCCAGAAAGUAAACAUCGAAAAAGCCAAAGGAUGAAGAACCACUAUAAGUUCUUUUAUGAAUUUAAAAUGCUAAAGAAACUUGACACCAACGCUAAGCUAACAAGUGCAUAUUUUUCUGUGGCCCUUGCCUCAAUGUCUUUCGGGCAUUGCUCGGGGGUAGUUGAUAUACUGAUUAAAAUAUGAAUGAAUUGGAAUGGAAUGAGUUGGAAUUAAAAUAUGGAAUGAUAAUUAAUUAAUUUAUUUAAAUUGUAAAAAUUAAAAUUAAAAUAAAUUAUAUCAUCAUUGAUAUAUUUAUUUUAUUUUAAAAUCACGAUGAGUUGUUACAAAUUACAAAAUAUCUUUAAUUUUUUAUCAUAAUAAUUAUUAUUUAUUAUAAUAUUUUGUUGGCCUAAAUGGUUAUAUAAUCCUUGAUUUUGAUGAUAACAAACUACAUAGAGUACAAUGGUAAAUUUAUUUCUCACAAUUUCACAAGUUUUUGAAGGGCAAAAAUCAUUCAAGUGAGAUCAAGAUCAAGAUACUCAAUAGACAAUGACAAUCAAGGAUGACUACUAAGGGUACUAGUUUACGCAAUCUUUAUUGUUAAAUUUCUUGUAAAGCUAGUAUAAUUUAACGUGUGCAUGAUGUAACAUUUAAAAGCUCAAGAUAUUUUUCAUGACAUUUUCAAAUUAAAUCAUCAUUUUCUAUAAUAUAAAAGUUUUAACGAUUUUAUAAAAUUAGUUGCUUUUUCCAAAUUUAUGGACUAAAUUGAAAAGUUUUGAGAACUUUGAAAUCAACUAAUAAUGUUUUAAAUCAUAGAAAUUGACAUAUUUGUAAAUAUUUCAAACGUUUUGGGUCGUAAUAUAAUUUCAAAAAAUUAGGUCUAAUCUAUAAAUCCUGGAACAAUAGUGGCUAAUCGCUUAACCAAUAGCGGCUAACUACUUCAAGUCCAAAAACAUAGCAGCUAACCGCUUAAAUCAAGUGGUAAUCCACUUGAACCAAAGUUUUCAAAUUUGAUUUGCAACUGUAACUUACCAUAUCAACAUAGUGGCUAAUCGCCUCAUUUUAACGGCGAUCCAGCAAGUCCCUAGAAAAACCAAUAAUUGCUAGUUUGAUUGUUUAAACUAUAAAAUUCAAAUCUAACAAUUUUUUUCAAUCUCAAUUAAGCUAAAACUUAUUCAUAUAUCUUGAGCUUUCAUUUUGCUUAUCUACAUACAUUAAUCAUUAUAGAGCUAUCAUUUGCUUAUACACUCUUAUAGAGUGUAAUCUUUGUAAUCUUCAAUUAAUAUCAAAAUUGAGUGAGUACAAGUGUGGGAAACACUUGGAAAAAGAGGUGUGUGUAUACAUAAUUACUUGUAAAGGUUUAUUAACACCGUAUAAGUCAAUUGUAAAAUUUUAGAGCCUUGGAAGGUUUGGAUAGUAGAAUUCUCAAGUUUGGAUUACUUGGAGGCGUAGUCAUAGGCGGGUUUGCCGAACUACAUAAAAAUUCAUCUGUUUGUUAUCUUCUCCCUUAUCUUUUUAAUUUCACGCAUAGUUAAAUUUACCAUUAUUAAAUUUCUUGAAGCAUUUGUUUAAUUUGUAUUGUGUUUUUGUUAGUAUAAUUUUUAAUACCUAAUUCACCCCCUCUUGGGUUGCUUAGCUAGAAUUUCAUUUGGUAUCAAAGGAAGUUCUCUUGUUAGGACUUAACCAUCUAGAGUAAAAGAUCCAUAGUAAUCCAAAAUGAUCCCAGAUUUGGGGAAGGUUAAUCCCUUCUAGAUCACCAUUCUUUGAUGGGAAUGAUUAUCCAUGUUGGAAAAUUAUGAUAAGAAUUUAUUUGCAAGCAUUAUAUUAUGAAAUAUAGGAAGUUGAUUGUGAUGGUCCAUUCAUGCCUACUGCUAAAAAUGAAGAAGGGAAAGAAAUUCUAAAACCUUCACAAGAAUGGAAUGAGUUGGAAAAGAGAAAAGAUUCUCUUAAUUUCAAAGUCAUGAAUGCUUUGUUUUGUGCCUUAGAUAAAAAAAAAUUCUAUAGAGUUUAAGGUUGUUCCAAUGCUUAUGAAAUUUGGAAAAAACAUAAAGUCAUUUAUAAAGCUACAAAUCAAGUCAAAUAAUAUAAAAUUAGUAAAUAUAGUAGGCAAUACGAAUUGCUAUAAAUGGAACAAAAUGAGAGUGUUAAUCCCAUAUACACUAGAUUAACAGACAUUAUAAACACUUUAGGAACUCUUAGAAAGACCUUUUCAAACAGCGAGAAGGUAAAAAAAAUCAGAAGGUCUUUACCAAAAGAAUGGAGACCUAAGAAAAUUGCCAUUAAGGAAGCCAAUGAUACUUUAUUUAUUGAUGAUUUAAUUAGUUCAUUUAUUUCUUAUGAAAAGGAUUUGACAACUGAAAAAUAUAUUGAAGACUAGAAGAAGAAGAGUAUUUCCUUAAAAGCAUCAAGAUCUAAAAGUGACAACGAAAGUGAGAUCGAAAAUGAAGACAUGGCUAUGAUAGCUGGAAAAAUCAAAAUAAUUUUCAAGAAAUCCAUCGAGCGAAGGAAAUUCAAAAAUCAGAAAGAGAAGAAGGAGGCAAUUAUUUGCUUUAAAUGCAGGAAGCCUAGGCACAUAAAACUAGCAUGUCCUUUUCUCAAAAAAUUAAAGAAGAAAGCCAUGGUAGCAACACGGGAUGAUAGCGAUAAGGAGACUAUAGAUGAAGAGUAGUCCCAUGAAGUGUCAAAUUUGGCACUUAUGGUUAUAGGAGAUGAUUAUAGGAGAUGAACUUGAUGAGGUAAACCUCUUAGGAUGAGUUGUUUGAAGUAUUCUCUAAAUUGCAUAAAGAUUUAAAGAAGAUUGAAAUGUAAAAUGUUUCUCUUGGAAAGAAAAAAGUAGAACUUUUAAAUGAGAAUGACACUUUGAAUAAAAAGAUUAAGUGCCUAGAAGUAUUUGUGAAGAAAUUGCAUCUUUUAAAGAAAAAACAAAAUGUUUCAUCUAAGAAUAAAGGUUUACUUGUAAAUGAUUUGAAAAAGAAAAAUGAAAUAUAUUGCUUUAGAAUUUGCUUAGUAUUAGUAAAUUGUGUGAUAAAGGUUACAAAGUUAUUUUUAUGUGAUAAAGGCUAUAGAGUUAUUUUUUAUAAAACAAAAUGUAUUAUUAAAAAUGCAUGUGAUGACAAAGUUUUAUUUGUUAGAUAAAGAUGUGUUAAUGUAUACACCAUUGAUAUAGAUAGUGUAUCAACUUAUGAUAAAUAUUUUUUUCACAUUACAUGAUGAUAGUUGAUAUGGCAUGGAAGACUAGGUCAUGCGAGCAUGGAUUUGAUUUCAAAAUUUUUUUAAAAUGAUUUGGUUAUAGGUCUUCUAAAAAUUGGUUCUAAAAAAGAUAGAAUUUGUGAAGUUUGCCAAUUUAGAAAACAAAUAAAACGUCCUUUAAAAAUAAAAUUCAUAUUUCUACUUCAAAACCACUUUAACUUUUUCACAUGGAUUUGUUUGAAUUUUCUAAAUAUGCUAGUUUAAGUGGUAAAUAUUAUGCAUUUAUAAUUAUAGAUGAUUAUUCUAUAUACACAUGGUAUUACUCUCAACUAAUAAAGAUGACACCUUUAAUGCUUUCAAAAUUUCUAUAAAAAGAUUCAAAAUGAAAAAUGAUAUGUUAUUUCUUCCAUUAGAAGUGAUCAUGGUGGAGAAUUUGAAAAUUAUAUUUUGAAAAUUUUUACAAUAACUUUGGCAUUGAGCAUCAAUUCUUGUCACCAAGAACUCCACAAUAAAAUUGAGUAGUUGAGAGAAAGAAUAUGUCUAUCCAAGAAAUGGCUAGGACCAUGUUAAAUGAAAAUACUUUACUAGAAUAUUUUUGGGUUGGAGCCGUCAACAUUGUUUGUUAUAUUUUAAAUCAUGCAUUGAUUAGACCUUAUCUCAAUAAAACUCCUUAUGAGCUUUGGAAAAAUAGAAAAACAUUGACUAUUUCAAAGUUUUUGGUUGCAAAUGUUUUCUAUUGAAUACAAAAGACAAUCUUGGUAAAUUUAAUCUAAAAUCUUAUGUUGAUAUUUUUCUUGGGUAUUCAAAUACAAGCAAAACUUAUAGAGUGUAUAAUAAAAUAUCCUUGGUCGCUAAAGAAUCUAUACAUGUUAUGUUUGAUGAAUCUAACUUUUCUUCUAUGAAGAAAGUUGUUGUUGAUGAUGAUGCAUAUGAAGAGUUACAAAAACAAAAAGUCUUUAAAAGACAAACAAUAUGAUUUACCAGGUAAAAAUCAAGAUGAGCAACAAGAAGAACAAGUUAAACAGAUUCAAAAUAAAGGUAAUUCACAAACACUCUCUAAGGAGCUAAGGUAUGUCUCUUCACACCCUAAAGACUUAAUCUUAGGAGAUCCUUCAUGAGGUGUAACUACGAGAUAAUCACUUAGAAAUACAUGUGAACAUACUGUAUUCAUAUCUCAAGUUGAACCAAAAUCCUUUUCAGAUGUGGAAAAUGAUGAAUCUUGGAUUAUAGCAAUACAAGAAGAGUUAAAUCAAUUUGAAUGAAACAAUGUAUGGAAACUUAUUCAUAAACCAUAACAUCAAUCUGUAAUAGGCAGUAAAUGGGUAUUUAUGAAUAAAAUUGAUGAAUCUAGUGUGGUUGUAAGGAAUAAAGUUAGAUUAGUAGCUCAAUGAUGCAACCAAAAAGAAGAAAUUGAUUUUGAUGAAACCUUUGCACAUGUAUCUAGAUUAGAAUCCAUUACAUGCUUUUAUUAUUUGCAUAUCAUAAUGAUUUUAUUUUAUAUUAAAUGGAUGCUAAAAGCACCUUUCUAAAUAGUUGUAUUAUGAAGGAAGCUUAAGUGAAACAACCCCCUCAUUUUAAAAACGAAAAAUGUUUUUGGAUCAUGUUUACAAAUUGUCCAAAGUUUUAUAUAGUUUAAAGUAAGCAUCUAGAGCAUGAUAUGAUAGACUUAGUAAAUUUCUUUUAGAAAAUAGUUUUUCAAUGGGUAAAGCGAAUACUACUCUAUUUGUUAAAUACAAGGAUCAAGGUAUACUUGUUCAAAUUUAUAUUGAUGAUAUUAUCUUUAGUUCUACUAAUGAGUUUCUGUGUAAGGAAUUUUCAUCUUGCAUGAGUAGAGAAUUUGAGAUGAGCAUGAUGGAAGAAUUGAAGUACUUUCUUGGACUUAAAAUUUAAGAGAAAAAAAAGAAUUCAUUAAUCAAGCCAAGUAUUUCAGAGAUCUACUCAAAAGAUUUUGCAUUCAAGACUAAGGACACUCCAAUGAGUACUACAAUCAUGCUCGAUAAGGAUAAAAAAAGUAAAGAUGUUGUAUCAAACGAUAUCGAGGUAUGAUCAUAUCUUUACUUUACUUUACUGCUAGUAGACAUUACUUUAGUGUAUGUUUGUGUGCAUGAUUUCAACCAUAUCUCAAAGAAUCUCAUUUUCUUGCAGUUAAAAGAAUUUUUCAUUAUUUAUGAGGAACAAUUGAUCUUGGUCUAAGGGAACUCAUAUAAAUUAUUAGCUCAAUAAAUUUGUCAAAGAAUCUCAUUGAACAUUCUAGGACCAAACAUAUUGAAACUAGGCAUUAUUUCUCACGUGAUCAUGUUCAAAUGAGAGAUAUUGCUUUAGAAUUUGUUUCUAUGGAAAAAUAACUUGCUGAUAUUUUUACAAACCCUUUUUGUGAAGAAUAGUUUUCAAAGAUUUAGAUUGAGUUUGGAAUGAUGACAUUUUCACAUCAAUAUUUCAUUGCAUGAUAUUGAGACUACAAAUUUGCUUAAUUUUCUAUCUUGAUUGAUUGUACGAUAAAAACUUGAUUUUAAUGUGUUAUAUGCUUGAAUUUACUUCUUUGAAUGUUUAUCAUCAUAUCUUAUGCAUUAAAAAUGGCUUUUAAAAUACUUCAGGAUCACAAAAUGGUCUCAAAAUUAAUUAAAUUUUGGCCAAAAAGCAAAAUCGUGCAAAAUCUAGGGGAACUAGCUAACCGUUAACCACAAGCAACUAGCCAAUUGUGAGGCAGAAACUAGCUGGCCAGCCGGCUCAAAGCAAACGGUUAAUUGCUUGGUUUCUAAAAAUGAAACAGUUAACUGCUUUCUUCAAGAGGCUAGCUGGCUUCACGUUUUCAAAUGUUGUUCAUCUUCUUUUUCCCACUUUUAGUUGUUACCCUCUCUCUAUCACUGUCAUCUCUCAUUUCUUUUAACCUCUCUCUAAAAUCUUCCAUUUUUACAUCACUUUUGUGUCAAGUUAAACUUUCCAAAUCAUUUCCCAUCAAUUAAUCUUCACACAUUUGCUUUUAAAACACAAUCUAAUCACUCUUCUCUCAAAAUCUUAAAGCUUAAGUCACCAGUUUCAAUAUUCUCAAAUUUGAACCAUUAUUUGACCAUUUUCGACCAAAAUAAACCCAUACAUUCCUUAGAUCUUCUCAAAGAACAUUUUAAUCGGUUCAAAGUCAUCUAUUUCUUUAAAAACUUUGUGAACUCGAAUUUGUGCAAUUUUGGACACAUUUUGAUAAUUUCUUAAUGGCUAGUGGUGAGAAGUCCAAGGGUAAGCAUAUGCCUAAAAUGUAAAAAAAAAAAAGAUUCAUAAAGACAUUAUGAAAUUCAUUUCCACCCACUUCCCAAAUCCGCCUCAAUGGAAUGAUUCUCUGAUCGAUUUAUGACAAGGUCAGUCCUCCCAUACUAUAUAUGUUAAUCUUGAUUAAUUAGAAAAUUUGUCAUGUUGUAGCAAAACUCUUAGAACUUUACUUGCUGAAUUGGGUUGGACAAAUGUCUUAGUUCUUAAGGAACAUAUUUGUCCUAAUUUGGUACGAGUAUUUUAUUCGAACAUGCUUAUUUCUACAAAUACUGCCAAUAUGAUUAUUACUAAUGUUAUUGGGAUUCCUAUUAAGUUUACUGUAGAAGAUUUAAACAUGAAUCUCAUAUGAUAGGUUGCAUUUGUAUACAUCUAGGACUAAAAUUGAUUAUCCCUGGUAUUUAGUUGUAGAUGAUGUUUGAAACAUAGAUGUUCGAAACAUAUGUAGGUGAUCUGAUCUAUCCAUGGAGCUUUUUAACUCCUCUCUUAGAUCACAAGUGUUGCCUCUUCAAGUUCGGAUCCUACAUAGUGUCCUUCAGCUUGUGAUCAGUCCUCGCAAGGGACAUGGUGCUGAGGUUACACGCUUAGAUGUUACUUUAUUAGAUAGCAUCCUUGAGGGUAAAAGCUAAAUGUGCGAAUAUUAUCAUUCAGCACAUGCUUAAUACACUGAGUAUAGGAAACCGAUCCUUUUCGGUCUGUAGUGUCAUUACCCAUAUCCUUCAAUAUUUUUGGGUCCCUAUAGCUGAACCAUCUCAUGAUGAACCCAAGGAGUUAAGGGAUGAGGUCAUUGCUAGCUUAGGAUUUGGGUGGGUAGAUGACCAAUAGGUUAAAAAUCAGAACUUGUUGAGCAAACCCACAAAGCUGGCUCUUUUUUAUCAUUGCAUCUUUAACGAUGUGCUUCCCCUUACUGGGUUCUUGAUCUUAGUUCUUCCCUGAGGUCACAAGCUCUGCAUUGGCCUUCUGAUGCUCCACCAUCAUCAUCUUCAGCCAUUCCCAAUAACCCAAUCUAGCAGUUGUUGAAUAAAGUGUGUUCCAUAUCCGAACAGUAAAGCGAGCUUAAGAUAUCGUUCGCAGCAUUCCAGGAUCAUUUUCUUUCUGAGCAGCAACAUCUCUUUCUUCAACAAUAACAAAUUCUAGACCAUCACCAGCUUAUUUUCAUUGCUCUUAAAUUUUCACCACCAUCCUUAUUAUCAUGUUUGCUGCUUCAUCAGUGAUUUUCUUUUAUCUCUUUUGCUUCCUUGUUUUAUGCACCGACAUUAUUUAUCAUAUGCAUUUUCGUUUUUAGCAUUAUGGAUACUUGAUGGAUGUUAUUUUACUUAUGCAUUAUGGAUACUUGAGUUGAUAUGGAUUAUCUUUAUGCAUUCUAGUUAUUGAUUGUGGUAUCUUUAUUAAUUAUCUUUAUGGAUUAUCUUUAUUGAUUAUGGAUUAUGUAUAUGGAUACUUGAUUAAUGGUCAUGUGUGGAUUUUCGAUUGAUGAUAUUUGUGGGGGAUAAUUAUUGAUAAUAUUUGUAUAAUAGAGGAGUGAUUUUUCAUGAUGAAGGGAGAGAAGAUAUUGACAUGUAUUUUGAAGUGUUUUGACAUGUUUUUGGCUCAUGGGGGUUGAUUGAGUGUUUGUAGUAUUUUAGUUACUUUCUGAGUCACUCAAGGAGAGUUUACAAAUGUUGUACAAUUAUAUGGAUCAUGUACUUAGAGGGAGUGAGUUUAUAUAUUUGGUUAUAUUUUUUGAAUUAUGUCAUAUACUCAAGGGCAAUAGAAAUGUCAAAAUACAUAGGGUGUUUGUCAUCAUAAAAAAAGGAGAGAUUGUUGGGGUAAACGACUAUAUGAUCCUUAAUUUUGAUGAUAACAAACCACAUAAGGUAAAAUGAUAAAUUUAUUUCUCACAAUCUGACAAGUUCUUGAAGGACAAAAAUCAUUCAAGUGAGAUCAAUUUCAAGUCACUCAAUGGACAACAACAAUCAAGGAUGAAUACUAAAGGUACUAGCUUAAUUAAUCUUCAUAGCUAUAUUUCUUAUAAAGCUAAUAUGAUUUAAUGUAUGCAUGAUUUAGUAUUUAAGAGUUCAAGAUAUUUUUCAUACAAUUUUCAAAUUAAAUCAUCAUUUUCUAUAAUAUAAAAGUUUUAAACGUAAAUAAAAAUGAUUUUAUAAAAUUAAUUGUUUUCAAAUUUAUGGACUAAAUUGAAAAGUUUUGAGAACUUUGAAAUUAAUUAGUAAUGUAUUAAAUUCUUGAAGUGGACCUAUUUGUAAAUAUUUCAAAAUUUUAGGCCAUAGUAUAAUUUUAGGAACUUUUAGUUUAAAUCUAUAAAAUUUGAAACAGUAGUGACUAACCACUUAACGAAUAGUGGCUAACUGCUUCAGGUCCAAAAACAUAGCUGCUAACCAUUUAAAUCAAGCGACGAUUUGCUUAGGCAAAAAAGUUUUUAAAUUUUAUUUGUAACGGUAACUUGCCACAUCAAUAUAGCGACUAACUUCUUUAUUUUAGCAGCAAUCCGGUAGGUCCUCAGAAAGUCAAUUAUGACUAGUUUGAUUGUUUAAACUAGAAGAACCCAAAUCAAACUCAAAUCUAACAACUUUUUCAAUCCCAAUUAAGUUAAAACUUGUUCAUACAACUAAUCUUGAGCUUUCAUUUUACUUAUUUACAUGCAUUUAAUCAUUAUUGAGUUAUCAUUUGCUUAUACACUCUUAUAGAGAUUAAUCUUUGUAAUCUUCAAUUAAAUAUCAAAAUUUUGUGAGUAUAAGAGUGGGAAACACUUGGGGAAAGAGGUAUGUGUACACAUCACUACUAUAAAAGUUUAUUGACACAUUAAAAGCCAAUUGUAAAAUCUUGGAGCCUGAGAAGGCUUGGAUAGUGGAAUCCUCAAACUUAGUUUGCUCGAGGCAUAAACAUAGGCGAGUUUUGCCGAAACACGUAAAAAUUCAUUUGUUUGUUAUCUUCUCCCUUAUUUUUUUAAUUGCAUUCAUUGUUAAAUUUACUAUUAUAAAUUUCUUAAAGCAUUUGUUUAAUUUGUUUUGUAUUUUUGUAAGUAUAAUUUUAAUACCCAAUUCACCGCCCUCUUGGGUUGUGUAGAUAGAAUUUCACAUUUGUUGUACAACAACAACAACAACAACAAUAACAAUAACAAUAAUAAUUGUUAUAAUGGUUGGAACAAUUACUAUUGAAAAACUUUUAUUGUUAAUAAUAGUAGAAAAUAAGAACAAAAAAGGAAAUUAUCCAAUAACCAUGUAAUCUUUGGGUCUUUUUUAAAAAUACACAGAAACGUUUUUCUUUGUAGAAAUCCACCUAGAGUUUAUUAAUUAUUCACUGUCAUCUUAGCUCAUUAGAAUCUUGUUGAUGUCAUAAGAUUAAAAUUAUCAUUUUACUUGAACACCUAAGAUUAAAGUUAUCCUUUAGAGUUUCUUUCGCUGGGGCUGGUGACCUUAGUGGUUAGAUUUGCUAGAUAUGGUCGUGAGAAACUCGACAAUGGCCGAGGAUUGGCUGGAUUCACGGUGGUUUGGUCAAAAAGUUGACUUGAAUUGGCAUAUGUGGUGCUUCAUUCAUGUUAGAGAUUUCGAUUGCGAUUUGGAUAUCGACAAUGAGAAAGUGGCGUUUGCGGUGGCGCUAGGUGAGGCCCGGGUUUUGGGUUAGCAUUGUGGCGGUUUAUGGCGGUGAUCAUUGGUGGGUUUUGUCAAGUUAUGACCAGUGGAAUCUAGCAAGUUUAGUGGUGGUCUUGGUUGACAGUGAAGAUGGUUGGUUUCACGGUGGCAGCUGGUGGAUGCUCCCAGUUUUUAGGUCUAGAUGAUUUAUAGUAGGUACAAGCGGCGAUUGAUGGCAGGAGUGGCUAAGGUUUGGUAAGUAGUGGCUAAUGAGUUUGGUAGAGGGAUUAGCCAAUGAUGAACUAUUAGUGAAGAGUGGCAGUGGCGGUGGGCGGCUGCUAAGGUUUUGUAAUUUUGUAAUAUUUUUUUGUUGGAUAAACAAUGAUGGAUUUGGUGGGGAUGGAUAUGGGUAGCCAGGAAAACUGUGCAAUUGGCAUUGAACCACUCUAAUACAAACUAACAAAUUGGAAUAGCGGAAGUGGAAUUGAUAGGUCGGAAAUAUUAGCUAUUGUUAUAAUACUGGCUAAGGUAAUGUGGAUAGUUUACGUCCUAAUCGAAACGUGUAGAUCUCAUUCUAACAAUGGCUCAAUGAGAUUUUAAUAACGCAUAAAGCGAGAUUAGACGACGUUCUAAUCCAAAUAACUUUGCAAGAGAGAUUUUAAUAAAUAAUUUUAGAGGGAAUUAUUAAAAAGGGCUUUAUUAGUUGAUCAAUAGUUGAAGUUACAAUAAUAAGAUUUUGAUUUAUAAUAUAAUAAACCUACUUCACUAAGUUAACUUAAAAAGAAAAACUAAAUCACAAUUUUAAUAGAAAUAAAAAAACUAAGACAUAUACCAUAGUUGACUAUAAUUAAAAUAGAAAACGAUAAAAUAAUAAAAAUUAUAAAAUCCUAAAACAAUGUCUACAUCAUAUCCUCACUAAAAUAAAAAUAUAAAAGUAAAGCAAAUUGUGGUAUAACAGACUUUAAUUCUAUCACUCUUCAAUUUUUUUGUUUAUUAAUUAAUAUUGGUGUCUAUGGUUAAAUUUGUUAUUUUUUAUAACAAUUUUAUUUGUUAAUUGAAAUAUUUAGUCUAUGUAAACAAAAAAAAAUGGUUGGAGAGAAUGAGAGAGGAAGGGGGGGAGAGAGAGAGAACAAAGUCAAACAAAUAAUUUAAUGAAUUAUAUUUUUAAAAUUAAAUUUUAAUUUGAUUAAAUAAAUGAUGUAGUGAGAAAAUGAGUAGGUUCAAAUAGCUUUACUUAUAUUUAUUUCAUUAAUGGCUCAAAAUUUAAUGAAAAUAAAUGGUUUUAAAAAAUUGCAUUUAAGUUGCAUAAUUCAAUGAGUAGUGCCACACAUCCUAAAUCUUUUAUCUUAAAAAAUUAUCCCAAAUGAUAUAGUAUUCAUCAAUAGAUUGAAGAGAUAAUACAAUUAAUUCACUCAAAUCUUGAAAGAAUUACCUACUAUUCAAGUAAUGACACACCAUUUGGGAUAUCUAUCAUUACUCUAAUUGAAAAUAAACCUAUCACUGGAUGAUUAAUUAUGGUAGGUUUGCUUAAUACUAAAAUGCCACUCAUAAGUUUUGUUUGGAUUUGUAAUUGAUUUAUCUUAAUCCUUCAACUUGACAUAAGGUCGUUCUCCUCGUUUCUGUACACUUAAAAGUCACCCAGAUCAAAACUAGAUCUAUCGUUGCAUUUGCUUGAAAAAUAAUUUACAAGUAAUAAGUUCUCGUGAUUAAGCAACAUUUUUAAAGGGUUAUGAUAGUAGUGGAACCGUGAUACAAUUUGUAAAUAUUAGAUGGAUUGUUGAAAACAAUAAAAAAUGCUUGUAUGUUUUUUAUAAGGAUCUCCCUAUCUUACAUGCAUGUAAGAUAGGAAUUGCCUUUUUAUAAAGGCUAAAAGAUAAAGUGGUGCAUGGAUAAUUACUUUUUUUUUCCCUUUUUAUCUUAAUCAUGUUUGAACGACAUCCUUUUAUAGUUCCCAGACAUUCUGCAACUAUAAUAGACAAUUUUAAUAGGAACUACAGAGAAAAUAUUAAUAUUUUUAUACUUAUUCACUUACCUGAUGGAUAGUUAGAUAAGUGUUACUUUUCACACAACUAGACCAAAUUAGUACCCUUUUUGGUUUGUGAAAACGUGAUUUUUAUGAAUAUGCUAUAGAUGCUUUCAAAUGUUUCUACAGUUUACGAAUUUACGCAUUAAACGAAAACCUCCAACUAUCAAAUAAAAAGGUGAAAAUUCAAUAGAAUCGACAACUUCUCAGACUCACGUAGGUGGUGGUUCAAGUUUCUAAACUACUAUUAUUAUUAACAGUUUUGAAAAGCAAAUAGUAACUUCAUUUCACAGCAUCUGCUUUUGAGAAAGCUCAGAUGUAAUCAAAAUUCCAAAACCACUCUAAAUAUGUUAGGGAUAUGACCAUAAAUAGAAGUUAAAUAUGAUAGGAUAUAUAGUUGUUCAUAGCUAACAUUUGAUGGUUUAAUUAUUUGUUCUAGGGAUUAUGCGCUGAUUAGUGUUUUUUGUUAUCCGAUGAAUGAUAUUCAGUUUUUCUUACAUGCUCAUAGGCAAGAGCAUUUUCUAAGUACUUUCCUUGCCUUCAAAUUUUGAAAGAAAGAUAGAUAUGAUAUGUGACGCAAGCCCAAUGAAAUAAGCAAAUAAAAUAGAAUAAACGAAGCAAAAAUAUUUCUAGAAACAAGAAAUGACAAAGGAAACACGAAUACAACUUUUUUCUUGUUUUCCUUAUUUUCCUCUGUUAAGCUCCAAAAUGAAUAACUUUAUUCUACCAUCUCUCAAAUAAUAACAUCAACAGCACAUAAUCGUCAUCAAUAAUAAUAAUAAUAAUAACAAUAAUAAUUUAACUUUGUAGGAUGGAGCUCUCGCAAAUCUUCAAGACACAAAAUGUGCUUGACCCCGUUGUUGUUAUUAUAAUUUCAAAAUCAUUUGUAUUAUAUAAAAUUAGGGAAUAAAACAUAGCAAAAUUGAUGGUACAAAUGUUGCAAUAUAUUUUUUCAUGUAGCAACACAUUGAAGUAAAGAAAAGCAAAACAACGAAAAAUGUAACGGGAGAGCUCUCAUUAUGUAGAUUUUCAAUAGAAGUAAUGAAAAUUUCACAAGGACAAUGGCCUUAUUUCGAAUGCUACACCUGGGGAAUGGCUUGAAUCUUUUAUAGAACUCACACUAUUAUAAAAAACGCUAAACAAUGACAAAAAUUUUAUAACAUAUAUCGAUAUGUCAAAAUCAUUUGAUGGUACAUUUUAUAACAAAAAAUGAAAAAUGUAACGGGAGAGCUCUCAUUAUGUAGAUUUUCAAUAGAAGUAAUGAAAAUUUCACAAGGGCAAUGACCUUAUUUCGAAUGAUGCACCUGAGGAAUGACUUAAAUCUUUUAUAGAACUCACACUACUAAAAAAACGUUAAAUAAUGACAGAAAUUUUAUUACAUAUAUAGAUAUGUAACAAAUGUAUCAUGAAAGUGUGAUAGAUUUGUAACAUAUAUUCAUAUGUCUAGAGUUUAUGACAUAUUCAUGACUUAUAACUUAGGGAAAUUUACGAAAAUAACCAUUAAUAUUUUAUUAUUUUCGCAAUUAAUCCUGUCAACUUUUUUCUAUCAACAUUAGCCAAACACAAGCCUUUCUUCCCAAAUUACCCUUCUUUACAGAACAAAACCAACAUUGUUUCUCCCAUGUCGCCAAACCAAAAGCAGCUUGUCACUCUUGAAUCAUCAGCCAACGGCGACCACAAAAGACAACGAUAAAAGUGAUAUCCGAUCAUAAUCUAUCCGGAUCCAACACAAAUCGACAUCAUUUAGUGGUAUGAAUUAUUUUCUGAACUUACUGAACUGAGUUGGGUGAAUCUGAAUCUGCCGACAGGCUAAUGUCGCAGUAAAACUCGGUGCGACAGGCGCCUGUCGCACCGAGCAAGGUGCGACAGGCACCCUGUCGCACCAAGAUUCGGGCGACAGGUUGUCUGUCGCACCCACCCUGGAGAUUCAUUAAAACUGUAUUAUUUUAAUAGGACUGAAAUAAAUUUUUUUUUAUAAUUUCAGGCUUAAUGGAUUCAGUUGUACUUGAAUUGUGUUACGAUGGUUGGUGGGAGACAUUAGAGAAUGGUCGUAUGGAGCAUGUGAAUGGUAAAAAUCGAGCUUUUUUGGUUGGAAAAAAUUAUCUGUUUGAUCAGUUAUUGGCAAGAGUAUACGAGGUGUUACAAAUAAACCCUAAUGAUUAUAGUAUCACAAUGAAGAUAACUUUGAGGUCUAGUAACACAUUAUAUCGUAUAUGUGCAAUGCCCAUGGAUAUAUGUGAUGAUGAAAUGGUGAGGGUUGUGUUGCAUAUGGCAUUUGACGUAGCUAAUGUUGGAUGCAUUCCUAUAUUCGUGACCACAUCACCUUGAGUUCCGAGCGAAGGUAUUGAGCCACUUGUCGAUACAGAAACUUCGUUUAGAGCAAAUAUGUCUGGCCCCGAUAAUGAUGAAGAGGUGUUGCCAAGGACAAUAUCGUUGCAGCAAUAUUACUCUCCAAUCCACGAAAAUUAUGACAACAUUGAUGAUAAUGGCGUUACGUUACAGGAUGUUGGAGCAACGGUAUUUCCAAUAACAACGUCGUUGGAGCAACGAUAUUCUCCGUAUCACAACAAUGAUUUUCGGGACAAUGAUGAUUUUAAUAAUGAGACAGAGGGGGAUAAUGUUUGUGCAGAACCUUCUAAUAAUACGAGGCGGGGCACUCGUUUCAAUAAUGAUGGUGAUGAUAGAGGAGCCGGUCCUUCGAAUGUUCCGUCGUUUCAGCAUGAGGAUGAGUGUGAAGACAAUACUCCUGUGAAUAACAGAGGCAAUAGACCUAUUCCUUCUACGGUUCGAUCGAGAAGGAGAAUUGACCCCCUUACAAGUCUUGCUCCAACUUUGCCUUCGAACAUGGUUGCUCCAAGCUUUGUUAGCAAUUGUGACUCAGAUGAUAUCAGCGUGGGUAAGCUAUUUGCUGAGAAGAAUGAGCUUAUAUUACAACUACGCAAGGUGGCCUUUAGAGAUAAGUUUGAUUUCAAGAUUGCACAGUCUACUAUGACACGUUUCGAGGCUCACUGUUGUUCAGAAUCAUGUAAAUGGCGUAUUCGAGCAACUAGAAGUUCGAACGAGCAAAAUGUUCCUUGGGUGGUGAAGAGAAUUGAUAAUGUACACACUUGUCAUAAUGAGGUAUUGGUUGAUGGACGUCAUCAAGUAAGGAGCCGGGUUGUCGGUCAUAUUAUCGCAGAAAAAUAUAUUCAAGAUAAGAGGAUUUAUACUCCCAAUGACAUAAGAGCAGAUAUGCAACAGGAAUACGGUGUUCAGUUAACAUACCAGCAGGCAUAUAGGGCGAGAGAAGUUGGUCUUGAAAUAGUUCGCGACAACCCUGCAGAGUCAUACAACUUGCUCCCUAAAUACUCUCACGUACUAACUACAGCGAAUGAGGGUACAGUCACUCACCUCAAGCAAGAUGGAGAUGGUAAUUUCUUAUACUAUUUUGUAGCACUCGGAUCUUCCAUCAAGGGGUUUAUGCAGUACAUUCGGCCUGUCAUUGCUGUAGAUGGUACUCAUCUGAAGGGACUAUAUCGUGGAAGCAUGUUCGUGGCAACAUGUCUUGAUGGUAACAAUCAAUUGUAUCCGUUAGCUAUUGGGAUCAUGGAUUCAGAAAACAAUGAUGCUUGGGAAUGGUUUAUGAUGAAGUUACACGAAGUGAUUGGUGAUAGACCUGAGUUGGUAAUUAUCUCUAAUCGAUGCACUACCAUAAGGAGAGCCGUUCUUAAAGUAUUUCACAAUGCAACUCAUGGCGUUUGUUUUUACCACGUCAAAGGUAACAUUAAGUCACAAUUUAGAAUGUCCAAAGCUCUUUGGGAUGAAUUUGAGCCUGCCUUUAUUAAUGCAGCAAAAGCAUAUGGCCAUGAGGAAUUUAAGAGACAACUUGAGGGGUUGUGGAUGGAUCCACUCGGGUGCGGCUGAUUACCUAGAAAAUAAUGUCGGUACGUGUAAUUGGGCAAGGUCUCAGUUUGAAGGUAGGAGGUACAACAUUCUUACCACCAACAUCGCGGAGAGUGUUAAUGCUUUCAUGAGGGAACCUCAAAAAUUUCCUGUUACUCAUCUUGUUGAUCACUUUAGGAAAACAUUGCAGCAAUGGUUUUAUGAUAGAAAAAUUGUGGCUGAAUCAAUGACUACUCGGCUAACAACAUGGGCGGAUGAAAUAGUCACUGAGAGGAGAACUAUAGCUGAAAGAAUGAUAGUUCGGCCGGUGUCUCCGCAUCGCUUUCAAGUUAUAGGCGGUGGGCUUAAGGAAGGGUUGGUUGACUUGCAAAAGAGAAUUUGCUCCUGCAGAGUGUUUCAGCUUGAUCAGCUUGUGUGUGCUCAUGCAAUUGCGGCGUGUCUAACAUACCGGGUGGAUUUUAUUAACCUUUGUUCAGACUUUUACACUACAGAAUCGUUGGCGAUGGCUUAUGCACAACCAGUGGAGCCAGUUGGUGAUGUGGCUGAUUGGGAAGUUCCAGAUGAAAUUCAGGAGAUGCAAGUAUACCCACCAGUUGAGGCACCACCACCUGGCCGUCGUAAAGAGCUCAGAAUACCCUCGGCUGGCGAGGACGUUGACCGGCGGACUGUAAGAUGCUGCCGGUGUCAUGAACUAGGCCAUAAUAGUAAGCGAUGUAAGAAUCCUAUUGCGUCGACUCGAAGUUAGUUGUAUUUUGUGUGUUAUUCGGUGGUUAAAACUAUUAUUGUUUUUGUGUUUCGUUGGUUAAAACUGUUAUUGUUUUUUGUAUUUCGUUGCUUAAAACUGUUAUUGUUUUUUGUAUUUCGUUGCUUAAAACUGUUAUUGUUUUUUGUAUUUCGUUGGUUAAAACUGUUAUUGUUUUUUGUGUAUUGUACACUUAUAUUUCAUAAAACUUUAUUUUAUUUUAAAGUUCAAAAUGUGAGGCAUUAAAAUUAUAUAAACUUAAGUGCGCAAAUUAAAAAAAAAUUCAAAUUUCAACAUUAAAAUUACUACAUAGGUCUAUAAUAUAAUAUCGUCAUUAAAUAUAUCAACCGCAAUCUUCUUUCUAAAGUACUCGACAUGACUAGCGUUAAACUCCAAUCUAAGCCCAAACAUUAAAUACAUCGUAACCAUCAAUACAAAAACACCGCAAUCGCCAGUUCCGGGCUCUUGUUGCGGCGCGCUCUUAACUGCGAUAACUUUCCACGGGUCUUCACUCCGCAACUCAGGUCGGAUAUUGUAGAAGCCAACAUAUUCCAACCAGCGAGGGAAUAUAACUUCAAGUGGCUUGAAUUUCAACUUGUACCUUUUGUCGUCGCGAAAUGUGAGUAAUGAGUCAUAGAUCCAGACUUUAUUUUUCCGAAAGUCAACUCGUGCUAGUACCCAAUGCGCGCCGUCCAAGUUAACAGGGAUGAGUAAAUGCAUAUAAAAAUUGAAAAACAUGUUCGUUAUAUAUGCAAUUGAAAUACAACAAAGAAAAAGCAACAACUCGAAUAUUUUCAUUAUAGAACAUGUGAAAUGUAAUAAAAUACAUACCAUAUCGACAUCUGUCAUUGAUUUUGACAUUGUGUGCUGUCGCCCACAAAGAUAACUAUUUAAGCGGUCGUCGAAUACUAUUGAAUCGACUGCACAAUUCUCGUUAUUCCAUAACUGAUUCAAGAACACCUAGUACAUAGAUAACCAAGAAAUGCAUAAAUUAAUAAAACUUAAAGGCAAUAAUUAAAAAAAAAUUAAAUAGUAUUUAUAAGUUUUGUCGGCACGUUACCCAAAAAAAUGUGUCAGUAUGUGUGACACGUUGGAGUAAGGCAUUUGGAUACUGCCGUUGUUUCUCGCUAAUCAAGCGGAGAUACUCGUGAAUAUGCUGUAGAGAAACAGAAAUAUUACGAUUUAAAAAAAAUUAUACACAAAUCCACAAUAGAAUACACCACGAGGAAAAUAUAAAUACCUCAUCGCCUAGCCAUCCCAUCGAAGCUGUCCCCAAAAUUAUUUGAAAGAAUGACCGCGGGUGCUGGACUCUCCGGCGGACUCUGCUAUCACCAGUGAACCAUCGAUCAAACUCAGCAAACAAACUAGAGUCCUCCAAUUCUCUAAGUGGAUUUACAUCCACACUUGUACUCAUGUCAAUCGCAUGCUCCAUGAUUUGGGGUCGAGGUAAGGGCCGGACGUUCUGUCCUCGCCUGACCGGAGGAAUCAUGUAAGGACUGUUAUAAACAUAUGACGGUAUGUACGCGCGGCCGAACUUACUAAAGCCCGGAGGCACCUCUGUGAACACCUGCACGCUCUCCCCACUAACAUCCCCGUAGAAACUAUACAAUGACGUGGGCGUAGACAAAUUUUCAUUGCCCACGUCAGUAUACACUCCAUAGUCAUCCGGGGCCUAUACAUUCGCCAAAAAGAACAUAUUAAAUAACUAUCAAAUUAAAAGUUAAACGAACAUAAUUAUUAAAUUUAAAUUAGCUUACCGCAUACGAGCGUGCAGUGGGAGAAUCCUUAUUUGGACGUUUAGAAAAUGUGUCGAUGAAGCCAACAACGGUUUCUUUAAAAUCUUUUAAUUCGGACUUUAUUUCAUACACGUUACGAUCAAUCUUAUCCAGCCGUCGUUGUACAUAAUCAUUAAACUGCUUUGUCCUCGACUAUUACAAAAGAAAAAAAUAAAACUUUAGAAUAACAAUAAAAAAAUAAUAAUUUAUAAAGGAAAAAUAUCGUAUAUUAUUUCUAACCUCAGAAUCCCGUGUGUCAUCAGAGUUGUCUGUUUGCUGGUGGUGGUCAUCAACAGCCACCUCAUCCUCAAAAGUGUCAUGACCCACCUCAUCCUCAAAAGUGUCAUGACGCUGCUCUGGUAUUGGGUUUGGUAUGUCGUCAUGAUCGUCAUGCUCGUCUGAUUGCCUUGUAACCGACGGCAUCGCGUUGAUCGAGGGUUGGUGCUGUAUAAAGUAUCAUUUAAAAUUAGUAAAUGAAAAGCCAAAAAUUUCGAUUAACAAAUUUUUAGUACUUAGAGUAUACCGACCUUAUGAACCCAGUCUGGAAUGCUUGGCAAGUAAUUCUUCACAGAGAGCCAAUAUUUUCUGCUACUCUCCUUUGAAUUUGGCUCAAGAGUUUGUAAAAAGUCCCCCUGCCAUAAAUUCAAUUGAAAAUUUUAAGUAAGUAUACAUAACUUAAAUUUAGUAAAGUUAAAAAAAUAAGUAAUACAUAUUACUUACAAGACGAGAUUCGUCGUUGAAGAACGAAUAAACCUCCGCAAAGUUGAUUCUCGAAGACGCCAUGGGAUUCCAUUGCAGAAUGCGGGGAAUCUUAUUCUUCGUUUUGACGACCCAUGUUGAUGGCAACCCUCCGAUUGCUUCGUAAAUCCAAGCCUACAACAACCAAAGUGAAAAAUCAAAUAAAACAACUAUCAAAUAUUUAAUACUAUAAAACUUAUUAAUAAACAAAAAAAAAAAGCACCUGAACCCCAGACGUAAAGCCGUAAAGAUUGUAUAUUUCAAUAUUAUGAUUUGGAUUUUUCAACCGAGUCUUCUUAAAUUUCUCGUCUUUCUCGAACAGUGCAUUGUCAAGACUCUCGUAAAUCAUUUCCCACGACAAUAGACCCCAUGGACGUUUUCGGAAGUACUGUACAUCAUCAACUUGGUCAAGCCAAUCGAAAUUAAUUUGACAGUGAUUUUUUCUUGCAUUUAGUACUCUGUCCGUAAAAUAAAACAGCGUAAUCUUUAAUGCGUCCAUAUCGUCCAUUUCCUCGAAUUUCAACUUCUUAAAUACUGCAUCGAAUUGCUUCACAUUAAUCUUACGAUGCACACCACCAAAAUACGUAUUCCGUAGCCUCUGCUCCAUUUCAUCAUUUUUUUCAUUGGUAUCAACACCAAAUGAAAGUCCAGUAACCAAGCACCAUUCGACAAUUGACAAGCGAAUCAAACGCUUACCAAUUUGAAACCAUAACUGAUCCUCACGGCUAUCGUCUUCAUGGGCCACUUGCCGCAGUAAAAGAUUGUGCAAAAUUACCCCACUAAACGAAAAACUUCGACACUCCAAGAAAUGCUCAAAUAUAUCCUUUUUGAACAUACUCAACUGCCGCAUUGUUAAUUUUUCCUCGAUGGCUUUUACGACCGAAGAUAACAUACACAUGCUCGAAAUUCGACCAGGAAAGUGAUCAGCAUAACGAAAAUACAUCUUGCCUACUUCAAUAUCCGGUGAUUCUGAUUUCGCCAUGUAUCUGUAAUAUUUAUAAAAUUAUUACAUUACAUUUACAGAAAAAAUAUACUCGUUAAAAAAAAAUUAUAAUUUUUGGUCCAAAGCUGGUGCGACAAUGCCUGCUGUCGCACCAAAUCUGGUGCGACAGCGUGCCGCGCAUGGGUGCGCGCGCGCCCCCUGCCCCCCUCCCUCCCCACCCCCAAAAUUAAGCGCAAUCACUCCAAAAUCGAAAACAAUACUCCCAAACACCACCAACCACCACAAACAUCAUCACCACCACUAUUAUUCUCAAGCUAUAACUAUUAUUAUUCUAAAAUCUCAUUUUAAAUUAAUGAAAAUAAGAAAAAUGACUAACCUAGGUUUUGUUGAAGGUUGUAGAUCGUAGAUCGGAUGCCGGUGAGAGAUGGAGCCGCCGCCGACGAGGGUUGAUGUCGCCGCCGAUGAUGGGAGUUGGAUCGGUUUGGGAGAGAUGAGUGCAAGAGAGUGUUGGGGGAGAGAUGAGGGAGGGAUAUUUUGGUCUCAAAUGUUGUUUUAUGGCUAAUGUUGAUAGAAAUAUUUUUGGGGGGGUAAGAUGAAAAAAAGUAAAAUUUUUUUGGUUAUUACUGUAAAUUUCCCUAUAACUUAACUAACAUAAAUAAAUGAUAGAUAUGAGUAAUGUUCAAGUUUUGUGGAUUUAAUAUUUUAAAAUGAUGCCGUUUAAAUUAACGACGCCGUUUUUAUGAAACUUAAAACAUAUCAACACUUCAGCCAAUUAUCGACCAAGUGUUGAAUAAACCCCUCUCGCUGCAACCUAAAAUCAUUGAACUUUGAGCCACUCUUAACAACAUUGUGUGGAACCCUAACCCUAAGCCUCAUUUCCACCACCGAUAAAGCUAAGAAAGUUUCCCGUAUAUCAGAACUAUGGCGAAUUGCCUUCAGUCCUUAGGACCCAUAAAAAAUCUUGUAUUCCCUCGCUUUUACUUCGCUAAUUUUUUGUAUUAUUCCAUCUCUUUCACUUUAAUAACCCAAAAUCUCUCCUCUGUUUCAAUCGAAAGAAAACCCUAGCUUAAAUUAAGCUGAAAUUUACAUAUCAAAGCUCUCGCUCAACUUCCCUCCUUCAAUUGAAACAAAAUGCAGCCAUAAAACCCCAAUACGCCACACCCUUUUGUCUCAGGCCAACAUUCAUUUAAACCCCACCUUUCGGUUCAAUGCCAUUUAAUGCGAUUGCAGAUGCCGUUUCAACUCAUUAUUUAGUUAACGCCAUUCAGUUCUUUGCUGUCAGCCUUAACCCUAAUAACUAAUCGACUGUGGUAGCACGUUGCUGACUCGGGCUGAGGAUACAUGAAUUAAAUAUAUGAAUUGGGUGAUGUCAGUGAUUCAUCCUCCUAUUUGCCGUGAAUUGAGAUUUGUGUAUAAUGUUUGUAAGAUUGUUAAAAAUUUCAUGUUCCAGUCGAAUUUCUUGCUCUCUCUCUAUAUAUAUAUAUAUAUUAUCUUCUUUAUAGUCAGGCUCUGGCUUUGCUGCUAUGCUUAGUGCAGUAUAUGGUUUCAAGACUAAAUUAGGUUUAUUUGACGACAUCGAUAUCUUACCUAGCUCUGCUUGAAAAUGAAAAUGUUGUACUAGUAAUCAUAGACUUUGUUUAUUCAGUUGAUAUUUUAAUUAUAUGUAUAAGAAUGAAGCUUUAUUUGGGAAAAAAAGAAAUAAAGAAAUAGGCUCUGUUGAAGCUAAUUAAUACUUCAUUCUUUCUAUACGUGCGACCUGUGGUGGAAACAUGAUAUGAAAAUGUGUUACUGGUGAGGUUGCUGCUUGAGAUGAGAAUGAUGAGAAUGCCUUCUAUUCGGAAAUCCUUGGUAGGUAUUAUAUAAUUAUAUUUGAUGGAAUAUUAAAUAGCUAAAGAACCUCUGAUAUUGUCUUUGUUCAAUGGUUACUGUAGUAGUGUUUGUUGGUCUUUUUCUGGUUGGCGUUUGGAUGUUAAUGUCAUCAUCAGUUGUACUGGUGUGGGAUCCAGGAUGUUGUCCUCUUAAGAGCCUAUAAGCAAAGUGAAACAGAGAGUAUCUGAGUUUUGUCUGGGCCUUUCGUAGAAAAUCAAGGUGAUGAAUGACAGGAUUCAACAAUGGGGAUGGGGAUGAUGUUCCUGUUGAAAAGUUAGAGAAUAGAGUGGAAGAUAAUCACGAAGAGAUGAAUAUGUAUGAGGGUGAUGGUGAGACGAGUGAAUCUAAGAAUAUGGUUAAUCAAAACCAGGAAGAGAAUUUAGUGAAGGAGAGUUUUGAUGAGAAUACUGAGUCUGAAGAGGAAUCUAAGGCGGUGUCUAAAAAUUACGAUGUUAGAAAAAGGGAAGAUAAGGAAUCUAAAAGUGAAGGUGGAGAUUCGAAUUCAGAAGCUGGAGAAACAGAAGGCGGCGAAUUGAAUAAAAUUGAGCAAAUUGAAUCAGAGAAGAGCUUGGAUGAAAAUAAAUGGAUGAGGCUAGUCAGAUUGAAAAGGAGAAGGAUUCUCAAGAUCAAGAUAAUGACACUGAGAGUCGUUGAAAGGAUCAGGCUUCAACUGAGAUUUUUCCUUUUGGUGACUAGUCAGAAAUUCUGAAGGAAACUAAUGCUCAGAAUGGGGCUUGCUCAACUCAACCUAUUGAGUCAUAGAAUCAGAAAAUAUCACAACAAACUUCUAUAUCUAAGGACCCGUAUGGUCAUCGCUGGAAAGUGUGUAAUGCCACUGCUAGGCCAGAUUGCAUCCCUUGCCUGGACAAUUUGCAAGCAAUUAGAAUGCUUUCCAGCACAAAAGCAUUAUGAACAUCGAGAGAGGUAUUGCCCUGAAGAAGCUUGUACCUGUAUUGCUCCUUUACCGGAAGGAUACAAACACUCAAUUAAGUGGCCCCAAAGCAGGGAUAGGGUAUGAUCUUAUAUUAUGCAUUAUAAAAUAUAUACUUGAGUACUUUUAAUUCACUUGGGCUAAGAUUUGUUCUCAUGCUGUGUGGGAUAGAUUUGGUAUUAUAAUUUUCCCCACACAAAGCUUGCAGAAGUUAAGGGUUAGCAAAAUGGGGUUAAAGUUACUGGUGAAUACCACAUUUUUCCAGGUGGCAGAACUGAAUUUGAGCUCUUCAUUACAUUGACUUCAUUCUGAAGGUGAGCAUUUUUCAUUUAUCAUUUUAUGUCUGUUGUUAGCUUCAAUUAAUACGUGGCUUAUUCUUUUCUUUGUAUGAACCAUGGGCGGUCCAUUUCAUUUUAUAAGCUAUUUCUUGGGUUUUAGCAAGACAAAUAAUAAGAUUUGUGCUGUUUUUGUUUUAUGCGUCUAUAUAAAUUGUGUGUGCGCAUAUCAUACUAGGGGAGUAUUGCUUUAAUGCUAUAUACAGUCAAGGACACACGGUGGGUCACAUUCUGACUCGUUUCAAUGCUUAUUUUAUAAAUAUUUACUUGUAUAUAUUUUGUAGUACUUUUAGAGAUGUAUUCUGCACUGGAUUUUUUAAGUGCUUUUAAUGUAGACUACUGUCUUUGUCUUUAUCUCUCUUUCUGUGAAACUGAAAGGUUCAUAGAAUUUUUUAGAAACCAGUAAUCUUACAAAAAAUUUUAACCUGUUAAUUAAUGCGGUUUCAUUAUCUUGAAAAAUUUUCAAGCGUGCUUGCUUUUUUCUUUUUCUUUCUUCUGAAAUAAUUGUUGAUAUUCCCCUUCUCUUCUAUCAAGUUUCUGAUUCUCUAAAGCCCACAUUAUUUUUGUCUUUCUUUAUACAGGCCUUUAUCAUUUAUUGGCCAGCACCCUUUCCUCGGUUCUAUAUAAGAAUGUAAUUUCGUCCGAAUCUGCCAAAAACCGUGUGCUAUUGUCAACAACAAAUCAGAAUUCCAUCUCCACCUCCUGACAAACCAUGCGUCACCACCUGCUUAGGAAUCCAAAGCCUUUGCUGGUGUUGAUAGUAUGUUCUCUCUCUAUCUCUGUUUUUCCUCGGUUGAGAAUUUAAAACAACAUCAUACUCAUCAUAUACUCUGUUUGGAUUCCUUGAAAUAAUAUUUUUUUAAUUUUUAUUGUUAUUUUGAAUUGUUUCUACAUAUUUUGAAUCAGAGUUGUUUGAGUAAAAUUUAAAUAUCAAUAUUACUGAUACGUGUCUAAUCUGAACUUCUUACCUUAAUAGCUUACUCACCUGUGCUUUUUUUUCUCCCCCCUUUUAAGAAUUCAAAAGCUAUAUUAUGGAUUUUGUUUUUGUUGUUUAUUGUCAUGAAGUAGGAGUGGGCAGAAAAUUGAAGAACCGUAUCAGAUUCGGUUCGAUAUUUGAUUCGGUUGUGCAAUAACCUAAAUUGGACGGUUUCAUUUCGGUUGGGAUGAAUGAAAACCGAAACCGAACCAAUAAUAAAAUUAACAAGCAAACCAAAUGAAAGUCCCAAAACAGUAACAAAACAAACACAGGUUUCUUAUCAAAUUUCACAGCACGACAUGGUCGCUCUAUUUGGUAAAAAAAUAGAAAAAAGAAUAAUGGGUCUCGAAAAUUUUUUAGAGUAUUUCUGUCGCUUACAUUUUUUUCCAUCGAUUAAUGUUAGUUGUAGGUGAAUGAUUGUUGCAAAUCCAUGUUAGCUUGUGAUUGAUUGAAAAUGGCUUGUGAUUUGUUAUGCUGCCAUGUGACAGAUUGAAAAUGGCUCUGAAAUUUUUUUAUUUGUUUAAGGUAUUACUGCUGAUUAUUGAACAGAGAUUCAUGCUAGUUUUUGUUAAAUUGAAGAUGAGAUUUUUUUUAGGAGAUCUGCAAAACCUUCUCUACUAUAGAUUUGGCUUCUAGCAUACCUGGUUGGCUGGAAAUAAUUGUUUAUACAGUCAUUGCUGCCUAUAUUAAUCAGGAAUAUUGAUUAGCAAUGUACUGGGUUAGAGAUUGGUAUAAUUUUGGAAAAUUAGUUGUAGAUGCAACCUGAUUAUGGUCUCAAAUAGUGUGAUCUGUCAAUUUUGUUUGCUCUGGCCUAAUAACCUUGAAUAUGAGCUAUGCCACUAUACAAAGUCUUGACCUAAUCACACUUGUUAGCCAAUGUCCAAAAUUGCAGUGUCUUUAGAUAAGUCCUUUCUUAUUUGUUUCGGUUAUAAAUGAAAAUUGCAGUGUCUUUGGAAAAUCAUGCUGAAUGUUGAAGUUAUGGACGAGAGGAGACCCCCAGAUUCAAGGCCGGAGCUCCCUGUUAAGAAGCUUUACAAAUAUAGGAUUGUCGCCUGGCAGAGGAUUGCUAUGCCUGGUUUUGUUUGGAAUAUGGAUGAAGAUUUUGCAUUGAGGCUUUUUUGAUAGAUCAUUUGGCAAAUCAAGCUCCAUGUAUCUAUCUUCAGACUCUUGGAUAUUUAUAAAGCAGGUGCAUGCUCCAUAUGUUACUCAAUGUAUCACGAUUAUUUUUCUAUUGCUUAAUAUAUUUGCAGUCCUUGAUGAAGUUGACAACUUAUGGAGGGUAUACAGAGGCUCAAGAGCUCAAUCGCCAUUCAUUUUANNNNNNNNNNNNNNNNNNNNNNNNNNNNNNNNNNNNNNNNNNNNNNNNNNNNNNNNNNNNNNNNNNNNNNNNNNNNNNNNNNNNNNNNNNNNNNNNNNNNGGAUUUUGUUUUUGUUGUUUAUUGUCAUGAAGUAGGAGUGGGCAGAAAAUUGAAGAACCGUAUCAGAUUCGGUUCGAUAUUUGAUUCGGUUGUGCAAUAACCUAAAUUGGACGGUUUCAUUUCGGUUGGGAUGAAUGAAAACCGAAACCGAACCAAUAAUAAAAUUAACAAGCAAACCAAAUGAAAGUCCCAAAACAGUAACAAAACAAACACAGGUUUCUUAUCAAAUUUCACAGCACGACAUGGUCGCUCUAUUUGGUAAAAAAAUAGAAAAAAGAAUAAUGGGUCUCGAAAAUUUUUUAGAGUAUUUCUGUCGCUUACAUUUUUUUCCAUCGAUUAAUGUUAGUUGUAGGUGAAUGAUUGUUGCAAAUCCAUGUUAGCUUGUGAUUGAUUGAAAAUGGCUUGUGAUUUGUUAUGCUGCCAUGUGACAGAUUGAAAAUGGCUCUGAAAUUUUUUUAUUUGUUUAAGGUAUUACUGCUGAUUAUUGAACAGAGAUUCAUGCUAGUUUUUGUUAAAUUGAAGAUGAGAUUUUUUUUAGGAGAUCUGCAAAACCUUCUCUACUAUAGAUUUGGCUUCUAGCAUACCUGGUUGGCUGGAAAUAAUUGUUUAUACAGUCAUUGCUGCCUAUAUUAAUCAGGAAUAUUGAUUAGCAAUGUACUGGGUUAGAGAUUGGUAUAAUUUUGGAAAAUUAGUUGUAGAUGCAACCUGAUUAUGGUCUCAAAUAGUGUGAUCUGUCAAUUUUGUUUGCUCUGGCCUAAUAACCUUGAAUAUGAGCUAUGCCACUAUACAAAGUCUUGACCUAAUCACACUUGUUAGCCAAUGUCCAAAAUUGCAGUGUCUUUAGAUAAGUCCUUUCUUAUUUGUUUGAGUUAUAAAUGAAAAUUGCAGUGUCUUUGGGAAAUCAUGCUGAAUGUUGAAAUUAUGGGCGAGGGGAGACCCCCAGAAUUCAAGCCGGGAGCUCCCCGGUAAGGAAGCUUUCCAAAUAUAGGAUUGUCGCCUGGCAGAGGGUUGCUAUGCCUGGUUUUGUUUGGGAAUAUGGAUGAAGAUUUUGCAUUGAGGCUUUUUGGAUAGAUCAUUGGGCAAAUCAAGCUCCAUGUAUCUAUCUUCAGACUCUUGGAUAUUUAUAAAGCAGGUGCAUGCUCCAUAUGUUACUCAAUGUAUCACGAUUAUUUUUCUAUUGCUUAAUAUAUUUGCAGUCCUUGAUGAAGUUGACAACUUAUGGAGGGUAUACAGAGGCUCAAGAGCUCAAUCGCCAUUCAUUUUACACUUGGCUGGGCUAUAGCAUACCAACUAGUGAUUAAUAAAGAGAGGGUAUGAAGGUCCUGUUGCUGGUGGUAUUAUCAAUCAGAAUUGUUAUUUUACUUGGUCAUACUUACCAUGUAUACUAUUCGUAGGCUUUUUUCAUUUUCAUGCAUUCGCAUCAUCUUCUUGUUAAGCUACAGAUGGUUGAUUUGUGUACUCAUUUGUAUCACUUGUAGCUCUUGAGGAAUAAAAUUUAAAAUUAUGUUGCAUCUCUUGUACUAAAUAGUAAUUUUGUUGGCUUUAUGUAUGGGAAAUGGUUUGUUGUCUUAUUUCUUUGAUGUGUAUGGUGUUACACUGUCUAAAGUUCAGAAGUAUUUCUAUCACUUGUGUAAAAAACAACCUACUUUUUUCGUUCUUCUUAUAUUGAAUAAAAGAGGGACACCAAGAUUGAACGAAAUUUGAUUCAGACAGCAUAGCAAUUAGGCCAGCGCAAAACAGCUUCCUUCUGAUUCUUUGAUAUUUGACUUAAAUCUUUUGUUUGUUUCAUUUAUCAAAGUCAUUUUGGAAAGUAACGGGGGUGAUUUGAUAUUUUCAUUGCAUUCACAUCCCUUGGCACCAAAACAAACAUGCUGGUACUAACCAACAAUUUUUUAUUUUCAGUAUACAAAUUUUUUUUUUUCUAAAUUAAGGGUAUUAAGAAAAGGUAUACUAGCACCAGAGGAGGUAUUUGAGAAUACACAAAUAUAAUCUAUCAAAUUGAGAAUACGCCAAAUCUCCGGAGAGGUUUUUGAUAAAUCCUUUUUUUUCUUUUUCCUCCAUUCACUAUAGGUUCAAUUUAGGGUGGUUGUUAAGUUAUAUCAUUGUGUAACAUAGAUCAAUUCAACAGUUGUUACCAGUAACACAAAAGUAUAACGAACAAAAACUAAUUGUGUUACUGGUAGUAACUAUUAAAUUGAUGUAUGUUACAUAAUUAUGUAACUUAACAAGGUCUUCAAUUUAGACACGGUUGACCAAACUGAAGGUUUAGGUUGGUAAACGCACUAGUGUUAAUGUCAACAACCCAAGGGGCUUCAUGGUCCUCUAGGCCGAAAUAGCGUAAUUAUUAAUUCUCCUCCACUGAAAGUCUUUAUCAUCUUGGGACAAAUAAUUACAAAUUGACAUUAUAGCUGUGGAAAUUUGGAGGUGUAACAACCGGAAAAAUAAAAAUCUUAAGAGACUUUAAAUAAAAAAGAUAACACCUUCAAUUUGCUAAAAGUAAUGGUAUCAUUUCUUGUAUGGAUAAUGGAUGAUUAUAUUUUGUUUUUGGUUAUCUGACGAAGGAUAUUAAGUUGUUCUUUAUGUGUUCAUAGGCAAGAGCAUGAGCAUAUGCAUGAUUUGACAUAUGGUUCUUGCAUUUUCUAAUUAAGUGCUCUUUUUCCUUGCCUUCUUAGUUUGAAAGAAAGAUGUGAAGCAAAGCAAACCCAGUGAAAUGUACAGAGAAACAGAACCAUCAGAGGAAAAACUAAAUAACAGAACUACAAUUGAACCAAACAAAAUCAAAUAAACGGACGCAACAGAUGCCCUGAACCUAGUAAUUACUCAAGAGUUGAGGAGUUGGAAUGAUUUGGUAUUCAUAUCUUCACAAAUCAUAUGCUUUAAUGCAGAAUCGACAGCUUUAUAUUAUUUUAUUCAAAAAACGAUAAAGCAGGAAAACCACAAUAAUCCACCAACUUUUGAUACUUGUAGGAAUUUUUUUUAGUCAAAUUAAGUUUCAUGAUAACACAAGUGGCUCGUCCACACACUUGCACUUGCUUGAAUAUUUGUGCCGACAUUUUCGUAUGUGAUGGUACUUCUUAGCCAGUAGAUAUGUUGAAAUACUACAAAACAGAGUAUUUGAUGAAGUUUUGCUACUUUCGUAUCCCCUUUUUUUGUUGCAUAACUAAAUUCUUUAUAAACACAAAUUAGAAAGAUACAAAUAAUACAGUAGCUUGAAUUUAUAUGCUUUUAUGAUUAUUUGAUAAUCUAGUGCUGAUCAUAUGUGAUGAUAAACUUAGCUAGUAGUUUUAUAUUUGUUUUCGCAGUUUCCUUAGCGUUCACAUUUUGAUGAGUAAAUUAAGGAUUUCCAGAUGAAGUACAUAAUUAGAUGAAUGCAAAGGAACUGAAGUUUGAUUAAUUGAAAACAAAAAUAAUAAUGCAGGUAAUUGCGAAAAUGAGCAAUGCAGAAGUAGUCCCUAUAGUAUUUCUAAAUUUUCUCUUGGGGUUCCUUAGUAUUCCUUAAUAUUUUUAAAAAAUGACAUGACGAUCUUUGAGUUGACGAAUCUUGGCCUGCUGCUUAGUACCCUUCCAACAUAUAAAGUACUAGAUGUUUUACUGAGAAAAUGACGAGAUCAUUUACCAAAUUUCUUGCCCAUAUAUACGUAUGUAUACGAGAAAUGAGAAUCAGUGAUUAUAAGACCUUGCAAUGAGACAAUAAUACAUCAUCAAAUCUAAAAAUACACAAGAAAUUCGGGACAUAUAUAUAACAAAAGACCUCUCAUUGAGUCAUACAUAUUGAGAAUAAAAUGUCAAAAUGCAUACAAAGAGCUUAUACAAAAAAUGAAUUUACACAUAUUUAGAAUAAACUGUCUUUGAACUUUCGAUGGUCAAACAAAGGAAACAGACAGGAUAUAAUACACGCCGUCAUAGAUGUAGCGACACGGUGAAGUAAAUCACAUGAAGAUGGAAACGGAAACCCUUCACAACAUAAAAUUUGAAUAGAGGGGGAAAAAAGGCUUCAUUUCGAAUGUUGCACAAAACUAGAAUAACAGACAAAAUAUUGUGCUUCUAUACUUGUCACAAAACUAGACCAAAUUAGUUUCCUUUUUGGUUUGUGAAAACUUGAUAUUUUUGAAAAUUCUAUCCAAUGCUUUCAAACAAUAUUUCCAUAAUAUAGUUGUUCAUAGCUAACCUUUGAUGGUUUAAGCAUUUGUUGUAGGCAUGACGGGCUAAUUAGAUUAUUAUUUUUUUUAUCCGAUGAAUGAUAUUCAGCUGUUCUUAAUUAUGUGUUAAUAGGCAAGAGCAUUUUCUUAAGCACUUUCGUUGCCUUCCAAGUUUCCAAAGAACAAACAGAGCACAAACAAAUUUAACGGAACAGUAACGAUGACAAUAAAUAAUUGGCAAGGAAAGAAAGAAAAAAGUUUGCAUGAUUUCAAGGAAUUAUAAAAUCUGAACACUUUCAACAUGCAAGUGUUGCCCCUCUUAAUGAAAUUUCAUCAUAAAAUGCUUGCAAGGAAUUAUAAAAUUUUAGAGAACAAGCGAAUUAAAUUAAAUUAGACCAAAAGACGCUCAAUGACGCAAAAUCUGCCCAUAAAAGCCUGAACGAAUCAUGAAAAGUGCAUUCCAUAUUGACAGUAAACCAAGUGACCCAUUCUAAACAAUUGAGAUGAAAUUGUGAAACAACCCACGAGAUCAAAUAAAUAAAAUAAGAAUUAAUUACCAGCUGGGACUUUCUUCUUCAAAUUCGUAACUCCAAGUCAUAAGAAGCCUAUGAAAUUAGUCGUAAUCCACAGAGUAUGACGACGACCCCGCCAACAGCUGAAAAUAAAAUUCUUAUUCAUCAAUUUAAACUAACUUUAUAACAAAUAUCUUAUCGAUAUUUUAUUUAAAAAGAAAAAGAAAAUUUUGUAAAAAUUUAUCAUGGGAGAUAGAGAGUAAUAUGUACAUACGUACCUUCUCAGCAUGUAAUUGUUGUAUGGUCGUGUUAAGAUCAUUACCAGCCCAACGCCGUUGAUUCGAUGUCUCUCCAUACCAGACGUUUACUCUUGGAGGCGUGAUUGAUUCUCCUGUAGUGAAAAAAUUCAUCUUGGGACAACCAAUCACACACAACUCUUGCAAAGAUGGGAAUUCAAAGGUGUAAUUGGCAGAGCAGAAACUUGUGAGGCUGUCUAAAUCGCGCAGUUCCAACCUCUUCAAUUUGCGGAAAACAAUCUCUUCUUUUUCAACCCCGUCUUUGUCAUUUAUUACCACCUCUGUCAUUGCUCUGCAUCCAUAUAUACUCACUUUGACGAGUCGCACUAGAGUUUUUGCUGUGGAGGAUGUUACCAAGUGCAUCAAUCCCUUGCAACCGAAAGCUAAAAGUUUUGUUAGGUUCCGAAAAGAUACCGAUGAUGAUGGCAAUAGAAUUAACAGACUUUGACAAUGAUGUACUCCUAGAAUUUCAAGAUACUGAAAAAUGGGGCCAAGUUUGGAGUCUUGUUUGCACAGCUGCUUCAGAUGAUAGUGCCAGCGCAGCUCUAAUGCUUUUAUCAUUGCCAACUUCCCCACAUGUUUCUCUAAGCAUCCUUCCAUCGAAAAUAGCUCUUCGUGGGAUGAAAAAUUAAACAGAGUGAGUAUUUCGAUAUUGUGAAAUCUCUCCAGUACGUUCCAGAUUGGAAAACAAGCUGAGUCAUCUCCAAUAAUCUCUAGUUGUUUAAGACUGCCAAAAAGGUGUUGUGGGAAAUCGGCCUGCAAAAUCAUCUUCACAUCUUUUCCACUUAGUGAUAGUUUCUUCAAGUUGGGUACGAUCUGAUCAUCAUCAAUCAUAAUAACUAAUGAGGUCAAUGAUGAGCUUUUUUUCAUUUUUUAAAACAAAAAUAUAAAAGGUUUUUUAAAAUUUUUAAAAAAUAAUUUUUUAAGAANNNNNNNNNNNNNNNNNNNNNNNNNNNNNNNNNNNNNNNNNNNNNNNNNNNNNNNNNNNNNNNNNNNNNNNNNNNNNNNNNNNNNNNNNNNNNNNNNNNNGUUCAGCUGGCUGACCUAAUUUUUUGUUUCUAGGUAACAGGCUUUAUAUAUCUGUAAUUGAUAGCCAAGUGAAGUUCUCAGCUGUGGUGAGGAUAUUUCUUUACAGAAGGUAUUGCAAACUGUUUUUUAGAUUAAUUAUUAUUGUAUAUAUACUUUAAUUUUCACAUCUUUUUCUCUGAUUCUUGUGGCUUUGCUUGCUUCCAUAUAUAUAAAACCAUAAAAUUGUAUAAUAAUUUUUUUUAUUAUAUUGCGAAACUGCGCACACAUGAAAAUAUCUUGUUUAGUAGUAGAAAUGAAGAAUUAAAGUGAUUUAUUUAACUAAUUUUUCUAGUGCAAUAAAAGGAGAUAGUCAUGGACCAGAGUUGGGUUGGUUUGCCAAAUAGAUAUCCAAUUCAUAUACUGAUGGGGGUCAAAAAAUUUAUAGAUUUUGCAUUUGAGAAUGUUGUUGGUGAUAAAAGAAUUUAUUGUCCUUCUAAGAGGUGUUGUAAUAUCGAUAUUUCAUUAUAAGGAAAGUGGCAAGAGACCAUAUCAUUAUAAAUGGCUAUUGGUUAAAGUAUUAAAACUGGAUAUUGGAGGGUGAGCCAUCUUCAUCUUUGAAAUCUAACUAAGAAACAGGUUAGUCAUGACUCGGGUAGUGAUGCUAGUAUGGUUGGAAUGGUGCAUAAUGCAUCACGUAAUCAAAUGUUCAAGUCACACGCAGCAUUGUUAUGGACUAUCUCCGACUUUCUAGCAUAUGCCAACUUGUUUGGGUGGAGUAUUAAAGGUAAAUAAGCAUUUCUUGUUUGCCAACAAAACACUAGAUCUAAUUGGUUGAUACAUAGUAGAAAAUUGUCACGUGGGUCACCGUCGAUUUUUACCAACAAAUCAUAGGUUCCGAAAAUAUAGUGCCAUCUGAUAAAACUAGAGAGUGGGGACAAGCACCUUCUCGGUUGUCUGGAGCUGAGGUGAAAAAGCAGUUCAGUAAUGUACUUACUGAGUAUAAGAUUGAAGACUUGAAAAGAGGAGAAUGAAUAAAAUAAAAGAAAUGAUAAGAUUACUUGGAAGAAGAAAAGCAUUUUUUAUGAACUAACGUAUUGGGAGUUCAAUUUGAUUCAUCAUAAUCUUGAUGUCAUGCACCGUUUUGAUUUUUGUUAUGAACUCAGAUCAAAAGUUUAAUGUGAUCAAAAUUUCUUAAAAAUAGUGAAAACGACUCCUCCUAAUAAUAUGGAAGAUGGCUAUAAAAGAUAAUUUCUUAAAAGUUUAAUGUGAUCAAAAUUGCUUGUGAACGCAAGGGUUUUAGUCACACUGUCAACGCUGUCAAUGUAGUGAUACAAUGAAGAUGAAGUAAAGCAUUAGUAGAAUAAUGAAGUUGACCAGUAACACAGUAAAGCAAAUUUUAUUCCAGAGCAUGAAAACUUUUAAACAGUAACACAGCUCUUAUUCCAUAGGCUGCACACGAGUGACCUGAAUCUUCUUCAGAACUUUCAAAUUUUAUCAAGCAAAGCUUUCAAAAUCCUUGCCUUCCUAAGUUAGGAAAGAUAGAUGUGGAGCAACCCAAAUGAAAUAAAUGGGUAAACAGAACAAGCAGGGCAAAAAUUAAAAAUGAUGGCAAUUAACAAAUUAAUAGCAAUGUUACAUUUGACUCUUUAGCCAUUUGUUCCUUCUCUUAGCAUUCUUCAAAGGUUUUGAAAAUUGGAUGUGAAGCAAACAAAAUAAAAUAAAUUUAGACAACACAUACCCUGUAUUCAGCAUCAUAUAUAUGUCGAAUAUCUAAUAUAAUAAAUUUCACAUCCAAAAUACUAGAAUUUCAAACAGUACUAGUAGUAAAAAAAUGACGACAACAACAAAAAUAGAAAAUUACAAGACUGCUGAUAAAAUUUCAUUUGCGUGCAUGUCUGACAAAAUUUCCGUGGUUUAAUGUGCGUUCAUGCAGGCAAGUCCUAACGUUUCUGUGAUCACAAAAUGAAACUGAAGAUAAACCUUUCAAGCUUGACGAAGCCAUGAGAAUUCAUAGCUCAGGCUCUGAUACCAAGUUAAAGUUUCUAAUCUGUUUGAUAAGUAAGAAAAUGAGAGAAAAUGAAAGAAAGAACAGAGAUCAUCUAAGAGCUGGAUUUGAUGAAUAAAUCUGAAUCAUCCAUUCUUUAGCUGAUUACAAAUGUAUUUAUACAAGGUUUCUAAGCACCUGAGAGUUGAAUAACUUAUGCCAGCUCAGCUAACACGUCAGUAACUCUACCUAUCUUGCUUAACAAACUGAAACAAUAACUAACCAUUUUAACUAUCUUAACAAUCCCAAUAAUUUCUCCGUUUGUGUGUUUUUUUGAUUCAUAAUCAAAUGGGUAAAUGUUGCAACUAUUUUUUUUANNNNNNNNNNNNNNNNNNNNNNNNNNNNNNNNNNNNNNNNNNNNNNNNNNNNNNNNNNNNNNNNNNNNNNNNNNNNNNNNNNNNNNNNNNNNNNNNNNNNNNNNNNNNNNNNNACUAACUUGAAUUUAUAUGCUUUUAGGAUUAUUUGAUAAUCAAAUGGGUAAAUGACAGGAAGAACUUUGAGUUUAAAAAUCUGGGCCUGAUGCCUGGUAGCCCUCCAACCUAUGAAGCACUAGAUGUUUUAAUGAGAAAACGACAAGACCAUUUAUCAAAUUUCUUGUGGAUAUAAAUACAUACACAUAGACGAGACCAACCUCCUCAAAUGAGAAUCAGAGUGAUUACAAGACCUUGCAAUGAGACAAUAAUACACCAUCAAAUCUCAAAAUACAAUAGAAAUUCAUGACAUAUAUAUAAUAAAAGACCACUCAUUGAGUCAUAUAUAUUGAGAAUAAAAUUUUUUUAAUACAUACAAAGAGCUUAGCUAGAAUGAAAUGUCUUUGGACUUGCGAUGAUCAAACAAAGGAAACAGACAGGUUGCAACUCACACUAUCACAGAUGUAGCGACACGAUGCAGUGAAUCACAAGAAGAUCACGAAGAUGGAAACGGGAACCCCUCAUAAUGUAAACUUUGAAUAGAGGAAAAAAGAAAAACGACCUUAUUCACAGAAGAAGAGUGACUUAAAUCUUCAUCAGUAUCCAGACAUUCUGCAAUCAUAGAGUAGAGAAAUUUUAACAGGAACAACAGAGAAAAUAUUAUGAAUAUGCUACACCAAAUUAUCCCUUUUUUGGUUUGUGAAAACUUGAUUUUUUAUGAAAUAUUUUCAAUCAAUAUUUCCACAAUAUACUUGUUCAUAGCUAACAUUUGAUGGUUUAAGGAUUUGUUAUAGGAACAAUGCACUGAUUACGUUUUUUUUUUAAUUUUUUUAAUCCGAUUAAUGAUAUUCAGCUGUUCUUUAAUUAUGUGUUCAUAGGGAAGAACAUUUUCUAAGUACUUUCCUUGCCUUCUAACUUUCCAAGGAAAGAUAGGUGUGAAGAAAAGCAAACCCAAUGAACAAACAGAGCACAAACUAAAAUAAAAGAACAGCAAUGAUGAGAAUAAAUAAUUGGCAAAGAAAGAAUGGAAAAAGUAUGCACGUUUUCAAGGAAUUAUAAAAUACGAAGGCUUUUAAUGAAAUUUUAUCAUAAAACUUAUGCAAGGAGUUCUAAAAUUUUAGAAGACGAGGGGAGCUCGCAAAAAAAAAGAAAAAGACUCAAAUUAAACUAGACUAAAAAGACAUUCAAUUAUGCAAAAUCUGUCCAUAAAAGUCUGAAAGGAUCAUUAAAAUUGCACUGCAAAUUUAACAGUAAACCGAGGGACCCAUUCUAAAUAAUUCAGAUGAAAUUGCGAAACAAGCUAUGGGAUUAAAUAAAUGAAAUAAAAUUAAUUACCAGUUGAGACUUUCUUCUAAAAAUCGCAACUCCAAGUCAUAAGAAGCUAUGAAAUUAGUCGUACUGCAUAGAGUAUAUCGACGGCACCGCCAACAGCUGAAAAUAAAAUUCUUAUUCAUCAAUUUAAACUAACUUUAUAACAAAUAUCUUAUCGAUAUUUUAUUUAAAAAGAAAAAGAAAAUUUUGUAAAAAUUUAUCAUGGGAGAUAGAGAGUAAUAUGUACAUACGUACCUUCUCAGCAUGUAAUUGUUGUAUGGUCGUGUUAAGAUCAUUACCAGCCCAACGCCGUUGAUUCGAUGUCUCUCCAUACCAGACGUUUACUCUUGGAGGCGUGAUUGAUUCUCCUGUAGUGAAAAAAUUCAUCUUGGGACAACCAAUCACACACAACUCUUGCAAAGAUGGGAAUUCAAAGGUGUAAUUGGCAGAGCAGAAACUUGUGAGGCUGUCUAAAUCACGCAGUUCCAACCUCUUCAAUUUGCGGAAAACAAUCUCUUCUUUUUCAACCCCGUCUUUGUCAUUUUUUACCACCUCUGUCAUUGCUCUGCAUCCAUAUAUACUCACUGUGACGAGUCGCACCAGAGUUUUUGCUGUGGAGAAUGUUACCAUGUGUAACAAUUUCUUGCAACCGAAAGCCACCAGAGCUGUUAGGUUCUGAAAAGAUACCGAUGAUGAUGGCAAUAGAAUUAACAGACUUUGACAAUGAUAUACUUCUAGACUUUCAAGAUACUGAAAAAUGGGGCCAAGUUUGGAGUCUUGUUUGCACAGCUGCUUCAGAUGAUAGUGCCAGUACAGCUCUAAUUCUUUUAUCAUUGCCAACUUCCCCACAUGUUUCUCUAAGCAUCCUUCCAUCGAAAAUACCUCUUCGUGGGAUGGAAAAAAAAGCAGUGAGAGCAUUUCGAGAUUGUGAAAUCUCUCAAGUACGUUCCAGAUUGGAAAACAAGCUGAGUCAUCUCCAGCAAUCUGUAGAUGUCUAAGACUGCCAAAAAGGUGUUGUGGGAAAUCGGCCUGCAAAAUCAUCUUCACAUCUUUUCCACUUAGUGAUAGUUCCUUCAAGUUGGGUACGAUCUGAUCAUCAUUAAUCAUAAUAACUAAUGAGGUCAAUUGAUGAUCUACGGUCACACGCAGUGACUUUAUAGCAUUUGUUUUAUAUUAUAUUUUAAAAAAAUUGAAUUAUUGAUAAAAUUUAUUUUAUAUGUUAAUUUUAGAGGUAAAAAAGAAAUUAGAGAAAAAGGUUGAUUUAUACUGGCUCAAAAUUAUUUUAUUGCACAAUAAUAAAUUACUAAUUUAUUUUGUAAGUUCUUCUAAAUGGAAAGACUGAGGAUUCUUUUAUAAAUACUAUGCCUAAAAAAGUUCAUAUAAUUAUGAAUCUACCAUAUUGAUCCCUUAGUCUAGACUAGCAAAGAUUAUUGUAUAAUAAAAGUUUUCAAUUUAUUGAGCAUUAAUUUAUCGAUGCUUUGUCAUAUUUUUCAAAGUUAAAAAUAAGCUAUUGAUAAAAAAUCUAGAAAAUGGCUUCAUACCUUUCCCAACGGCAAUGGGAGCUGUUGUGCAGGAAUACCAAGUUGAUCAUUCUCAUUAUUCUGCGAUAAAUCUGCAGCGAAUAUCUUUAAUUUGUCACAACGAUACACUACAAGAAUUUCUAGCGCGGGCCAUUCCGAAGUAUGCUUUCCAGGGUACAAACAUCUAAGUUUUGGUAGAACUUGGAGUAUCAGAGUGGUGAGCUGUGGAAAGACAAAAUAAGGGAUCACUUGAUCUGCUCUGUUUUCAGAAAUGAUCUCCUGUAAAUUCUCACAGAACCAUACUUCUAGGCGUUGGAGCUGCUUAAGGCUUCUGAUCAUAGACGCUGAAAAUAUGUAUUUUAAUUUGUGACAAUGCCACACAAUCAAUCGUGUUAAAUUUUGAAAGCGAGGAAACGUGACCGGAAGAUGAUUGUAGUGCCAAAUCUGGUCGACAUUAAUUUCAGAUAUCUCCAAAACCUCCAAGUUAGGCAACGCAACCUAAAAAAAUAAGAAUUUCUCGUUAGAUCCAAUAUCCAUAUGGGAAGCACUUGUUGAAAUUUUCUUCUUUGAUUACAAAUUAAUGCAAGUCAGAAUCAAUUUCCAACUGACAGCUGAGUAUGCAUUCUAAUUGAUACUACUUGUUAAGAGCUCAAUUAGUGAGCGCGUGAGAUUCUUUUUAUCCUUUUUUCCAUUUUCUUUCCAUUCUUUAAAUGAUUUAAUUAUUUUCCACGUAUGACAUCAAAAGAGAACGCAUUAUAGAAUAAAGAAAAUGUUAGCCUACGCACCUUCUCGUUGAAAAGUAGAGUUGAAAUAUCCAAAGUGAUUUCGCUGGAGCAAUACAUAGCCGUCGAUUCCUCUUGCGACACUUGUCUGUUCGGUGAUGCUGAAGGAGUCUCCACCUCACAGCAAAAACUUGUAACCUCUGGAAGAUUCCCCAGACUCAAAGAUCUUAAUUGAGCAAACUCUAUCUUCUCAAUUGCAUUAUCAACUUCUUCCCCAAUUGAAAAAAUUUCUUUCAUCUUGCUGCAAUUAAUAACUGCAAUUCUCUCAAGUCUUGGAAGGCAUUUUGUAGUAGAGAACCAAAAGAUAUUGCUCAACUUAUCACAAUUAUAUGCUUCUAUGUUUUUGAGUUGGUUGAAAGACUCUACUUUGAGCCGAUCAAUACAUAACCUCUCCAUGUUGAUCAAAUUGUGAAGGAUAAGUGACUGCAAAAGAGGAAAGGCAUCACAACCGACCAUCUCCCUUGAAUCGACGAUACAAAAGAUGUCAGGAUUAUUUUGAACCCAGAGAAGCUUCAAUUGUGAAAAGCCCUCCGUGUCCAAAUUGAAAAGAACAUUCUCGAUGCCUUGCAGCUUGUCCAACCAUAAGCAUUCAACGUUAUUGAUGCCCUGCAAUUUCGUGGAGCAAAUGUCCAUAAAAUCAAGCUUGAGCUUCAAUUCUCUUAAACUCUCACGAUUACUGUUGAUCAAAAAGUGCGGCCGGCUUUGAAACCAUUCUCUUGUAAUACUCUUGGGAGGCAUGAAUGACUCAUUUCCAAUGGAUAUUUUGAACCUUUCGAGCUUUCUGGCCAAAAAACCUUCUGGUAAAAUACUGUCAUUUUUAACGUCAAUUUCUAGAGUGGUUAGCCGAGGUAAAUGCAUCAAUUCAUCAAGGCUAGCAUUACUUCUUUCCCUGUUGUCUCUUUCAACCUCCCAUUCAAUGCAGCAAUUACCCAUAUACAGCUCUUCUAAUCGAGUUAAGCUUGAUAUGAGAUUGGGCGCAAUAACUUUUAGAUGGAAACAAUUGGUUAAAUCUAACAAUCUCAACUUAUUCAAUUGACCUAGUUCUUCUGGCAACUGCAUAAUAUCAGACAUCAGAAAGCUAAGGACUUCUAGAUUCUUCAACUUCCCAAUGAUUUCUAUGUCCCCCAACGCACUUUGAUCCAGACAUAGUGUGUGAAGAUUUACUAGAAGAUCAAUUGAAGAUGGAAAUGAAGAAAACUGCAUUCGAGUAAAAUCUAGAACUCUAAGCUUUUUCAUCCCUACAAAAAAGUUCUCAGGAAUAUUGAUUUCAAGAGAAAAAUCUUUGAGAGAGAUAUAUAAAAAUUCAAGGUUUGGGCAUUCUAAUCCUUCAGGAAAUUCACGAUUACUAUUAUUUCUUAAAGAGACAGCAUUGCAUUUUCGAAGUGCAUCCUCAUCUGGCCAGUCCCACACAUCCUCAUUUCUCACCGAAAACACAUGUUGGUGGCGGCAUGCAAUUGAUAUUGCGACAUCGCGAACAACAUCAUGCAUUGAAAAUUCUUCAUUGCUAUCACCCUCAAGCAACAAACAAGAGUCUCUAAGUUCAUGGACCAAUGCAUAUAAUUUGUCUCGUGCAUCUUCCAUCUUAUUGACUCCUUUAAAUAUACCCAAACCCAUGGAGUACUUAAACAGGUCCAAAGUAUGAAUACGGUUACCCAUUAGACUACAGAGGAGAAAAAUUUUCUUGAGUUGCUCACCUUUUAAAUGGUUGAAACUCAGCUCAAUACUUGAAUAAGUCUCUGCAGAUACUCCUUCGAAGUUCACCAUUGAAGGCGUUCGGAGUUCUCGCAAGGAAUUCUUCCAUUCAUGCAGACUCUUGCUUCUCAGUGCCUUUGCUACUGUGGUCAAGGCAAUGGGCAAACCUCCACAUGCCCUGGCGACGUCUAUUGCUGUAGAUUUCAACUCACGAUUUUCAACAUCAUCACCGGCCAUCAUCUUAAACAAUCUCCAGGCUUCUUCUUCAUUUAAAUUGUUUAUCAAAAAGUUGUCUUUAGAACCCAUUUUUAAAAGGACACUACGAUCUCUUGCCGUCAGCAGUAGUUUGCAGCCUUUAUGGUCUUCUCCAAAAGGAAUUCCAACUGUCUCCAAAUCAAGGUGUUUCCAAAUGUUAUCUAAAACCACAAGGAUCUUCUUGUGAUUUCUCAAUCGCUCAAAUAGUCUACUUGCUCUUCUAGAUUCAACUUCCUCGUGCAACUCCAGGCCCAACUUCUCGGCAAUUUCCUGUUGAAUCUUUUUUAUGUCUGGAGUUUGCGAAACCUCUGAAAAGACCACCAUAUCAAAGAGCUUGUCUUCCAUAGCUUGCCUGGCGACCUUCUUCACCAGUGUCGUCUUUCCAAUGCCGCCCAUGCCGUACACCCCAACGACACUAACAUUAACAUCGAUCAAUGCAUUUUGUAUGGCCUUCAAAGAAGAAAGUCUUGACUCGAAGGCCUCGUAGCCUUUGUGAGACUUGAGCCAUAUCUCCUCCGGAAUGGUACGGUAGGAAAUUCUAUCAUCAAAUCUUGCAGCUUCUUCUCGGAUUUUGACAAGUGCCUUCACCUCUGCCUCUGCUUUCUUGCUAAGCUGAUAGCGGGUCUUCAGAUUAGGGCACAGACCCUUGAGACAUAGCUUAUUUGUUGCCUCCUCGUCGUCAAUGAAUUUGUCUGCAUGGUCAAUGAUCUUGUUCGCAUUAACCAGCCAUUUCUCAACCUCCUCUUCAAUCUUUUCUCCUUUUCUUUCAUCCUCUGAAACUCUGCGUUGAAUGCUCCUACUUUUAUCCUUGAGCUUCUCGAUUUCAGCCUUGAGAUUCUCAAAGUUGUCAUUGGAGCAACGCAAGUAACGAAGUUGGUGUUGUGCUGGAGGAGCCAAGCAUUUUACAACCUCUAAAACGACAGUAACAAUGGAUUCCAUCACCUUCAAUACUUUUUCUUUUCUUUUUUUUUUUUUGGGGGGGGGGGGGUUUGUGGGAGGAUGGAUUGAUCUGAAGUGAAAGAAACAGAAAAAGAACAGGGGAAACGACUGGACAAUUGUUAAUCAAUGAAGAAGCCGAAGAAAAAACAGAUGACGGUGAAAGGGAACGGGACUAAAUUAGGAAGAGAAAUUGUAUUUGAGCAAAACAAGGAAAAAAUCAGUGUAAUAGAUGAGAAUCAAAGUGUUGUUGCGAUCAGAAAAUUGAAACAAGAAAAGGGUUUCUUGAUCCAAUGAGUAUACAGAGAGGUGAUGGCAGAAGGGAGCAAAGCUAGGUCAGGAGAGGGUUUCUUGAUUGAGAAUUGAACGCAAAGAGUAGGAGCUGAUGAAUUAUAACUGGUAAAACUGAUUUGAAGCAAUUCUAUUGAGCGAUCUGAAAAAAAUUAUUUUGUUCAAUAUCAUACAGUAAAAGGAACAAAACAGUAAAAAGAAAUUAUUUAUUUAUUUUGUCAAAUGUGAAUACAGAGAGUAUCCAAACGAGCAAUUAUUUCUUUCUCGUCUCAGUAAACUAUAACGACAAAACAGCAAAAGAGAAAAUUAUUGUCAAACGUGAAUCACGUUUCUAAUCUAUUAAUUAAAAUGAUGUUAUACAAAAAAUGCUAAUGCUGGGAUGAUUUAACUUCUAACUGAAAAUUGCUAAUAUCAAUGUCGGGGGUGAAGGACAUAAAUUAUUCGUAAUUGCGAUGUAACAUUUGCUGGCAUAUUAUGAAUGAAAGAUAAAUUAUAAUCAUCGAAAUGUGUGGGGUCAGCUGUCAGUUGUAAUAAAAUGAAAGUUUUAAUUUUUGAAAUAAAAAUUAAUAAUACCUGAUAAAGUGGUACCAUUGAAUCAGUCUACGGAAGUCAUCAGAGUUGUCAAUGGUUAGACCCAACUAUAAUAUGGUCCAACUAUGGUAUCCCAUUAAAUGAGCCCUAAAACUAAACUCAAAGCCACAAUUGCUAGAAGAGAAAUUUACACGAGAUAGGUCAUGAUGAACUUCUCUAAUGAUAUUUUCUCAUGUGCUAUAGUGAGACUCACAAUAAACCUUACUAAUUUUUUAAAUAUAAAAUCUUAUGAAUCCCAUUAUAAAACACAUCUAUAAUUUCGCUUUGAAAUUUACUGCUCUGCACGUCUAAGCUAAGCGGAGAAUAGACUUCAUCAACAACGCUUUUGUGAAUAUGUGUUGCAUUACAACACUCCAAUGUGAUCCUCAUCCAAUAUCCAUUAUUUGUGAUCCUUAUUCCUCUGCGUCAAUUAAAUAUUGUUCCAUGAAUUUUUAAUUAUUUGUCAGCUAAUAAUUAAGUCAUAUAAACAAAUUAAUAAUCUGAAUUAGUCUUUAGGUAUUAUAAAUAUUUGUAGAUUUUUAAUUAUAAUAUCAUUAUUUAAAAGUAAUGCUUCACUUACAUUAGUGGCAUGCCAUUACCACUGUCAUAAAACAUGUGAUCCUCAUCCAAUAGCCAUUAUUUGUGAUCCUUAAUCAAUGAAAUAUCUGACAAUAUCUGCGUCAAUUACAGUCCAGUCCAAUGCUGCCAUCAUUAUCGAACAGUCGAUAUCCAACACUUGCAUGAAGAUUCCAAGAAGUUGCAUGGCUGCCGACUUUUAGAUGCUAAGCCUCAUUGUGUCGAUGAUACACGAAACAGAGCUUAGAACUAAACAGUAGCUUAGUCGGAAAAUCAAACGCCAGUGCCGGUAAAAUGACCGAUAAAAAUAUAAGGAAAUAAAAAUUUUAAAGUUUUACUUCAUUGCUUUUUUAAUCUUAUUACUAUUUCUUCUUGCACUUCUAAAGAAAUCAAAGCUUUAAAAGAAAUCAGCCAAAUCACGAAGAUUGAAGUGAACAAAAAUUUUAGGUUUUAUACAACAUCUCUUUUUUUUUUUUUUUUGGUUCUAUUUGAAGUGAACGAAAUAAAAAUACAACAGGGUCAGCGACUGGGCAAUUGAUAGUCAAGUAGAAGCAAAUCAAGGCUAAAUGGGAAAGAGAAAUAAUAUUUGUACAAAACAAAGAGAAAAUUAGUGUAACAGAAGAGAAUCAAAGUGCUUUGGGAUCAGAAAUUGAAACAAGAAAAGGGUCGCUUGAUCCAAUGAAAAUGCUAAGAGCUGAUGGCAAAAGGGAACAAAGUUCAACAAGAAAACAAAUAGCACUAGCAGCGACCAAAAUAAACAGAAAAUUUGAGAUGGAUUUACAAUAUUUCUGCCUUUCUUUAUGCUUUAACAAAUAUUGCUCUAUCAAUAUAUAUAUAUAUAUAUAUUGAGCGUUUUUAUUAUUGGAGUCACAAAAGACCUACACAAUAUAGCAAGUGGCUAGGAAUAAAUAAGAUAUAUAACUUUCUCUCUAAUUCUCGCUCGGGCUUUUAAUUGUCACUCAAAACCCAGAAUUCAUACUUAAAAUUGUAAGCAAGUCAGACAUGACAGCGUCUGGUUGUCAUACGCGCCUUCUAGUUUCCGGAUGACAUGGCAUACACUUAUUCUGUAAAUCCAACAUGACAUGCCGUACUCUUUGUUUUGAGAUCAUAUUUCAAACUCUUCAUGCAAUGAAUGAAACAUAAACUACAAUCAUCAAAACUUUAGUGUUUGUUUGGUAAUGUAACGUCACGGUUGUUGUGAAUUGAAAUUAUUUCUGUAAAAUAAAAGGAUUUGGGUCAUUGAUUGUUAUUUCUGGCAAUAUUUGUUAAAUAUUAAAAAAAUAAAUUUAUAUUUAUUAAGUAUAAAAAAUAAAUAAACAAACAAAAAUAAAAGAAAAAAUUUAUACAUUACGUAAAAUAAUAAGAACAAUAUCAAUAUUUCACACUCUAUAAUUGAGUGAUGUGUUGUCCAACUGCCAUACAUUGGUCCCAAACAGAGACUUAAAUAUUAAAGUCCAAAGUUAUUGUGAUGAUGACUUAUAAUCGCCAAACUUGACAUACGGGUAAUCAUACAUUAUAAGGCGCUGAUUUCUUCCUAUCGGAACCUUAUUUUUCAUUUACAAAUAAAUAAAUUAUGUGACUUCACGGUUGGCGGGGUCCUUUGUGUCAUUUGGGCAUUUCACUAAAUGAUUGAUUGUAGCAGGAAGAUUCCUGGAAGUUGCCAUAAUGCUACUAACAUUUUAAAACUUGGAAAACCCUUCUAUCAAUCUUUUAGUGGUAGGCUCUGGUAGCUUGGUUUGAUUAUGGCGUAUGAUUAUUUGAUAAUAAAGUUAGAGGAUGUAUUAAUAUAAAAUUUGUUUAUUGGUGUUGAAGUUAAUUAUCUCAUUAAUAAUAGUAUAAAAAAUUAAUUACUAAGAAACACAUAACAGUAGUUAAUUGGUGUUAUAUUAUUGGGAUUCUGGGAUAUAAUUUUAUAUCAUAACUUUGUAGGUGUAUACUUACUCAUCAAACUAAUAAAAUUAUUUAAAAAUUUCAGUUGGAAAACAUAAAUUAUAUUAUUUUCAUUUCAAAUAAUCUAUAAGUUAACUCAAAACAUAAUCAAGCUGAGAAUUAAAAUAAUGCUACUGUAUGAGAGGAUUUUUAUUUUUUCCCGAAGUUUCACUAGGAAAUUAUUGAUACAUAGCUUUAUUCGGAUCAUCUCAGUUCAAACGACAAAUAAUUGAAAGACUAAGCUAAAUAGACCAGCCAACAACUUUGUACAAGAGAGUUCAAAAAUUAAAGUCAUGGUAUUAAAGUGUUCUAUAUUGAAAAGUACAGUGUAGUAAUAAAAUAAAAACUAAUAGUCUUUGGUAAGAUAUGACAUUUAAAUAAUAAUUUUCACAAAAAUACAAAGAAUAUUUAUAAAGUACUUCUAUAAUGAGGAGACCCUCACUUUGUUAAAGUGAAAAUAUCAAUAAUAUAAAAAAGACAUAUAUUUUAACACAUUAAAAAUUAUAUUUUUUUUUGUCUAUUGGUGUAUUGAAAUGUGUGUUAUUUAGUUUGUUAAUAAUAUAAUCACUUUGUUAAAAUGAGGAUGUCGUUGCUAGAGAAUCAUUAUAUAUACAUAUAUAUAUAAAGUGCUUCUGUCCAAGACCUACACUUUAUUAAAAUUUAAGAAAGCAAAUAUAUUUUAUAUGGUAUAAUAGUGUAAUUACAUCACACUAUUAUAUCAUAUAGAGUAAUAAUUUUUCGAACUUUAAUAAAGUUCAAGAUUAUAGAAUAAAUAAUUUAUAUAUAUUAUAAAUUUUUUUUAUCAUAAAGUGGAGGACAAAAUUAACAUAUUUAUUAAAUUAUAAUAAGUAUUUAUCAAAUAAUUUAACAUUGCAAUUUCUCCUAACUAGUAUAGUAAAUAAUACGACCUAGGAGGUACAUUCAAAAGCAUUUCAUAAGUUAGCUGAUAAUAAUAAAUGAUAUAUGCAGCCCAAUCAUCAUUGUACGGUGAGUAAUUUUUGAUGACUUAAUUUAGUGGGAUCAAAAUCAACAUUGAAUUUUUGACCAGCUGCCAACAACUUGUGAGCAGUUCACAGUGGGUACUGCACAUGAUGCCUGUUUCUCCUUUUGCAUCUAUUUUUGUUGUUAACAUUAAUUUCAAUAGCAGCUCGUUAAUCCCAUUUGUUGAUUUGGGACUAGAUAAGAAUUUAUCUUGGAACUCCAAUUCUCCAAUUAUUUUAGUUGACAAUAUAUUUAACAUUAUUAAUUGCAUAUUAUUUAAUUAUCAGUAUAUAAUAUUCUUUAAUUUUCUAAUUUUAUAGGAUUAGACACAAAAUUGAUUAUGCCUUUUGAAAUUUAAGGGUUAUGUCAAUUGAAUAGAAAACUUGGAGUUAAACUUGUGGAUGUUUUUGUUGAUUAUCAGUUUAUGCAUGAAUUUUUGUACGUUUACUUUGGUUUAUAAUUAUUACUUUUAAACAUUUUUAUUGGUUUGAUUUAUGGUCAAUUUGGUAAUCCUGUAGCUUUUAAAAUAAUUGCAAUUAGCUAUACUGUAGAAAUUGAUCAAUCGUCAAGAAAAUCAGCUGAACAUUUAGUAAAAUUUAUUUUUAAAAGUACUUUUAGUUUUGAAAGCGUCGUAUGAAUGAAACUGUUACACUAAAAAUUAAAUGUAUUGCCCACUUGGGUAAAUAAAGCUAUAUAUUACAACUGUUACACUAAAAAUUAAAUGUAUCUUAAACCCAAACUUCUUCUUCUUUUUUUUUUUUGACUAACAAAAUUAAAAACAAUAGUGAACACAUUCUUUAAUAAACAAUAAGUAAUAACUAAAAUCAUGUUAAAUUUCUUAAAAAAUUUCUUUCACGGUUUGCUAAAUAUUUUUAUUAGUAUUUUGAAUAAAUAAAAAUAGUUGAUUUAAUUUUUUUAAAUAAACUUAUUAGGUUCAUGUAAAGAUGUUUUUGUUAUUUUAAAAAGUGUAGAAAGUACUCCUAAAAAAAAGCGUAGAAAGUAAAACUUAAUUUUUUAAAUUUAUUUGCUGAGUGCAUAAAUAAUUGAGUGUUCAUAAUGAUUUUUAAAGUAUAGAUAGUCGGACCCUAAUUUUUUAAUAUAUGGAAAUUUUGCUAAUAUGUUAAUGAGAAUUAAAAAGAUAAUUAAGGGAGGCAAUCGAGACAUUCAGGAUAGUUAGGAUGGGACAUGAUUGUGAGCGGUUUGAUAUUGGUCCUAAUUUUGAUCACAAAUAUAUAAACAGGACGAGUUUAUCUCUACUUACAUUCCAUUUGAUAAUUAAGAUGAGAACGGAAUUGUCAAAUCUCAAAUCAUCCCGAACCAUUGCCAUCAAAGGUACUCUCACUAAUAAUAUCUAAAGAAAAAUCUACAUCUAUUUCAUACUCUUUUUUUUUAAAUGGAAAGAGCCCUCAUGGGGCUUGAAAUGUUAUCCUAAAUAGUAUUCAGAAUAUCAAGCCAUGAUUGGGUUUGAGACAAACAAAUAUUACAUAGUUAGGAUACGUAGUUAUAGUGUCCCAAUUUAUGUAGUAUCUAUCAUUUAGUGCACAUAUAAAAUAUUUGGACAUAUAAAAUAUUAAUCAACUUAAUUAAUUUAUAAAAUUUAAAUCUAAUUAAUAAGUGAUACAUAAAUGCCAAGUGCAAUACUGUAUAUGCAAAUCAUGUUUGUGGAUCAUUACAAAACUGGCUCUUGAAAACAAGCAAGAAAGCUUAAUUAAGAACUUAAAACAAAAAGAAUUAGAUUGAAAACAGUCAAGCUUUAUUUUUUCAAGGAUGGAGCUUAUAAAUCUUCAAGUACCAACAUAUGCUUGGUGUUGUGCAAAUUUUAAUGUACUCGCAAGCGCACGAAUCUAUUGUAGUAUCGAUCAAUGGUGACGAGUGUCGAUCCCACGAGAAGGUGGAUUUUAAUUGUGUAGAAUUAAUUUUGUAAAUGGGUGAUUGGAUUUGUGGUGGAAAUGAUUUGGAAUAUGCUAAAACUUAAAUUAAAAUGGCAAGAAUAAAUUUUAAAAUUGGUAUUGAAAUGGCGAGAAUAAAUUGAAGAGAAUUCUAUUGAAAUGACGUACUUGGGUAUCUGGAUCCGUAUCAACAUGCAUCAUGGGCUAAAUAAUCCUUAUUAAUGCCAAUUAAAUCAUGAGGGGGGAAUCCACACCUCAUGAACCACGCUCUAAUCAAUAUUGUGCUAAGGGCUUAUCGUGCCAAAUAAUAAUAACCUUGUACUAGGGGGCCGGUGAAACCAAGGCGGUACUAGACAAGAUUAGUAUUAUUUUUCGACGAGAAGUCAAAACAUCCACAAAAACUAGAGGGGAAGAGAAAAUAAAUUUACCAAAUAAGCCAUGACACAUGUUGAGACUUCACCUUCAACCCAAGCUUGAAAGAAAAUUAGCCACUCAUAAUUGAACUAGGGGCAAAAUGGAAAUUUAUUAAAAUAUGAAGAAAAUACAAGAUGGAGAAGGAAUUACAGAAAAUGGAUCCCAAAAAUGGAUUCAGAGAUCUCAAAUUAGGGGGGAGAGGCCCGCUUUUUAUAGAUACAUGGAGUAAAUCAUGACCAUCGGAUUAAAAACAGUUUGGACGCUCAGGAUUACGCCACGUCAUCAGUCAACAGUACGCGGUUUGACCACGCGGAUGAACAGUAAUGCGGUUUGGUUGAAAAUAAUCCUGUGUGAUGCAUGUACCGUACGCGAGAUUUUUCGUCCACUGAUAUGCUGCCACGUCACCAUCAACAAUUCAUAAGAAUUUUAGCCCAAUAGGAUCGUGACACCUCAUCAGUCAAUGCCACAUCAUCGGUCAAUGCCACGUCAUCGAUCCGUAUAUGUAAACAGUGUCGUGAACAGUAACGUAGACAGUACUGUACACAUGAAUAGUACCGUACAUGUGAAUAGUGCCAUUUUUCCUUUUAUGCUCCUCCUAAGGUUUUCGACCGUCCUGAGUUCAAAAGUGAUGUCCGUUUUGCCGUCUGACCUCUCCUUUAUUGUGAAAUGACUAUAAUGCCCCUAAAAUACAUAAAAUACUUAAUUAAAAUAAAACACAUGUAAUUAAAUCACAAGAAGAUUAAAUACAUAAAAGUAAGGGUUGUUAGUAAGACUUGAAAUGUAAAAUGAUGGUUUUCUCCUUUAUAAAUAUGCAUUUUCUAACACUCAACACACCCCCCAACUAGCUUAUUGCUAGUCCCUAGCAAAUAAAGCGAAAAUAAAAUUCAAAUUCAAAAUGAUUUUUUUUUUUUUAGAAACACUCGUGUUUAUUCAAUCAGAUUAAUGAUAGCAAUCAAAUAAAAGUAUAAGCAUUAUCUCCAGUCUAAAGCAACAUCACACCCACAUCAACCAUCCACAUGAAUCAGCCCAGUAGACUUCGUUAUAGCUACUUUCAAGAAUGACAUGUCAAACCCCAAAAUCUCACUGGAAGUAGUGACACUCUCACAAAGAAAUUAAAACCAAUAAAAAUAGUCACUCCAAUGAAUGUAAUUGAGAGAGAAAAUAAUAAAGAAGUGAUAUCACAUGCUCUCACCAAGAUGAAAUAAAUAUGCCCCCAGCUUAGAAAUAAUACGAUCUCAAGUCAAAUAAAAAUGCUAGUCAACCCAAUUUAUUUAUCUUUUUUUUUCUUUUAUUUAUUUAUUUAUUUUUAUUAUGCACCACUACAUCUUUUUAGCCCAUAUAACUAGUUUCUACUUCAGAUUAUAGUUCCCUAAAAUCGGGAAGGACUUUUAUUAGGAUGUAACGUAGGCUAGGGACAUGGUUAACAAAGAAGGGAAAUAAGGAAAACAAAGUGUAUGUUUGAGAAAAAUGCAGAGGAAAUUUUUUUUUUUUUGGAAGUUACAAGGUGGAUUUCACCUAUUAUUGUUAUUAUUAUUAUUAUUUUUUUUUUUUGCUUUUGCUUGGCACAAUGUCACUAAAUAAAAUAAUUAUUUACAUUUUCUCAAACAUAAAUAGGUGAUGGAACUUAUAAGACAUCGGGUAAUACUCCAAAUCGGAGUGGGUCAAGAUGAUAAGUUGACAAAGAAAAUAUAUAUAUAUAUUUUUAAAGGCUCAAAAGGGUUAACUAUGGAUAUUUAAUAAAAGGGAUGGUUAGAAAGGCUCAAACGGAUCAAAGAUGGCCUUUCCAUCGUCUUUUAGGGCUCUAAAUAAUCAUCUAUAUCUACUAGUUAGAUGGGCCUCCAAAUGUAGCUACACACAUUUUUUUUCUUUUUUUUUUAAUUUUAUAAUUUUUUUUUUAAGGGUUAACUCAAAAGAAAUCUAGAGAUCGUGUAUACAAUAAUAAACUGUUAAGCUGUAUAAAGAAUGGGCAAAAGGGUUACUCUCCAAGAAAAAUGAUAAUCUCAAAAACUCACUUGGUACUUAUUAUGACAUGUUCAUUCCUUCAAGCAACUCAUAUUUGUCUCCGACAUCAACAUGUAGAGUAGCAAACAUAAUGUAACAUCACUUAAGACCAAAGAUAAUACAAAUACUAAAAUUUGAAAUUAAUCAUGUCAUCCAAUGUUAAAACAAAUCACACAAUUUUUUUUUUAAACAACAUUCUACCCCCCAACCUAUUCUAAACGUGAAAGGAAAAUAUGCAUGCAGAAAUGUGAAAAUGAUGCAUAAAAACUAAUUAAAAAAAGUUACACGUAAAAUGAUAGAAAACGAAAAUGGUUUUUUUUUUUAAGAAGAUGUGUUUCUAGAGGCACUACACUCCAUAUUCAGCCAUCUUCGACUCAUAAGUUGGAAAAUGUAUAUUUAUAGAGGAGAAAUUAAAAAGAAGAAAAAUAAACAUAAAAACAGAAUAAAGAAAAAGAAAAUGUCUGAAUUUUUUUUUUGUUUUUUAAUUUUUUUUUAAACGAUGAAGAUGCGUUUCUAGAGUCACUACACUCCAUAUUCAGCCAUCUUCAACACAAAAAGUUAGCAACAGUUAGUUUCUACAACAAAAAAUUAGUAAAAACUUAACCAAAAUUUCACAAUUGUCGACUAUUCCCUCCCCCCAACCAGAACGAAACAUUGUCCUCAAUGUUUGAAAGGAAAGAAGUAGAGUUUAGAAGACAUCAACUGGGUGGUGCAACACAGAAAACAAUAUUUACAAGUGGAGAGUUAAAUCUAAUUUGUACUUCUUACUGCGGCUACUGUUACCAUCAUUAUUUGGAUGCUCCAACACAAAGGUCCAGGGGUCUGGCUCCGGUCUAUAAGCUUGUAACAUAUCAAGUAGCUCAUUAGCAGUGUGAGCACAAAUAAAGAGUUUUUUCGCAUUAGAGGGAAUGAAAUAGUUUUUUAUUGCAUGGUUAAGAAAUGCGAUAAAGCCAUCAUAAAAGUUAUUGACAUUUAACAAACCAAUGGGUUUCUGGUGGAUGUGCAGAUGGGCCCAAGAUGCUAGUGUGAUAAGUGCCUCUAGUGUUGCAAGAUCUCCUGGAAGGAAAAUAAAAUGAUUAAGCAUUUCAGUUAUUCUUUCAUGCAUACUUGAGACGACUAACUCUUCUCCAGUUGAUGAGUCAGACGAACUGUCCAAAGGUUUUAGGGCUCUUGGGAUGAUGCCUAACACUUGGCUGCCUCUGAUAAAAGCUGCUUCUGAGACCAUUUUUGAUAACCCUCGAUUACCUCCUCCAUACACCAAGUGUAAUUUUCUCUCUGCUAUACUUCGACCAAGAUCGAUGGCUGCCUCAACGAACUCUUUAUGUUUGCCAUAGGUAAAUCCAGAAAUCACACAAAUGUUCUUGAAUUGUCUAUUUGGAGGAGCUACCAUUGUGAUACUUCUCAAAAAAUAAUUUGUGAGUGCUUGACAAAAAAAAAUCACAUUUAAGAGUCUUGGUGACAGUGGGUCACAGUUGUGUAUGAGGUAACACGUCAGUGUCAAAUAACGCGUAAAGCACGUGGCUCGCGAGUCAAAAAGGAAACAGUAAAAAGGAAAAAGCAAACAGUAAUAAGGAAAAAGUAAACAGUAAUAAAAUUAUUAAAGACAAUAAUGCACACAAUAAAACAAUAGUGAAAUAAAAUAACAGUAAAGUGAAAGGAUAUUUACAGGUAGUUGCGACUGUAGCUCACAUCUUCCUCUGGUUUUACGUCCAGAAACGGCUUAAACGCCCUCUAUGGGUCGAGGAUAGGCUUCCUAUCUAGUUUUCUUAUAAACUGGCAAACAGGGUCGUUUAUAGUCAGAUUCCCGAGACUAUAUCGUGCAUGCUCUUUCUGGAAUAAUGGCCAUAACUGGAGAAUCGCUCCUUGCACAUAUCCAUUGGGAUGCGUUUCAAGAGAUAAAAGGAUAUCAUCCAAUGACUCCUUAUUCAAGCCAUCCCUAAUGAAUUGAAUCUUAUAUUCCCUGUUAUCAGACACCAUUCCUAAAGAACAUGGGUUUUUAUUCCUGCUCAUUCUGGCACACUUAUGACAAGCAACAGAAAUUCUUCGAGCUCGUCGUUUUCUUGCAUAAUUUCCUUUACCACAACCAGGCAUGUAUGCAAUAAAUUUUGGAGGUAACUCACCUGCCGAUCGUACUUUAGCCUCGAUUAACCAACGGAUGUCAGCAGGUAUGUUAUUCCUCAUGAGUAAUCGCAUGCGUUCGGACCGAGCUUUAUAGAUCGUAAGGAGGGCAUUCUGAGGAAGUGAAGGGAAUCGCUUGUGAAGCUUCGCUAGAAUCUCGUUUCUGUCCAUACUUUCACCUCAGAAUAUCAGUUAUUAUGAGAAACUGAAGUAACCGACUUGAUUGUCACGGAGUACCGUUAUCCGCCACUUCACCGGGGUAACAAACUAAAGCACACAAACAGAAAAAUAAAUUAAAACACACAAAGAAAAUUAAAAUUGUCCUCUUAUUGAAUUUACCUCAAGCUCCAACUGGAUGUCGUAAACACUUCUCUCAAUGUCUCUGAGUUGUCUUUCUAAACCCUCAACAUAGGCUACUAACUCUGGUGGUUGUAGAGCCCAAAUGCGAUGUGUUUUACAAAAUUGAAUCUGCCUUUUGAGAUGAGUUUUGACACAUUGAAGUGGUUUAAGAAUGUUCAGGAGGAACGGUCUAAGUAAGGUACUCAUGAUUAAAAACGAUAAAAGAAAACUUAAUAGUUAAACAAACACAUUUAUGCAAAAAUAAUUUCAAUUAGCAGAAGAAUAAUAUAAAGAAAAAAAAAUCAAAUCAACGAAAAGAAAAAAAAUCAAUUCAAAUCUGGUGGGUCACUCAAAUUUAUUUCGGUGUCUUCUCCAUGUGGUUGGUACUCUAGAUAUGGCUUUAAUCUUUGACCAUUAACUUUAAACGUGACACCGUUGUUUGGGUCCUUAAUUUCAAUUGCCCCAUGUGGAAAAACAGUAUGACCAAUAAAGGGACCAGACCAUCGAGAACGUAACUUACCUGGGAAUAGGUGCAAGCGAGAAUUGAAUAAAAGCACUUUCUAACCUGGAGUGAAUGAUUUUCUCAUAAUUUGCUUGUCAUGGAAGACUUUCAUCCGUUGCUUGUAAAUCUUGGUAUUUUCGUAUGCGUCAUUGCGAAUUUCUUCAAGUUCUGCCAGUUGUAAUCUUCUUUCUGAGCUGGCUUGCUGCAUGUCAAAGUUGAAUUUCUUGAUGGCCCAAUACGCACGAUGCUCGAGUUCCACAGGUGGGUGGCAAGCUUUUCCAUACACUAGCCUGUAGGGUGACAUCCCAAUCGGGGUCUUGAAAGCCGUUCUAUAUGCCCAUAAUGCAUCAUCAAGUCUUAAUGACCAAUCUUUUCUGUCCGGCUUCACCGUCUUUUCUAAUAUGUGCUUUAUUUCUCGAUUGGAGAUCUCAACUUGGCCACUGGUUUGCGGAUGAUACGGGGUCGCCACUUUGUGUGUGAUUGAAUACUUUGUCAAAAGAGUUUUGAAUGCUUUGUUACAAAAGUGGGCACCACCAUCACUGAUUAUUGCUCGAGGGAAUCCAAAGCGCGAAACAAUGUUGCUUUUCAAAAAUCCUAUCACCACCUUGUGAUCAUUGGUUCUACAUGGAAUUGCUUCUACCCAUUUCGAUACGUAGUCAACACCAACCAAUAUGUAUUGAUGGCCAAAAGAAGGGGGAAAGGGUCCCAUAAAGUCGAUACCCCAUAUGUCAAAAAUCUCAACCACUAAAAUUGGAUUUAGUGGCAUCAUGUUCCUUCGUGUAAUGCUCCCCAUUCGUUGACACCUAUCACAUGAAGAACAGAAAGUGUAAGCAUCUCGAAAUAUAGUUGGCCAAUAGAAACCACAUUGUAAAACUUUAGUUGCUGUUUUCUUAGCACUAAAAUGGCCUCCACAAGCUUGUUCAUGGCAGAAUGAAAGGAUAUUCUGAAUUUCACUUUCUGGGACACAUCGUCUAACAAUUUGGUCUGCACAAUACUUGAACAAAUACGGGUCAUCCCAAAAGAAAUUCUUUAUCUCUGCAAAGAAUUUAGCCUUAUCUUGCUUGGGCCAAUGCUCUGCAAGUUUACCUGUAACAAGAUAAUUAACUAUAUCAGCAUACCAUGGUAAUACUUCCACAUUCAUUAAUUGUUCAUCUGGAAAUGACUCAUUCAAUAUUAAUGGCUCUGUAAUUGUGUCAAAAUGGAGACGAGAGAGGUGGUCCGCCACAACAUUUUCUGUCCCUUUCUUAUCUUUGAAUUCCAAGUCAAAUUCCUGCAAAAGUAACACCCAACGAAUUAGUCUAGUUUUUGCAUCUUUCUUUGUGAGAAGAUAUUUAAGAGCAGCAUGAUCUGUGAAUACAAUUAUUUUACAACCAAUGAGAUAAGAUCGAAAUUUCUCUAAUGCAAACACUACUGCUAGCAUUUUUUUUUCAGUAGUUGAAUAGUUCAACUGUGCAUCAUUCAAUGUCAUACUAGCAUAGUAAAUAAUGUGGGGAAUUCGAUCAACUCUUUGUCCUAAUACUGCUCCUACUGCAUAAUCAGAUGCAUCACACAUGAGCUCAAAUGGUAAGCUCCAGUUUGGGGGCUGAAUAAUGGGUGAUGAUGUCAACAACUGCUUUAGUUUUUCAAAUGCCACAAGACAUAAAUCAUCAAAGAUAAAAGGUACAUCCUUAGCAAGUAAAUUGCAUAAGGGUCUAGAAACUUUGCUAAAAUCUUUAAUGAAACGUCUAUAGAAACCAGCAUGCCCAAGGAAAGAUCUUACCUCUCUGACUGUUUUGGGUGGAGGAAGAUUAGAAAUGAGAUCCACCUUGGCUUUGUCAACCUCAAUACCUUUGCUCGAAAUGAUGUGACCGAGAACAAUACUUUGUUUUACCAUAAAAUGACACUUCUCCCAAUUUAAGACCAAGUUCUUCUCGAUACAUCUCUGCAGAACUAAUGUUAGAUGAUGUAAACAUUGAUCAAACGAGUCACCAAAGACAGAAAAAUCAUCCAUAAAGACUUCAAGGAAUCGUUCAAACAUAUCAGAAAAAAUGUUCAACAUGCAUCGUUGAAAUGUAGCAGGUGCAUUACAUAAUCCAAAUGGCAUUCUCUUAUAUGCAAAUGUGCCAAAAGGGCAAGUGAAAGUAGUUUUCUCUUGAUAUUUUGGUGUUAUGGGAAUCUGAUUAUAUCCUGAGUAGCCAUCUAGAAAGCAAUAAAAUUCAUGGCCUACCAAUCUAUCAAGCAUUUGAUCGAUAAAUGGUAAAGGAAAAUGGUCUUUACGUGUGAUAGAAUUCAAUUUUCUAUAAUCAAUGCAUACACGCCAUCCUGUAGUUACUCUAGUUGGUAUCAAUUCAUUAUCAGCAUUGGUAACUACUGUGACUCCUGACUUUUUGGGGACAACUUGUACAUGACUGACCCAUGAACUAUCAGAAAUGGGGUAAAUGAUACCUGCAUCUAAUAGCUUAAGGACUUCAGUUCUAACAACUUCUUUCAUGUUAGGAUUUAACCGACGUUGCAUUUCCCUAGUAGAUUUAGCAUUUUCAUCAAGGUGAAUGUAAUGCAUGCAGUCUAUUGGGUUUAUAACUUUUAUGUCUGCUAUGGUCCAUCCUAAUGCUCCUUUAUGCUCUUUUAAAAUAUCCAACAACUUACCUUUUUGUUCGUCAUUUAGGGAUGAUGAUAUGAUUACCGGCAGAGUACUUUCUUCUCCCAAAAAUGCAUAUUCCGGAGUGUUGGGUAAUGGUUUGAGCUCAAGUUUCGGUGGUGAUUCUGAUGAUGGGAUGAGUUUCUUCUCUGAUGGUGCUAGUUGUUCAACUCUUGACUUUCAUUUAUUAGUGUCCAUGGAUGGUGCUGAGUCAAGUAGGGCGUUGACCUCAUCAACUGAUCUGUCAAUAUCAAAAUCCAAACCAAAGUGAGUUAAACAUGUUUGUAAAGGAUCAUCACUAAUGUUUGAAAGAAAAGUAUUAUCAACUAUUGUUUCUAUUAAAUCCACAUCAACAAUUCCAUCAUCUGCACUGUGAGGUUGUUUGGCAAUGUUGAAGAUGUUCAGUUCCAUAGUCAUGUUGCCGAAGGACAACUGCAUAUUUCCUGUCCUGCAUUGAAUGUGAGCAUCCGCAGUUGCCAAGAAAGGUCGGCCUAGAAUAAUGGGGAUGUGCUUCCUUGAAUCCUGUAUUGGUUGAGUGUCAAUUACAAUGAAAUCAACAAGAAAAUAAAAUUUGUCUACCUGGAUAAGCACGUCCUCCACAAUGCCACAAGGUAUUUUCGUGGACCGAUCUGCAAGCUGUAACACCACUGGGGUUAGGUGUAAUUCUCCAAGUCCAAGUUUCACGAAUACAGAGUAAGGCAAAAAAUUUACACUAGCUCCUAAAUCCAACAAAGCAUUCUCAAUUGUGUGGUUCCCUAUGCUACAUGAGAUAGUGGGAGAGCCUGGGUCUUUGCAUUUUAGAGGAAUUUUAUGUUGGAGGAUAGAACUAACGUUUUCUGUUAAAAAUGCCUUCUUUUGAACAUGCAUAUUUCUCUUUUUAGUACAAAGGUCUUUAAGAAACUUGGCAUAAGAUGGAACUUGCUUUAUAGCAUCAAGUAAAGGGAUGUUAACACUUACCUGUUUGAAGAUUUCAAGAAUCUCACCUGUGGAUUUUCCCUUUUUGCUUUUAGCUAACCUCUGAGGAAAUGGAGCUUUGGGAACGUAUUCUCGUGAGUUGCUCGUCCUCUCUCUGGGUAAACUCCGAGAUUUCCUUGCGAAUAGCAUUGGUUUUAUGCACUGGGAAAUAUUUAUUCAAAAAUUUUGUAACCAUUUAUUCCCCAUGAUGCAAUGCUAUUAGCAGGCAAUGUAUUAAGCCAUGAACAAGAUCUAUCCUUUAAAGAAAAUGGGAAUAGUCUAAGUUUAACAUCAUCGUCUGAAAAAUUUUCAUAUUUAAAUGUUUGACAAAUGGCAUGAAAAUCAUUCAAAUGAUUAUAUGGGUCCUCAUUUUCUAGGCUAUAAAAUGUUGGGAGACAAUUUAGCACACUAGGUUUUAGUUCAAAACUCCUAGCAGCUACAUUUGGGUAUCUUAUGCAUGAUGUGCUCAAAUUAGCUAAAGGACUAAAAUAAUCCUUAAAUGGCCUCUCAUGUGGUGCUUGUAAAUCCAUUUUAUGUUUAACGUGUUUGUGUGUGCGAAGUGUUUUCUCAAGUUCAAGGUCUAUAGGUUCAAGAUUAGGUAAUAAUGACCUACGACCAUGCAUGCAAAACAAAUAAAAUAAAAAUAAAGAUGAGAACAAAACAAAUAAAGAAGAGGGAGAUAUUACGAUACUAACCUUAUUGCGCUAUUACAACAUUUCUAUAAAAAUACACAAAAACAAAUACGUGAAAUAAAUUAACUAAAAAUUAAAUUAAUAAAAUAAACAAAAAUUACAAAGAAAAAUAAAUUGAAAAUUAAAUUACAGAAUUUUAAAGAAGAGAAAAAGAAAAGAAAUACUAACCUUUAUAUGUAGAUUCACUUUUUUUUUCUUUUUUUUUAAUAAUUAAAAAAAUACAAGAAAACAAAUAAAAGAAAUUAUUCACAAAAAUUAAUUCUAUGAAUUAAAAUUACUUACCUCCCCGGCAGCGGCGCCAAAAACUUGUUGUGCAAAUUUUAAUGUACUCGCAAGCGCACGAAUCUAUUGUAGUAUAGAUCAAUGGUGACGAGUGUCGAUCCCACGAGGAGGUGGAUUUUAAUUGUGUAGAAUUAAUUUUGUAAAUGGGUGAUUGGAUUUGUGGUGGAAAUGAUUUGGAAUAUGCUAAAACUUAAAUUAAAAUGGCAAGAAUAAAUUCUAAAAUUGGUAUUGAAAUGGCGAGAAUAAAUUGAAGAGAAUUCUAUUGAAAUGACGUACUUGGGUAUCUGGAUCCGUAUCAACAUGCAUCAUGGGCUAAAUAAUCCUUAUUAAUGCCAAUUAAAUCAUGAGGGGGGAAUCCACACCACAUGAACCACGGUCUAAUCAAUAUGGUGCUAAGGGCUUAUCGUGCCAAAUAAUAAUAACCUUGUACUAGGGGGCCGGUGAAACCAAGGCGGUACUAGACAAGAUUAGUAUUAUUUGUCGACGAGAAGUCAAAACAUCCACAAAAACUAGAGGGGAAGAGAAAAUAAAUUUACCAAAUAAAGCCCAUGACACAUGUUGAGACUUCACCUUCAACCCAAGCUUGAAAGAAAAUUAGCCACUCAUAAUUGAACUAGGGGCAAAAUGGGAAUUUAUUAAAAUACGAAGAAAAUACAAGAUGGAGAAGGAAUUACAGAAAAUGGAUCCCAAAAAUGGAUUCAAAGAUCUCAAAUUAGGGGGGAGAGGCCCCCUUUUUAUAGAUACAUGGAGUAAAUCAUGGCCAUCGGAUUAAAAACAGUUUGGACGCUCAGGAUUGCGCCACGUCAUCAGUCAACAGUACGUGGUUUGACCACGCGGAUGAACAGUAACACGGUUUGACCCGGAUGAACAGUAACACAGUUUGGUUGAAAAUAAUCCUGUGUGAUGCAUGUACCGUACGCGAGAUUUUUCGUCCACUGAUAUGCUGCCACGUCACCAUCAACAAUUCAUAAGAAUUUUAACCCAACAGGAUCGUGACACCUCAUCAGUCAAUGCCACAUCAUCGGUCAAUGCCACGUCAUUGAUCCGUAUAUGUAAACAGUGUCGUGAACAGUAACGUAGACAGUACCGUACAUGUGAAUAGUGCCAUUUUUCCUUUUAUGCUCCUCCUAAGGUUUUCGACCGUCCUGAGUUCAAAAGUGAUGUCCGUUUUGCCGUCUGAUCUCUCUUUUAUUGUGAAAUGACUAUAAUGCCCCUAAAAUACAUAAAAUAUUUAAUUAAAAUAAAACACAUGUAAUUAAAUCACAAGAAGGUUAAAUACAUAAAAGUAAGGGUUGUUAGUAAGACUUGAAAUGUAAAAUAACGGUUUUCUCCUUUAUAAAUAUGCAUUUUCUAACACUCAACACUUGGCCCAAUUGUUGUUAUUAAAAUUUCAAUAUACAUAUAUAAGUAUGAUAUAGCAAAAAUUUGAUGGUACAUAUCUCGGAAUAUACUAGUUCAUGGAUGCAUUUGAUUAUUAUUUCCAUAAAUUUGAACCGAGAAGGAUGACAUGAUAAAAUUUGAUUUUAUGGUAUGGUUGAUUUCAGAUCUCAUGCCCUCAUUUCUUAAGAUAAUCAAAUUUUCUCUGGCAUCUUUUGCAACUGUGGAAAUAUCAAUUAUGAUCAAUCAAAACGAUUUCAAAACCUUUCAAUGAGACAUAUUUAUAAUACAAUAUUGUGAAAAUUACAACAAAAAUUUAAUUUAUUAAAUAAUAUAUUACUAUCCAACAAGCACACAAAAAUGAAUUCGUACAAAUCUAAAAUACUUAGCAAUUUUCAAAUAGAAUUUACCAUGUACUACAAGAAAAUAGGGUAUAUGUGACCCCUAAUGUGAAUGCAAAUUUGCAAAAGCAGCCAUUACGCAUGCCACUAACUUCUAACUUUGUAACCUCGAGUUGCUUUUGUUACCCUUUAUGUGACGGCCGCUGUCACAUAUGUUACUAACCACUCGUCACGGGAUGAGUAUUUUGCGCAGCUAACCCGUGCGGCACUUAGACAACUUUACCAAAUGUUGCUAAGUAAGCCUAGAGCUUCUCGAACUAGAGAAGAGAGCAAUUGAGCUGAAUGAGAAAACUUGUAUUGCACAAAGAGAGAAUACAAUGCUUGAGUUGCUUACAAAGCUUGUUGUUGUGAGUUUGUUGGAUGCAAAUGCCUAAUGCCAUCCCAUAUUUAUAGGGGAGGCUUGCCAAGCUCUAGAGAUUCUAGAGAAUUCUACCAUUUCCUAGCUAUUUACAUGUGCUGGAAAUGUAAAGAGAAUUCUAGAGUAUUUACAAGCUCACAUGUGCUAGAGUUGCCUAGAACUUUCCGGAAUUGGGCCAAGCUAGAACUCUUGGCCUUGUGUUGGCUCUCUAGCCCAAAAUUGUGGGUAAUUGGGCUAGCGAAUUGGGCGGACCGUAACAUCCUCCCCCACCUAAGCUCGCGGCGUCCUCGUCGCGAUCUCGUCCUUGCUCCUUUAGGGACUUGUUCCGCGAUUUGUCGUUAGUCUUCUUGUGCUUCACUCUUGGGGAGGUUCCGCCACUUGCUCCGCAUAUGAUCGUUUCCUUCUUUCGGUUGGUGUUGCGGCGUCCCCUCUUGUGUUUCCACAACUCAUCAUGCUCGGAUGGCUUUGUGCGUUGCUCAACCACUUGUCUUGAUGGGAGCUUCGGAGGCAUGGCGUCCUUGCCUUUAUCAUGGACGGUUCGUGCUUGUUGUGGGACUUGGCUUGGAGGGCUUUUGGAAUCCUCUCCCUUGUGGUGUUGCCGGAUGGAGACCAAGUGGUCCGAAUUCUUCUUGAAUCCUCAUCUGCAUUGCAUGACCGAGACCGCCUUUUUUACGGGUUGUGCACGCUCGACCGGUGCCACGCAUGCCUUACUCCCAUCGAAGAUGCUAAGGGAGUUCGUUGCUGGAAGUGGGAAGGCAUGUACCUUGUCGAAGAAUUCCAUGCCAAGGAUCAUUGCGAAGUCAUCCAUCGGCACAAUCGAGAAGUCGAGCUUCCCAUUCCAUGUCCCAAGCGUAACGUGUACGCCUCGUGUGGUUCCCCUAAAUGGCUUGGCGGGUGAGUUUACAGCCUUGAUGGUGCCUCCGUCUUGCGUUACCUUAAGGCCUAGACAUUUAGCCUCUUCUUCGGAGAUGAAGUUGUGUGCUGCUUCGGUGUCAAGGAGCGCACGAACGGUUUGACCAUUGAUGAGCACACUUACGAACAUGAGCCCUUUCCUUGUAGGUGUUGGUGGUUGGCUCACGAGUGUGCUAAGACGUUGGAGCGAACCCAAGUUGUGUUGAGGUUCCUCCGUAGGCGGUGUGUGUCGGCCCUUGAGUUGUGCCACGAGGGCACUCAGCGACUUUUUAUCCAGGCAGUCGCGCACUCAAUGAGGACCGUUGCAUAUGAAGCAUGGGCUUCGCGGCUUGGGUGACUUCUCGGAUUUACUUUGCCCGCCCUUGCCGCUUGGAAGCUUUUUCUUGCUCCACUCCUUGCAAUUGCGGUCGUUGUCCUCAUGGCUCUCUCCCCCACCUUGAUCGUAGCUAGACCUCUUGUCCUUGAGAUGGGCGGAGUAUUCGGUGAGAGACUCCGCAAUAGCAAUGGCGUCGUCAAGUGUUUGUAUGCCACGCCUGUCAAGCUCGGUCUUAGCCCAAUCCUUGAGGCCAUCUUGGAAGUAGAAGAGCGAAUCCUUGUCGGACAUGUUGCUUAUCUCCAACAUAAGGGUAGUGAACUCAUUGAUAUAGUCCCGAAUGCUACCCGAAUGCUUGAGGCGACGUAAGCGCGCUCGCGCUUCCUUCUCCGCAUUGCUUGGGGCGAACUGCUUUCGGAGUUCUUGCUUGAAGUCGGCCCAAGUGUCGAUGGUACAAAUGCCUUUGCCCAUCUCGCCAUGCUUGCGACGCCACCAUAGUUGUGCAGGGCCUCUAAGAUAGGUGGGUGCAGUGCACACUUUCGAUGCCUCAUCACGGACACCCAUGGCAUCGAAGUAUUGAUCCAGCCCGAAUAGGAAGUUGUCCACGAUUGUGGCAUUGUGUGUGCCAUCGUAUGUGUCGGGCUUUGGCACAUCAAUACGGUGCGCAUCACUCGAGUUUGUGGAAGCUGGACUUGCGGAGAGUGUGCGCUUGUGCCAUGCCCAAUCUGAGCGGACUUCAUCCACUUCCGCACGGACAGCGUGUAGUUCGUCCUGAACAAAACUACGAAGUUUGAGCAACUCAUCAUGGAAAGAACGAAACUCACCUCGGAGAGUGUUCGCUUGCUCUUGGAUGAGAGCUUUUGUUGCCACCGUGAACUCGGCGUAUUCCCCCUCGAGACUGUCCACUCGUUCCUCCAAUCCCUCGAGGCUAUCUUGAGCGGCGGACAAUGCGAUUUCGAGAGUAGUCACACGAGGCUCCAACGCAUCCACUGAUGCGGCUUUGGACUUGCCGCGAGUCUUGCUUUGGGCGCGUUCUCCCUCUCGGCUGCAGCUUGGUUCCGAUGGAACAUCCACACCAACAACACCCUCUUGUGCUACGUUCGAAGGGUUGGCCAUUGCUCGUGAGCUAACUUGCGUGCGUGCAAACCUUAGCUCUGAUACCACUUGUCACGGGAUGAGUAUUUUGCGCAGCUAACCCGUGCGGCACUUAGAUAACAUUGCCAAAUGUUGCUAAGUAAGUCUAGAGCUUCUCGAACUAGAGAAGAGAGCAAUUGAGCCGAAUGAGAAAACUUGUAUUGCACAAAGAGAGAAUACAAUGCUUGAGUUGCUUACAAAGCUUGUUGUUGUGAGUUUGUUGGAUGCAAAUGCCUAAUGUCAUCCCAUAUUUAUAGGGGAGGCUUGCCAAGCUCUAGAGAUUCUAGAGAAUUCUACUACUUCCUAGCUAUUUACAUGUGCUGGAAAUGUAAAGAGAAUUCUAGAGUAUUUACAAGCUCACAUGUGCUAGAGUUGCCUAGACCUUUCCGAAAUUGGGCCAAGAUAGCACUCUUGGUCUUGUGUUGGUUCUCUAGUCCGAAAUUGUGGGCAAUUGGGCUAGCGAAUUGGGCAGACCGUAACAACGUGACGGUACAGAGCCGUUCGGUAUAGCACUAUUUUAGAAAUUUAAAUUUAUUUCCAGUUAGAAAACUAUUCGCUGGACUAGCCACCAUCGUAAACCUAACUGGUUGCCGGCGAACGACAUAAAACACCGGGCAUCUUCUUCUUCAUCGUAUUCUCCCUUCAUCUUUUGAGGUAAGCUUGUGAUUAUGAGUUUCUUCUCUUACUUAGCUUGUAAUUAUAGAUUUUGAUUUUUUUUUAAAAUUCGUAUUGUAGCCAUUAUUGUCAAUUUUUGUCCCGCCAGCAAUAUUUUUUUAUUCGUACAAGUUGAAGCCCCUUUGUUCUUGUUCCAUUGGUGAGUUUGCUCACUCAAAUUAAUUUUGUUCUGCGGAAUUUACAAAGUUCAAAUGGAUUCAUUUGAAUUACUAUUGAAUUUAGCUUUAAUUCCAACAUCCAUUCUAAUGUUUUGCUAUUAGAUUUAGUUUAAUUUUAUGUUUAAAGCAUCUACAAUGAAUAGCGGAGCUUGGGUUUUAGUUUCAUUUUCUGGAUAACUUGUUUUAGUUUAUCUUGUAUGGUCACCAAGUGCUUGUUAUAUUGUCUGAUAAGUUAUAUACAUUGCUGAUUCUAUAUUAAUAAUGUUACGUUCUAUUUUCAGAAAUUAUAAUACAAAAGUUUUUACAAUGGCGUGCAUCUACAAACUGAAUUGACUUGUAGAAUAAGAGCUUGGAGUAAAUGAAAGUUCAUAUUGUGUAAGAGCAUGUAGAUGUAAAGCAUCAUUACCAUAUCUACAAAGUGCUUUCAUUAUGUUCAGAUGCUCUUCUUGAACUUUGAAAGGUGCCUCGUUCAAGUCCUAGCUAUAACUACUAGCUUUGAUUAAUUAAGUUCCUAUACUAGCUGAAAUAGAUUUAUUUAAUUAAUUAAUUGUGUAUGUUCUAAUUAUAUUAAAAGUAUAUGAAUUUUUUUUUAACAUGAAUGACUUGUAAAUGACUUAAAAACCUAAAGGAUGUGUGAAAUAAUGCUCAUUUCACUUGAAUGAGCCUAUUAAUACUUUUAUGUCUAUGAUUGUCAAAAUUGGCUUAAGCACUUCAGUUAAGUGGUUUACCUAACAGAGAAAAAAAUUUAAUAGGAAACUUCAGAGUUCUAACAGAAAUAUAGUUCACCAUGCAGAUAUAGUUAUUUUACGGUAUACAAAUCAAGUUGUCCUAAUCUCAAUGUCCUAUCACCGAUUUUAUUUGAUAUAGUCAUUAAUUUUUACCAUGGUUUUUUGUGUUUAUGAGUAUGAAAUAGUGGGAUUUGGUGUACCUUAGCAUCUUUUGGAAAUUCUCUUUAAGUGUGGCCAACAGAAAUAUACAUAUAAUCAAGUUUCUUAAUUGUGUAUAUUAGUUUUGGGUACGAAUGUUCCUAUUCUAGUUCUAGACAAAGCUUCUUCGUUUUGGUCUUCAGAUUUCCAGUAGGUUAAGUUAAUCAACUAUCAUAACUGGCUAGCUAGUUAUUGUCUGCCUUGGCGCCAUUACCCAGGCCAUUAUAUUGCAUAGCAUAAGGAAUAGUGAUUAGGUGAUUAUUAGUGAUUUGUUGAGCUUAUUAUUGACCAAACAAACAUAUUCACCUUUGCCCACAACUUAGUUUGAUUAGUUUUAGACCACAAAGAGCCUUGAUCUAUUCAUUGGCUUUAUUAUUUUUAUUUGGUUUUUCUUUCAACAUAAUUGUUGAUUUCUUAUAAAAAUAUUCAUUGGUUUUUAAACACCUAGUCAUUGGCUAUAUGAAGCAAAUUAAAACUUAGGCUUUGGAUCAAUUUCUUCUAACAAGAUACAAAUGAGCAUAACCUUUCUCCUCUAAGUAAUUUUUUUUAAUAUCCUUGAUUUGUAAGGAUCUGGAGGCGUGAAAUCCUCUAGAUUUUUUUUAACACUGUCAAUGUCCUUUUUAUUCUGAAAAGGAAAUAAAAGGUUUUAUCUUUCAUACCCUAAUAGUAAGCUGGCCUUGUCUUAACAUGGCUUCUUGAGGAUUUGCAAGAUUCGUUUAGAUGAUUAGAAUGAAACUAAGCGACUGGAAAGAGUGGAUGGUAGACUAAAGAGAAAGUGAUUGAUUAUUUUAUGAGGCCAAUUAACGUAAUGACAGAUCCGGUUUCGAUGUUUGUAAUUUGAGUAUGAGGUAAAUCGAUUCUUUGUCGAGCCAGUCAAAUACAAAGGCAAAUUAGUAAAACAAGAGCCAGCAACUUUUACUCACACAUAAGGCAAUAAUAUAUUGAGAUCACGCAACAUUGCAAUAAAGUUAUCAUCAAGUUGUAGCCUUCUUAUUCAAUCAAUUAUAGCAUUAUCUCUAGCUCUGUAUUUUUCAAAAAAAAAUUAUUCAAAAGAUGUCUGUCAUUAGUUUUUCAAUGAUUAAAAUUAUAAUUUUUGUUUAAUAUAUAUAACGUAAAAUUUUAAAAGAAUCAGACAUGCAUUAGGGUAAAAAUAAAAAAUAUGGAGGUAGCUUUUAACUAGGCAAUUGGCUCAACUAUGGAUCAGUGUGAGAUCGCUAUUUUUCUUAUAAAAAAAAUAUUCCAGCCAAACAAUUGUCGCAAAAUUUUAAUCGAAAUUACAAAAUAUAUAUAUUUUGAAUACCUGUAAAUAAACCACUUAGAAAGCUAUCGAAACACGAAUAUUAAUUUUUUAAAAUAUAUAUUUUUUCAAGCAAAUGCAGUGACAGAUCUGGUUUUGAUCCUCGUGACUUUUGGGUGUAACUGUGUAAGUACGGGUGAACGACUCUCUAGUCCAGGACAACUUGCACGUGACAUUUUAGUAUUAAGCAAACGGAAUUUUUUUAAAUUAAAUUAAUCUCAAAGUGAUAGGCUUCUCAUGAAUCAUGUAAUGUUGUCGUUUUUCAAGACAUGACAUUGCCCAUCACUUGUUUGUCACAAUGUCCAAAUAAAUAAUUUUUUUUUAAAAAAAAAGUUAUUUUCAUUCUUUCUUUUCAAGUAUCCUAAUUCCUUUCGCAGUUUGAUUCCUCUUUUCCUGAAAUUUGUUCCUUCCAUUAAACUAAUAAUUUAUUUAAAGGUAAUUAAGCGUCAGCCCCAAUUAUUUAGUAUUUCACACAGCACACCCACAUCUUUCGAUCAUGUGCACCUCUUCCUUAUUUCCGUUAAAAAAUCAACUAUCAACUAAUUCUAACUGUUUAGGCUGUUAUAAAUUUAAAAGACUAUACUACCCCUAUUUUGAAAUGAAUUGGGUAUAUAAGUACUAAAAUACCCUUACAACUAAUAAAAUUUAAAUCAAAAAGUAAAAAUUUAUUAUAAUAUUUUUAAAAUUACAUGGAAACAAUUUUUUUUCCGGAUUACGAACCCAAGAUUAUAAACCUAGUAAAUUACAAAAUCAGAGGCAAAGCAUGAUUCCAAUGUGAAAGAAAAAAAUCAAACACACAUUCAUCAAUACAUUACAAAAUAAGUCCAAUAAUCCCACCAAAACAAAUAAAACCCAAUAAGAAAGAAACCCGAAACUAAUGAUACCAAAAUCCAUGACAACAAAUUUCAUUGUAAAAUUCUAUUACAAAAUAAAUUCAUACUAAGAAAAUUCAAUAAAAAGAAACUCAAUAAUCAAAAAUCCUAAGACUAAAGAUAUCAAACCCUAAAUUAAAUUAUAGAGGCGGCGAAGGAAAAAGGGGUUUUUUUUUAUUAUAUAAAUUAUUUUAAUCUUGUAUUAAUUACCAUUCUACCCUUCUUUCCGUUAACGUUAGAUUUGAAAGAAAUGGGGGUGGUGGACGUGGUCAGAAGAUUGGAGGCACAAUGCAAAAUGUCGAAACAAUUGGGGCUAACGCUAAAUUACACAUUAUUUAAAUUAAAUUAUCCUAGUUGUAUUUGACUGUGACUGUGACUGUGACCGGAACCGUUACAAUCACUUAGUAUUUUUAUUAAUUAAUUAACAAUUUGUUUCAUCAUUAGACGGUACUAUGAUAGUUUUGUCACUAUGUUUGGUACCAUCUCUUAAAUCGUGUAACAAAGAUUUCAUGAAAAAUUAGAAAACAGCACGACAUGAUACAAACUCUUUUUUAAUACAUGUAGACCUUAUUUUUAAAAAAUGAACAUACAAACUUUUUUUAAUACGUGUAGACCUUUUUUUGUAUUUAAAAAUAGUUACACAGAUCCUCAAUUUGUGUGUCCCUCAAUAAAUUUUCAUGAUCAUUUUUUAAAAUAAGGGAUUUUUGUGAUUAUUUUGCCACGUCCAAGGAUGCCGCUAUUCUUGUCACCAAAAAUUAUUCUCAUUAAGAGUCAUGAUUAAUUGGACGUCAACAAUGUCCAAAUAAAUAAUUUUUUUUAAAAAAAAGUUAUUUUCAUUCUUUCUUUUCAAGUAUCCUAAUUCCUUUCGCAGUUUGAUUCCUCUUUUCCUGAAUUAUGUUCCUUCCAUUAAACUAAUAAUUUAUUUAAGGGUAAUUAAGCGUCAGCCCCCAAUUGUUCAGUAUUUCACACAACGCACCCACAUCUUUCGACCAUGUGCACCUCGCCCCUAUUUUCAUUAAAAAAAUCAACUAAUUCUCACUAUUACUGUUAUAAAUUUAAAAGACUAUACUACCCCCAUUUCGAAAUGAAUUGGGUAUAUAAGUACUAAAAUACCGUUACAACUUAUAAAAUUUAUAUCAAAAAGUACAAAUUUAUUAUAAUAUUUUUAAAAUUAUAUGGAAACGAAUUUUUUCCGGAUUACGAACCCAAGAUUAUAACCCUAGUAAAUUACAAAAUCAUAGGCAAAGCAUGAUUCCAAUGUGAAAGAAGAAAAUCAAACACACAUUCAUCAGUACAUUACAAAAAAUUGAUGGUUUAGCUUAUAGAGUCAUGUCUAUUAUUAUUACCUUGUAAACAAGUCAAAUGUCUCAAUAAUUUGACACCUCAAUAACUGAAACAAUUUAAACCCUUGUUUAGUAUUAAAGUUGGGCAGGUGUAGCUUAAAAGUUACAGUACCAAAGUGUUUAGUAAACACUAGCUAUUGCCGCUUAGAAAUUAAGUUGAUUUGAUCUCACACUUGUAUGACAAAACCUAUAGUGUCUUUAUUAUUUUUGUCAAAUUAUUAUUUAAUAAUUAUUUUAUUAUACAUUAUCAACUUUUAUUUAAUAGUUGCAACUUCUUUUUCUUUUUUCUUACUAUGCUAUAGCAUUUCAAUAUCAAAUAGGGCUUAAAUGAGAAACAACUUCUAAAUUAAAUGCGACGUCUCUCUUCUUAUUAUUUGCAUAAGUUUGCCUAGUGGAUUAAAUGAGCAUUGGUAACCAUAAAUUAUGUAGAAUUAUUUUAUUGAUAUAUUUUUUCUAUGAUUUUCAAAUUAUACACAAGAGCCAAAACGUUUUCAUGAUGGCAGAUUUAUUGAGAAAAAAAGUGUUCAUUCAAAUAAACCUCAUGAAUAUUCACAUGAAUUUAUGUGAUGAGAAAGGGAAAAAAAAUUCUUCCAUUCAUUCAUAUGAACAUCUUUAACUAUUUCCUAAAAUUUAGGAGGAAAAAAAUGAAUUCUUCAUUUAUUCAUAUAUCGAGUUUCAUAAUCACUCGUACUAGGUUCCUGGGUGUAAAUGACUGAGAUUUACGAUUUGAGGACAAUUUUGAUAUUUCAAUAGACUACAAAUGCAUGUUGCGUUCAUUUCACACCAUCUGAUACGAAAAAAAAAAUUGAUGUUUUGGCUUCUAGAAUCAUGUCAAUUAUUGCCAUAUAAAUAGGUCAAUUGUCUCAAUAUCAGACCUUUUAAGAAGCCAAACAAAUUAAAAAUCAGUUUAAUAGUGCUGUAGUUUUUAAAAUAAUUACUGUUAGCAGUACUGUAAAAAUAAUUAGUUGUAAAAAGAAUCAGUUAAAUAUUUGAUAAAAUUUCUUUUUAAAAUUACUGCAAAUUUUAAAAGUAGUCGUUUGUGUUUAGUAAAUUUUACUAUUAAACUGCUGUAAAAAUAUAAAUAAAUCAAUUGAACACAAUAUUGAAUAAAAUUUAUUUACGCAUUUAUAAACAUGUAUGAAAUUUUUUUUAUUGUGUAUAUAUGAUAAUUGAUAACUAAAAUAAAUAUUUUAAAUUAUUGAUUUUAUUUUUUUAUUUGGUUAUCUUAAUAUAAUUGGUAAUAAUAAUCUCUUUAAAUUAAUGAUUUUAUUUCCUAAUUAAUAAGGAUAAUUGUAGAUUUUUAUAAUAUAAUUGAAUAUAUAUAUAUGAAAUUGUACUAACUGUAAAACUGAUUUUCAAAAUCCGAUUAUGAAAAGAUACUCCUUCCACGCUUUUCAAAACCUGCUAUAGGACGGGGUGAUUUAGCUAAAAGUAAUUUUAAAAAAAAAUUGUCAAACACCAAAAUUGACAUUUAGUUUUUUAAAAUUACUUUUGGGAACUCCCAAAAGCAAUUUCAAACGGGCUUCAAGGUCUUAUUUGAUACUAAAGUUGGGCAGUUAUAUCUUAAAAGUUACAGCUAUUUAGUAUAUAAUAGUUGUUGUGAUAUUGAAAAUACAAAUUGAAGGACUCUUUUUGUCCCAAAACUGAUAUUGAAAUCCGAAAAGUUACAGAAAUGGUGUGUCCACGUAUAAAAGUGAAGAGACAUAUUUGAUUUUAGGUUUAAAACUCAGGGUCCACGUACUGAAACUUCCGUAAUAAACAUAGGGCGAUUUUAUUGCAAUGGUCACCUACACUGGCCUACUUAUUUAUUUGAGUUGGCACCGAGCUUGAAAACUGCGGGAAAGCAAACUGACUGACAAUGACAAUACGAAGCUUGGCCUUUGGCCGGAACCACAUUUCACCACACAUUAUGAUAUUAGAUCUUUCAUUAUUGAUCACAUAUUCACAUUAUCUAACUUCAACGGAAAAUUACCUUCUAGAAAGUGCUCGUAUAAUUGUUUAUAUAUAAGCAGUCUCCAAACUUAUCAUCAAUUUUCCAGAUUCACCGAAAAAUGAGCUGGCGCUGGGCAGGUAGUAUUGGCGCUGCUAAGGUAAAGAUCAACCCUCUAAUUAAGUCUCUUCACUUGAAAAGCUUAUAGAUACACGUAACAUGCUGAUAUUUAAAAUAAUGUUUGUUUAAUUUUCGCUGUACAGAACAAAUUGGAAGAAGAUGCGCGACUUCAAGACUACCAGAACGUGGGACUUGUAGUAGGCGUGACAGGAAUUGUAGGCAACAGCCUAGCUGAGAUUUUGCCCCGAUCAGAUACCCCCGGUGGCCCGUGGAAGAUCUACGGGGUGGCGCGACGUCCCAGGCCUAACUGGAACGCCAAGUACCCUAUUGAUUACAUCCAAUGCGACGUUUCCGACCCAGACGAUACGCAAGCCAAGCUCUCAAAACUCGCUGACGUCACCCACAUAUUCUAUGUGACGUGGGCCAGCCGUCCCACUGAAGCCGAGAAUUGUCAGAUCAACGGCGCCAUGUUUCGUAACGUGCUCCGUUCUGUAAUCCCGAAUGCGCCUAAUCUCCGCCACAUCUGUCUCCAAACGGGAGGCAAACAUUACGUCGGUCCAUUCGAGUGUAUUGGCAAGAUACCGUCUCACGAUCCGCCUUUUACUGAGGAUUUGCCAAGACUAAACGUAUCACUUUUUUACUAUAAUCAGGAAGAUAUAUUGUUUGAAGAAGUUGACAAAAGACGGGGUUUGACUUGGUCCAUACACCGACCUUCCGGAAUAUUUGGGUUUUCACCUCAUAGUUUGAUGAAUAUUAUAGGCACUCUCUGCGUGUACGCAGCUAUUUGUAAACACGAAGGUGCUCCUCUUGUAUUUCAUGGGACUAGAGAUGCUUGGGAAGGUUUCCAAGAAUUUUCAGACGCAGAGUUGGUUGCGGAGCAGGAAAUUUGGGGGGCAGUGGAUCCUAAUGCAAGAAACGAAGCUUUCAAUUGCACCAAUGGAGAUGUUUUUAAGUGGAAGCAUUUAUGGAAAGUGUUGGCUGAGCAGUUUGAGAUUGAGAAUUAUGGGUUUGGAGAAGAAAUGGGUAGUGAGAGGGUGAGAUUGGAGGAAGUUAUGAAAGGUAAAGAAAGUGCGUGGGAGGAGAUUGUGAGAGAGAAUCAGCUGCAGCCAACAAAAUUGAAUGAGGUUGCUGUUUGGUCAUAUGCAGAUGUGGUGUUGAAUAUUGGUGCGGGUUAUUUUGUUAGCAUGAACAAGAGUAAGGAGCACGGGUUCUUGGGUUUCAGGAACUCUAAGAAUUCGUUUAUCACAUGGAUUAAUAGGUUGAAAAGUCACAGGAUUGUGCCUUAAGUAUUUUUUUUUUUUUUUCACUUUUUGAUUUGGUGCCUCGAGUAAUUGAAAAGCCACGAAAAAUUAAUAGUUCAACCCGUGAUUGGUUUGGCUGGAAAUUGUACCCUUUUGUUAGAUCCUUGUUUUGUUAAUCAAAGAAUUUUACCUCAGGUAGAAAAAAAAAAAAAAAGAUGCCUUUGUUGUUGCUAAAGAGUUAAUAAAUAAAUACAGUACUGAAUUAUCAACCUUAGAAAACCUCCAUUAUACAUUUCUGAAUCACGUACCUUCAAGUUAUAACGACCCAAUGUUCAAGUAAUGCCUAAUCCUAGUAGUCUAAAGCUUCUUUAAAUGGUUCGUGUGUCGAAAGCACUCUCUUUCGAACCAACCGAUUCACUAGACCAGGAAAAAAAAAAGAUUGACUGUGAAAAUAUUAAAAAUUAAAAAUGAAGUCUUUCGAAAUUUUUUAACCGGACAGCAUUUGUUAGAAAGGGGAGAGAGAGAGCAAAGGGUAAGAAAAGAAAAUUAAAAUAAAGUUUAUGGACAUUUAUCAUUUUACAUUAAUUAUUCGUUAUAAUUAAAGGAUGAAAUUAUAAUUUUAUUUGGUCAAAUUGGUCAACACUUUCAUUUAAUAGAAAAUCUAAAAGACCAAGCCUAUUCUCAGGCAUUCUUGGGGAAGAAUAAACUAUUUAUGUCUAUUUUAAAACUUUGAUGGUAGAUCUAUACUAAACUAAAAAUUGUUACGGGAGAUUCUUGUACCACUACGUAGCUCGAAAGAGGAAGACUGAAGUGGUACUAAAUUUGCUAUGAAAUGAGUUUAACGACCGCAUGCAAACGAACAAUUAUAAGAAAAGUUUAGUUGAGGAGCGAGCAAAGAUAUGCUGACCAAUACAAUAUUUGAAAAAUAUAAACAUAUGUUUUUAAACUAUUAUUAUUAGGCUAAUGCUAAGUUACAUGCAUGUGACUUAUAACCCUCUCACAUAAAUAGUGAAUAAUGUUGGUCCACUCACUAUUAAUGUGAGAUGGUUGUAAGUUACAUGCAUGUAACUUAGGGAGAUCUUAUUAUUAUCAUCAUCAUCAUCAAAUAAAUAUAGUGCAAACAUGUCUAAAAACAGGCGGGAGCCGGGUUUGAUUUAUGUUGUAUACUUGUGUAGGCCGCUGUUCAGAUAUAGUCCAGCCCAAUGGAAGCAAUAUGUAAGCCCAACACGGGUCUUCAUCGAUUUAUGCAAUGCAGUAAAAAAACAUAUCUAAUGGAAACAUCUACUGAAUUUGAAUCAGUUACUGCAAUUAAAGUUACCAACCUUGUAUGAUUGAACGAAAAUAUUAAUAUUAAGUAUACAUUAUUGGUAGAAGAAAAAUGACAUUUUUUGGAGAAAUUCUAUAAUGCAUUAGAAGUAUUAUAACAGUUAUAUAACAAGUAAAUGAUACUGUGAUAUUUAUGUAUUUAUUGUGAAAGAUCAUUAUGUAAAAUAAUGGUUACAUUAAAUUUAAUUAUACAUGUCAUGCAUACAUCAAUCGAUUAUAUUACUACUAAUGAAUUAUAAAAUUUCUCAAUUCGCUGAUAUUAUGUUUAAUAUUAAAUAAAAAAAUAUCAGUAUUUGAUGACUUACGUAGUUUUUAACAUUUUUAACGUACCAGCAUCAACAGUUAUUGAUAUUAUAGGAUCAUAAACCUUCACUCAUGCGAAGAUUUUAUAUUUUAUUUUAUUUUGAAAUUUAUUAUUUCAUUUAUUCUUAACGAUGUCGUUUUGGACAUAAAAUUUAGAUAAAUUAUUAAGUCUUCAUCUUCUCUUUCUUCACAAAAUCGUUUCCCUCUCUUUCCUGACACAGUAUCUCAACAAAACAAAAUACCAAAAUAAAACAAAGGCCAAAACCAAAAGCAGAAACAGAUCAAGCAGCUCAACCUCUCUAGCCUCUUAAUGAAUAAUGAUAGAUCGAACCAGAAGCAAAACAGUUGAGUUGAAGAUCGAAGCUCUAGGUCAAAACACACUCUCUCUUUCUCAAUUUUUGUAGUUUUUUCUUUCGACUUCAUCAAAGUCUAAACCCUAAAUGCUCGCCUUCUCAAGCACAACAACUUCAAAAGGAUUUAUCAUUUUCUUGGAGAUCUUAUAGAGUCGUAUUCUUAGCAUCAUCAAAGUCAGCCGCGUCGAGCCGUCAUGGUCUGUGUGACAAGCUAAAAGGUCACAUUGACUUGAGCAAAAGAAUAGUUAAGCUUGUAAAUAGAGGCAGAACAAUUAGCAAGCUCGUUCACUCUAUCGUGCGACCCGUGCCUGAGACUCUUGGAAUCGAAUUAGAGGUAUUGAUUUUGAUUUGAUUGUCGACAUAUUUUUGUUUUUAGAUUUUUUUUUUUUUUAUAUUUUAUAGUGUUUAAUUAGCAAUAAAUUUGAAUUUCUAGAGUAAUUUAGGUGUACUGGCGAAUUAAAUGUUGAUUUUAUGUAUUUACUUUUUGAUUUGAAAUCCGCUUUCUCUUAAGUGUUAUUCGUUUGUGUUUCGAAUGCAGGUUUAGUGCUUGAUGAAUUGCCUCAUUCGGGUCUACUUUUUAUGAUGCAGAAAACUUAUUGUUUUUUUUUUCUAUCUAAAUUUGGUUGUUAUUAAUUAAUAAAAGUAGAGAGAUUCAGUUGUUAUUCUUGGUUCUUUAUGCAGAUGGUGCUCUUGCUUUUCUUCUGUGUUCUAUUCUUUUUGUUCAAGAUAUUUAUAGUUGUCGAUCCAAUAUUUAUUUAUUCAUUAGUUUUUACUGAAAGCAUAAAUACUCUUCCACUCGCCAAAAAUUAUUUUAUUCCAGUAGUUUUUCAAUUGUAAUGCCAGCUAGGUCCUACCAAUGCUAUUAUUUUAUGCCAGUAGUUUGAGUUCAGGUUCCCAGUGGUUUUCUUCAUUUUAAACGUGGUUAGGCAAUUGGAGUAUUGAUAACAUUCAAGCCGUUUUUAGUUCAACGCCGCAACUAGAGAAAGAUCCUUUUAAUUUUCAAGCCAAUUAAGUUUUCGGAAUGCUUCAACCAAGUUAUUUCUUUGGGGUUCCACAUCAGUUUUUGGGGUAGCCAUAAACUUAUGAUGAUGAUGAUGAUGAUGAUGCUCUCGCCAAUUGAUUAUUGCUAAUUUUCUUUGUACCUAUUAGCUGUUCCAGGCUAUCUUAUUGCCAUUUUUACAAUGUUACUAAAAUUUGUUGGUAUAGCAGUGCCCUUUCAUUAUAGUUGGCCUCUUAUGAGUGUAAUUAAUCUCAAAUAUCAACAUUAUAAAUUAUGAGUGUAAUUGAUUGGGUAAAUACUCGUUUAAUCCCUAAAUUUUGAUAUAAGUGUCCGUUUAAUCUCCAAAUUUUAAAAAGUGCGUAAAAACACUCUUAUUGUUCAAUAUGUUACAUUCUUAUCAUUGUUUGUUUCUUUUCUUUUACAAUAAUAAUAUUGCAACAAUAUUCUUGACAUUAAUUAAUUUAUUUAUAAAAAAAUUAAUUAGCAAAUUAACCAAUAAAUAUAAGUGUGAAAGAACUAAUAUUUUUUGUAUCUGUUAAACAAUCUUACUAAUAAUUUUUUAUAAAUAAAUUAAUAUUAGCCUACUUAAAGUAAUGUCUAAUAUUUUUACAAUAAUUUUACUAAUAAUUAUCACGUCGGUAACGUCGAUUUUUACCGACGAAUCAUAGGUUUCGAAAAUAUAGUGCCUUUUGAUAAAUCGAGAGAGUGGGGACAAGCACCUUCUCGGAUGUCUGGAGCUGAAGUGAAAAAGCAGUUGAAUAAUAUCCUUACUGAGUUUAAGAUUGAAGACUUGAAAAGUGGAGAAUGAAUAAAAUGAGAGAAAUGACAAGAUUACUUGGAAGAAGAAAAGCAUAUUUUAUGAACUACCGUGUUGGGAGUUCAAUUUGAUUCAUCAUAAAAUGUGAGACAUGAGGGAGAGACAAAAGCUCAGGCUUGUCUGCAACCAUGUGGGCCCUCAUAAGCAAUUCGUGUACACAACUUGGUUCACCAAGCCCAACAACUUGAAGCAGGCAAAAUCCGGGAACGAUCCUUCUCCUUCGCAACCCUGGCAGCCUUAACCUUGUAUUUCUGAUAUUUAGUUAAAGAGUAAGAAGAUUGCUCCUCUGUCAAUUACCUUCGAGAGAGACUUUCUUUUUCAUUAAUCGAUGCUUGCUUGUGAAAGCAAGGGUUUUAGUUACACUUUCAACGCUGUCAAUGUAGUGAAGUAAAGCAUUCGUAGAAUAAUGAAGAUGGAAGCCCCACAGCAUGAAAACUUUUAAACAGUAACACAGCUCUUAUUCCAGAGGCUGCACGCGAGUGACCUGAAUCUUCUUCAGAACUUUCAAAUUUUAUCAAGCAAAGCUUUCAAAAUUUCUCAACAAAUUGAUUAUUUGGUGUGGUUGCCACAUUUUGAGUAACUGCUAUUUGUUCUCAAGUACAAAAUCCUUGCCCUCCUAAGUUAGGAAAUAUAGAUGUGAAGCAAACCAAAUGAAAUAAAUGGGUAAACAGAACAAACAGUGCAAAAAUUAAAAAUGAUGGCAAUUAACAAAUUAACUUGUAUUUCUGAUAUUUAGUUAAAGAGUAAGAAGAUUGCUCCUCUGUCAAUUACCUUCGAGAGAGACUUUCUUUUUCAUUCACCAAAAUAAAAUAAAUUUAGAAUUUCAAACAGUACUAGUAGUAAAAAAAUGACGACAACAACAAAAAUAGAAAAUUACAAGACUGCUGAUAAAAUUUCACUUGCAGGCAUUUCUCACAAAAUUUCUGUGAUUUAAUGUGCUUUCAUGCACGCAAGUCCUAACGUUUCUGUGAUCACAAAUGAAACUGAAGAUAAAACAGAACAACUACCAAACCUUUCAAGCGUGACGAAGCCAUGAGAAUUGAUAGCUCAAUGUCAUGGGAUGAGUGUUUUGUCACUAAAACAGAACAAUAAUUUUGAACACACCAUGUGGCAUUUAGACCAUUUGAUAGUUUGUUUCAAACAUAUUUGUUUAUAAAAUACUUUUCUUCAUGGUUUUGGUCCCAUAAUUUUCUAUGUAUGUACAGGUUUUAUCGAUACCGCUUUUGACAAGUUACACUUACAUAGCAAUGCCCUUUUUGAUAAACUGUGCUUCUGUGAUGAAGAAUGUUUUAGCUGUAAGUGGAUAUCCUAAUCAUUGAUCCAUAUACUUAGGUUAUAUUAUCCAUCAGCAAGUAUGUAUAAAAUUAUUUUGUGUCUUUUUUUAUUAGAAAUGUUGUAAUUCUAUUUUACUCUUCCUGAAUUAUAACAUCAGGUGUCUAUAAUAACUAGGUUAUUCCUUCUGCAAAACAGAGCAGUGGUAAAUAUUUUUUUUCUUUUGUUUGUUUAGUACAUUUACAUGCUUUCAGCUUUUUCAAAUUUUGUAUGUGUCAAAGUUUAAAUUUAAUUUGUUGGUUUAUGCCACAACAAAAGGAACAGCAUCAAAGAGGAGCUGCUAAUGGACUUGCUAUGACUGUAGUGUCGCUUACCAAAACUGCCGGUCCAGCUGUAGGAGGUGCUCUGUGAGUGUCCUGUUGAUUUUGUAAAACUAUAUGUAAAUGAAGUUAUAAUUUUUUUUUUCAUUAAUUGGGGUUCUGGCAGAUUUUCUUGAUCACAAAAGCAUCAAGAUGCUGGUUUCCUCCCAGGUAUGAUGAUCUACUAAUGAAAUUUCUCACGAGUUGGUGAAUUACUUUGUGCUAAUUAGCUUAGUUAGCUGCUUAAACUAAAGUGCAGGUAACCAGAUGAUUUUUUUCAUUUUGAAUUUGGUCGAGGCACUAGGAGUAAUAUUGACAUUCAAACCAUUUCUAACUCAACGUGCCCCGUGAGUAGAGAAAAGAUGCAUCUGUUGAAAUAUUCAAAUAUAUGUCGAGCAAAUUAAAGCUUUCAAAAUCUAUCAACAAUUUGAUUAUUUGAUGUGGUUUGCCACUUGCCGUAUUUUGUUUUGCUGUUCUAAAGGCUUAAAUAUGAAAAUGGUGGUUGGCGCUCACACCAAUCGAUUGCUGUUAACAUUAAUUGUUCAGUACUUUUCUCUGUCGACAUUUAUACUUGUUCAUUGUCAGAACUACGACAAUUUAUCUUUACAAUGAUGCAAGCUAGAAAGAAUUUUUCAUGUUAAGUAAAAUAUUGAAGCCACAAAGAGUCUGAAUUAAGUACUAAGUUUUCUGCCAUGCUUUCAACGGUAACACAUUUGUAGCUCUUAUUCCAGGGGCUUCACAGUAGAGAGACCUGAUUUCGACCUUCUUCAGAACUUGGGGAUUCCGUAAUAACAGAGGACAACAGUUAUAUAAGAAUAUUAUUUUGUACAAUUUUCGUAUAACCUGACCAAUGCAAGUAUAAUUUGAUGAUCUUAACUCAGAUCAAAAGACCUUCAAUGAUGUAAAAUUUGAACAUAAAGAUGAGAACCAAACAUUAGAACUUAUGAUGAAACGGAAACAAAAACAUUGAGAUUGAAAAGAUAGAGAAACACAAGCUUUUUAAAAGGAAUAAAUAUUCAUUUAGUCUCUAUAUUUUGACUUAAGAGCGCAUUUAGUUCUUAUAUUUUAAAAAGUGCCUCAACCUCAAGACACCCCUACUGUGUUGGAAUAAUAUUUUUGGGAAUAUCAAUGAAAAGAAACGAAUGGUAAUUCAUCUAGCCAGCCUUAAACAAAAUAAAUAUUAAUAAAAACUUUUAUGUUAUUAUUUUAGUUUUAGGACUAAUUUCGUAAAUUAAUUUUUUUAUGCAUUUAUUAGUAAGAUUGCUUUAAGAAUAUUAAACAUUACUUUAAGAUGGCUGCUAUUGAUUUAUUUAUAAAGAAUUAUUGGCAAGAUUGUUGUAAAAGUACAAAAAAAUACUGGUUAUUUCAUAUUGAUAUUUAUUGAUUAAUUUUCCAAUUAAAUUUUUUAUAAAUAAAUGAAAUUAAUUUAAGAAUAUUAUUGCCAAGAUAUUAUUGUAAAAGUAAAUAAAAUUUAAGGAAAAAUGUAACGUAUUUAAUAUCAAGGUAUAUUGAGGUAUUUUUUAAAAUAUAAUAACUAAACGAGCAUUGAAGUUAAAAUAUAGGUACCAGACGAACAUUUUCUCUUUUAGAAAGUUUUAUAUUUUAUUAAUGAAAGUCUGAAUAACAAAAUUAAGGUUUUGGACUUCUUUUAAACUAAACUUAAAUAUAACAAAUUUACCAAAAUAACUAAACCUAACAUAUUACUACAUAAUAACAUUCUCCUAAUUGAAAUAAGAUAAAUGUUACUCAAAUUCUAUAUCUAGAAAAAAAAAAGAUAAAAAUCCUAAAAACAAUAGGAAAAUAGAUCUUAAACUUGUAAAAUAAUAUGAAAUAAAUAUAAUUUUCAAUCGAACCACGAGACUAAUGCGGCGCUACAGUAUUAGAUUAGUUUCCCCUCGUCGCGAACUUCGAAAUGUAUAUUAUACACCCUAAAUAGAUACUUAUAGCUCAAGUUGUUACCCUAGAGAGAUACUCCACUCAUCCUACGCAACCUAGAGAGAUACUCCACUCAUCCUACGCAACCAUCCGCUGCAUCAAAUUCGUUCCAAAAUUAAGAAUAAACCAGCUGAUGCAUUCCAAAUAAUUUAGAUGAAACGAUAAAAUAAACCUAGAGAUCAAAUAACAUGAAAUGAAAAAGAUAAUUACCUUGGACUGAAGCUCAUACAAAUUCAUUAUUUGACACCUGCGGCAAUUGUUGAAAUAAUAGUUAAUGAAAUAUAAAAUAAGACAAGUACAUAUUAAUGAAACACCACUGUGAAUCGAUAGCUAAGGACGGAGUAAAAUUUAAUUGUAAAUUAGGACAGUAGAGCAAGCAUCCAUAAACAUAACAUGAACGUAAUACAUCAAUUGAAAUAUCAUAGGAUAAAUUGGGACAUCAGAGAAAGAAAUAAGUAAAUAAAUCAGCAAAGGAAACAUGCAUAAACAAAUAAAAAAACAAAGACAAAAUAAGGAAGAGUUUGUGAUAAUUUUCUUCUAUGGUCAUUGAAGUCCAAAAACUAAUAAGGAUCGAGCAAUUGAACGGUUGCAAACUCAAUGGAAAUACAAUGGAACCUUAAAAAUGAACAGUGAAGGAAAAUGAAGAAAUCUGCAGGAAAUAAGACGAGUGAGAGUGAAGAAUUAAUUACCACUGAGUAAAUGCGAAUGAAGAAUGGAGACAGAUCCUUCUUCGCCCCAUUGAGAAGUGAGAUUCAUAGAUUGCAUUGAAAUUGAGAGUUGAGAUCAAGAAGCGAUUCUUCUUCUCCGUAAUUUCCUUUUUCUUUUAAUGUUGUUAUUAUUAUUAUUUUUUUUUUUUUUCAAUUUCAUGAUAUCUUUUUUGUUUUAAACAGUAUUGGCAUAUUACAUUUAUUUAUGUUAAUUUUACAAUACCUCCCUUCAGAUUGCACAAAUUACAUUAAAAAAAAAAGUGCUUUAUGUAUAAAACUUUCAAACAAAUUGGGCCAAAAUCUAACUUUACCAAGUUUAGAGUAAUUUUGGGCUCGACAUUCCAUUUCCGACAAACGAUUUUUCUUGGCGUUUGAUUUUUCUUUAUACUUUUCAUAUUUAUCCAACGGCUCGUCAAUGACAAUACCUUUGUAAAAAGUACUUAUUUUGAAUAUUAUAUUGUGGAAAUGUCUGGUCGGUAAUACAACUAUUUCUUAUAGUGUAAAACUGAUACACUAGCGUUCACAUUUUGAUGAGUAAAUUAAGGAUUUCAAGAUGAAGUACAUAAUUAGAUUAAUGCUAAGAAACUGAAGUUUGAUCGAUUGAAAAUGAAAAUAAUAAUGAAGGUAAUUAAGAAAAUGAACAAUAUAUGCAGAAGCGGUCCUAUUAGGACUUCUAGAUUUUCUCUUGGGCUUUCCUUAUUAUUGUUAAAAAAUGACACGAAGAACUUUGAGUUUAAAAAUCUGGCCCUGAUGCCUGGUAGCCCUCCAUGAAGCACCAGAUGUUUUGAUGAGAAAUGACAAGACCAUUUAUCAAAUUUCUUGUGGAUAUAAAUACAUACACAUAGACGAGACCAACCUCCUCAAAUGAGAAUCAGAGUGAUUAAAAGACCUUGCAAUGAGACAAUGAUACACCAUCAAAUGUCAAAAUACAAUAGAAAUUCACGACAUAUAUAUAAUAAAAGACCUCUCAUUGAGUCAUAUAUAUUGAGAAUAAAAAUGUUAUAAUACAUACACAGAGCUUAGCUAGAAUAAAAUGUCUUUGAACUUGCGAUGAUCAAACAAAGGAAACAGACAGGUUGUAACUCACACUAUCACAAGAAGAUCACGAAGAUGAAAAUGGGAACCCAUCAGAAUGGAAACUUUGAAUAGAUGAAAAAAGAAAAACGACCUUAUUCACAGAAGAAGAGUGACUUAAAUCUUCAUCAGUAUCCAGACAUUUUGCAAUCAUAGAGUAGAGAAAUUUUAACAGGAACAGCAGAGAAAAUAUUAUGAAUAUGCUAUAGACCAAUAUACUUGUUCAUAGCUAACGUUUGAUGGUUUAAGGAUUUGUUCUAGGAAUAAUGGGCUGAUUACUUUCUUUUUAUUUUAAUUUUUUUUUAAUCCAAUGAAUGAUAUUCAGCUGUUAAUUAUGUGUUCAUAGGGAAGAACAUUUUCUAAGUACUUUCCUUGCCUUCUAACUUUCCGAAAAGCAAACCCAAUGAGCAAACAGAGCACAAACUAAAAUAAAAGAACAGCAAUGAUAACAAUAAAUAAUUGGCAAAGAAAAAAAGGAAAAAGUAUGCACGUUUUCAAGGAAUUAUAAAAUAUGAAGGCUUUUAAUGAAACUUUAUCAUACAAAGUAUGCAAGGAAUUAUAAAAUUUUAGAAAACAAGGGGAGCUCUCAAAAAAAAAUGAAAAACUCAAAUUAAACUAGACUAAAAGACAUUCAAUUUUGCAAAAUCUGUCCAUAAAAGUCUGAAAGGAUCAUUAAAAUUGCAUUGCAAAUUUAACAGUAAACCGAGGGACCCAUUCUAAAUAAUUCAGAUGAAAUUGCGAAACAAGACAUGGGAUUAAAUAAAUGAAACAAUCUAAUAAAAAAAAAAUAAAUGAAACAAAAAUUAAUUACCAGUUGAGACUUUCUUCUAAAAAUUCGCAACUCCAAGUCACAAGAAGCCUAUGAAAUUAGUCGUACUGCGUAGAGUAUGACGACGACACCGCCAACAGCCGACGACACCGCCAACAGCUGAAAGUAAAAUUCUUAUUCAUCAAAUAUCUUAUCAAUAUUGUAUUUAAGAAAGCAAAUUUUGUAAAAAUUUAUCAUGGGAGAUAAGAGUAAUAUGUAUAUACGUACCUUCUCAGCAUGUAAUGUUGUAUGGUUGUGUUUAGAUAAUUAUUAGCCCAGCGCCGUUGAUCCGCUGUCUCUCCAUACCAGACAUUUACUCUUGGAGGCGUGAUUGCUUCUCCUGUAGUGAAAAUCUUCAUCUUGGGACAACCAAUCACCCACAACUCUUGCAAAGAUGGGAAUUGGAAGGUGUAAUUGGCAGAGCAGAAACUUGUGAGGCUAUCUAAAUCACGCAGUUCCAACGUCUUCAAUUUGCGGAAAACAAUCUCUUCUUUUUCAACUCCAUCUUUGUCAUUUAUUACCACCUCUGUCAUUGCUCUGCAUCCAUAUAUUUCUAUUGCUACGAGUCGCACCAGAGUUUUUGCUGUGGAGGAUGUUACCAUGUGUAACAAUUUCUUGCAACCGAAAGCCACCAGAGCUGUUAGGUUCUGAAAAGAUACCGAUGAUGAUGGCAAUAGAAUUAACAGACUUUGACAACGAUAUGCUUUUAGAAUUUCAAGAUACUGAAAAGUGGGGCCAAGUUUGGAGUCUUGUUUGCACAGCUGCUUCAGAUGAUAGUGCCAGCGCAGCUCUAAUGUUUUUAUCAUUGCCAACUUCCCCGCAUGUUUCUCUAAGCUUCCUUCCUCCGAAAAUACCUCUUCGUGGAAUGAAAAUUGAAACAGUGAGAGUAUUUCAAGAUUGUGAAAUCUCUCAAGUACAUUCCAGAUUGGAAAACAAGCUGAGUUAUCUUCGGCAAUCUCUAGUUGUUUAAGACUGCCAAAAAGGUGUUGUGGGAAAUCGGCCUGCAAAAUCAUCUUCACGUCUUUUCCAUUCAAUGAUAGGUCCUUCAAGUUGGGUAAGAUCUGAUCAUCAUAAAUCAUAAUAACUAAUGAGGUCAAUUGAUGUUCUCUCAAAUGAUUUUGAGUAAUCCAAUUACAAGCAGUGACUUUAUUGUAUCUGUUUUAUAUUAAUUUUACCCCCAAAAAAAAUUGAAUUAGUGAUAAAAUUCAUUAUAUGAUUUUUUAUAUGUUAAUUUUAGAGGUAAAAAAGAAAUUAGGGAAAAAUGGUUGAUUUAUAUUUGCAUGAAAAUAUUUUAUUUCACAACAAUAAAUUAUUAAUUUAUAUUGUAAGUCCUUGUAUAAAGAAAAACUAAGGAUUCUUUACCUAAAAAAGUUCAUAUAAUUAUUAAUCUCCCACAUUGAUCCCUUAGUCAAGACUAGCAAAGAUUAUUAUGUAAUAAAAAUUUUUAAUUUAUUAAGUAUUAAUUUAUCAGUGUUUUGUUACAUUUUUCAAAGUCAAAAGUCGUCAAUGAGCUAUUGAAAAAAAUAUCUAGAAAAUGACUUCAUACCUUUUCGAACGGCAAUAAGGGCUGUUGUGCAGGAAUAUCAAGUUGAUUAUUCUCUUUAUUCUGCGAUAAAUCUUCAGCAAAUAUUUUUAAUUUGUCACAACGACACACUGCAAAAUUUUCUAGUGCUGGCCAUUCCGAAGUAUGCAUUCCUGGGUAUAAACAUCUAAGUUUUGGUAGACCUUGGAGUAUCAGAACGGUGGGUUGUGGAAAGACAAAAUAAGGGAUCACUUCAUCUGCUCUGUUUUCAAAACGAUCUCCUGUAAAUCCUUACAGUCUCAUAUAUCUAAGUGCUGGAGCUGCUUGAGGUUUCCGAUCAUAGACGCUGAAAAUAUGUAUUUCAGUUUGUCACAGUACCACACAACUAAUCGUGUUAAACUUUGAAAGUGAGGAAACACGGCCGCCAGAAUUUGAUUGUAAUGCCAAAUCUUGUCGACAUUAAUUGCAGAUAUCUCCAAAGCCACCAAGUUAGGCAACGCAACCUAAAAAAAUAAGAAUUUCUCGUUAGAUCCAAUAUCCAUAUAGGAAGCACUUGUUGAAAUUUUCUUCUUUGAUUACAAAUUGUUGAAAGUCAGAAUCAAUUUCCAACUGACAGCUGAGUUUGAUGCAUUCUAAUUCAUACUACUUGUUAAGAGCUCAAUUAGUGAGCGUGUUGUUAAGAGCUCAAUUAGUGAGCGUGUGAGAUUCUUUUUAUCCUUUUUUCCAUUUUCUUUCAAUUCUUAAAUGAUUUAAUUAUUUUCCACGUAUGACGUCAAAAGAGAACGCAUGAUAGAAUAAAAUCUGUUAUAUAUAUAUAUAUAUAUAUGAAGAAAAUGUUAGCCUACUAUCACGGGAUGAGUAUUUUGCGCAGCUAACCCGUGCGGUACUUAGACAACUUUGCCGAAUGUUGCUAAGUAAGCCUAGAGCUUCUCGAACUAGAGAAGAGAGCAAUUGAGCCGAAUAAGAGACAUUGUAUUGCACAAAGAGAGAUUACAAUGCUUGUUGUUGUGUUUGUUGGAUACAAAUGCCUAAUGCCAUCCCAUAUUUAUAGGGGAGGCUUGCCAAGCUAGAGGCUCUAGAGAUUCUAGAGAAUUCUACCAUUUCCUAGCUAUUUACAUGUGCUGGAAUUGUAAGGAGAAUUCUAGAGUAUUUGCAAGCUCACAUGUGCUAGAAUUGCCAAGAACUUUCCGGAAUUGGGCCAAGCUAGCACUCUUGGCCUUGUGUUGGCUCUCUAGCCCGAAAUUGUUGGCAAUUGGGCUAGCGAAUUGGGCGGUCCGCAACAUCCUCCCCCACCUAAGCUCGCGGCGUCCUCGUCGCGCUCUCGUGCUUGAAAUUCUAGAUGUGCUCAGCGAAUUGCCAUAAGUCAUCUUCACGUUCCCAAGUGGCUUCGCUCUCGGGGAGGUUUUUCCACUUCACCAAGUACUUGCUAUGUGCUGGCACGCCCCUCCUCGAAACCGUGCGGUCCGCAAUGAUGUAGUCCACAUCUUUGUCGAAUGCGGUGACAAGCAGUUGGCACGCGCCUCGAUUCUCCGCGACUUGGUUCUCCCAUGUCUUCGUGAUAUGGCUUGAGAAGGCUCACAUGGAAGACCGGAUGGAUCUUGAGUCUUGGCGGAAGUUGGAGUUGAUAUGAGACGUUGCCCACACGUCGAACAACUCGGAAGGGUCCCUCAUAGCGCCUCACUAACCCCUUGUGGACUUUCCGCAAUGUCUUGAAUUGUUGGGGUAGGAGCUUGAUCAUGACUUGAUCUCAUUCAUUGUACUCAACAUGCCGUCUCCUUGUAUCCGCCCAUUUCUUCAUUUUCCUCGCGGCUUUGUCGAGGUAGGCUCGCGUGAUGUCCGCUUCCUCAUGCCAUUCGCGGGCGAACUUGUGUGCCGCGGGGCUUUUCCCGCCGUAAGUCGAGGCUAUGGCGUUGGGGGUCAUGGGCUGGAAUCCCAUGAUGAUCUCGAACGGACUCUUGCCCGUAGCCUCACUUCGCUGCAAGUUAUAAGAAAAUUGGACGAUGUCGAGUAGCUUCGCCCAAUCCCACUGAUGAGCGCUCACAUAAUGCCUCAAGUACAUUUCGAGGAGGCCAUUGAUGCACUCGGUCUGCCCAUCCGUUUGUGGGUGGAAGCUUGUCGAGAACUUGAGAUCGGUCCCCAACAUCUUGAAGAGCUCCGUCCAAAAACGCCCAGUGAACCGAGGGUCUCACAAUGCUCCUUGGAACUCCCCAAAGCUUCACAAUGUGCUUGAUGAAUAGGCAGGCUGCCUCAUCCGCUUUACAAUCGAUUGGUGCGGCAAUGAAUGUGGCGUACUUGCUGUAUCGGUCGACAACGACCAUGAUGCUUCCGCAACCUUCGGAUUUGGGCAGCGAAGUAAUGAAGUCCAUGGAGACAUUUUCCCAUGGCCUUGUUGCUAGUGGUAGCGGCUCCAAUAAUCCCGCUGGAAGUUGAUGAUCCACCUUGUCUUGUUGGCACACAAGACAAGUUCGCACAUCUGCUUCGAUGUCGUCCCUCAUGUACGGCCAAAAAUACGAGGCUUGAACUAGUGCGGUGGUGCGCUCGAUUCCUGGGUGACCAGCCCACUUAGAGUCGUGGCACUCCUUGAUUACCUCCUUCCGUAAGUUUCCCCACCUUGGCACGAACAGCCGAUCUCCCUUGGUGUGGAGGAUGCCUUCCUCUUGCCAAAAUCGCCUUGUCUUGCCUUCGAGCACCUUCUCCAGCAAAUCCUUUGCUAGCGGAUCUUGUUGGAGGCCUUCCUUGAUGCGUGAGACAAGGUCGGACUUUGGUUGGCUCAUGCUAAUUGUUGCCAAUUCGGCCUUACGGCUUAGAGCGUCUGCAACGACAUUGGCUUUCCUCGGUUUGUACUCGAGCCAAUAGUCGAAUUCCGUAAGGAAAUCUUGCCACCGUGCUUGCUUCGGGCUCAACUUUUUUUGUGUUUGAAAGUAGCUCGUCGCUACGUUGUCCAUCAUAGUCAUGAAGUGAGAGCCUAGCAAGUAAUGUCGCCACACCCGCAAGCAAUGUAUGAUUGCGGUCAUCUCCUUCUCUUGCACCGUGUAGCGGCGUUCCGUAUCGUUUAGCUUUCGACUCUCGAACGCUAUGGGAUGGCCUUCUUGCAUAAGGACUCCACCUAUGGCGAAAUCCGAGGCAUCCGUUUGAACUUCGAAGGGUUUAGUGUGGUCCAGAAGAGCGUGGACGGGUUCCUCCGAAAUUGCCUUCUUCAACUGCUCGAAUGCGCGUUGGCACUCUUCGGACCAAUGCCACGUUCUGUUUUUCUUGAGCAUAUCCGUCAAGGGUGCUGCCUUGGCUGAGUAGCCCUCGAUGAAGCGGCGGUAGCAGUUCACCAACCCAAGGAAUGAGCGAAGCUCGGGUACUUUCGAGGGAGGUUCCCAUUCGAGGAUGGCCUUUACUUUGGCAUUCUCCAUCAUGAUCUUUCCGCCCGCAACCUUGUGGCUAAGGAACUCCACUUCUUGUUGGGCAAACGAGCACUUCUCCAACUUGAGGAAGAGCUCGUUGUCUCGGAGUACUUGGAGGACUUGUCGUAAGUGUUGGGCAUAAUCCUCGAGUGUGGUGCUAUACACCACUAUGUCGUCCAAGUACACGACCACGAAGCGGUCGAGGAAUGGUUGGAGUAUCUUGUUCAUGAGCGUGCAAAAUGUAACAGGUGCAUUAGUAAGGCCAAAAGGCAUCACAAGGAAUUCGAAAGACCCAUACCUUGUAGUGCACGCUGUCUUCGGUUCGUCUCCCUUGGCGAUGCGCACUUGAUAGUACCCGGAGCGCAAGUCAAGUUUGGUGAAGUACCGCACUUUGCCAAGUUGGUCGAACAAGUCCGCGAUCAAGGGAAUCAGAUACUUGUUCUUGAUGGUGAUCUUGUUGAGCGAUCUAUAGUCGAUGCACAUCCGCAGCGAUCCAUCCUUUUUCUUUUGGAAGAGGACCGGUGCACCGAAUAGGGCCUUUGAGGGGUGAAUGUAGCCUGCGUCCAGCAAGUCUUUGAGUUGUCUCCGCAACUCCUCUAAUUCGGGUGGCGCCAUGCGGUAGGGCGCCAAGGCUGGUGGCUUCGCGCCUUGUUCCAGCUCGAUCGCAUGAUCUACCUCUCGCCGAGGUGGGAGCUUCUUCGGAAGUUCCAGAGGCAUCACGUCCUUGUAUUCAUUGAGAACGGCUUGAAUUCGCGAAGGGACUUGGCUUGGCGACGUUCUGCUCUUUCCUUCCUUGUUUAGUUCCCGGAUGGAGACCAAGAAGCUUGGGUCCUUCUUGAAAGCCCUUUUGAAUUGCAUGGCGGAGAGUGUCUUCUCCUCGGACUUGCCUCGCUCCGUGGGUACCAUGCAUGCUUUGCUCCCGUCGAGGAUGCUUAGGGAGUUUGUAGCGGGCAGUGGGAAGGCAUGGACUUGGUCGAAAAAUUCCAUGCCGAGGACUAUCUUGAAGUCAUCCAUGGGGAUGAUGGAGAAAUCAAGCUUUCCGCUCCACGUACCGAGUGUUAAGUGCACGCCUUGUGCAAUUCCCGCAAUUGGCUUGGCGGGUGAGUUUACUGCCUUCAUUGUGCUUCGUGAGCUAACUUGCGUGCGUGCAAACCUUAGCUCCGAUACCACUUGUCACGGGAUGAGUAUUUUGCGCAGCUAACCCGUGCGGCACUUAGACAACUUUGCCGAAUGUUGCUAAGUAAGCCUAGAGCUUCUCGAACUAGAGAAGAGAGCAAUUGAGCCGAAUAAGAGAAAUUGUAUUGCACAAAGAGAGAUUACAAUGCUUGUUGUUGUGUUUGUUGGAUACAAAUGCCUAAUGCCAUCCCAUAUUUAUAGGGGAGGCUUGCCAAGCUCUAGAGAUUCUAGAGAAUUCUACCAUUUCCUAGCUAUUUACAUGUGCUGGAAUUGUAAGGAGAAUUCUAGAGUAUUUGCAAGCUCACAUGUGCUAGAAUUGCCUAGAACUUUCCGGAAUUGGGCCAAGCUAGCACUCUUGGCCUUGUGUUGGCUCUCUAGCCCGAAAUUGUGGGCAAUUGGGCUAGCGAAUUGGGCGGUCCGCAACAUCCUCCCCCACCUAAGCUCGCGGCGUCCUCGUCGCGCUCUCGUGCUUGAAAUUCUGGAUGUGCUCAGCGAAUUGCCAUAAGUCAUCUUCACGUUCCCAAGUGGCUUCGCUCUCGGGGAGGUUUUUCCACUUCACCAAGUACUUGCUAUGUGCUGGCACGCCCCUCCUCGAAACCGUGCGGUCCGCAAUGAUGUAGUCCACAUCUUUGUCGAAUGCGGUGACAAGCAGUUGGCACGCGCCUCGAUUCUCCGCGACUUGGUUCUCCCAUGUCUUCGUGAUAUGGCUUGAGAAGGCUCACAUGGAAGACCGGAUGGAUCUUGAGUCUUGGCGGAAGUUGGAGUUGAUAUGAGACGUUGCCCACACGUCGAACAACUCGGAAGGGUCCCUCGUAGCGCCUCACUAACCCCUUGUGGACUUUCCGCAACGUCUUGAAUUGUUGGGGUAGGAGCUUGAUCAUGACUUGAUCUCAUUCCUUGUAUUCAACAUGCCGUCUCCUUGUAUCUGCCCAUUUCUUCAUUUUCCUCGCGGCAUUGUCGAGGUAGGCUCGCGUGAUGUCCGCUUCCUCAUGCCAUUCGCGGGCGAGCUUGUGUGUGACGAUGGUCUGUUUGGUGAUGCUGAAGGAGUCUUUACUUCACGGCAGAAAUUUGUAACCUCUGGAAGAUUCCCCAGACUCAAAGAUCUUAAUUGAGCAAACUCUAUCUUCUCAAUUGCAUUAUCAACUUCUUCCCCAAUUGCAAAAAUCUCUUUCAUCUUGCUGCAAUCAACAACUGCAAUUCUCUCAAGUCUUGGAAGGCAUUUUGUAGUAGAGAGCCAAAAGAUAUUACUCAAUUUAUCACAAUUAUAUGCUUGUAUGAUUUUGGGUUCGUUCAAAGACUCUACUUUGAGCUGAUCAAUACAUAUCCUCUCCAUGUUGAUCAAAUUGUGAAGGAUAAGUGACUCCAAAAGAGGAAAGGCUUCACAAGCUACCAUCUCCAUUGAGUCCACGAUACACAGGAAGUUAGGAUUAUUUUGAACAUGGAGAUGCUUCAAUUGUGAAAAACCUUCUGUGUCCAAAUCAAAAAGAACAUUCUUGACACCUUGCAGCUUGUCCAACCAUAGGUAUUCAACGUUAUUGAUGCCCUGCAAUUUCAUGGAGAAAAUGUCCAUAAAAUCAAGCUUGAGCUUCAAUUCUCUUAAACUCUCACGAUUACUGUUGAUCAAAAAGUGCGGCCGGCUUUGAAACCAUUCUCUUGUAACACUCUUGGGAGGCAUGAAUGACUCAUUUCCAAUGGAUAUUUUGAACCUUUCGAGCUUUCUGGCCAAAAAGCCUUCCGGUAAAAUACUGUCAUUUUUAACAUCAAUUUCUAGAGUGGUUGGCCAAGGUAAAAGCAUCAAUUCAUCAAGGCUAGCAUUACUUCUUUCACUGUUGGCUCUUUCAACCUCCCAUUCAACGGAGCAAUUACCCAUAUACAAUUCUUCUAAUCGGAUUAAGCUCGAUAAGACAUUUGGGGCAAUAACUUUUAGAUGGAAACAGUCUCUUAAAUCUAACAGCCUUAGCUUAGUCAGUUGCCCUAGUGCUUUAGGUAACUGUACAAUAUCAGACCGCACAAAGCCAAGGAUUUCUAGAUUUUCCAACUUUCCAAUAAUGGCUGUGUCCAUGUCUCCCAAAUGCUUUGAUUAAGACAAAGUGUCCGAAGAUUUACUAGAAGAUCAAUUGAAGAUGGCAAUGACAAUAACCGCAUUCUAGUCAAAUCCAAAACCCGAAGCUUUUUCGUCCUUUUGAAGAAGUUCUCAGGAACAUUGGGCCCAACAAAAGAGUUCUUGGGUGACAUGAAUAAAAAUUCAAGUUGUGUAGAUUCCAACACUUCAGGAAUGUCAUUAAUAAUACUAUCUUUUAAACAAAUUGCAAAAUAUUUUUUUAGUGCAUCUGCAUCUGGCCAGUUCCACACAUCCUCAUUUCUCACCGCAAAUGCAAUUUUGUCACGACGUGCUAUUGAAAUGGCAACAUCGCGAACAACAUCAUGCAUGGAAAAGAAUUUACUGCCACCAUCCUCAAGCAACAAACAAGAGUCUCUUAGUUGAUGGACCCAUGCAUGUAAUUUGUUAUGUGCAUCUUCUAUCUUAUGGACACUUUCAAAUGCACCCAAGCCUAUGCUAUAUUUGAACAAGUCCAUAAUUGAAGUUGGUGUAAUUAGACUACACAGUAAAAAAGUUUUCUUUAGUUGCUCACCUCUUAAAUACUUGUAACUUAGCUCAAUUGUUGAGUAUGCCUCUACUGGUACUCCUUCAUCGAAGCUUGCCUCUGAAGGCGUUUGGAGUUCUUGCAAGGCGUUCUUCCACACAGGCAGCUCUUUGUUUCUCAGUGCCUUUGCUACUGUGGUUAGAGCAAUAGGCAAACCUCCACAUGCCUUGGCUACAUUUGUUGCUGUAGAUUUUAACUCACGAUUUUCAACAAAAUUACCAGCCAUUAUCUUGAACAACCUCCAAGCUUCAUGCUCAUUUAGAAUGCCAAUCAAGAAGUUAUUUUCAGAUCCCAUACUUAACAAGACAUUACGAUCCCUUGCUGUUAAUAAUAAUUUGCAUCCUCUAUGAUCAUCGUCAAAAGGAAUUCCAACAGUCUCUAAAUCAAGAUAUUUCCAGAUGUUAUCCAGAAUCACAAGGAUCAUCUUCUCUUUCUUCAAUCGUUCAUAAAGUCUACUAGCUCUUCUAGAUUCAGCCUCCUCGGACAACUCCAGACCUAGUUUCUCUGCAAUUUCCCCUUGAAUCUUUUUUAUGUCUGGAGUUUGGGAAACCUCUGAAAAAACCACCUGAUCAAAGAGUUUCUCUUCACUGGCUUGCGUUGCAAACUCCUUCACCAGUGUUGUCUUUCCAAUGCCGCCCAUGCCGUAUACCCCAACGAUGCUGACAUUGACAUCAGUCAAUGCAUCUUGUCUAGACUUCAGAGUAGAAAGUCUUGAUUUAAAGGCCUCGUAACCUUUGUUAGACUUUAGCCAUACCUCCUCCGCAAUGGUACGGUAGAAAAUUCUAUCAUCAAAUCUCCUAGCUUCUUCUUUGAGUUCAACAAGGGCCUUCACCUCUGUUUCUGCUUUCUUGCUAAGCUGAUAGCGGGUCUUGAAAUUAGGACACAAGCCCUUGAAACAUCGCUUACUUGUUGUCUCCCCAUCUUCAAUGAAUUUGGCUGCCUGCUCAAUGGUGUUGUUCGCACUAACCAGCCAGUUCUCAACCUUCUCUUCAAUCUUUUCUCCUUUUCUUUCAGCCUCAGAAACUCUGUGCUGAAUGCUCUUACUUUCAUCCUUGAGCUUGUCUAUUUCUGCCUUGAGAUUCUCAAAGUUGGCUUUAUAGUUACGCAAAUAACAAAGUUGGCGUUCUGUUGGAGGAGCGAAGCAUUUCACAACUUCUAACAGAACAGUAACAAUGCUUUCCACCAUCUUCGAUCCUCUUUUUUUCAAAGUUCCGAAAUGAAAAUAAACGACGAGCGAAACACAAAGAGAAAGAGAGGCAAAAAAAAAAAAAAAGAAAAACGAAAAAAAGAAAAUGAAACAACAAAGAUGACAAGUGUAUCUGGUUGUGGAAGCGGAGAAAUCAAAGAAAGCUUAAAAACUGUUGUGAAUCUGGUGAGAAGAUGGAAACAAGGAAAAGGUUUCUAGUUCAAAAGUGAUUGAAUUGAUAUAAGGAAUGAUUUAGAUAAUAGAGGAAAAGUGAAUCAGUCAAAAUAACUUAUGUAUUGACCAGAAGAAAGAUGCAAACAAUAUUAGAGACAACAACCGCGCUGUUGAUGCCCAAAUCUGAUCUAGUCUAUCAGCGACUUAAUGUCAGAUUUCUACACCAGUAUUAGAUUUAUUUGGUAGAGAAUCGAUUGGUCAAUCGUCAAGAUGUCCUGCAACCACUAGCGAUUAACCUAGGAAUACCUGAAAUCAUAGAAGAAGGUUAGAGGCGCCGGAAGUUUUUCCGGCGUGAACCCUCCGACACUCAAGUUAGUUUCUAGGCCUUUCGGAAAAACUUGUGCCACCACUCAUGUGGCUUAAUAAACAUUGCCUUAAAACCCAAGGCUUUUCGAGUAAUUUACAGAAAGUAAAGCAGAGUGUCAAAGAAAGAAUUUUCCAUGAGAGGAAGAGAGCCCAAAAAGCCCCCCUAGCUAACUCCCCACUCCCCUCUUUCCCCCCUUGUUCUCUCCCACUUUCGGAAGUUAAGGAUGAGAUAAAAGUAAUGCCCCCACUCUCCUUUUUUUCCUCCUUUUUCCGUUACCAAACACGCGCUAUUGACUGGUAAAAGAGAUGGAGAAAAAGAUAUAUCUUCACACGGUGGAAGUACAAAGGGUAGAUAUGGAACCAAACAGAGACAACAACAUGCCACAACUAGAUUGGGAAUGGAGAGAAACAAAUUAACAAAGACUGGAGAUUACAACAGAACAGAUGCCAAGAGAAAAGGGUUUCUUCAUCCAGUGAAAUUCAAGUGAGUUGACAGCAAAAGGGAGCAUAUGUGUUUCUUGAUUGAGAACGAGUGCAAAGGAUGACUUUUUAAUGAGGUUCUGAAGCUGACGGAUAACGAUUUGCUAAAAUUUUGAGAAAGUUAUAUAUUUCGUAACUUCAACAAGUGAAGAAUAAAAGAAUAAUAGUUCGUCAUCUUCACAAUGAAGAUCAUGGCCGAGAUUAAAAGCUAAAACUAGUCCAUUUGAAAAGCCAAAGUUCAAGUUCCUUGGCUAAGUUCAGAAGUGAAGCAAAGAAUAAAUAAAUAAAGAUCAAGGGAUGGGAAUAAAGUCACCCCCAGACAGUUGCAGAAAGAUUAUUAUUUGGUAAGCGUAGUUGAUUAUUAGUACAAAACAGAGUAGGUGAAACACAUCCUUUCUAUUUAGACUGAUCAGCAUCUAAAAUUUUAUGAAUUAUAAGUUGCAUUUUACUUUGUACAUUAUGUUAACACAUUUUAAUUUAGCCAAUUUUUCAAUAAAUGUUAUUGAUGUAUUAAAUUGCAACAACAAAACACAAUUAUUGGUUUUAAAGAAUGAAAAAAAAAAUACAAAAAUAGAAAAUGAAUUGAAUUCCACUCAUCGUCAUCUUGGCAAAUCAAGUCAAAAAAUAAAAAUCCAUAUGCUUUUGUUAAAGUUAAAAGCUACAUAAAUAAUAUCACAGAAGCUUCUGCUAAGGUUCAUGUGAAGUCACAGCUUUGAUACUUGUAAUACAAGGAGCACGGAGAAACCAUAAACUUCAGUUUAGGUAUAUACAUUGCUUGUCUUUCAAACUUGAAUUGAUAAGGGGGAAAAAAAUAAUACUAAAGCAAACAGAAGGAUCAUUUAGUUGACAAAAUUAUUAUUAUUUUUAAAUUCGGGUCAUUCAGUUACUUUCAUUUCAGUUUCACUACUGAUUCAAUUUAACCAGUUAACGUUGACAAAAAUAAAAUGCAAAUAUAAGGCUAAGGCUGCUAAUUUGAUGAACUAAUUAUCUCAGGAACCAAAGCAUCUAUAAGCAUGCAUGGGUGGCAACACCAUAAUUACUCAAGACUGGAGGAGUAAAAAGAUUGGAGAUGAUAAACAUUAAAUUUCAGGAAAAUCAUUCACAAAUAUGCUUUUAUAAAAGUUUUGCUGGUAAAGUUCGAGAAAUGCAUACAUGUCAAAUUUCCAUUUCUUGUGAGCAUUUCACCAAAUAGCUGAUAUGCAUUAAUAACUCCUAUCCUAUACUAUUGGCCAGUAGGUUGUUGCUGCUUCCCCAUUUUUAAUGAUGCGAACGUCUCAUACUUAGAAAUAAGGGCGGAGCCUGGAGAUUGAUUUAUAAGAUAAUCUUUUGAAUAAAAAUAAAAACAAUUACAGAUUUCAAAUGUGAGAAAAAUAAAAUUGCGUUAUAAAAUUAAUCCCACUAAGAAAGUCGUCUACGAAAUUGCCACAUUAAAAGAAAAUUUUUCCAUAAAUUAAAAUAAAAUUAAAUGAAAACUAUUUUUCAGUAAAGUCAAUUGCCCACGCUAGGCUAAGGCGUUUGUUUAUUUGUUUGUUUGUUUUUAUAAUCUGAAUAGGUAUAAAUUUUUCGUAAGCAUGAAUGAGCUGAGUACAAAUAUAUGAAUGAUAUAUUUAUUUUUCUUUUUCUUAAUACCCAAAUAUAAGUGACAUCUUAUUUAUCUUAAAUAUGGUUAUUUGAUAUUUAUAUUUUUACAAAUAAAAACAAAAAAAAGUAGUUAGAUUUUAUAGUUUAAGAAAUAAAUAUAUUUUAUAAAAAUAUUUUUAGAAUAUAUAUUUAAUUCUUAUUUAGACUUUUUCCUAUUCAAUAAAAGUCACAAAAGUUACUUUUUCUAUUCAAAUGUAAAUGCUUAAAAAUCAGAUAUAAGUCACAAAAAAAAUAAAUUUUAGAAAAAGUCAUAAAUUAAUAAAAUUUCAUAUAUUUAACUCCCAAUGCAGAUCCGCCCCUAUCAGUGUUAGGAAAUUGACUGGUGAAGUAGGUUCACAGCUAAAAUGAAAUUGGAAGAAAAUGAAGAACAAGCACAUAGAGGACACCAAAAAUUACAUGGUUCGACUUUUAGCCUACGUCUACGGGUAAAGACAAAAGGAUAAAACUUUACUGGUGAAAUGAGGAUUACUAGUAUUAUAAUAUUUUGUUUCACUUCCUAGAACCCCAAUCCACUCAAUCUCUUAAAACACUAAUCACUCAAGAGCAUUAAAACUCUUAGUCUCUCACUCUAGAAUUGAAGAAGAAAAGAAUGAAAUGCAGGGGUGAACCCCUCAUUUAUAGUUAAAAAUUUGGGCACUAUUUAUAUUUUUAUAUAUUUUUUUUAAAUUAAAAGUUUGAACUUGACAUUCAAACUUUGAAUAUCAAAAGGUAUUGGUCACUCUUCUAGAAAAGUGACAUUGACUUUGACAUUCUCCCACUUAGAAAUUUGAUUGAGAAUCAAUCAAUCUCCACACCAUCCUUUCUGCUUCGUCGCUAUCAUGUUGCUUAUGUCUCUACUAGGCCAUAAAAUGAUCUACUCCAAACAAAUUUAUCAGCAUUGAUAGGCUUGGGCAAAACAUUUGUUAAGUUCUCCUUGGUAUCCACUCUUGUAUCUUUCACUACUUCACGAAGAAGUGAUAUUGUACUCCUAUAUUCUUUGUCCUGAAAUAAAAGGUUGGAUUCCUUGCAUUCUAACUAUCACAAACCAUAAAAAUUUUUAUGCCCAAGCUCUUUCAGUAACCUUUGUAUCCAAAUAGCCCUUCCAAGCUUGUGUAGCUGCUAUGUAAUCUGCUUCUGUUGUUGAUAAAGCCACAAUGGUCUGCAAUUUUGAAAUCCAACUAACAAUUUCGCCUUCUGGUGUAAAUACUUAGCCAGUAGUGGGUUUCCUUUUAUUAAGAUUUUCUGCAAAAUCUGAAUGCACAAAGCCCUUGACAGUAAAUUCUAAUCCUUCGCAGCAUAAUGCAACAUCUGAUGUUCCUCUGAUAUUUCUCAGAAUCCUCUUAAUAGUCUUCCAAUGUUCUUUGCAAGGAUUCGCUAUGUAUCGACUAACUGCUCCCACUACUUGUACAAAUCAUAGCAAACCUUAAAUUUUCCACUGCUGAUGCAUACAGUACUCAAGACAUCUCUUCUUCUCUACUUCAUUACUAGAUGAAUACUUAAGAAUAACUUGAAAUUAAUAAGAAGCGGGGUAGAAAGCCAAAUCUUCUUGCUAUUACUAUCUCGGUGAAUUUGCAUCCCUAAAAUCUUGUUUGCUGGUUCUAAGUCUUUUAUUUCAAACUCCCUAGUUAACUGUGCCUUCAGUUCUUGGACUCGAUCUUUGUUGGGGCUUGCUACCAAUAUGUCAUCCACAUACCACAGUAGAAUGAUGAAAUCAUUAUUAUAAAACUUGUUGUAAUAUGUACAACAGUAUGAAAUGAUUCUAUUGUAUCCAAGGUUUAUGAUGAAAUGAUCAAUUCUCUUAUAUCAACAUCUCGGUGCAUGUUUGAGAUCGUAUAGAGAUUUGUUCAACUUGCAAACCAAGUGUCCCUUUUUAGUAAAACCUUCUAGUUAGAGCAUAUAAAUCUUUCCUUCAAGUUCUCCAUGAAGAAAUGAAAAUUUCACAUCUAACUGCUCCAAAUAUAGGUCAAAUGUAGCACACAUCGACAAGACCACUCUGACUGUCCUGGGUCAAAUCACUGGAGAAAAUAUCUCAUUGACGUUAAUACAUUCUUUCACCACCAAUCUUUCACGAUAUCGCUCCACUAGGUUAUUACCAUCACGUUUGAUCUUGUGAACCCAUUUGCAACCAAUGGUUUUUUUUUAUAUGGUAGUAGUACGAGUUCCUAUGUCAUAAUCUUGUGUAGAGCCUUAAUUUCUUCCUGCAUUGCUAUCAUUCACAAAGUAACAUCUGAGCUGUUUAAAAUUUCAUAGAAAGUUGAUGGCUUUCCAUUCUCUAUUAAAAGACAGUAUGCAAAAUUGAUAUCUGUGACAUAAUCCAAAUGCCACACAUACAUUUAUCUAUCACGAGUUGACCAACAAACUUUUGGGGCCUCAGACUUGAUUGGUUCUUGUUCUCAUACUUUGGUGCUGCUUCAAAAAAAUCUGAAUCUUCAUUUUCCAGAUUAUUUUCAACAUAUAUUAGCACAAUCUCUAAAUUUUAAUAGUGCUAUCAUCCAUAUCUCUCUUUUGCAUUUGAUCUUCUACAAAGACAAUAUCUCUGCUAAUAACGAUCUUGUGGGCAUUGAGGUCCCACAGAUAAUACCCUUUCACUCCAUCAAUAGAUUCUAAGAAGAUACAUCUCUUGGAUUUUGGAUCCAUCUUUAAUCUCACUUGGGUAUCGUAUAUCACGUAAAAGGACAUCAAAAUGCCUGAGAUGAGAGUAAUCAGUUGGCUUUCCUGUCCAUUUUUCCAUUGGAAUCUUCAACCCGAUUGCCUUGAAUGAUGACCCACUUACCACAUAAUAAGUAGUUUUUGCUACUUCCGCCUAGAAUGAGUUGGUAGACCAGCAGUUCUCAACAUAACUCUUAUUUUUUCUAUAAGAGUCAUGUUCUUUCACUCUACUACUCUAUUUUAUUGAGGAGUGUAUGCCACUGUAAAUUAUCUCUAGAUACUUUCUUACUUACAUAUGCAAGAAACAUGCUAUCUGUAUACUCUCCACCAUUGUCUGUCCUCAGGCACUUGAUCCCUUGCCCUGAUUUAAGUUCAAUCUACGCUUUGAAUUCUUUGAACAAUAGAAAUACAUUUGACCUUUUCUUGACUGGAUACACCAAAUAUCUCCUAGAAUAAUCAUCAAUAAAAGUCACCAAAUACUUUGCACCUCCCAUAGAUAUAUCAAUUGAUUCCCAAACAUUAGAAUGAAUCAAGUCUAAAAUACAUUUACUUUUGAAAGUGGAUCUGCUAAACUUUCAUCUAUGUUGCUUUCUUGUUUCGACAUGUGGCCAAGUUUAAGAUGCCACAUCAUCGCUGAAUUUUCUCUAUUUGAUGUGACACACACAAAAGUUUUCUGUAGUGUUUCCAUUUAAGCAUGAAUAGAUUAGCACCGAUCUUUUCCACCUUCAUUAAUGCAAGUGUGCCUUUGACUAUCUUUAUGAUCCCAUUUUCUACAUGAGUUUUGUGCACAAGGCUAUCUAUUUGUCCUAAAGACAAGAGAUAUUUUUCAAGUCUUUGACAUGUCUUACCUUCUCAAUUGUGCGAACCAUACCAUUAAACAUAUUUAUUUUGACAGUACCAAUAUCAAUGAUCUCAAAGGCAUGAUUAUCACCUAUGUAUACAGAUUCUCUUGAAAUAGGUUCAUAUUUGUGAAAUCAUUCUCUUGGAGAGAUCAUGUGCCAAACAACUAUUAAGUCUAUAAGCCAGACGUCAUAUAGUGGUUUUCUGCCUUUUGAAGCAGUUGUUGCCUUACUGUAGAGAAUUUUUCCAUUAUACGAGGUACUUACUACAUACCCUUGAGCAUUUGAUGACUCAGGAUCUUUACCCUCUCUUCUCUUCUAGUUGUUCCAAUACUCUUCCUUGACAUGCUCUUUCUUGCCACAGUUGUUGCAUUUAACAUUCUUCUUACUUCUUGAUUUCGAUCUACUGUGAUUGUGGCUCUCACUAGGGCCACGUUCCAUGGAUCUUCCUUUCAUCAUCAAUAGCGCUUCUACUUGCUGCGAACUUGUCUGUCUAUCUUUUUUAUUUUUUGCUACUCUCCUCAUUUAAUACGGAGGCUGCCAUAUUGUCAAAGACUAACUUGUUUGCUCGAUUGUUAUUAGUUAGAUUAAUGACGAAUUAAUCAUACGAAUCUGGUAAACCUUGAAGUAAAAGCUCUACAUGAUCAUUUUCCUCUAUUUUAUGACCCAACGUUGUAAGUUAUGAAAAUAAAGUCUUUAAAGUGUUGAUAUGGUCGAUCACUGAUGUAGAUUCCGUCAUUCGAAGAGUAUAAAGCCUCCUCUUUAAAAAGAUUUUAUUUUGUAGUGAUUUGACCUCGUAUAGUCUUGUGAGAGUAAACCAUAUUUCCUUUGCUCUCUUUUACUCUACCACAUUGAAUAAUACCUUAUUUGAAAGUGGUAUGUGUAGAUUUGCAAUGGCAUUAUUGUCUAUCUCAUUCCACUUGUCAUCAUCAGUUAUCUUUGUGAGCCUCUCUUCAAUUGUUGCCAAGCAAUUACUCUUCCUCAAUACAACUUUCAUCUUCAUUUUUCAUGACGAAAAAUUAUUUUUGUUGAACUUCUCAAUUUUGUAUUUUUCCGCCAUCAUUGUUCACCACGAGCUACCUUUGCUAAGAUCGAUUCCUACCAUUUCAUAUGAGCAGUAACUGUAUAUAUGAAUAAAGUGUUGUAUACAGAAACAAUAUCAUAUACAUGAACAGUACAAUAUAUGUAAACAGUAUCUUGACCCCAAAAAAUACAACCCGACUCUGAUACCACUAUUAGAAAAUUAAUUUGUGAAGUAGGGCCGCGACUAAAAUGAAAUUGGAAGAAAAUGAAGAGCAAGCACACUGAGGACACCAUAAAUUAUUUGGUUCGACUUUUAACUUAUGCCCAUAGGUAAGGACAAAAGGAUAAAACUUUACUAGUGAAAUGAGGAUUAUAAGUAUUUUAGUAUUUUGUUUCACUUCUCAAAACCUUAAUACACCCAAUCUCUCCAAACACUAGUCACUCAAGAGUAUAAAACUCUUAAUCUCUCAUUAUAGAACUAAAGAAGAAAAGAAUAGAAUGAAUGAAAUGAGGGGGUGAACCCCUCUAUUUAUAGCUAAAAAUUUGGGCACUUUUUAUAUUUAUUAUUAUUAUUAUUUCAAAAUUUAAAGUUUGAACUUGAUAUUCAAACUUUGAAUAUCAAAAGAUACGGGUUGUUCUUCUAGAAGAACGGCACCAACCUUGACUCUUAGGCAGACCUUUAGAGCUUUAAAUAAAGAAAAAGCUUUUAAAAAUGCCAUGUGUACUUGAUUAUACAAUAAUCUCCACCACAUAGAAUGAUUUGAUAAAAGAAAUUUUUUAUUUUUAAUUUUACUUUUAUCAGGCACGGUGCAUUUCCCCUUGGGCUCAUAUGUAAGGAUGUCAAUAAGAUGCGAAGGAGAGGGGAUUGAUUUCCCCAUACUCAUCUUUAAUACUCUGUCUAUCUCUUUGUACUCUAGACAUUUCCUUCAAAAUUACUUGAAACGAGGGGUUGGAUGUUUCUAAAUAAUACAAAGGGAUCUCUUAUGGCAUCCGAUCUCUGAUUAUUUAAUUUCUUUUUUUUCUUAAUUUAAUCAUCUUAAAGUAAAAAUAUAAAAUCAUAUUAACACAAAAAAUAUCAAAUUAACUAAAGUGAUUAAAAUCAUUUCCAUCAAAUUAAGUCAAUGUCAUCAAAUGAGAAGAUAAUCUUUGAACUAAUUAAGCAAAAGUAAAUCUUCAAAGUUGAACUCAUCCAUAAAUGUCAUAUAGUAUAAACCAUCAAUUAAAUUAUCUUUGUCAAUUUUAAAGUGUUUAUAUUUACUUUAUAUUGGCUGUUAUUUAUAUUAUUUUUAUAAAUGUAUUAUGAUAUUUUUUAUUUACAUCACACUAUUACAAUUGAAAUUUUAAAUGUAUUUACUAUAAAUUUGAAAAAAAAAAGAAUUAAAAAUAGAAACUAAAGAUGGAAAUAGAAAAAUGUGGAGCCAAAUAAAAUAUUAGGGCAAACACUAAAUUAUACACCCACACAUAUUAAUUUAUCAGAUUCUUGUCUCCACAUAGAAAAAUUAGAUCUAAAAUUAUCAAACUCCCGAAUGAGGAAGAUCCCUCGGGGCCAUCGUCCCUGUGGAAAUUUCUGCAUCCCUGCAGUCUACAACGCCUAAUAAUGAAUUGAACGGUUGAAAUCCCUCUAAAUUUUUGAUAAUUUCUAAUCGCCCCUCCAUAUUUGAUUGAACAUCAAAACUAUUGAGUCCAAAUUUAUAACUUUGAUUUAUCUUCCAUUCCAUAGUUUUCAAGUUCUCUCUCUCUCUCUCUUUUAAUCCUUUUUACUGCAACCACCAUCAAAGCCUAGUAGUUAAUAUGUAUGCUGCUUUGCUUUCAAAAUCGGACACUACUGGUAUUUAUGGUUUUUAUUCUUUAUUUGACACAAAAUUUGGCGAUAUCUCCGCGGAAAAACACUACUGGUGUAUUCAAUUUUAUCCGGUAAUGAUUAAAUUGAUUAUUACAUGAACCGUAACUUCGCCAAGCCCAAAAUACAUAUUAAGUUAUAAAGCGUGGCACUCAUUAUUUUUCGCAAAAAGUUUCGCCCAAAAUACAUAUAUUUUUUUAAUUUUUUCUGUGAAAAAAACUACUGUUAUAUUCAAUUUUAUCAUUAAAAACUACUGUUNNNNNNNNNNNNNNNNNNNNNNNNNNNNNNNNNNNNNNNNNNNNNNNNNNNNNNNNNNNNNNNNNNNNNNNNNNNNNNNNNNNNNNNNNNNNNNNNNNNNNNNNNNNNNNNNNNNNNNNNNNNNNNNNNNNNNNNNNNNNNNNNNNNNNNNNNNNNNNNNNNNNNNNNNNNNNNNNNNNNNNNNNNNNNNNNNNNNNNNNNNNNNNNNNNNNNNNNNNNNNNNNNNNNNNNNNNNNNNNNNNNNNNNNNNNNNNNNNNNNNNNNNNNNNNNNNNNNNNNNNNNNNNNNNNNNNNNNNNNNNNNNNNNNNNNNNNNNNNNNNNNNNNNNNNNNNNNNNNNNNNNNNNNNNNNNNNNNNNNNNNNNNNNNNNNNNNNNNNNNNNNNNNNNNNNNNNNNNNNNNNNNNNNNNNNNNNNNNNNNNNNNNNNNNNNNNNNNNNNNNNNNNNNNNNNNNNNNNNNNNNNNNNNNNNNNNNNNNNNNNNNNNNNNNNNNNNNNNNNNNNNNNNNNNNNNNNNNNNNNNNNNNNNNNNNNNNNNNNNNNNNNNNNNNNNNNNNNNNNNNNNNNNNNNNNNNNNNNNNNNNNNNNNNNNNNNNNNNNNNNNNNNNNNNNUCUAAGUUUUGAAAGAAAGGUUGAAAUAAACAGAGAAACAGGACAAACAGAAGAAGACUGAAUUAACAGAUCAACAAAGAUGGCAACUAACAAAUGGAAAAGUUCUCUUGUAAUCAAACUAUAGCAAACAGAUGACACCAUUACCAUAUAUCUUAAUGAGUAGAUUGAUUCUAAACAUAUAUGUUAGGAUACAUUUGGUUGUUUAAUAGUUUGAAAUAAGGAGGAUGAGAUGGUUUCCACAUAAAAGUGCUGGCCCUUUCAAUGACAUUUUCAAGGAAUUAUAAAAUUCAAAAUUAAAAAAAAAUAGCACAUUAUAAAGCCACACCGUCAAAUAAAUAAAUAAAUAAGUGAAGACCAAACUAAGUCACUAAGACCUUUAAUGAUAUAAAAUAAGCAUAUAAAUCUCAGAACAAAACAUUAAAACUCAUUCUAAAAGUAAAAAUAAACUAGUGGUGUAUUCCAAACAAUUUAGAUGAAGCGAUAAAACAAGCCAAGAAAUCAAAUAAAAUGAAAUGAAAUUGAAUUACCUGGGACUUUGUUUUUCAAAUUCACAACUCGAUUGUAAUUAAAGUAAAAUGCCAUUGCCAUUAGGACAUACACAUCAUUGAAUAAGAUGAGGACCCCUCCAACAGCUGAAAGUAAAAUUUUCAUUCAUUAGUUUCAAUUAAAAGUAAAGCACACAGAUUUGCAGGGAAGCAAGAGAUUUAAUAAAUUUAACAACAGCAAUUUAAUUUGACAGGACUUCCAUACAGUAAUGAAGCUAAAACUUAAUGAUUAACGAAUUUUUGUAAUUGAAUGAAUAAGAUUCUCUGAUUUUGGAUAAUUGAAUGAAUAUGAUUCUCUAACUCUUGUGAAAAUAUCAAUUUUAAAUAGGGUAGAGUUUCAAGAAUUAAGCACAUAUGUAUCCCAAGGCUGUUGAUCAUCUCUCUCUCCAUAGUAGAAGUUUACUCUCAGAGGCGCGUUUAAUUCUCCUUUAGUGAAAAUCUUCAUCUUGGGACAACCAAUUAUAGAUAAAUCUUCCAAAGAUGGGAAUUUGAAGGUGUAAUUGGCAGAGCAGAAACUUCUGAGACUAUCAGCAGAAACUUGUGAGACUAUCCAAAUCAUACAGAUACAAAAUCUUCAAUUUGGUGAAAACAAUCUCUUCUUCAAAAUUUGCUGCUCCAUCUUCUUCAUUUAUCACCACCUCUCUCAUUGCUCUGCAUCCAUAUACCAACAUUGAUAAGAGUCUCUGUAGAGUUUGGAGUGACAGAUUCGAUAAUGAUAAACUCCAAAUACUCGCCAAGAUCGCAAAUCAAACAACCAAGAUGCAAAAAGAAUCAAUCCAGAACAAAUCACAGAGACACUUAAGAACCUAAAAGAAUUAAAGAAUUAGCGGCAAAGACAAAAGAAUUAACGUGGUUCAGCUAGCUUUCACUAGCUUACAUCCACAGGAAAAACCAGGAUCAAGUUUAUUGAUUUUCAGAAGAUGAUUACAGAGAGUUUUAAGAGCUAAUAACAGAGUAUUUCUUGAAGCCUUCUCACGAAUCUUCUAAUCACUCAAUAGCUCUCACGCACAUGCCUCCUGUUGCACCAGAAGAAGCUGUUUAUAACAGCUUCUUCAACAAACCAAAAUGAACCCAGAAACUCACGUGAUUGGCAUGCGUUAUAACAGACUCAUAACGACCUUGAGCAGCUUCUUCGAGCACGUGUUUCUCUCGUGCUUUACUUAAAUUCCAGAGACAAAACAAAUUGCUCUUCAAAACGCAAUCAGCAAUUGUCGUAUUGUAGUUUACUUAAGCUGCAAAACGCAAGUCCAACUUGUCGUUUCAAAUAUCUUGAUUUGCUUCACAACACAACAGUCGCUCUAGACUUUUUGCUGUGGAGGAGGUUGCUAAGCUCAUCAAAUUCCUUGCAACGAAGAACUAGAAGUUCUUUUAGGUUCCCAAAAGAUACCGAUGAUGAUGGCCAUAGAUAUAACAGAUUUUGACAAUAAUGUACAUUUAGAAUUUCAAGGCAUUGAACAAAGGAGUCCAAUUUGGAGUCUUGUUUCCACAAUUGCUUCAGAUGAUUAAAUUUGUGCAGAUGUAAAUGUUUUAUCAUUGUAAACUUCCUCGCAUGUUUCUUCAAGUAUCCUCCAUUCGAAAAUACCUCUUCGCAUGAACAACGACGCCGUAUGAGAGUUUCCAGAUUAUGAAAUCUCUCAAGUAAAUCAAGUGGAAAACAAGUUGAGUCAUCAUCCAUUGUUUGUGGCAGUUUAAGACUGCCAAAAAGGUGUCGUGGGAAAUCGCUUUGCAAAGUCAUCCUCGGGUCUUUUCCACUUAAUGCCCGUUCCUCCAAGUUGGGUAAGCUCUGAUCAUUAUCAAUCACGCAAUAACUUAUUAAGUCAAUUCAUAUUCUCUCAAAUAACUUUUAAUGGCUAACACUAAGUUACGUUUAACGUAACAUACAUUCAGAUAACGAAAAUAUCUGUUAGCACCCCUAAACUUAAUGGAAACUACAUUAAUAGAGUUAAAAGAAAUACUUUUAAAUCUUAAAGAGGAAAUAAAAGAAAUUAAACAGGAAAUAGGAAAAAUAAAAAUAGAAAUGACUGUAAUACAAAUGAAUCAAAAGAAAAAUAAAAAAUUAGAAAGGUUUGAAAUAAUAAAAUCAAGAAUAAUUGGAACAAGUUUUAAGAAGCCCACACAAAAACCACAAGCAGGUAGUUAUGAUGCAUGGUUUAUGGACACCCAGUAUCCUAAAAUACUAAGAGCAUCACCAAAAAACUCUUCAAAUAAGAUUUUAUUACUUAUUUGAAGAGCUACAUCAACAUUUAAGGCUCCAAAAGACACUCCAAUUAAGAUUCUUGAAAUAAGAAAUGAUCAUCUCUCUUCAAAUUUGAAGAGUUACUUUCUCCCUCUUCAAUUUAUAUUUUAUUACUUUUUGUUGAAGAAAAAGAGAAAUGUGUUUUAAUUACUAUUGACUUUUCCUUUAAAAAAAUAGUUAUUUAUUUAAAAUAAUAUUAACUCAUUUCUAUUUGAAGAGUCUUUUGGAGAACAAUAUCUUUUUUCACUCAUCUAUUUGCCACAUAGGUAAGCAAAUGAAUAUUUGAAGAGUAAAAUUUAUAGAGCCUUUUGGAGAUGCUCUAAAAGAAACAGAAGAAUUAAGAGCAGAAUUAAAAAAUAAAGAAAAAGGAAAAGAAAAACUAGAAAUAAAAGAAACAACUCCUAGUGAUUCAGAUUAAUGGAAAACACAUUAGAAGAAUUAACUGAAAAAUUCAGUGAAAUAAACCUUAGUGAUUUAGAAGACUUUGAAAAAGAAUAUCAUAUAAAAAUGAAUACUUCUGGAGGACCAGAAUUGAAACCUGACAUAGGAGAACCAAGUCAUAGAUAUGCAACAAACAAAAAGAAAAAUAGACCAUUUUUUGAGUAUAUACCACCCGUUAAAAAUACUCCUUGGAAAAAAGAAUAUCAACCUAACAAUGAUAAUUUAACACCAAUAAGUAAUGCAGGAACAUUUUUAAAUCUAGACUGCAAAAUAAACCCCCAUAAGGUUUUAAUUGAAUGGGGAAUGCAAAUGUGAUUAUUUUUUCUAUAUAAUGGCUCUAAAGUCGAUUGGAAUGUAGAAACAGAAGAAGAAAAAAUAAAUUUAUUCGCUGACAUCCUCAUAGCCAGUUUUACAGGUAAUGUAUUUAACUGGUGGAAAGGAUUAAGUGAAGACACUCAAAGACUAAUAAAAGAUUCAACUAAAAUAGCUUUAGCCAGAAGUAGAGGAUUAGGAAUUGAAAGAAUAAUCGAAUAUAUUGCUAAUGAAUUCUUAGGAGAAAACUGGUUAGAAAAUACAGAAAGAGAAACAAAAAAUGAAAAAUUAGAGGCAAGGAUGAAAUUAAUAAACUUAACAAUUUGUAACAUGUGUUUCGUGAAAGAAUAUACCUGUGAAUUUAGUAAAUAUUAUUAUACACAAUUCUAUAGCCAAGAAGAUCAAAAUAUUUAUAAAAAUUUAUAUUAUUCCAAAUUACCAUAUCCCUGGAAUGGAUAUUUUAUAAAUGAGUAUGAGAAAAAUAGUACUGCUAAUAGAUCUCCAGACACAUUAGGAUCUAGAAUAAGGUUUUUGAAUACAAGAUUAAGUGAAAUAUGCAUUCAAAGAAAUUUAAUGAAAAAGAGUAAAAAUAUAGGAGAUACAUGUUGUGGAAAAACAGAAAUGCCAACCCAAUGGGGUUGUUAUACACCAUAUAAACGAAAAAGAAAGUUAUAUAAGAAAGAGAAAAAAUAUAAAAAAUACAAUAACUUUAAAAGAAAAUAUAGAAAACUGGAAAGAAAAUACUAUAAAAGAAAAUAUAAAAACCAAAAAAGAAAAUUAGAUAAAUCUAAAUGUAAAUGCUGGAAUUGUGGAGAAAUAGAACAUAUUAGCACAGAUUGUACAAAAAAGAAAGUAAGACUCUUAGAAGAAGAUUUUGAAAAUAUAAAAAAUGACUUAGAAGAAAUAAGUGAUAUAUCAGACUAUGAAGGAAAAGAAGUUUACAUGGUGAAAGAAUUAGAUGAUGAGUCAGAAUAAAGACGAAAUUAUAGAAAAUGAAAGAAUAGAAGAAAUAGAAGAAAUAGAAAAAGAAGAAAAUAAAAGUGGAUAUAGUCUUGUUGCCACUUUUAAUAAUGAAAAAUAUAAUAAACUUUUGAAAAUAAAUAUGGAAAAACCAGAAUAUGGAAUAAUACAUAAACUUAGAGAUAUGUUUAAAAGAAAAAGAAUAGUAUUACAUGAAUAUUAUGAACAAGAAAAAGUUGUUACAAUUACACAAGCUGAAGGAAAUAUCAGAUUCAGUUUAAUAAAUAAAAGAUCUAUAGAUUUAGCAUUAAGAAAGAUAAAAAAUGAAUCAACAAAAGAAAAAAUUCAAUAUGUAUAUCUAGCAGAAAUUCAAAUCUUAAUAAAAUCUCUUUUCAAAGAAGGCAUAGAUAGUCCCAUAGUAUUGUCACUACAUGAUCAAAGAUUUAAUGACCCUAGUACAGGACAUUUAGGAACAAUAGAAGGAAACUUAUGUUAUACUAAGUUAUUAUUCACAUGUCAUCCUAGAUAUUGUGUACAUAUAAAAGAUAAAAAUAUAGAUGAAACGCUAAGCUUACAUUUUAAACUACUAAAAAGAAACUUAAUGAAAGAAGGGAAUAGAAUAAUGACAAUACAUUAUUCUGCACUAUAUAGUUUUUGCAAUUCAAAUUACGGAGAAGUAUAUGGGAAUAAGCCUUACAUCGAAAUAAAUAAAGAAUGUGAAGAUAUAGCAACAUUCAUAGAACCAACAAUCCAGGAAUAUAAAAUUCCUAUAAACUAUGAGCUAAACAUAGAUGACAAAAAACAAUUUUUAGAUAUUGCUAACGAAAACUCCAUAAUCCCCAUAAGCUUUGCAGGAAGAACCUUAGUAAGAGGAGGUUCAUCUAGAAGGUUAAGUACUGAUAAACAAAUAACUAGAUCUAUAGUAACUAAUAACGUAAUAAAAAUAUUUGGACAAUAUUUUAAUGGAAUAGAUUAUACAACAAAAAUACCUAUAUUGGUAGAUACAGGUACAAGUCAUAAUUAUAUGAAUCACACAAAAAAUAAAGGACUCUUAAUAAAAGAAAAAGAAAUCCCGUAUCAAUAUACUGAUUUUAAUGGUAAUAAACAUAUUUGUAAACAAGAAGUUAAAGUCCCUAUAAUUAUAGAAGGAUUUAGAAUAAUAGUAUCUUGCUAUAUAGAUUCGUUCAUGACCACAGACCCAGAAAAACAUAUAGUACUAGGAAAUAGUUUUUUAAAUGAUUUAGAAUACUACAAAAUUGAAAAACAUAAAGUAACUCUACAAAUAGAAGGUAAAAAGAUAGUAUGUGAAACAUGUUAAAACAAGCUUAUAUAAAAUACCCUAUGUCCGUAUAUAUACAAAUAAACAUAACAGAAAAAGAUAUAGAUACAUGUGCCUUAAUAGACGGCAGUGAAAUAACGAUUAUGAAAUCCUUUCUAUCAAACCAAUGGAAACCAAACGAGAAAUUAAAAAUCAUUGGAAUAACAGGCGAUAAACAACAAGUAAACCAAUCUUUAAUAAACUUUGAAAUACUCUUAGGUAGUAAGAUAGUAUGUAUCAACCAAAUAUAUCAAUAUGAUGGUAUGGAUUGCGAUAUACUCCUAGGAAAUGACUUUAUACAAUAAUUCCAAUAUUAUCAACAAACUACCUAUAUGGUCACUUUAAAAACCCAUUGUAAUCAUAUUCUUCGCAUUCCUCGUGAAUUUAAACCUUAUCGAGUUCGGCCAGCCCAGCGUGGUGAUACAUUUAUUUAUGAAAAACAUUAUCUAAUACAAAAAUGACAGAGUUACAAUAUACAACUAGAAACAAUAAAAUCACAGCUUGAACAAGUCUAUAAAGAAAAUCCAUUAGCAUUAUGGAAACCAGAACAUCCUAGAGCAAAGAUAGAAUUAAUCGAAAAUAGAAUAAUAAGACUCAAACCUAUGAUGCACACAGAGGAAGAUAGAGAAGAAUUUAAAAUUCAAAUAAAAGAAUUAUUAAAUUUAAAGUUAAUUAGAACUAGCAACAGCCCACAUAAUAGCCCAGCCUUUAUGGUUAGGAAAAGAUCAGAACAGGUAAGAGGAAAAGCAAGAAUGGUAAUAAAUUAUAAAGAGUUAAAUAAAUACACAAAAUUUGACGGAUAUUUCCUCUCAAAUAAAGAAGUAUUAAUAAAUCUUGUAAAAAAUAAAACAUACUACUCAAAAUUUGAUUGUAAAUCAGGAUUUUGGCAAAUAAUAACAGGCGAUAAACAACAAGUAAACCAAUCUUUAAUAAACUUUGAAAUACUCUUAGGUAGUAAGAUAGUACGUAUCAACCAAAUAUAUCAAUAUGAUGGUAUGGAUUGCGAUAUACUCCUAGGAAAUGACUUUAUAUAAUAAUUCCAAUAUUAUCAACAAACUACCUAUAUGGUCACUUUAAAAACCCCUUGUAAUCAUAUUCUUCGCAUUCCUCGUGAAUUUAAACCUUAUCGAGUUCGGCCAGCCCAGCGUGGUGAUACAUUUAUUUAUGAAAAACAUUAUCUAAUACAAAAAGGACAGAGUUACAAUAUACAACUAGAAACAAUAAAAUCAUAGCUUGAACAAGUUUAUAAAGAAAAUCCAUUAGCAUUAUGGAAACCAGAACAUCCUAGAGCAAAGAUAGAAUUAAUCGAAAAUAGAAUAAUAAGACUCAAACCUAUGAUGCACACAGAGGAAGAUAGAGAAGAAUUUAAAAUUCAAAUAAAAGAAUUAUUAAAUUUAAAGUUAAUUAGAACUAGCAACAGCCCACAUAAUAGCCCAGCCUUUAUGGUUAGGAAAAGAUCAGAACAGGUAAGAGGAAAAGCAAGAAUGGUAAUAAAUUAUAAAGAGUUAAAUAAAUACACAAAAUUUGACGGGUAUUUCCUCCCAAAUAAAGAAGUAUUAAUAAAUCUUGUAAAAAAUAAAACAUACUACUCAAAAUUUGAUUGUAAAUCAGGAUUUUGGCAAAUAAAAAUGGAAGAAAACAGUAUCCCUUAUACAGCAUUUAGCACUCCACAAGGACAUUACGAAUGGAUAGUAAUGCCUUUUGGACUAAAAAAUGCCCCUCAAAUAUUUCAAAGUCGAAUGGAUAAAAUAUUUAGAGAUUAUAGCUAUAUCAUAGUCUAUGUUGAUGACAUAUUAAUAGCAUCAGAAACAUUAGAAGACCAUAGAACCCAUUUAAAAGAAUUCGUUAACGUAUGUAUUAGAGAAGGUAUAGUAUUAUCAGAAAGAAAAGCAGUCAUAGAACAUAAAAAAUAAAAUUUUUAGGAAUGAUUCUUGAUAAAAAAGGAAUAAGACUCCAAAGCCAUAUAGGAAAAAAGAUUACAGAAUUCCCAAAUAAAUUGGAAAAUAAACAACAAAUACAAAAAUUCUUAGGUUGUUUAAACUAUGCAGAAGGAUUCAUAAAAGACUUAGCAAAAAAGAGAAAUAUACUCCAGAAACUACUUAGAAAAAAUAAUACUAAAGGAUGGAACGAAGAACAUACGGAAACUGUAAUAAAUCUAAAAGAAGAAUGUAAAAACCUCCCAGCAUUAAGGUUACCAGAAGAAAAUGAUAAGUUAGUAAUACAAACUGAUGCAUCUGAUUUAUAUUGGGGAGCAAUACUUAAAACUGAUAUAAAUGAAAUUUGCUGAUAUACUAGUGGAACAUUUAAUCAAGCACAAGUUAAUUACCCAGUUCAUGAAAAAGAACUCCUUGCAAUAUAUAAAUGAAUAAAAAAGUUCUCGUUAUUUUUACUCCAGAAAUAAUUUAUUGUAGAAACAGAUAAUUCUCAGGUAAGUUCACUUAUUAGUAGAAUUUUGCCAAAUGAACCCCAAUACAGGCGACUGCAUAGAUGGCAAGCUUAUUUAUCUUAUUAUAAUUUCAAAAUCAUACAUAUAAAAGGAACUAACAAUUUUCUUGCAGAUUUCCUAAGCAGGAACAUAGAAUUCAGAGAAUGAAUGCAGAAGUAAAUAAAAUCAUUUCUGUAAUAAACACAGAAAUACAAAGGCUCAAAGCUGAAGCAUCAGACAUGCUUGAUGCCAUAAAUUACAUAAAAGAAGCCACAGAGGCUCAUGAGAAGGGAAUACAUUUGUUAGAGUCAUACAUAAACGACCUAACAAAAGGGCUUUCAAUAAACACUAGCCCAAUAGAGAUAGGAAGUAGUAGUGGACCACUCCCACAACAAGAACCAGUCUCUGACCCAUCAUCCAGCCGAACCAUAUCCAUAAGUGUUGAAUCACCUAAAGCAACUUCUUCAAAAAAGUUUAUCAAAAUAAACAACACUCCCUCAGAAGAAGAAGAAAAACCUUCUCCACUAAAUCCAAGAGAAGAAGAGUAUAAACAGUUCUCCACAUGGGUAUACUCUACAUGUACCCACAACAACACCAUUUUCAAAGCCCCUGGCAAAAAUAUAUAUCCCAGAAUGAUAGCCAUAAAAGGAGCAGAUCCUCUCCUUAUUGGAAAAAUAGCAAAAUACGGAUAUCUAGAUUUAAUAUAUCCAGAUACAGACCUAAGAGAAAUAGCCAGUUUAGAUGAGCUAUUAGUCAAAGAAGUCUCAAAAUUUGCCCAAAAAAGGCCCAUAUACUUAAAAUUUUACACUAUUAGCCCAGAAUACCACCAAAAUGUCGAAUACCAAGCAUUUUACAUGAUCUCUGUAGGCCACCUCACAAAAAAUUUUCAGAUAGAAGUAGGAACUGAAUAUACAAAUGUUCCUCAAAUAACCAAAGCAUGGAUCAGAACCCGUAGAGCCCGAGGAAUAAAAGCAAUAUGGAGUAUUGCAAAAGACCUUUAUAAAAGAAACUUUAGAACAAUCAUCCGAUUCCAAAAUUAUAUCCUCGUAACUUCUGAAGAUAGCCAUACACCAUCAAAUAUCUUCUUGGAACUCAUGAACGAAAUCAGCACCAUGAGAUUCCCCAGCAGUAGUGAGACCAUGCAGCAAGCUUAUCAGCUUAUGGAGAUGAAGAUGCCCGACAAAUAAAGUUGUUCGUGGCAGACAAAGAAGAUAUGUGGCAGACAAGAAGAUAAAAAGAAGAUAAAAAAGUUGUACGUGGCAGACAAGAAGAUGCUCGUGAUAAAAAACAGAGAAAAAGAAGAUGCUCGUAAAAAGCAAGAAGACAAGAAGACAAGAAUUCAAGAACCUCUUGUAAUGAUAGAGUGAUGAUGUAAGCAGUGUGAUCAGAAAGCAAUAAUGUAAAUCAAUAAUGGGAUCAUCUUUUCUAAUAUAAAUAGAAAGAGAAGGAGAAAGCAGAAAAAGCUUUCGAAGACAUUCGAUAACUCUCGAUCCAAAAAAUUCUCUGAAAAAGAAUGAAGCUCUAAACACUCUCUUGCUCGAAAUCCAAAAUCAGUACAUCAUAAACCAAAAACAAAAACCAUUAGAGAAAGAGACGAGAAACCUAACUUCACUCAAUACCUCUUUAACAAGAAGAUCGAAAUCUAUACAGUAAAGCCAUCUGAGUCCACAGAUCCCGCUGAGGCAGGAGGCCGUUAAGGGAACAGGACAACCAGGCUGCAGGUCACUGGAAGGAGAUCAGAAAUCAAAGAAGUAACAGUGAGCUAGGUAAUAAUACUCAACUCUUAUCUCUUGGUGGUGGUUGUUGAUGGUGGUUGAUGGAAUGAUUUUUGGAGAAAGAGCAGAUUCUUAAACUGAAGCAGAUCUGUAAUUAAUUUUAUGACAUGAAUCACAGAAUUUACUUAGGAGAAUCUAAAGAAUACAUGAUAAACCCAACUACUAAAAUAACUUAUAAUGAGUACAUGAUGAUAAUAGACUUCGAUUUAGGUUCAUUUAAACAAAGUUCUUAUCUAUUCAGUAAACAAGAACUUGUUAGAACAGAAGACCUAUUAGCCAUAGACCUUCUUAAGUUACCCCAAGAAAUAAAAAGAAAAAUUAUAAAUAACAUUGAAACAGAUAACCUAAAACAUAAUAUAAUUAUGUUGACAAUAGAAGAAGGAAUAGAUGUAGCAAAAGCCUAUUUAGAGCAAAAAACUUAUGAAUCUGGACCUUCAUAUAUCUAUGAUUCAGAUAACGAAGAAUUUGAAAUAUAACUGUGAAAGGUAUAUAGGCUGGGAACCUCUUCGGGUUGCGGACUACUAGUCCAAAGGGCGACCUGGAUCGCUGUACCUAGAGGUAAAACAACGCCACGUACUUUUCUAAUAAAAAUUUAGGACAGAUAAAGAUAGAUAAACAUCAAUUUGAUAAUUAUAAUCAAUAAUAAUCCUGAAUGGUUGAUUUUGUUUUACUGCUCUUGUAAUUUUAUUUUGAAUAUAUUUGUCUAGUCUUGUCAUAUUUUUAUAAUUCUGUUUGUACUUUUGUAUUUGUAAUUUUGUAAUUUUAUUUGUAUUUUUGUAAUUUGUAUUUUUGUUUGAAUUUGUAAUUUCGUAUUUUUGUUUUAAAUACACACCUGAAAAUGGUAUCAGAGCCAGCAGAAUCAUAAGACAUGGACCCUAUACAAGCAAUAGUAGAUAGCUUAUAUACAUUAAAGGUAUAUAAUAAAGAAGAAAUAAAAAAUUUAAUAAAGGCCAUCAAAACUGACAAAAAUAAUAUAAGAAAUAUAGAACUUGAGUUAACUCAGGAGCUUAGAGAAAGAUUUAUAGAAACAACAGGAGGAGAAAUUUUAAUAGAAAAGAAAAUGAAAUUUAUAGAUAAAUUUAUAAAGUUUUUAAUAUAUUGGUGUAAAACAGAAACAUUAUGAAUCAACAGGCUGUUAAUGUAAUACAGGGAUUGGCAAGCUGCAUAGAUCACCUACUCUUAGGAUGGGAAAAUACAGUAAAUGCAUAUAUAAAUCUAAUAAACCAAAAAAUAGAUUUAUUAGAACAAGAAAGGAUAGGACUGGUAAAUUUAGGACCAGAGGUCUAUUAUGAAUUUGUAGAUUUAUAUGAAUUUGAUAACCAUAUAUUGCUGUUUAAAGAAAUAAAAUAAAGUUCUCGAAAGAUUAAAAAAUAGAUGUGCAGGGAUGGAAGAAGACAAAUACAUCCAGGAUUAUAAAAAUUGGAAAUAGAAAGAAUUAUAAGAAUCCUUAUGAAAUUAACCAGGAGAAUAAGACAAAAUUAUAAGAUACAAUCAACGUAAGUUAGAGGCCCCCACUUUUAAUAAUCCAAUCAUAUACAGUGACUUUAAUAUAAAUGCAUAAUAUUUUACCAAAAAAAAGGGAAAAAAUCGAAUUAGAGGUAAAAGUUAUUCUACGAUUUUAUUUUUUGUAUAUAUCUUGCAUGCUAUUCCCAAAAGCAAUCAUAAACGGCCCUUAAAACAAUUUUACAAAAGCGGCUGUUACUUAUAUCACCAACUUUGUUAGGGAUGACAAUGGGGAGGGGAGAGGAGGAGACCAAUCUUGUAGUAUCUAUCCCUGAUAUUUUGCGUAUAUUCUCGUUCUCUCUCCAUCCCCGACAAAAUUACUUUAGGGAAUCACCUCCUCUCCCUGAAUAAUAAUAUGGGAUCUCCGUGGGUCAUUGAUCCCUGAAUAACUGAUAUGUUUUUAGUUUUUUAUUUUAAUUUAAUCAUAUUAAAAUAAAAAUUUAAAUAAAAAUAAAGUUUGAUGAUAUAUCUCACAUUAGCAUUAAUCCAUUACAAAAGUCACAUUACAAAGUAUAAAUCACCACAAUAAUUAUCUUCGUCAAUUUUCAAAAUCCUACAAUAAAAAAAAAAGAAAUUACUUUUAUAUCAACAAUGAAAUAAAUAAAAUAAAUAUAAAUAAAUACUUAAUCAAUAUUUCUAAUAAAAGUAUUUACCUCUUGCGUCUCUUGCUCCUCUUGUUCUUCCUCGAUGAAUGUGGCAAAUUGAAAGAUAGCCUCAGAUUUCAAAUUUAAAACAAUAAAAAUAAUAGAAGUAAUGUAACUUAUAAGCGAAAAUAUUAAUUAUUAUAUAAUAUAAUUACAAUGUAAAAUAAACUCAUACUGCCAUUUUAAGCUUGUAGCUUAUUUUGACAACACAUUAAAUCCUCCAAUGUGCUUGAAUGAAGCGUGUUACGAUACUCUACUAAUGGUGUUAAAAGUUGAUUCAGAAGCAACAGUUGUAAUUGGAAUUGUCAAAAUAUCUCUAGCAAUUCGUGCCAAUAUAUGAUACCUAUGGACAUUUGUUUUUAACCAACUCAAAAUAUUAAAAUCUUUCAUCUGUAGCAUAACUUUCUCAUCCAAAUAUUAAUGCAGUCAAUUAGGCCUAAAAGUUUAAUAAUAUAAUUAUUUUGAUAUUUUUUAUUUAUACUAAUAUUUAAUAUUUUAUAAUUUACAUUUUAUUAUUUAUUUACAAAUAAUUUAUAAAAUUAAAAUUAAAAUUAAAAUCAAUAAAUUAGGAGGGGAUGAGGAUUCUACUGUAUCCUCAUCCCUUUCUCGAAUAAGAAAUUGGGUAAAAAAUUAUUCUCGUCCCUUCCUUGAAUAAGAAAUUGGAUAAAAAAUUAUCUCUUUACCCUCUCCGAAUGGAGAAAAAUUCCGAGAAUCCCUAUCCCUGCGGGGAUUUCUGCCACCCCUAAACUUUGCAACAGCCAGUUGCUUUUGUGACCAUUUAUGUGACGGAUAGACUGCUCUCACUUAUGUUACUAAUAAGCUUGGCAAAAUCAGGGUCCGGUCCGGGCUUCUAAGCCCGCAUGUGAUAACUUUAAUUUUUUUCUUCAAUUUUUUCUUUCAUUUCUCUAACAAUGCAAAUUUUAAAAAAGAAAAUAGUCAAAUAAAUUCAUUCAAUCUCAAGCUUUAGAAAAGAAAAUAGUCAAAUAUAAAUAUAUAACAUACUAACAAUGCAAAUUUUACACAAAUAAUAAAUAAAAAUUGUUUCAAUCUACUUUAUAAUACCUAAAUUCAUCUAAUUUCUAACCUAAACUCAUUCAAUCUAUAUAAAAAUAAAAUAAAUUCAACAACACAAUAGUCACACAAUAAAUCUAAAUAACAUCCAACAUAUCAUAAAAUUCAUAAUUAUAUAUUUAUAUAUAAUAUAUUUAUAUAUUUUUUUUAAUUUAUUAAGAAAUCGGGUCUGAGUCUAGCUUCCUGGUUUUUGGUGUUGAGAAUUUCAAAUCCGGGUCUGGUUUUUUGUGUAUGCGGUCCGGGUUUUACCCGACUGGAUUGCCUGGGUUCGGUUCGGACGAGCUUUUUUGACGCCCUUACUAACGGGCUUUUUUGACGCCCUUACUAACCACGUGACGGUAGAGAGCCAAUUGGCAUGCUAUUAGUUUAGAGUUAUAAAUUGGAAAAUGAGACUCUUAGAGCAUCACCAAAAGGCUCUUCAAAUAAGAUUUUAUUACUUAUUUGAAGGGCCACAUUAAUAUUUAAAGCUCCAAAAGACACUUCAAUUAAAAUUCUUCAAAUAAGAAUUGAUUCUCUCUCUUCAAAUUUGGAGAGUUAAUUUCUCCCUCUUCAAUUUGUAUUUUAUUACUUUUUAUUGAAGAAAAAGAGAGAAAUACUUUAAUUGUUAUUGACUUUUCCUUUAAAAAAAUAAUUAUUUGAUUAAAAUAAUAUUAAUUUAUUUUCAUUUGAAGAGUUUUUUGGAGAAUAUUAUAUUUUUUUACCCUUCUAUUUACCACAUAAGUAAGUAAAUAGAUAUUUAAAGAGUAAAAUUUAGAGAGACUUUCGGAGAUGCUCUUACAACAUUAAGCACAACACAUAGCACCGAACGGUGCGUUUAAAGGCAACUAUAAAAGGUCACAGUAAUCGACAAUUGCAACACACACGUUCUCAACUACAGCACACGCUCUCUCCCUCACAUUCUUCCUCACGCUCUCUCUGUUCUCCCUCACAACACACGGCUCUCUCUCUCCCCCCUCCAAAUCCAACAGCCGUGGGUUACUCUCGCUCUUCGCCCUCCAAAUCCAAGACCUAUGGAUGCAUAAUAGAGUAAAUAGCAAUUCCCAUCCACUCUAGUAACAGAAAAUGACAGCUUCUGUGAUUGUGGUGAAAAGUUUCCCCUAGUAAUGCUAAGUACAGCGAGGAAACCAGCAAGGAAACCAUCAAUUCUGUACACAUAUAGAUGCCAAAAACAAGCAGUGAAUUGCAUCAGAUAUUAGUGAAGAAUAAUUACCAGCCGUAAACUCAGCUCCUUCGGUUGCUAGUGUACAAUAGAGCAAUAGGUUGUGUUUGGGGAUGUUAGAUGUCGAAAUAAUUGAGGCAAAAUUCUUUUAUGCAAUAGUUGGCUUGUGUCGACUUUUGAAAGGAAACUUAUUUUUGUGCUGUCAAUGUUACUUAUUUGUUAGUUUAUUUCUUAGGUUUUGUUGUUCGGGAUAUUAUGUAUUGGAUUUCAUUUCCUUUUGCCUCUGGUAUGGCCCCUAAUAGAACUUGACGUAAUUCUUUUUGGGAUAUGUUUUUCUGAACUAGAGAUGACAUCACUAGCAUCUGGUCUUUCUCUUUGAGACAGCCGAGAGAGUGAGGUGCCGUGAGAGAUGCAAUCGAUGGGGGGUGGAGAGAGGUAGCCGACAGUGAGAAUGGUAAGGAAGAACGGAGCGUAGUGAGAUUAGUGGAUUGGUGAGGAAGAGCGUGAGGGAGAGAAUGAGAGAGCAUGUGUUGUGGUUGAGAAUGUUGCAAUUGAGAAUUUACUGUGACCUUUUAUGCUUGCCUCAAAACUCACCGUUUUGUGCUAACUGUUGUACUCAAUGUUGUAAGAAUAUCGGAACUGUUAUAAAUUUGUUUCUAAAUAGAAAACUCUUUUGUGGAGUCAAUAUUUUGAAAACCAAAGUCUCGAGUUCUUUCUCGUGCGUGCCUGGCCAGCAUCCUAAACCUUACUGGUAGCCGGAGAAUGGCGUAAAACGGCGGCGAUCUUCUUCUUCAUCUUAUUCUCUCUGUCAUCGUUUCAGGUAACCUUGUGAUUAUGAGUUUCUUCUCUUUCUUAGCUUGCAAAAAUAGGUUUUGAUUUCUUUAAUUCGUAUUGUAGCCAUUAAUAUCAAAUUUUGUCCUGCCGGCAAUAUUUUUUUGUUCCUAGAGGUUGAAGCCCUUCUGUUCUUGUUCCAUUGGUGACUUUGCUCACUCAAAUUAAUUUUGUUCUGCAGAAUUUACAAAGUUCAAAUGGAUUCGUUUGGAUUACUAUUGAAUUUAGCUUUCAUUUCAACAUUCAUUCUAAUGUUUUACAAUUAUGUAUUUAGAUUUACUUUAAUUUUAUGUUUAAAGCUUCUGCAAUGAAUAGCUGAGCUUGGGUCUUAGUUUCAUUUUCUAAUUAACUUGUUUUAGUUUAUCUUAUAUGCUCACCAAGUGCUUGUUAUAUUGUCUGAUAGGUUAUAUAACAUAGCUGAUUAUAUAAUAAUAAUGUCAUGUUCCAUUUUCAGAAAUUAUAAUAUAAAAGUUUUUACAAUGGGGUGCAUCUACAAACUGAAUUGACUUGUAGAGUAAGAGCUUGGAGUAGUGUGCAUUCUUGAAUAAAUGAAAGUUCAUAUUGUGUAAGAGCAUGUAGAUGUAAAGCAUCAUUACCAUUUCUACCAAGUGCUUUCAUUCUGUUCAGAUGCUCCUCUUGAACUUUGGAAGGUGCCUCAUUCAAGUCCUAGCUAUAACUAAUUGCUCUGAUUAAUUAAGUUCAUAUGCUAGCUGAAACAGAUUUAAUUAAUUAAUUAAUUAAUUGUGUAUGUACUAAUUAUAUUGAAAGUAUAUGAAGAAAUUGUUUAACAUGAAUGACUUCUAAAUGACUUAAAAGCCUAGAGGAUAUGUGAAAUAAUGCUCAUUUCACUUGAACGAGCCUAUUAAUACUUGUAUGUCUAUGAUUGUCAAUAUUGCUUAAGUGUUUCAGUUAAGUGGUUUACCUAGCAGGGAAAAAAAUUUAAUGGAAAACCUUAGAGUUUUAAUAGAAAUAUAGUUGACUAUGCAGAUAUAGUUAUUUUACGGUAUAUAAAUCAUGUUGUCCUAUUCUCAAUGUCCUACAACCUAUUUUAUUUUAUAUAGUCAUUCAUUUUACGAUGGUUUUUUGUGUUUAUGAGUAUGGAAAUAGUGGGAUUUGGUGUACCUUAGCAUCUUUCGAAAAUUCUCUUUAAAUGCGGCAAACAGAAAUAUACAUAUAAUCAAGUUUCUUAAUCAUGUAUAUUAGGUUUGGGUGUGAAUGUUUUCCUAUUCUAGUUCUAGGCAAAGUUUCUUCAUUUUGGUCUUCAGAUUUCCAGUAGGUUAAGCUAAUCAACUAUCAUAACUGGCUAGCUAGUUAUUGCCUGCCUUGUCGCCAUUACCGACGCCAUUACAUUGCAUGGCAUAGGGAAUAGUAACUAUGUGAUUAUUGGUGAUUUGUUGAGCUUAUUAUUGACCAAACAAACAUAUUCGCCUUUACCCACAACUUGGUUUGAUUAGUUACUGGACAAUAAAGAGCCUUAAUCUAUGCAUUGGCUUUCUUAUUUUUAUUUGGUUUUUCUUUCAACAAUAUUGUUGAUUUCUUAUAUCAUUGGCUAUUUAAUGAAGCUAAUUAAAACUAAGGCUUCGGAUCACUUUCUUCUAACAACAAACAAAUGAGGAUAACCUAUCUCCUCUAAGCAAAUUUUUCUAAUAUCCUUGAUUUGUUAGGACCUGGAGGCCUGAAAUCCUCUAGAUUUUUUUAGCACUGCCAAUGUUCCUUUUAUUCUGAAAAGGAAAAAAAGGUUAUAUCGUUUAUACCCUAACAGUAAAAUGGCCUUUGACUUAACAUGCCUUCCUGAGGAUUUGCAAGAUUCACAAGCAGCCUAGCCACCCCCCAACGCAAAAAAAAUAAAAAAAAUAAAAAACUAAUAAAAAUAAAAAAUAAAACAACCCAAAUAGGAAGACUUUGCAACAUUCACAACGUGGUUACAUUUAAGUUAUUAAUUGUGUGUGUGUGUACUAGUUAUAUGUUGAUAGUAUAGGAAGAAGUAUUUUAACAUGGAUGACUUAAAACUUAUUGCUCAGUAAACAUAGUCUGCAUCAGUGCUAGAAAAUGUAUUUAUUGUUUGUAUUUUUUAUGGUUUUGAUUAAGAAAUGAAAUGUGAAAAAAUGCUACAUUGUAUUAGGAAUAAAUUGAAGAGAUUUAUGAUAUUUAUGUGUUAUUCAAGUUUCAGAUUCAAUUUUAAACUUUUGAUACAUGCAUUGAAAGCUUAAACUCCUUUAAGAAGUUAUUGAUAGACACAUGUUUUAUUAGUGUCAUCUUUGGAUGAUAGUGAGGAUCUUAUGUCUAUUAAUAAUUCUUGAAUUAUCCAGGCUCGGACAUUUUGGUAAUGCAUAGUUUUCUAUGGUAGCUAGUACCUGAAAUUUUUUUCCCACUAAAAAUGGGCUUUUCAGUAGCUGCUCCUCAUAUUCUGGGUGCAUACUAGACGAAUGGGUGUCGUUUUGUUUUGGGAUAACACAUAAACACUCAUAUAUCUAUGUCAUGUACUUGAAGAACUAUAGGGAGAUGCUUCCGAAAUUUCUAUAAACGUAGAGGAAAACUUUAGAUACUUAAGAUUGAAGAAACUUAUGCAUUCUUGAGUGGGAUAUAGAGGACCACUUACCUUUUGUAAUAUGAAGGGAAUGUUGGAUAUAUUGAUGGGAGUGGAGGAGCUGAGUGGGAUGAAUGUAAUCGGUUAUGAUUUUGCUGAGUUGACUUGGUUUUGAGUCUUGUAAUUUUGUUUAUAAAUGGAGUACUAUCUCCAAUGUUGGUUUAUAAAUAUUGUUUCAGCUGGCUGACCUAAUUUUUUAUUUCUAGGUAACAGGCUUUAUAUAUUCGUAAUUGAUAGCCAAGUGAAGUUCUCAGCAGUGGGUGAGGAUAUUUCUUUACAGAAGGUAUUGGAAACUGUUUUUCACAUUAAUUAGUAUUGUAUACAUACUUUAAUUUCACAUCUUUUUCUCUGAUUCUUGUGGCUUUGCUUGCUUUCAUAUAUAUAAACAUUCUAAUGAGAUUAACAUAAAAUUGUAUAAUGAUUUUUUUUAAUUAUAAAUUGCGCGCACACGAAAAUAUCUUGUUUAGUAGUAGAAAUGAAGAACUAAAAUGAUUUAUUUAACUAAUUUUUCUAGUGCAUUAAAAGGAGAUAGUCAUGGACAAGAGUUGGGUUGGUUUGCCAAAUAGAUAUCCAAGUCAUAUACUGAUGGGGUUGAAAAAUUUAUAGAUUUUGCAUUUGAGAAUGUUGUUGGUGAUAAAAGAAUUUAUUGUCCUUGUAAGAAGUGUCGUAAUAUCGAUAUUUCAUUAUAAGGGAAGUGGCAAGAGACCAUAUCAUUACAAAUGGCUUUUGGUUAAAGUAUUGAAACUGGAUAUUGCAGGGUGAGCCAUCUUCAUCUUUGAAAUCUAACUAAGAAACAGGUUAGUCAUGACUCGGGUGCUGAUGAUAGUAUGGUUGGAGUGAUACACGAUGCAUCACAUAAUCAAGUGUUCAAGUUACACACAGCAUUGUUAUGUUAUGGACUAUCAGUGACUUUCUAACAUAUGCCAACUUGUUUGGGUAGAGUAUUAAAGGUAAAUAAGCAUUUCUUGUUUGCCAACAAAACACUAGAUCUAAUUGGUUGAUACAUAAUAGAAAAUUUUGUUACUGGGUUACGGUCGAUUCUUACCAACGAAUCAUAGGUUUCGAAAAUAUAGUGUCUUUUGAUAAAACUAGGGGGUAGGGAUAAGCGCCUUCUCGGUUGUCUUGAACUGACGUGAAAAAGCAGGUGAAUAAUAUAUUUACUAAGUAUAAGAUUGAAGACUUGAAAAGAGGAGAAUGAAUAAAAUGAAAGAAAUGAUAAGAUUACUUGGAAGAAGAAAAGCAUUUUUUAUGAACUAACGUAUUGGGAGUUCAACUUGAUUCAUCAUAAUCUUGAUGUCAUGCAUAUGAUCUACUUUCUUUCAUUUUCUCACCUCCCAAACAUCCAUUAUACAAUAAAGUUUUUUUAGAUUUUAUUGUUUCAUAGAAUUAUAUUUUGCAUAUGAUGAAAUAACUUAACAUUUUAGUAUUCAUUUGCAUAUAAUAAUUAUAAGUAAGAAAAAAUAUUUGUUUACAAUCACUACUAGUUUUAUUGUCGUGAUUACAAAUAAAUUGCUCAAAUUUUCUGCUUCAGCUAUCAAACCUUUUAGCUGCUUCCAGACAUGAAGAAAUUAAACCCAUAAUUUCUAGGUACAAUUGCAUUCGUAUAUGCCAUGAUACAUAUGAUAUGAUUAGAACCAAAAGGAGAAAUAAAUUUUUGGGACUUAUUGUGAUGGUGAUUAAUCUUUUUCUACCUUAACUUUGAUAAGGUUAUAAUUAAAUUUUAUAUGAUUAAAGUGGUCAAUGGUUAAAUAAAUAAAUAAAUAAAACAGAUGAGGAUGGACUAAUGAAAUGACCCACCCCGAACUCCACAAGGUGAGUCUAUGUAAUAUCGUCUUACUUGACUGAUAAUAAUCUAAUUAGUAAGGAUUUUGCCGAAAAUUUGAUAGAGUCUCCACUUUGAAUAUAACAUUUCCAACCUGCAAAUGUGUAAAACAAGCACUCUCAAAUAAAUCAGUAUACAACCAACUUCAUUGAUCAACCUCCUCAACUAUAUUACUGAAUAUUACCCAAAAUAUCUACAAAGUAUCAAAAGAUUAUAUUAUACCUACUGUUGACAUAUAUUAAACUAUUUUUAAUCACAAAAAAUAUUAAAAAAUUAUAUAAUCCAAAAAAUAAGAAAUCAAAAUGCCCUGACAAUAUAAUCUAUAUCUCCUAGUACCAUCACAUGGCCAAAUUUCAAAAUACUAUAGUUGCUAAGUCAACUGGUGUCUUGCAACCUCCUGAGGGGUGGGAGCGAAUUAUAACAAAACGGGUGAGUAUAAAACUCAGUGAGCUCGGUGAGUGGAUAAUAGUUUUUGAAAAUAACUUACCAUAAAUAAUUAUACCACUUUUAUAUAUGAUUUUAUCAAACUAUAUGUAAGAAACAUGAAUAAAUUAUUUAACCUUUGAAUCAAGUAAUUGACAUUGAAAAGAAUACAUUAAGAGGUGCAUAAUAAUCAUGGAAAUUGUAUCACAAUAUAAAAUACAUGAUUAUGAAAUUAUCACAAAACAAGUACCUAAGGGAAUAAUCUUGUCGUACCUAGAGCUCAUACGGGCAAUGCAAUGACAUAUUCUCUAGGUACUGUCAUCCUCGGAGCUAGCACCGGUAGAUCAAUGAAGUGUCAUCUUAUAUAUCUUAUCAUAUCUUUGCAUGCAUAAACUAGUCCCCAAAAGACAAAGGUGUCCAAGCACAUAAUCCAAGGCCUCUAUGAGCCCCAAAGGCCCCUAUUUCAUUUGUAUCUUAGUAACUGAAUCUUUGUUAUCAUCAUAUUUCAUGCAUAAGCGCCCAAAAGGCAAAAGUGCCUAAAUAGACGGCCCAAAGCCUCCCUGUGUGUUCAGACGGGCCCCAAAGUCCUCUCAUCUCAUCUGUAUAAUUGUAAUUGGAGGGGAAGGGCAUUGUUCAACGAGUUUGAGAACAAACUUAUAUAUAUACACACAUAAACAUUUUAAUCAUACUUUAAACUCUUAUUUCCUUUUCAUUACAUACUUUAAAUUUGAUUUUCUUUUCUUUAUAUUACUCUCAUGUAUAUACUCAAAAUCGAUAAUAAAACCAAUAAUCAUACUUUUUAAUAAUAAAUAUCAAUACUUAAAUAAAACCUAUUUCUAGAAAAUCAUUAGAUCGGAGCAUUAAACACUUAUUUCCCAAACCUGCUUUACUAUACUUUAAAAUCAUAAUAAAAUAUGAAAAAUAGGUUUUGCUUAUUUCACUCACCGUGACGAUACUCAAACUCGGCUAUCAUUAAUGUCUGCAGGAUGGGUCUCACUCACUAUUCCUCCUAAAUCAAGGAUACGACAUAAUUACUUUCCAUAAAUGUGAAAUACAACUAACUGUAUGUAAUAUACUCGAAACGAACAUCUAUCCACAAUAUGCUACUCCUAUGUCUGUAACGUUACCAAAAAUACCCCCAAAAUCAUAAAUUGUCAAACAACCCUCAAAAUCAUAAAUUACCAAACUAUCCUCUAUAAAAUAUUAUUAAAAUAUCCACAAAGUCAGAAAUUAAAAAAUUACCAUCAAAAUAUAAAUUUAUCAAAAUGCCUUUGUUGGUCAAUGGUGAUCGGGAGUCAAGUGAUGGUGGUUGGAAUGGUCAAGAUAAAUGCUUUGGACCACGCUGAAUUUAAUGGUGGCAAAUUGACCAUUUCUGGUGACAUGGGUGAUUAAAAAUUGUAGAGGGUGUCGUGAGGGAGAAAACUAAGCAGUAGUGUGCCACAAGUUCGACGAAAUCCCAUCGAAUCGAGGUGGUAGUACCAAAGCUCUUCACAUUCUUGAUUGGUGGUCUUUUAGCAGUUAUUUAGUGACCAUGAUGGUUGGGGAAUGACUAGCAUUGGUUAAGGAUUCGAUCGAUACCUUCUGUUGUCGAUAGAGUGGCCGAAAAUAGUAGUUAGCGGCGGGUGGGGUUUCAAGUCUAUCAGUUAGGUUGAUAGCUCUUCCUCUCUUUGUUUUUCUCUUCCCCUCGAUUCCGUGUCAUAACAAGUUUAAACUAGUCCAAACUCGAACCAUUUAACAAGCGUGUCAAAUUUAACAACCCACACAUUUAUUCAUGUUGAGUAAUUGAGUCGUGUCAAAUCUGCCAAUAACAAUUAUAAUAAUGACUUUUAAAACUUCAAGUCAAAGAGGAGGAUAAAAUAAUGCAUUUGAUUAAACAUAAAAUGCAUAUGUUACAACUAAUCACUAUUCAAAAUAUUAAGAGUGGAGUAGCAAAUGUCAAUUUAUUUGGUUGCAGUCAAAUUUAUCCUAUGAUAAAUAGUGAUUAUUAAAUAAUAUAUAGAUCUAUUAUAUAGUCAAUUAAUAAUAUAUAUUAAUGAAAAUUUAAAAAUAAAUUAUUUAAAAAAGUCAAACUAGGUAAUGGACUUAAAUGUGAAAAUUUAAAAUAAUUUGGAGUUAUGUGUUAAAAUAUUGAAACUUUGUCAUUUUUUAAUGUGCAAGCAAAUAAUAGGGACUAUAGACUUAAUAAACUAUUAAAUCCAUCUAAGCCACUAAGCUACGUUUAUGUUAAAUCUAAUGGUUAGUAAUAGCUAAUAAGAAAAGGACAAAAAUUGGGGUAUGAUGUCACAGGGACACCAUAGUCGGACCCAUUAUUAAUGUUUAGUACAAGUAUUUUCUGAAAUAACAACUACAUAAUUAUUAUCUUAUGUAUCUAAUGAGAUUAUUAAUUUAGUAUAUUAGCCCAAGUUAGGAACGUAAGAUUUUGUUAUUUAAUCAAGUAUAUUAAUUUAUAAAACAUUCAUUUAUUGAGAUUUUAUUGUAUAUUACAUUUGCACACUUUCUUUUUAAUGUGAAGUAAAAACUAAUGUUACACAUGAACUUAUUGCUGACAACAUUAGUACAUAAUUGCUGUCAUAAGAAAAUUUAUCAAUCCAGGAAUUUUGGAUUUUAUAAAGUCUUUACAAGUGAAAAGAGUAGUUUAUAACAUUGUAAAUGUGACCUCGACCUGGAAGCGAACUCGGCUGUCAUAAAUUGAUCAAAGCCACACUUAACUUCUACUACUACUUGCAUUGUUACCACCGUCUUCAGCCUUCUGCUUUGCCCAUUCAAAAAAAAAAAAAAAUUAUAUAACUUUUGUCAGCCAACAAUUAUAAUAAACUAAAAACAUGUCCAAAGAUUCAAAAAAAAAUUUUUCCCUUUUUUUGGUUUUAGCUCCUCUGACAUAUCAAAUCCUAUUGCCGUGAAAAGUUUCCCUUGCAGCGCAUAAUUUUGCCACAGCAUCUCUCAUCUCCAUUCGCUCAGUUGGAGACUCCAUUGAGCAGGAAACCCCAAUUCCAAUUACAGCAGACAAGCAUUGCUCAGUCCUGACUCUUAUCUCUCCAUCAGUAUUUCUUGCAAUUUCCUCAGUUAGAAGUGAAGGCUCAACAAUAUUCACCACUUCUUCUGGCAAAGCCCUUUUGGCAAAUUCAUGGAGAGUUAAGCCAUCAUUGAACAUACUGUCCGUGGGCCGCUUUCCUGUGAACAUUUCUAGCAAAAGAAUUCCGAAGCUGUACACAUCACCUCGCAUGGAGACUUCGCCACCCGUACCGUACUCUGAAAAAAACAUGUUAGAUAUAUUACUCAGUUAGUUGCCACAUAUACGAGUUCUAACAAACAGCAGAUUAAUUCAAAAAAUGUAAAAUUACAAUAUCAAAAUAUCUAUCUAAAGAGGAAUAUAUAUAAUUACCUGGAGCUACAUAACCGACUGUUCCUUUUAUCCCAAUUGAGCUUGAUUGAGAUUGAGGAGCAGUCACCCACAUGGGCAACCAUGUCAUGAUCAAAAAGAAUAUUGCUGGGCUUUAGAUCACCAUGAAUUAUUGGUGGUUGACUGUGGUGGUGGAGAUACUCGAUUGCAGAAGCUACAUCAAUGGCUAUGUCCAGUCUUUGAAUGAGACUUACAUUGCACGCUUCUAGGUGAUCAUUCCUCUGAUGCAACCACUCCUCUAGACUUCCGUUUUCCAUGUAUUCGUAAACGAGAGCCUUGAAAUCAGCUCCUUUAGAAUCAAUGCUUGAGCAAAUAGUGAUGAUUUUAAUGAGAUUCCGGUGGCGAAUAUUUCUCAAAGCUUCACAUUCUGCUACAAAACUCCUGAAACCCCCUUUCUGAUUAAGAUUGAUCACCUUCACAGCAACUACCAUUCCAUUUUCACUAAAAAUUCCCUUGUAAACAAUGCCAAAGCUUCCUUGACCAAUCAUGUUUGAUGUUGAAAAUUCAUUAGUUGCCUUCCUUAGCGCCGCGUACGAGACAAAUGGGAACUUUUGUUCUAUUAGCAACGAAUUAGAAUCUUUGUGUGCUGAUCUCCUUCUUCGAGCAUAAACAACAAGAAAGCAUGCUGAUAAGAUUAAACAUGACAUAAUGACUGGAAAUAUCACUUUGACUAGGAAAGUAACUUUUGAUUUUCUUGAUCCUUUCAAAGGACAUGAUGGUAAAUGCAAUUCAUCCAACCCUCCACAAAGAUUCUCAUUCCCAACCAGUGAAAUGCUUGUCUUAUUGUGAAAAACUCCUUUUGCUGGUACCUGGCCCUCAAAAUGAUUGUAAGAAAGAUCCAAAUAUUGCAAGAAUGGUAGAUUCUCAAGAUAUUCUGGAAUCUUGCCGGACAAAUUGUUACGGGAUAGAUCUAACACUUUCAAGCUUUUCAAGGAAAUCAGAGAAAGAGGAAUCCUUCCUCCAAAGGAAUUGCCUUGCAUAUAAAGAUAUUCUAAGCUUGUACAAGCACUUAGAGUCGCAGGAAUCUCACCAAAAAAAUGGUUCAUGGAAAUAUCUAAUCGAGCGAGAUUCUUCAAGUUUCCCACCCGAAAAGGAAGAUAGCCACUGAGAAGGUUAUUAGACAAAUCUAGUUGAAAUGAAAGGGUCCUUAUUUCAAGAAUUUGUUGUGGCAAAGUUCCAUUAAGCUUAUUGUGAGAGACAAUCAAUUCCAUCAAAUUCUGACAACUUCCGAGGGAUGAGGGGAUAUUUCCUUGCAAGUUGUUGAAGUCCAGUGCAAGCUUUGUUAGUAGUGUUAGAUUACCUAGAGAGGAGGGUAUGUUCCCUUCUAAAGAGUUUCCAUACAGAUAUAGUAAUUGUAAGUUUUAAGACUACCGAUAACAUGAGGAAUAGUGCCAAUUAAUUGGUUUAAAUGUAAAGAAAAUAAAUUUAGAUUGACAAGAUUUCCUAUCCCAAGAGGUAUGGUUCCAGAUAAUUUAUUCUCCCCCAUGUCGAUUAUGGUCAUUGUUUUUGAGAGAUUGGCUAUAAAAUGCGGCAGGUUUCCUCCAAAUUGAUUCUUACGUAACUCAAGCCAUUCCAAUUUGCUACAGUUUGUCAGGGAGAAUACAAAAUCAAGGUCAUUGCUAGCCUCAGCUCCUAAAUUAUUAGCCUCAAAACUUAGCCAAGCUAGAUCCGAAAGACCGUUAAAAUCUAUGCUCACUUUUCCUGUGAAAUGAUUUUGUCCAAGGUUAAGCUCUAUGAGAUUUGAAGCAUUGGACAAUGAAUGUGGGAUAGGUCCUGUCAGAUUGUUUUGAGCUACAAUAAGAGAUUUCAGGUUUGGAAGAUUGAAACCUAUAUUAAGGGGAAGAAUACCUUCGAGUCUGUUUGACGGUAGAAAAAUCAUCUCAAGCGAUGAGAUGUUGUAAAUUGAAACAGGAACCAUACCGGAGAAAUUAUUUUCUUCUACGUUAAGAAACUUUAAGCUUCUUAAUUGACCAAGACUUUCAGGAAUUCUCCCGUGCAGUGUAUUCUCUCCAACAUCAAAUGCCUGCAGAGCAGAAAGAUUCCCAAUGGAAGCAGGGAGCUGUCCUCUCAAAUGAUUGACAGCAAUGGACAGUUUCUCAAGCUUCGACCAGCUGCUGUAACCGAUAUCAGCUGGAAUUUCUCCCACGAGGUUGUUUUUAUGGGAUAAAAAGUUGAUGAGGUUGGAGCAACGGGACAAAUUUGUUGGUAUUUUCCCUGAAAAAGAAUUAUUUGCCACGACUAGAGUUUCAAGUCUGGAAAGACGACCAACCUCAUCCGGAAUUUCGCCAUCGAAAUUGUUGUCUCCCAGGUGGAUUAACUUGAGGAAGCUAAGAUUGCCAACAUAAGGAGACAAGGUACCUCCUAGACUUUGGUUCCUCAGAUACAACUCGGUUACCCUUUGAUGCCGACGACCACAAGUCACUCCUGUCCACUGGCAUAAGUUUACAGAAGUGUCCCACGAACUUGUUACUUCUAGUGGAUCAUGGAACUGUGACUUUAUAGCAAGUAAUGCUAGACGAUCUGUCUCGUUUGUGUGGACAGAAAAGCUGUGUGAACUAAGCAACAAACUGAAGCACCAUAUAAGAGUUGCAAGGCUGGUAGUGGUAGUAAAAAUGGAGCUAAACAUGUUUAGCGGCUGCAGGGUAUAAGAUAAUAAGACUAAUGAAAAGCGUGGCGUGAUCGUUGAAGUUCAUGUGAAGGGUUUUUAAAGUCGAAAAAUGAGUGUACGGUAAAAUCUCUUUAUAGUUAUAAUAUGAAGAGUAAAUUAUUUUUAUGAGAAGGUUAUAAUUUAAUUAAGGUUUAGUUAAAAAAACUUAUUAUUUUGGUAUAGUUAACCUUAGUGCAAGUGACAUAGAGAUAAAGUAUGCUUUAUAUUAAUAGUCAACUGCUAGAACACGUCAAAUUGAAUAUAUAAACAUUGACAAAAGAGAUAGACAUAAUUUCAAAAAGCUAUCAUAAAUUUUUUACAAUAUAAAGGUAGUUAUUAUUAUUUUAUGGAGGCAAGUUCAUGAAGAGGAAUUUAAAAAAAUUUAGACUGUUACAAUAUAAAAUUUAGGGCUUGUUUGGGAUUGUUUUUGGGAGACUCAAAAGAUAUUUUGAAAAGUUAAAAAUUAAUUUUAAUAUUUGAUAUAUUUUUUAAGAAUUAGUUUUGAAAAAAUUACUCUAUCGUACAAUAGAUUUUAAAAAGUAAAGAAUAGUUUUUUAAAAGAUGAUUUUGAAAAUCAUUCUUAUAUUGAAUACAAGUUUAUAUAUAUUCUCAUUUAUAUUAUAAAAAUUCAAAAUUAUCCUUUUUAAUUAAGAAGUAGAAUCAUUAAAUUUUAAAAGAUAUUAUUACUACCACUUAUAUUGAGAUAACUAAAUUAAAAUUAAAAUUAAUAAUAUAAAACAUUUAUUUUAGCUAUCAAUUAUUAUAUGUUAUAAAAAAAUUUUAUACACAUAUUUAUAAAUGUUUAAAUAAAUUUUAACUAACAUUAUAUCUAAUUGAGUCAUUUACAUGAUUACAACAAUUUAACGUCAAGAUUUAUCAAACUAAUUGUUUUUAAAAAUCACAAUACUUUUAAAAAUUUAUUUUACUAAAUGUUUAACUGAUUUCGUCGUAGCUGAUUAUUUCUAUAUUACAAUCAAUAAUAAUUAUUUUAAAAAUUAUAGUAUUACCAAACUAACCCAUAUUCUUAUUUAUAACCGAUCAAAUUGUUACCGAGAUUUUUAAAAUUAUGUGAAAAUGACUUUUAUGGAAUAUCAUUGUAAAAGAAUUUUAUCAAUACAUAUAUUUUUUUCAACUGCGGCUGCGGGAUUAGGCAAGGCUAAUGAAAGCUUUUGUUAAAAAUGUGUGGGUGGUCGUUAAAAGUCACGGGCACUCCAGUUCCUUGAUUAGAUUGAUUCUCGUCGUUGUUCUGAGUGCAAGUUGCCUUAGCACUUUCGUGAGUGAAUGAGAUUUUUCCUUUGUUGCUUUGGCAAGAGGUCGCUUUGGUGUGAUGUCAACUUGUGAAAUAGUCAAGGGUCUUUGGCUCUUUGCUACCUUUACAUCGCAUGCAAAGAUUUGACAAGUGAGCAAUUAGAAUUUCUCUACCUUUACGAUAGAGAAAAGCGAAAACAGUUCCCGUCCGGUCACACAACUGGCUUCAAGAGUUCCUCGCUGGUUGCAAAAAUUAAUUUCUUUUUAAUCUUUGUAAUUUGUUACAUAAAUAAAAAACAAUUUUUGAAAUAAAAAUGAUAAAUAUAGUUGAACCUCAAUGAAUUGAUUACCAGGAUUAAAUAAUAGUUUUUAUUGGUCUCAAAUUGGGUCAACAUAUUAAAUUAAUAAUUUGAUAAAUUUAUUAAUAAUAAAAAUAAAUAUUUUAUAUUUACUAAAAUAUUAAGACUGAUCUACUAUAUAAAUUAAUAAUUUAUUAACUUGAAACUAAGGUACUGUUCAUUUUUUAACUUAAUGAAUUAAUUGAUUAAUUUUAAUUAAACCAUUGAAUCUUUUCAUUUUUUUCAACCUAAUGAAAUUUUAAUGUAAAUUGUGCAAAUUCUUGUAGUAUUAAGGGAAAAAGAUAUCUACACCCAAAGGUUUAGAGAAAAAGUCAAGUAAAUCCUUAAGUUUUCAAUAAGGAAUAUCAAAACUCCCUUUAAUUGUAAUAUCUUUUGUAAAUAGUAAUUAAAAAUUUUACUUCAAAAUUUUUUAAUAAACACAAAUAUAAUUUAAACAGUUUAAUUUGUCAAGUAGACUAAUAAUAUUAGGAUAUUUUUAAUAUAUAAUAUAAUUUUUAAAGUGUAAAUUAGUGUAUUUAUUUUAAUAAUAUAUGUUAUUUAUUAUAAAAUUUUAAUUAAAUGUUUCGGUUAAAUUGAUUUUAUAGUUAAUAAAAUAUAUCUCAUGUAUUCAUAAUAUCUAAAUUAUUUUAUAUAAUAUUCAAAAUAAUGUAAAUUUUUAAAAAAUUUGUUAUAAAAUUUAGUUUAAUAUAAUAUAAGAUUGUAAAGUAUUAAAAUAUUUUUUAAAUAUUAAAAUUACCUUAAAAUGUUUAUAUUAUUAUAUUUAUUUUAAUAUUAUAUUUCUAUUUAAUAUAAAACAUUAGAGUUAAUUUUUUUUGAAUUAAUAGAACCAAAAGUUAUUAUAGUCAAAAGAGAAUUUUAAUAUCUUUUAUUAAGAACUUGAAAUUUAUAUGAUUAUUUUUCUAAAUUUUGAAGGUAUAAAUAUCAUUUCUCAUAUUAUUAAUGUCGCUUUAAAAUAGAGUACCCAAUAUUUCUAGUUCACCAAUUAUUGAAAAACAUUUUGACUCAUUACAGCCUGUUAUUAGUUUUGGUCAUAUUAUUUUCCAUCACUCGGUUAUUGAUUUUCAAAUCUACCGAUUAGUAACUAUUCUUAGGCCAUAAAUAAUAUUGAGGUACUAUAACUUUUAAGUUAUAGUUAUUAUAAAAAAAGUAUAAUAAUGAAAUAAUAAUUUAUAAUUUAUAAUAAAUAUAAUUUUUAAAUAAUAAUUUUAAUAAAAAUACAAUAAAAUUAUUAAAUUUUUUCAUGUAAGUAUAAAAUUAAAUUAAUUUAAUUUUUAAACUAUAAUAAUUAGUAUAUUUUAUAGAUGUCCAAUCUCAAUUUUAAUCACAGCCUUAAUAAUAUAAGUUAGCCAUGGCCAAAAAAUCAAAUAUCAAUUGUCAAACCUGCUGUGUACGCUAUGUUGCCGUGUACGCUAUGUUUAAGUCUAGCUGUGUGGAAUUUGUUUGUCCAUGUAUUUUAUAGACUUCAUUGAUCCAAUUCCAAUCUUUUUUCCUGUGGAAAACCCUCUUUUUCCGCAAAUCAAUUAAAUCAAUCAUGGAAUUAAAUACUAUACGGGAUAUUGGUGUAAAUAUUUGAAGAUGAAGCCACGUUUGGAAGACAUGUUCGCAUGUUCAAUAAAUGCAAAAACAGCCAGUUCUGUGCAUGGCUUUAAUGCAUGCAUCGAGAGUAGUAACUUCCACGUGAUGGCAAGUUGACGAUUGGCAAUUGGUGCUCCUUUUGUCAAGAUUUGCUUGAGAUAGCGGCUGUUUCACUAGAUUUUUUACCGUAAAGUUUGAUUUCUCAAUCCAUCCUGAUACUAUAAAUAGAGCUUAAUAUAUUCUCGAGAGUAAAUCAUCCCGUUUGCGAGGGAUAAAAGUUUAUUUAGUCCCUAUAUUUUAAGAUUAGUGUCUAUUUAGUUUUUAUAUUUUUAAAAAUAUUUUGAAACAUCUCUACUGUUAAAGUAUUGAUACCCCUAUUGUUACUUUUUAUUUUUUAUUUACUUUUACAAUAUUAUCUUUUUAUAAUAAUGUUUUUGUUUAGACAUUAAUUAAAAAAUAAUUAAAUUAUCAAUUUAAUUCUAAAAAAUAAAAAUAAAAAAUUACAUUAAUUUUUAAUUGUCAAAAAUUAAAUUAUCAAAAAAGUCAAAAAUUAUAUACAAACUACCAAGCGUGCAAAUAGUACUUGCAAAAAAAUUAAUAAAUUUUUUAUUUUUAUUUUUUAGGAUUAAAUUGAUAAUUUAAUUAUUUUUUUUAUUAAUAUCCAAAUAAAAAAAUUAUUAUAAAAAGAUAAUAUUGUAAAAGUAAGCCAAAAGAAAUAAAAAAUAACGGCAGAGAUAUUAAUACUUUAACGGUAUGAAUGUUUCGAGGUAUUUUUAAAAAUACAAGAAUUAAAUAAAUACUAAUUAUAAAAUAUAGAGACUAAAUGAACUUUUACCCGUUUGCGAGAGUUGCGAGCAUUUAAAUAUUGAUGGGCAAACAGAUCAGCUGUCAACAACUCAUUCCUAUAAUCCCAUGUGAGUAAUUCACAUUGAGUACUGCACGUGACGCCUGUUUCUCUACUUUUCAUGUUAACAUUAUUUUCAGUAGCAGCCGGUUAUGUAGGCAACAUUUCAAAAUUAAUUAAAAAAUAAAAAUUAGUUCAGCUGACUAAAUUUGAGAGAAUGAAUUUACUGUUGGUUAAAAAUUAUUUUGCAGCAAAAUUUUUGAAUCGUAACUCUUUUACAAUAUAUAGAAUUAUCAUAAUUUAUAAAUUACAUCUUUGCUUUUUUUGUGAUAGUAAUUCAGAUUCUCAAGUUACGAUUUAAACUGAAAAAAUAAAACUAUGAGUAAGAAUUGUUUUAUGAGAAUUAAAAUAAUUGAUAAAUAACUGAGAGGGAUAAUUUUGAAAGAUUUAAAUUCUAAUAUGAUAACAAUUUUAAUUUUUCACCCUCUGGUAAGGAAUCGAAAAUCACAAUUUAUUAGAUUAGCACAUAAAAUAAUUGAGUAUUCAGAAUAAUUUUUGAAGUACAAAUAAUUGGACCCUAAUAUUUUUAAUAUAUGAAAAUCUUACUAAUAUGUUGAUGAGAAUUAAAUUAAUAAUUAAGGGAGACAUUAAGACAUUUAGAAUAGUUGAGAUGAGACCGGAUUUUACGUUAUCCGAAAUUGAUCCUAAUUUUGAUCACAAAUGUAUUAAAAAGACGAGUUUCGGUCCAUAAUUAUGUGCCAUUUGAGUAAUUAAAAUGGGAAUGUGAUUGUCGAAUUCCAAACUUUCCCGAACCAUUGCCAUCUUUACCCAAAACACUAAAAAUAUCUAAAGAAAAGUCUGCACCUAUUCCAUUUUUUUUUAUCAAAUAGGAAAGAGCCCUCACGUGGCGUGAACUGGUAUCCUAAAUAAUUUUAAGAGUAUCAGCCCAUGAUUGGGUUUGUGACAAAUAAAUUACAUAUUUGAGGUACAUAGUUAUUGGUGUCCUAGUUUAGGUGGCACCUACCAUUUAUUGCACAUAUAAGGUAUUAAUUGACUUAAUUAAUAUACAAAGUUUAAAAUCUAAUUAAUUAGCGACACAAAUGCCAAGUACAGUAUAUGUAAAUCAUAUUUGUCGAUUAUCACAAAACGAGCUCUUGAAAAUAAGUAAGAAAGCUUAAUUUGUUGAAAUGAACUCAAACUCGUCAAUCGAUUUGUCGUCUAAAGGUUGGAAAAAUGAGUGAUAUGUCAUUUCAAGCUGAUCAUGGAUCCAGAACCGACGACUUGGUGCUGUUGUUCAAGGUCGUUAAACUCUCACGUGAAUAACAUACGCCUGUCUUAAGUCUAAAACGGCACGCCUUGUCGUCGUUUUAGGAAGGGUUUAAGUUUCACGUGAAAGGCUCUUGAUCAAGCAGUUAAGUUUGUCGGUUUUGGAGGGAAUCAUCUGGAUCUGUAACACCAACAGCAGCUGAUAUAUAUGUUGGUUCUGGUUUCAUCUAGAUCGAUUGAAGAGAGAGUGAUAAGGAAGCAUUAGAGAGAGUGAAACUUUUCUGGGUGUUCUCUGUAUUGUGUUUGUCACCUUUGUAACCAUUGAAGCUUAAUAAAAUUACUCCCUGAGUUGUUUUCUCCAGUGCACGUAGGCACUGUUAAAGGUGCUGAACCACUUAAGUCUUUGUGUGUUCUUGAUUCUUUGUGUUGAUUUUUCUUUGAUCUGGUGAUUGUUACGACUUGCUUAGACUUGGUUCUUAAAUCUUAGAGUCUUAAUUAGAUCUUGGGGUGAGAUAAAUCUGGUGUAAAGAGGGUUUGUUUCACAACAAUUGGUAUCAGAGCUUUAAUUCUGAUUCCAAGGUUCAAGAAUGGCUUCAAAGGUGGAUCUUGAGAAGUUUACAGGGCAAAAUGACUUUAAUAUGUGGAAGAUCAAGAUGGAGGCUUUGUUGAUCACUCAGGGUCUGGGAGAUGCCAUAGAGCUAGUCUCUAAACUUGAAGGAAAUGAAGCUUCAUCAUCCAAGACUCCAGAACAAGCAGUAGAGAUAGACAAGAAUGCUAGAAGCACAAUUAUUAUGAGUAUGGGUGACUCUGUAAUCAGAAAAGUGGCAAAAGAAAAGAUUGUUGCUGGUUUAUGGGCCAAGUUGGAGAAUUUGUAUUUGACAAAGUCUUUAGCUAAUAGGCUUUACAUCAAGAAGAAGAUGUUCUCACUAAAGAUGAUUGAAGGAGCAUUACUUGAUGAGCAUAUAGAUGAGUUCAAUAAGGUUUGUGAUGAAUUGGAAACCAUUGAUGAAAACUGAGUGAUGAGAGCAAGGCUCUGCUGUUAAUUAGUUCUUUACCAGAGUCAUACGAGCACUUUGUGGAUGCCUUGUUAUAUGGGAGACAAACACUCUCUCUGGAAGAGGUUAAAUCUACUCUUGGCACCAAGAAGUUGAAAGACAAGCAAGAUAAUCCAGAAAGUGAAUCAAGUGAGGGGUUGAUGGUUAGAGGCAGAUCUGAAAAAAAGGGAAAACAAGGGAAAUAAACAAGGCAGAUCAAAGUCCAAAUAGAAGCAUUUGAAGUGUUUUCAUUGCCAUAAAGAAUGGCAUUUAAAAAGAGAUUGCCCUGAAAGAAAGAACAAAAAUAAAGAAACCAAGGAAAAGACAAGAAAUGCAGCCAUAACCACAAAAGUUCCAAGCUUUGAAACAACUGGAGUGCUCAUUGCCUCAAAUGAAAAAUUUCAAGGUCACUGGGUUCUUGACUCAGGUUGUACCUUCCAUGUGUCCAAAUAGAAGCUAUAUUACUACAUAUCAGUUGUGUGAUGGGGUAUGAUUUUAAUGGGUAAUAACUAAAUGUGUAAAGUGGUUGGUAUUGGGAUUGUUAGCCUUAAAAAGUUUGAUGGUGUGGUGAAGGAAUUAACACAUGUUAGGUUUGUUCCUGACUUGAAAAGAAACUUGAUCUCAAUUGGCAUGCUAGAUCCAAUAGGUUGUGUCAUUAGGGCUAAAAAAUAAGUGUUGAGGAUAAUUAAAGGCUCAAUGGUGAUUAUGAAAUGUAUAAAAGAAAAUAGCUUGUAUGUGUUGGAUGGACAUACUGCUGUUGGAGAGGCAAGUGUAACUGAUAGUGGUGGGAACAAAUUAGUGUUGUGGCAUUUUAGGCUGGGGCAUAUGAGUGAGAGAGGCUUAAAAGAACUACAAUGGAACAUUGAGGAUAGAUAAUGGCUUGAAGGUGAAAACAUUGAGGACAGAUAAUGGCUUGGAGUACUGUAAUAAGUUGUUUGAAGGAGUACUGUGAGAAGAAAGGGAUUUAGAGGCACAAAACUAUCACCUAUACUCCUCAACCAAAUGGCCUUGCUAAGAGGAUGAACAGAACCUUGGUGGAGAAAGUAAGGUGCAUGUUGAUCUACUCUAAACUUCCAAAAACUCUAUGGGUAGAAACUUUAAACAUUGUAUGCUAUCUAGUCAAUAGGAGCCCAUCAACUGCCAUAAGAUGUAAAAAACCAAUGGAACUGUGGUUAGGAAGAAUAGCUGACUAUUCAAAACUCAAAAUCUUUGGCUGCAUAGCAUAUGCUCAUGUAAAGUAAGGUAAGCUGGAACCAAGAGCAUUAAAGUGUAGGUUUCUAGGGUAUCCAGAAGGUGUCAAAGGCUAUAGAUUGUUGUGUGUUGAUUCCAAGCCACCUCAGUGUCUAAUAAAUAGAGAUGUAACUUUCCAUGAAGAUGAGAUCUUGAAUCAAUCAAGGAGUCUUGUCAACGGCUCUGAAUUAGGUGAUGAGUCUAAUAAAGUGAAGUUUCAAGUGGAGCCUCAUACCUUGAAAAAGCUUGAUCUAGAAAUUAAGAGUGCUAAAAAAGAACUUGAAGCUGGUGUUGAGCAUGAAUCAGUAGAAAGUGAAGAGGACACCUAUCAAUUGGUAAGAGACAGAAAAAGAAAGAUUAUUAGACCACCUAAGAGAUAUGCAAUGGCUGAUUUAAUUGCAUAUGAUUUGACUGUUACUCAAAAGUUGAAUGUUGAUGAACUAGGACUUAUCAAGAAGCUAUCACAAGCAAAAGCAAGAUGGAAUGGAGGAAGGCAAUGGAUGAGGAGAUGGCAUCUCUAAUGAAGAAUAAAACUUGGGAAAUGAUUAUAAAACCAUAAAAGAGGAAGAUAGUAAGCUAUAAAUAAAUCUUCAAGAUAAAAAAAAAAGGGAUAUCUGGUGCUGAGCCUAGAAUAUGUAAAGCUAAACUGGUGGCAAGGGGUUUCACACAAAAGGAAGGUAUUGACUUCACUGAAGUUUUAUCCCCAGUGGUGAGACAUGCUUCCAUCAAAAUUAUUCUUGCACUUGUUGUUGUUCAGGACAUGUAUCUUGAGCAAAUGGAUGUCAAAACAACUUUUUUGCAUGGUAAGUUACAAGAAUAGAUUAUAAUGCAGCAGCCAAAGCGUAUGUGGUUUUUGGUAAAGAAGAUCAUGUUUGUUAUUUAAGAAGUCUCUAUAUGGUUUGAAGCAAUCACCUAGACAAUGGUAUUUGAGGUUUGACAACUUCAUGAUAACACAUGCCUUUAAUAAAUGCAGUUAUAAUUGUUGUGUGUAUUUCAAGAAGAUAAGUGGAGGAAGGAUGAUAUAUCUCUUAGUGCAUGCAGAUGAUAUGCUGAUUGCAUGUCAUGACAAGAAAGAAAAUGAUCAUCUGAAGAAACUCUUAAGCAGGGAAUUUGAAAUGAAGGAACUUGGGGAACCUAAGAGGAUUUUAGGGAUGGAUAUUAUCAGGGAUAGGAGCAAGAAGGUUUUGUUUUUAACUCAACAGAGCUACAUUAAAAGGGUUCUAGUGAGGUUUGGAAUAAAUGAUGCGAAGCAAGUGCAGACACCAUUGGCAAACCAUUUCAAGUUGUCUGCUGCACAAUGCCCCCAAACUGAUGCAGAACAAUAGAAAAUGGCUUGUAUACCCUACUCAAGUGUUGUGGGUAGCCUCAUGUACGCCAUGGUACUCACCAGGCCUAAUAUCUCACAUGCUGUGAGUAUGGUAAGUAGGUUUAUGGCAAAUCUAGGCUAGGAACAUUGGAAAGUUGUUCAGUGGAUUAUGAGAUACCUCAAAGGGACUUUGGAGGUUACUUUGAUUUAUGGUGGAAAGGAUAGCAAUGGACACACAUUGAUUGGUUAUGUAGAUGUUGACUUUGCUGGUGACCUUGAUAAAAAGAAGUCACAAACAGGGUAUAUGUUUACUCUGGGGGGAUGCACAGUUAGCUGGAAAGCAACAUUACAGAACAUAGUGGCUUUGUCCACUACAGAGGCAGAGUAUACUGCAGCAGCUGAAGCCUUUAAAGAAGCCAUUUUGCUGAAAGGCAUGAUAACUGAGCUAGGAGCUGAGCAAGGGACUAUAACAGUAUACAGUGAUAGCAAGAGUGCCAUACAUCUUAGUAAAAAUCAAACUCAUCACGAGAAGACAAAACAUAUAGAUGUUAAGUUACACUUUGUGAGACUUGAAGUGUCAAGGGGGGCUGUUAAGUUGCUGAAAAUUCAUACUGAAGAAAAUCUAGCUGACAUGUUAACCAAGGUUGUUCCCACUACCAAGUUCAUCCUUUGCAUGUAUUUAGCAGGAAUCUGCAGGUUUUAAGAAGCUGCAGAUGAGGAGAAAACAAACAAAGAAGAGGGAGCUAUGAGUGUUGGGUUCAAGGUGGAGAUUGUUAAAAUAAACUCCAAUGAACUCAAACUCGUCAAUUGAUUUGUCGUUUAAAGGUUGGAAAAACGAGUGACAUGUCAUUUCAAGCUUAUCAUGGAUCCAGAACCGACAACUUGGUGCUAUCGUCCAAGGUCAUUAAACUCUCACGUGAGUAACAGAUGCAUGUCUUAAGUCUAAACGGCACGCCUUGUCGUCGUUUUCGGAAGGGCUUAAGUUUCACGUGAAAGGCUCUUGAUCAAGCAGUUAAGUUUGUUGGUUUUGGAGGGAAUCAUCUGGAUCUGUAAUGCCAGCAGCAGCUGAUAUAUAUGCUGGUUCUGGUUUCAUCUAGAUCGAUUGAAGAGAGAGUGAUAAGGAAGCAUUAGAGAGAGUGAAACUUUUCUGAGUGUUCCAUGUAUUGUGUUUGUCACCUCUGUAACCAUUGAAGCUUAAUAAAAUUACUCCAUGAGUUGUGUUCUCCAAUGGAUGUAGGCAUUGUUAAAAGUGCUGAACCACUUAAGUCUUUGUGUUCUUGAUUCUUUGUGUUGCUUUUUCUUUGAUCUGGCGAUUGUUACGACUUGCUUAGAGUUGGUUCUUAAAUCUUAGAGUCUUAAUUAGAUCUUGGGGUGAAAUAAAUCUAGUGUAAAGAGGGUUUGUUUCACAACAUAAUUAAUAACUUAAAAUUAAAGGAAUUAGAUUGAGAAUAGUCUUUUUUUUAGGAUGGAGGCUCCUAAAUCUUCAAGAAUCAUUAUGUGCUUAUUAAAAUUUCAAAAUCAUUUGGAUUAUGACAUAGCAAAAAUUUGAUAGUACACAUGUUGGAAUACACCAAUUCAUAGAUGCAUUUGAUUAUUGUUUUCAUAAAUUUUAACUAGGAAGGAUGACAUGAUAAAAUUUGAUUUUAUUGUAUGGUUGAUUUCAUAUUUCAUGUGCUCAUUUCUUAAUAUAAUCAAAUUUGAUCUAGCAUAUUUUGCAACUGUAUAAAUAUCAAUUAUGAUCAAUCAAAAUGAUUUCAACACCUUUCAACCAGACAUAUUUAUAAUACAAUAUUGUCAAACUUACACCAGAAAUUUAGUUUAUUACAUAUUAUUAUCCAAUGAGCACACAAAAAUGAAUUUGUACAAAUUUAGUUUUGGAAUGCUGUAGCUCUUAAAAUAAUUGUUGUUAGUUGUGCUAUAGAAAUAAUUUACUGUGAAAAGAAUCAGUUAAUUGUUGGGUAAAUUUUAUUUUCAGAAAUACUGUGAGUUUUGAAAACAGUUACGGAAAUUUGGUAAAUUUUACUGUUAAAUUGCUGAAAGAAAACAAAUGAUUAAAAUGUAUAUAAUGUAGAAUAAAAUUUACUUAUACAUAUAAAAAUAUGUACAUAUAAUAUUUUUAAUUAUAUAUUAUAAUAAUUUUUACUAAAAAUAAAAUUUAUAAUAUAUUGAUUUUUUUUUAUAUUUUUACCUUAAAAUAAUUGUUAAUUAAAUUUGUAAUAUAGUGAAACAAGUUUAAUAAUAAUUCGACCAACAAAUUGAUAUUAAUAAAUUUAUAUUGAUGAAUUACAAUAAAAAUUUAUUAAAAUAUUAUUUUUUUCAAUUUCAAUAAGGAUAAUUUUGGAUUUACAUAAUAAUUUUGAAGAUAUUUAUAAAAUUAUAUUAAAAGAUAAAAUUAAUUCUCAAAAUCAGAAUCUAAAAAAUACUCCAUCCCUACUUUUCAAAAUCAACUAUAGAAGAAGUUGAUUUUGACAAAAAUAAUUUAAAUUUUUUUACUAAAUACUAAAAUUAACUUUUAAUUUUUUAAAAUUAAUUUUAAACCACAAAUUCAGACGACCCUUAAACCAAUUUUGCAAAAGCAGCCGUUACAUGUAUCACCAACUUUUUAACAGUCAGCUGCUUUUGUGACCGUUAUGCGACGGCUAGACUGCUGUCACUUAUGUUACUAUCACGUGACGGUUAAGAGCCAAUUGGCAUACUAUUUUUUUAAAGUUUUAAAUUUGUUUCUAAAUAGAAAACUAUUCGCUGGUGUCAAUAUUUUGAAAACCAAAGUCCCAAAUUCUCUCUUGUGCGUGCCGGGCCAGCAUCCUAAACCUUACUGGUUGCCGGAGAAUGGCGUAAAACGGCGGUGAUCUUCUUCUUCAUCUUAUUCUCUCUCAUCGUUUCAGGUAAGCUUGUGAUAAUGAGUUUCUUGUCUUUCUUAGCUUGUAAUUAUAGAUUUUGAUUUUUUAAUUCGUAUUGUAGCCGUUAAUGUAAAUUUUUGUCCCGCUGGCAAAUUUUUUUGUUCCUACAAGUUGAAGCCCUUCUGUUCUUGUUCCAUUGGUGACUUUGCUCACUCAAAUUAAUUUCGUUCGGCGGAAUUUACAAAGUUCAAAUGGAUUCAUUUGGAUUACUAUUGAAUUUAGCUUUCAUUUCUACAUUCAUUCUAAUGUUUUACAAUUAUGUAUUUAGAUUUACUUUGAUUUUAUGUUUAAAGCUUCUACAUUGAAUAGCUGAGCUUGGGUCUUAGUUUCAUUUUCUAAUUAACUUGUUUUGGUUUAUCUUAUAUGCUCACCAAGGGCUUGUUAUAUUGUCAGAUAAGUUAUAUAACAUUGCUGAUUCUAUAUUAAUAACGUCAUGUUUUAUUUUCAGAAAUUAUAAUAUAAAAGUUUUUACAAUGGCAAGCAUCUACAAACUGAAUUGAUUUGUAGAAUAAGAGCUUCGAGUAGUGUUAUGAUCUUGAAUAAAUGAAAGUUCAUAUUGUGUAAGAGCAUGUAGAUGUAAAGCAUCAUUACCAUUUCUGCAAAGUGCUUUCAUUCUGUUCAGAUGCUUCUCUUGAACUUUGAAAUGUGCCUCGUUGAAGUCCUAGCUAUAACUACUAGCUUUGAUUAAUUAAGUUCCUAUACUAGCUGAAACAGAUUUAUUUAAUUAAUUAAUUGUGUAUGUACUAAUUAUAUUGAAAGUAUUUGAAAACUUUUUUAUCAUGAAUGACUUCUAAAUGACUUAAAAACCUAAAGGAUAUGUGAAAUAAUGCUCAUUUCACUUGAACGAGCCUAUUAAUACUUGUAUGUCUAUGAUUGUUAAUAUUGGCUUAAGCGUUUCAGUUAAAUGGUUUACAUAACAAGGAAAAUAAUUUAAUGGAAAACUUUCGAGUUCUAACAGAAAUAUAAUUGACUAUGCAGAUAUAGUUAUUUUAUGGUAAUACAAAUCAUGUUGCCUUAAUCUCAAUGUCCUAUGACCUAUUUUAUUUUAUAGAGUCAUUCAUUUUUGCCAUGGCUUUUUGUGUUUAUAAGUAUGGAAAUAGUGGGAUUUGGUGUAUCUUAGCAUCUUUGGAAAAUUCUCUUUAAAUGUGGCAAACAAAAAUAUACAUAUAAUCAAGUUUGUUAAUCAACUAUCAUAACUGGCUAGCUAGUUCUUGCCUGCCUUGCUGCCAUUACCCAGGCCAUUACAUUGCAUAGCAUAAGGAAUAGUGAUUAGGUGAUUAUUAGUGACUCGUUGAGCUUAUUAUUGACCAAACAAACAUAUUCCCCUUUACCCACAACUUAGUUUGAUUAGUUAUUAGACCAUAAAGAGCGUUAAUCUGUUCAUUGGCUUUGUUAUUUUUAUUAGGUUUUUCUGUCAACAAAACUGUUGAUUUCUUAUAAAAAUAUUCAUUGAUUUUUAAACACCUAAUCAUUGGCUAUAAUGAAGCUAAUUGAAACUGAGGCUUUGGAUCAAUUUCUUCUAGCAAGAUACAAAUGAGCAGAACCUAUAUCCUCUAAGUAAAUUUUUCUAAUAUCCUUGAUUUGGUAGUAUCUGGCGGCCUGAAAUCCUCUAGAUUUUUUUAACACUGUCAAUGUUCUUUUUACUCUUAAAAGGGAAAAAAAAGGUUAUAUCUUUCAUACCCUAAUAGUAAGUUGGCCUUGACUUAACAUGCCUUCCUGAGGAUUUCCAAGAUUCACAAGCAGCCCCCCCCCAAAAAAAAAAAACAAAUAUGAUUUUGCAAGAUUCACAACCAGGCUAUAUUUAAUUUAUUGAUUGUGUGCACGUACUAGUUAUAUGUUGAAAGAAUAGGAAAAAGUAUUUUAACAUGAAUGACUUAAAACUUAUUGCUCAGUAAACAAAAUCUGCAUCAGUGCUAGAAAAUGUAUUUAUUGUUUGUAUUUUUUAUGGAUUUGCUUAAGAAAUGAUACGCGAAAUAAUGCUACAUUGUAUUAGGAAUAAAUUGAAGAGAUUUAUGUGUUAUUUAAAUUUCAGAUUGAAUUUUAAACUUUCAAUACAUGCAUUGAAAGCUUAGAUUGUUUAAGAAAUUAUUAAUAGACACAUGUUUUAUUAGUGUCAUCUAUGGAUGAUAGUGAGGAUCAUAUGUCUAUUAAUAAUUCUUGAAUUGUCUAGGCUUGAACUGUUUGGGAAUGCAUAGUUUUCUAUGGUAGCUAGUAGCUGAAGUUUUUUUCCCACGUAAAAAUGGGUUUUUCGCUGGCUGCUUCUCAUCUUCUGUGGGUGCAUACUAGAUAACACAUAAACACUCAUAUAUCUAUGUCGUGUGCUUGGAGAACUAUAGGGAGAUGCUGCCGAAAUUUCUAUAAACGUAGAAAUCCCAUUGGACCACUUACCUUUUGUAAAUAUGAAGGGAGUGUUGGACAUAUUGAUGGGAGUGAAGGAGCUGAGUUGGAUGGAUGUAAUCGGUUAUGGUUUUGCUGAGUUAACUUGGCUUUGAGCUUGUAAUUUUGUUUAUAAAUGGAGUACUAUCUCCAAUGUUGGUUUAUAAAUAUGUUUCAGCUGGCUGACCUAAUUUUUUGUUUCUAGGUAACAGGCUUUAUAUCUGUAAUUGAUAGCCAACUGAAGUUCUCAACUGUGGGUGAGAAUAUUUCUUUACAGAAGGUAUUGGAAACUGUUUUUUACGUUAAUUAUUGUUGUAUAUAUACUUUAAUUUUCACAUCUUUUUCUCUGAUUCUUGUCGCUUUGCUUGCUUUCAUAUGUAUAACUAAAAUGAUUUAUCUAACUAAUUUUUGUAGUGCAUUAAACGGAGAUGGUAAUGGAGAAGAGUUGGGUUGGUUUGGCAAAUUGAUAUCCAAGUUAUAUACUGAUGGGGUUGAAAAAUUUAUAGAUUUUGCAUUUGAGAAUGUUGUUGGUGAGGCAAGAAUUUAUUAUCCUUGUAAGAACUGUCGAAUCUUUCGUUUUAAGGGAAGUUGCAAGAGACCAUAUCAUUAUAAAUGGUUUUUGGUUAAAGUAUUAAAACUGGAUAUUGCAUGGUGAGCCAUCUUCAUCUUUGGAAUCUAACCAAGAAACAGGUUAGUCAUGACUCGGGUGCUGAUGAUGAUAUGGUUGGAAUGAUACAUGAUACAUCACGUAAUCAAAUAUUCAAUUCACACACAGCAUUGUUAUGGACUAUCAGUGACUUUCUAGCACAUGCCAACUUGUCUGAGUGGAGUAUUAAAGGUAAAUAAGCAUUCUUGUUUGCCAACAAAACACUAGAUCUAAUUGGUUGAUACAUAGUAGAAAAUUUUGUCACGUCGGUAACGUCGAUUUUUACCGACGAAUUAUAGGUUUCGAAAAUAUAGUGCCUUUUGAUAAAUCUAGAGAGUGGGGACAAGCACCUUCUCGGAUGUCUGGAGCUGAAGUGAAAAAGCAGUUGAAUAAUAUCCUUACUGAGUUUAAGAUUGAAGACUUGAAAAGUGGAGAAUGAAAAAAAUGAGAGAAAUGACAAGAUUACUUGGAAGAAGAAAAUCAUAUUUUAUGAACUACCGUGUUGGGAGUUCAAUUUGAUUCAUCAUAAAAUGUGAGACAUGAGGGAGAGACAAAAGCUCAGGCUUGUCUGCAACCAUGUGGGCCCUCAUAAGCAAUUCGUGUACACAACUUGGUUCACCAAGCCCAACAACUUGAAGCAGGCAAAAUCCGGGAACGAUCCUUCUCCUUCGCAACCCUAGCUGCCUUAACCUUGUAUUUCUGAUAUUUAGUUAAAGAGUAAGAAGAUUGCUCCUCUGUCAAUUACCUUCGAGAGAGACUUUCUUUUUCAUUCACCGAUGCUUGCUUGUGAAAGCAAGGGUUUUAGUUACGCUUUCAACGCUGUCAAUGUAGUGAAGUUAAGCAUUCGUAGAAUAGUGAAGUUAAGCAUUCGUAGAAUAGUGAAGUAAAGCAUUCGUAGAAUAAUGAAGAUGGAAGCCCCACAGCAUGAAAACUUUUAAACAGUAACACAGCUCUUAUUCCAGAGGCUGCACGCGAGUGACCUGAAUCUUCUUCAGAACUUUCAAAUUUUAUCAAGCGAAGCUUUCAAAAUUUCUCAACAAAUUGAUUAUUUGGUGUGGUUGCCACAUUUUGAGUAACCGCUAUUUGUUCUCAAGUACAAAAUCCUUGCCUUCCUAAGUUAGGAAAUAUAAAUGUGAAGCAAACCAAAUGAAAUAAAUGGGUAAACAGAACAAGCAGGGCAAAAAUUAAAAAUGAUGGCAAUUAACAAAUUAAUAGCAAUGUUACAUUUGACUCUUUAGCCCUUUGUUCCUUCUCUUAGCAUUCUUCAAAGGUUUUGAAAAUAGGACGUGAAGCAAACAAAAUAAAAUAAAUUUAGACAACACAUGCCCUGUAUUCAGCAUCAUAUAUAUCUCGCAUAUCUAAUAUAAUAAAUUUCACAUCUAAAAUACUAGAAUUUCAAACAGAAUAUCUAAUAAUAGUAAAAAAAUGACGACAACAACAAAAAUAGAAAAUUACAAGACUGCUGAUAAAAUUUCAUUUGCAUGCAUGUCUGACAAAAUUUCCGUGGUUUAAUGUGCUUUCAUGAACGCAAGUCCUAACGUUUCUGUGAUCACAAAAUAAAACUGAAGAUAAAACAGAACAACUACCAAACCUUUCAAGCUUGACGAAGCCAUGAGAAUUGAUAGCUCAGGCACUGAUACCAAGUUAAAGUUUCUAAUCUGUUUGGUAAGUAAGAAAAUGUGAGAAAAUGAAAGAAAGAACAGAGAUCAUCUAAGAGCUGGAUUUGAUAAGUAAAUAUGAAUCAUCCAUUCAUUAGUUGAUUGCAAAUGUAUUUAUACGAGGUUCCUGAACAUUUCAGAUUCUAUAUGCUCGAGCUAAGCACCUGAGAGUUGAGCAGUGUGCACUAACAAACUGCUAACAAAAUAACUAACUUAUGCCAGCUCAGCUAACACGUCAGUAACUCUUAACUAUCUUGCUUAACAAACUGAAACAAUAACUAACCAUUUUAACUAUCUUAACAAUCCCAAUAAUUUUUCCAUUUGUGUAUUUUUUUGAAUCAUAAUCAAAUGCGUAAAUGUUGCAACUAUUUUUUUUAGAUAUUUUCACUUUGGGCUGUCAGCCCGAGGAAGUACGGGGGUCUGAGUUAUUCAACUGAAAAUGUCGGCCAAGUUCUUGUGUUAGUUUUAGUAUAUUGUGUAAAAAUGAUACACUAACUUGAAUUUAUAUGCUUUUAUGACUAUUUGAUAAUCAAAUGGGUAAAUGACACGAAGAACUUUGAGUUUAAAAAUCUGGCCCUGAUGCCUGGUAGCCCUCCAACCUAUGAAGCACUAGAUGUUUUAAUGAGAAAACGACAAGACCAUUUAUCAAAUUUCUUGUGGAUAUAACUACAUACACAAAGACGAGACCAACCUCCUCAAAUGAGAAUUAGAGUGAUUCAAAUCUCAAAAUACAAUAGAAAUUCAUGACAUAUAUAUAAUAAAAGACCUCUCAUUGAGUCAUAUAUAUUGAGAAUAAAUUUUUUUUAAUACAUACAAAGAGCUUAGCUACAAUGAAAUGUCUUUGGACUUGCAAUGAUCAAACAAAGGAAACAGACAGGUUGCAACUCACACUAUCACAAAUGUAGCGACACGAUGCAGUGAAUCACAAGAAGAUCACGAAGAUGGAAACGGGAACCCCUCAGAAUGUAAACUUUGAAUAGAGGAAAAAAGAAAAACGACCUUAUUUCAAAUUGCGCACAGAAGAAGAGUGACUUAAAUCGUCAUCAGUAUCCAGACAUUCUGCAAUCAUAGAGUAGAGAAAUUUUAACAGGAACAGUGGAGAAAAUAUUAUGUAUAUGCUAGACCAAAUUAGUCCCUUUUUUGGUUUGUGAAAACUUGAUUUUUUAUGAAAUAUUUUCAAACAAUAUUUCCACAAUACACUUGUUGAUAGCCAACAUUUGAUGGUUUAAGGAUUUUUUAUGGGAACAAUGCACUGAUUACGUUUUUUUUUUUUAAUUUUUUUAAUGCGAUGAAUGAUAUUCAGCUGUUCUUUAAUUAUGUGUUCAUAGGGAAGAACAUUUUAUAAGUACUUUCCUUGCCUUCUAACUUUCCAAGGAAAUAUAGGUGUGAAGAAAAGCAAACCCAAUGAACAAACAGAACACAAACUAAAAUAAAAGAACAGCAAUGAUGAGAAUAAAUAAUUGGCAAAGAAAGAAUGGAAAAAGUAUGCACGUUUUCAAGGAAUUAUAAAAUACGAAGGCUUUUAAUGAAAUUUUAUCAUAAAAACGUACGCAAGGAGUUAUAAAAAUUUUAGAAGACGAAGGGAGCUCCCAAAAAAAAAAAAAAAGAAGAAAAAGACUCAAAUUAAACUAGACUAAAAAGACAUUCAAUUAUGCAAAAUCUGUCCAUAAAAGUCUGAAAGGAUCAUUAAAAUUGCAUUGCAAAUUUAACAGUAAACAGAGGGACCCAUUCUAAAUAAUUCAGAUGAAAUUGCGAAACAAGCCAUGGGAUUAAAUAAAUGAAAUAAAAAUUAAUUACCAGUUGAGACUUUCUUCUAAAAAUUCGCAACUCCAAGUCAUAAGAAGCCUAUGAAAUUAGUCGUACUGCGUAGAGUAUAUCGACGACCCCGCCAACAGCUGAAAAUAAAAUUCUUAUUCAUCAAUUUAAACUUUUACUUUAUAACAAACAUUUUAUUUAAAAAGAAAAAGCAAAUUUUGUAAAAAUUUAUCAUGGGAGAUAGAGAGUAAUAUGUAUAUCCGUACCUUCUCAGCAUGUAAUUGUUGUAUGGUUGUGUUUAGAUCAUUAUUAGCCCAACGCCGUUGAUUCAAUGUCUCUCCAUACUGGACGUUUACUCUCGGAGGCGUGAUUGAUUCUCCUGUAGUGAAAAUCUUCAUCUUGGGACAACCAGUCACUCCCAGAUAUUCCAAAGAUGGGAAUCUGAAGGUGUAAUUGGCAUAGCAGAAACUUGUGAGGCUAUCUAAAUCACGCAGAGCCAACGUCUUCAAUUUGCGGAAAACAAUCUCUUCUUUUUCAACUCCAUCUUUGUCAUUUGUUACCACCUCUGUCAUUGCUCUGCAUCCAUAUACUUGCACUUUGACGAGUUGCACUAGAGUUUUUGCUGUGGAAAAUGUUACCAUGUGUAACAAUUUCUUGCAACCGAAAGCUACAAGUUUUGUUAGGUUCCGAAAAGAUACCGAUGAUGAUGGCAAUAGAAUUAACAGACGUUGACAAUGAUAUACUCCUAGAAUUUCAAGAUACUGAAAAAUGGGGUCAAGUUUGGAGUCUUGUUUCCACAGCUGCUUCAGAUGAUAGUGCCGGUGCAGCUCUAAUGUUUUUAUCAUUGCCAACUUCCCCACAUGUUUCUCUAAGCUUCCUUCCUCCGAAAAUACCUCUUUGUUGAAUGCAAAAAAAGACAGUAUGAGUUUUUCAAGAUUGUGAAAUCUCUCAAGUACGUUCCAGAUUGGAAAACAAGCUGAGUUAUCUGAACCAAUCUCUAGUUCUCUAAGACUGCCAAAAAGGUGUUGUGGGAAAUCGGCCCGCAAAAUCAUCUCCACAUCUUUUCCACUUAGUGAUAGUUCCUUCAAGUUGGGUACGAUCUGAUCAUCAUCAAUCAUAAUAACUAAUGAGGUCAAUUGAUGUUCUUUCAAAUGAUUUUGAGUAAUCCAAUCACAAGCAGUGACUUUAUAGUAUUUAUUUUAUAUUAAUUUUACCCCUAAAAAAAAUGAAUUAGUGAUAAAAUUCAUUAUAUGAUUUUUUUUAUAUGUUAGUUUUAGAGGUAAUAAAGAAAUUAGGGAAAAAAACGAAAUUAUUUUAUUGCAUGAUAGUAAAUUACUAAUUUAUUUUGUAAGUUUUUCUGUAUGGAAAGACUAAGGAUUCUUUUAUAAAUGCUAUACCUAAAAAAGAUUAUUGUAUAACAAAAGUUUUCAAUUUAUUGAGCAUUAAUUUAUCGAUACUUUGUCAUAUUUUUCAAAGUUAAAAAUAAGCUAUAGAUAAAAAAUCUAGAAAAUGGCUUCAUACCUUUUCCAAUGGCAAUAGGGGCUGUUGUGCAGGAAUACCAAGUUGAAAAUCUGCAGCGAAUAUCUUUAAUUUGUCACAACCAUGCACUAAAAGAAUUUCUAGUGCGGGCCAUUCCGAAGUAUGCAUUCCAGGGUACAAACAUCUAAGUUUUGGUAGAUCUUGGAGUUUCAGAGUGGUGAGCUGUGGAAAGACAAAAUAAGGGAUCACUUGAUCUGCUCUGUUUUCAGAAAUGAUCUCCUGUAAAUCCUCACAGAAGCGUAUAUCUAGGUGUUGGAGCUGCUUAAGGCUUUCGAUCAUAGACGCUGAAAAUAUGUAUUUUAAUUUAUGACAACGCUGCACAGUCAAUCGUGUUAAAUUUUGAAAGCGAGGAAACAUGACCGGAAGAUGAUUGUAGUGCCAAAUCUUGUCGACAUUAAUUUCAGAUAUCUCCAAAGCCUCCAAGUUAGGCAACGCAACCUAAAAAAAAGAAGAAUUUCUCGUUAGAUCCAAUAUCCAUAUGGGAAGCACUUGUUGAAAUUUUCUUCUUUGAUUACAAAUUAAUGCAAAGUCAGAAUCAAUUUCCAACUGACAGCUGAGUAUGCAUUCUAAUUCAUACUACUUGUUAAGAGCUCAAUUAGUGAGCGCGUGAGAUUCUUUUUAUCCUUUUUUCCAUUUUCUUUCAAUUCUUUAAAUGAUUUAAUUAUUUUCCACGUAUGACAUCAAAACAAAACGCAUGAUAGAAUAAAGUCUGUUAUAUAUACAUAUAUAAAGAAAAUGUUAGCCUACGCACCUUCUCGUUGAAAAGCAGAGUUGAAAUGUCCAAAGUGAUUUCGCUGGUGCAAUACAUAGUCGUCGAUUCCUCUUGUGACGCUUGCCUGUUCGGUGAUGCUGAAGGAGUCUUCACCUCACGGCAAAAACUUGUAACCUCUGGAAGAUUCCCCAGACUCAAAGAUCUUAAUUGAGCAAACUCUAUCUUCUCAAUUGCAUUAUCAACUUCUUCCCCAAUUGCAAAAAUCUCUUUCAUCUUGCUGCAAUUAACAACUGCAAUUCUCUCAAGUCUUGGAAGGCAUUUUGUAGUAGAGAGCCAAAAGAUGUUACUCAACUUAUCACAAUUAUAUGCUUCUAUGUUUUUGAGUUGGUUGAAAGACUCUACUUUGAGCCGAUCAAUACAUAUCCUCUCCAUGUUGAUCAAAUUGUGAAGGAUAACUGACUCCAAAAGAGGAAAGGCAUCACAAGCGACCAUCUCCCUUGAAUCGACGAUACAAAAGAAGUCAGGAUUAUUUUGAACCCAGAGAAUCUUCAAUUGUGAAAAGCCCUCCGUGUCCAAAUUGAAAAGAACAUUCUCGAUGCCUUGCAGCUUGUCCAACCAUAAGCAUUCAACGUUAUUGAUGCCCUGCAAUUUCAUGGAGCAAAUGUCCAUAAAAUCAAGCUUGAGCUUCACUGCUCUUGAAAUCUUACGAUCUCUGUCGAUCAAAAAGUGCUGCCGACUUUUAAACCAAUUUUGUCCAGCAAUCAUGGGAUGUGUGAAUAACCCAUUUCCAAUAUGUAUUUUGAACCUUUCGAGCUUUCUGGCCAAAAAGCCUUCUGGUAACAUACUCUCAUUUUUAACAUCAAUUUCUAGAGUGGUUAGCCGAGGUAAAUGCAUCAAUUCAUCAAGGCUAGCAUUACUUCUUUUGCUGUUGGCUCUUUCAACCUCCCAUUCAAUGGAGCAAUUACACAUAUACAAUUCUUCUAAUCGGAUUAGGCUUGAUAUGACAUUUGGAACAAUAACUUUUAGAUGGAAACAGUCUGUCAAAUCUAACAGCCUUAGCUUUGUCAGUUGACCUAGUGCUUUAGGCAACUCUACAAUAUCAGACCGCACGAAGCUGAGGAUUUCUAGAUUUUCCAACUUUCCAAUAAUGGCUAUGUCUAUGCCUCCGAAAAUGCUUUGAUCAAGACAAAGUGUCUGAAGAUUUACUAGAAGACCAAUUGAAGAUGGCAAUGACAAUAACCGCAUUCCAUUAAAAUCCAAAACCCGAAGCUUUUUCGUCCUUUUGAAGAAGUUCUCAGGAAUAUUAGGCACAGCAAAAGAGUUCUUGGGAGACAUGAGUAGAAGUUCAAGUUGUAGAGAUUCGGACCCAUCAGGAAUGUCAUUAAUAAUACUAUCUUUUAAAGAAAUUGCAAGAUAUUUUUUUAAUUCAUCUGCAUUUGGCCAUUUCCAAUCAUCCUCAUUUCUCACCACAAAUCCAAUUUUGUCACGACAUGCAAUUGAAAUGGCAACAUCGCGAACAACGUCGUGCAUAGAAAAGUAUUUACUGCCACCAUCCUCAAGCAACAAACAAGAGUCUCUUAGUUGAUGGACCCAUGCAUCUAAUUUGUUAUGUGCAUCUUCUAGCUUAUGGACACUUUUAAAUACACCCAAGCCCAUGCUAUAUUUGAACAAGUCCAUAAUUGGUGCUGGCGUAAUAAGACUACACAGUAAAAAAGUUUUCUUGAGUUGCUCACCUCUUAAGUACUUGUAACUCAGCUCAAUUGUUGAGUAUGCCUCUGCUGGUACUCCUUCGUCGAAGCUUGCCUCUGAAGGCGUUUGGAGUUCUUGCAAGGCAUUCUUCCACACAGGCAGCUCUUUUUUUCUCAGUGCCUUUGCUACUGUGGUUAGGGCAAUAGGCAAACCUCCGCAUGCCUUGGCUACACUUGUUGCUGUAGAUUCUAAUUCACGAUUUUCCACAUAAUCACCUGCCAUUAUCUUGAACAAUCUCCAGGCUUCUUGUUCAUUUAAAAUGCCAAUCGAGAAGUUUUUUUCAGAUUCCAUCCUUAACAGCACAUCGAGAUCUCUUGUUGUGAAUAAUAAUUUGCAUCCUCUGUGCUCAACUCCAAAAGGAAUUCCAAUAGUCCCCAAAUCAAGAGGUUUCCAGAUGUUAUCCAGAAUCACAAGGAUCUUCUUCUCAUUCUUCAAUCUUUCAUAUAGUCUACUAGCUCUUCUAGACUCAGCUUCCUCGGACAACUGUAGGCCUAACGUUUCCGCAAUUUCCUCUUGGAUCUUUUUUAUGUCUGGACUUUGGGUAACCUCCGAAAAAGCCACCAUAUCGUAAAGCUUGUCUUCAAUGGCUCGCCUUGCAAACUCCUUCACCAGUGUCGUCUUUCCAAUGCCGCCCAUGCCGUAGACCCCAAUGAUGCUGACAUCAACAUCGAUCAAUGCAUUUUGAAUGGCCUUCAAAGUAGAAAGUCUUGAUUCGAAGGCCUCGCAGCCUUUGUGAGACUUGAGCCAUAUAUCCUCCGGAAUGGUACGGUAGGAAAUUCUAUCAUCAAAUUUCCCAGCUUCUUCUUUGAGUUCAACAAUGGCCUUCACCUUUGUUUCUGCUUCCUUGCUAAGCUGAUAGCCGGACUUCAAAUUAGGACACAAGCCCAUGAGACAUCGUUUAUUUGUUGUCACCUCAUCGUCAAUGAAUUUGGCUGACUGCUCAAUGGUGUUGUUCGCACGAACCAGCCACUUCUCAACCUUCUCUUCAAUCUUUUCCCCUUUUCUUUCAGCCUCAGAAACCCUGUGCUGAAUGCUUCUCCUUUCAUCCUUGAGCUUGUCUAUUUCUGCCUUGAGAUUCUCAACGUUGGCUUUAUAGUUACGCAAAUAACCAAAUCGGCGUUCUGUAGGAGGAGCCAAGCAUUUCACAAAUUCUAAAACAACAGUAACAAUGCUUUCCACCAUCCUGGAUCCCUUUUUUUUUUUUUUUUUUCAAAGUUCUGACAAGAAAAUAAACAACGAGCGAAACAUAGAGAGAGUGAAAAAAAAAAAAAAAAAAGCGAAACAACGAAGAUGGACAGUUUAUCCUGUUGUGGAAGCGGAGAAAUGAAAGAAAGAGUAAAAGCUGUUAUGGAUCUGGUGAGAAGAUGGAAACAAGGAAAAGGUUUCUAGUUCGAGAACUGAUUGAAUUAAUAUAAGGAAUGAUUUAGAUAAUAGAGGCGUAGGGAACCAAUCAGAAUAACUGAAGUAUUGACCAGAAGAAAGACGGAAAAAAUAUUGACUGGUAAUAGAGAUGGAAAAAAUGAAGAUAUCUUGACACGGUAGAAGUACAAAGGGUAGAUAUGGAACCAAACAGAGACAACAGCAGACCACAACAAGAUUGGGAAUGGACAGAAACUAAUUAACAAAGACUGGAGAUUACAACAAAACAGAUGCCAAGAGAAAACUUGAUCCAGUGAAAUUCAAGAGAGCUGACAACAAAAACUGAUACUACUUGAUUGGGAAUUGAAGGCAAAGAGUAGGAGCUGAUGAAUACGGGGAUCAAGAGGGAAAAACUGCUUGCUCGUAAAACUACUUUCAAGCGAAUCUGAUAAAAUUAUUUCAGUACUCGUGGGCGACUCCUUUUUAAACUGCAGAAGGAGAAAAAAGAAAUGUUCUGAAUUUCAAUGUAUUAAUUUUUAUCCUAAUUUAUGUUGAGACUCGUAAUCUCGUCUCAAUGAUUAAUUAGUAGAUAAUCUUUUUAACAAGUAUGUGAUGAAUAGAUAUAUUUCUUGACUAUUAGUAGGUUAGAUAUAUUUUAGCAUAGGAAUGAAAGUACAAGUUGUGUCAUAUUAGAAUACAAAUUUGACCUAAAAAUAUUGUUCUAUGACCUUUUAAUUAUUUGUCAGCUAAUAAUUAAGUCAUAUAAAAAAAAUAAUAAUCUGAAUUAGUCUUUAAGUAUUAUAAAUAUUUCUUGAUUUUUAAUUAUAAUAUCAUUAUUUAAAAAUAAUUGCUUGACUUACAUAGUAAGUCAAUAAAAUAUCUAACAAUAGUGGUCAUAAAACAUGUGAUCCUCAAUCAAUGAAAUAUCUAACAAUAUCAUCACCUAAAGUUUGAGAUAUGUUAUCCUUAUUCCACUGCGUCAAUUACACUCCAGUCAAAUGCUGCCAUCAUUAUUGAACAGUCGACAUCCACCAGUUCUAAUUGCCAAAACUUAGAACUAAACAGUAGCUCGGUCAGAAAAUCAAACGCCAGUACCGGUCAAAUGACCGAUAAAAAUAUAAAGAAAUAAAAAUUUUAAAGUUUUACUUUAUUGCUUUUUUAAUCUUAUUACUAUUUCGGGUAAUUUUUACUUUCCUCCCCUCAGCUUUGGACUUUUUGCACUUAGAUGGUCAAGAUACAUUUAUUAGUAAAGACCUCCCUACCGUCAGUUAAUUUGUAGUUGACUGUUAGUUGAAUUCAAAAAGACUGAAAUACCCCCAAUUGGAUUUUCAAGACUGAACAUGCUAUACAUUUGGCGCGAAAACUAUAACAACCAUAAUAUUACCAUUAUACCCCUUCAAAUUGGGUUAUUUACAAUUGCAUUCAACAAAUAAAAUGAUAAUUCUAUUUGGGUAAUUAUCACUGUUGCAAUUUGACCGUUGGAUCCGAAUGGUCACAUUGCCACAGAUUUGCCUAUUUAAAGGCUUAAAUACAGAGCUUUGUUCACAAGCAUCUCUACCUCUUCUUAACACUUUGCAAACUCAACUACAUUUCUCUCAAUCUUUCAAUCUCAACAACAUGGAUUCAGAGGGCUCAAGUGCAGUAACUAACAAGAAGAAUAGAUAUAAUAAAGGCAGUAUGAAAUGGAGGAGUCAAGUUAAUGGAAAUCUGAUCAAGUUUAGGAACUUGAAAUGUGAUUGCAGAGUACGUGCUGCUGUUCGAAUUUCAGAGACUGAAGAUAAUCCAAACAAGCUAUUCUACAACUGUCCUUAUGAUGCCUGUGACUUUUUCCAGUGGUGUUGUCCAGAACCAAGUGAUUUCGACAAUGGUGCAUUCUUUGAAGGUCAUAGAAGUUUUACAGUAGCACAACAACAAGUGCAGGUAGAACUUGAAGAAAUACUAAGUGCCCUGAAUGAAGUGAAGAUUAUACUGAAAAAAACUUAUCAAACUCAAAAUGUUUGUGACCAAGACUUAAGUGAUGUGCAUAAACUCACUUCAAAGAAAACCGAACAAGGUGGGGUGAUAUGUGGGCUGCUGAAGGCUGUGCUCUGUUUGAAUGCCUUUUUUUUUUACUGAGUGUUCUUGUGGUUAUUUUCCUGAAGUGAUUAACCUAAAUUACUAGCAUGAAUUUUGUAAUAAGUUGUACUCUAACUACUGGAAUGAGUAAUGAUAAGAUGAAAAUUUAAUGAACUUGUAAUGCUCUAUUUUUAGAAUGCUUAUCUUUGCUAACUAAGUGUAUAUAAUGUGAAGUAUCCUGUUUGAUUUGAGCAUAUGGCCUAGUCUUCAAUACUGCAUUUCCUAUGUAAUAACUUAACAUAAGCAUUCUGUACAUAUAGCUAAAAAUUAAAGGGAUUACAAUACUUUAGUUAUAAUAAUAUCUAUUAACAGUAGCAAAAUUAACUUGUGAGUUAAACUUUAACAGCAACAAGCAAACCAAUCCAGAACGAGUGAGAAGAGAAUCUAUUAAUUGCAUUCCAGCAUUAAAAUUCUUAAGCAGUAUCAUACAUAGUUACAUUCAAGCAGCUGUCACAAAGCAUGAAGCAGUUGAAUAUAAAUAGCUUCUGGUAAACUCAUGUAUAAUUUCCAGGUAUUAACCAAGCAAGCUUAUCAUAUUACUUGUCUUUGGCAUCACAAUAAUAUCAUGUACAAAAAACAAACUAACAAAAGGCUCAAACCUAUAGUCAGUCUGAGUAAAAGAUGAUACACCAGCUCCAUUCUUCUGCCCAUGACAAGAUGUUGUAUCAUCUGAUCCCUUCAAAAAAUUAGUUAGUGGGAAUAGUCUUGAUCUGCUUCUCAUGCUGGAUGCUAUCACUUUAAUGGUUUCAUUCUUGAGUAACAUGUCCUGGCAUGAAUAAAACAAACACUUACAUAUGAAAAUUAAAAAAAAUAGAUGUUGAUUACUAAAAUUAUUUAAAGAAUCGUGAAUAAAACUCACCAUUGUCAUGGACAGUAGGCUGAGAUAGUGCACUGCAAGCAACCCUUUGAGUUAUAGGCUGAUUAGAAUUAGAAGUGCCUUCACCAUUCACAACCUAUGCCACACCCAUUACAUCAUAAGCAAUUAAAUUAAUUAAAUUUAACUACUAAAUGAAAGAGAGAUGAUAAUUAACCUGUUUGCUAGAUACUUUAGUUCUUUUGCAGGUUCUCUUGUUAUGACCCCAAUGCUCACACUUAGAACAUUUGACACUUGAACUCCUCUUGAAUGUAGCUGGUUCAUCAGCUUCUUUCCUCCUCUUGAUCUGUGGCCGGCCAACAGACUUGAUAAUUAUAGGUGGCUGCAAAUUAUCAUGUAGAACCAGUGGCCACAUCUUCUCAUCAGGUAAAGGAAAGUAUUGAUACUUGUAGGUGUUGAUAAAAGCUGGACAUUUCAGAUAAUUAUGGAUAUAAUCUUCAAUGUUGAGCCUUUUUGCAUCAAUGGAACAAACACUAUGCUUACAAGGUAAGCCGGAUAUCUGCCAUUCCCUACAAUUACAAGUUUUUUUACCUAAAUCUACUACGAAUACUUUACAGAGAUCUUCCAUCACUUCGAAGGUGUUUUCAUGACCAAAUAUUACUGUUAAACCUCUCGCUGCAGCUCUUGCUUCCACAAUCUUUCUCCUAACAAGAGGUGGUAGAUGUCCAUUCCAUUUCUUUGCAUCCUCAUUCCUUUUAUGAAUAAGUUUCAUGAUCUUUCUCCUUAUCUCUUCGAGCAUCCUAACAAUAGGCAUGCCUCUAAAACUGUUAAUCCAGUUAUUGAACGAUUCAGUCAUGUUAUUGGUCACAUGAUUGCACUUGGUGUGGUUAGGAAAAGUGUGUUUAGCCCAAUAUACAGUUGGAAUGUUCAUGAGCCACCGGUGAGCUGCAUCGCUGAUUUUCUUCAAUUCCUCAAUGCUUUCACUGAAUUCUGAGUAGUUUGGACUUCUACAUGCCUUCCAAAAGACCUUUUUCAACAAAGUGCCAGGAAACUUUUGCUUGAAAUUGGCAUAAAUAUGCCUACAACAGUAUCUUUUGAUUGCAUUAGGAAACACUCUAUCAAUUGCAUUGAUCACUCCUUUUUGUCGAUCACUCAUGAAACAUAGGCCUUCUCCACCAUUACAACCAAUCUGGUCAUAUAGCUUUUCCAUGAAAAACUCCCAAGAGUAAGUGUUUUCACUCUCUACUACACAUAAGGCUAGUGGAUAUAUACCAUAAUUAGCAUCAAUCCCAACUGCAGUCAAUAAAACUCCUUUAUAUGGCCCUUUUAGAUGGCAGCCAUCAACCCCUACAAACUGCCUACAGCCUUCAAAAAAACCUCUCCUACUUGCAUCAAGCAUCAUGAAAAAUCUUUUAAAUACUGGGUGAGCUGUAUCUCCAUUCAAUUCCCUCUCAAUAGCUACUGUGGAUCCAGGGUUAUACUUUAUCAAAGCUUGUUGGUAUCUACUCAGUUUGCUGUAACUUUUCUUGUGAUCUUGGCCAAGUAAUUCAAGUGCUUUUUGUUUUGCUCUGUAUAACCUAUGCACACUGCACUCAAUGCCAUACUUUUUCAAAAGCUCAGCUGCUAUUAACUUGACACUGACUUCGGGAGUUGACUUGAAGAUAUGAAGAUAAGUGGCUGCAAUCCAGGUUGAAGUAGCUUCUCCGUUAUCAUCAUCAAUCCCACCACAUGUAUGAACAUCACAUAGGGUCUUAAUUUGAAAUGAGUUGCUGUUCCAGUUUGGACUAGCAUGAAUUCUCCAUGUACAUCCUGACUUAGCACAUCUAGCUGUCACUCUGGCUUUUUCAUUUUUAAGUCUAUACAAUCUGAAGCCAUUUCUGAUGGCAUAUACCCUCAACACCUUCCUAAACUCAUAAACAUCUACAAACAACUGACCAGGCCGUAGAACAAGGUUAUCUCCAUCUUGUGUGAACUCAAAUCCACCUGAAUUGGUGUCAUAUCUCACACAAGCAGCAAUUUCCUCAUCAGACGAAUCAAAUUCAUCACCAGUCUCAUCACCUGACUGAUAAUCAUCAAGAACAUAGUCACUUUCUUCACCAUCUGAUCUUGCAUUCUCUUCAUCACUUUCUUCACCAUCUGAUUUAGAAGUAUAAAUUGUGUCAGUUGAACCUUUGCCAUUUUUCCCAGAAUUCUCAGAGCUAAAGUGUACUGUCAUAUCAUCUUCGAGUAAAUAACCACUCCGAAUACUGAAUUGCGUCAUAUUAUUCUCAUUGUUAAUUUCUUCAACAUCAUCUAGUUCAUUCCAAUUAAUUUCAGGAUCGACAUUGAGGUUGACAGAAAACUGAUUUUCAGGAGUUAUCUCAGUCACCUUGCCAUCAACUACUGCUUCAACAUCAUAAUGCACAACACUGUAAUGCAAUAAAACAACAUAAAUAAAUGCUAUUAAUGUUAAAGAAAAAGCUAAAAUUUAGUAAAUAGAAAAUGCAAAGUGUAGUUGACUGGUAGUAGCACACAAAUGCAGCAUAUCAUCUAUUUCAAGCUUAUUAAAACCCACUUUAAAAAUUACAUCAUGAAUAUUACCAUAUGCUUGCAAAUGCAUAAUCAACCGUAACAUAAGCUAAAACCAUAUGCUUGCAAAAUACCCAAAAUGGUGUUGGAAAAUUUAUUCUCGAUUUUAUGUUUCACAGUUCCAUAAACAUUAUCAAAGAUGUGUCAAUGAACAAAUAAUGAAGCAUAAACUUGACAUUUACAAACAACUCACCAUAAUAUCAAUACGCUCUAAAUGGAGCAAAAAAAAAAAAAGCUUGAUUCAAAACUAACCUAUAAUUAAUUUCAACAUACCGAUUCAAAUCUUUCGAGCAUCGGUGAAAUUCAGAGCGGGACAUGAUGCAGAUUUAGUGUUUCUUCUUCACUUCACCCAAAUAAUAGAUACUGCUUUGCUAGAAAUUAAAAAAAAAAUUUCCUUCUCAACAGAGCUUUCGUCGUCUGAGCUUCAUGAAACUCAGCUUCAUGAAAGAGAAACGUGCAGUUUCAGAGAAAAGAGAAAAAGUUUUAAGCUUUGAUUCUUUUACAGUUUUUUAUUUAUAUCAAUUAUCACAAGGCACGAUUUUUUUCACAAUGAUUUGACAAUUCACUGGGCUCAUGUCAACUAAAAUGUGUAAAAGUUAGCUUGUCAAAUUAAAUUACUAAAUUGCCCAUAACUAACCAUAUGAGAUUUACCGUUUGCAUUCCGUAAGGGGGUUUUUACUAAUAAAUGAAUCUUGGCCAUCUAAGUGCAAAAGACCCAAAGCUCAAGGGAGGAAAGUAAAAAUUACCCUUACUAUUUCUCGUUGCACUUAUAAAGAAACCAAAGCUUUAAGAGAAAUCGGCCAAAUCAUGAAGAUUGAAGAGUAAAUCUAUGGUUUUAUAUUUAUAUUUUUAUUUUUAGAUAAUAGAUAUUAUUUUGAUGAAUUUUUAAUAUUAGAAUAAUGUUAGGAAUUUCGAUAGUAGAAUUCUAACUUGAGACCCAAUUGUUAUGUGUCAUUUUUUUAUUAGAUAAUAAAUUUCAUAAUUAGUAAAAUUAAUAUUUCAAUCAUCUAAUAAAUGACUAUCAUAUCAGUUGAGACUUAAUUAUUGGGAUCCUUAACAUUGCUCUUAGUAUUAAAUUGGACAUCUUAGCUAAAUCAGAUUAAAAAUCAAAUUAGAUUUUUGGCUUUUAUCCAACAUUUGUUUUUUGGUCUCUUUGUAGUGAACGAAAUAAAAAUACAACAGGUUCAACGACUGGGCAAUUGAUAGUCAAGUAGAAGCAAAUCAAGGCUAAAUGGGAAAGAAAAAUGAUAUGUGUACAAAACAAGGAGAAAAUCCGUGUAACUGAAGAGAAUCAAAGUGCUUUUGAGAUUAGAAAUUGAAGCAAGAAAAGGGUCGCUUGAUCCAUUGAAAAUGCUAAGAGCCAAUGGCAAAAGAGAACAAUGUUAAAUAAGAAAACAGCUAGCGCUAGCAGCGACCACAAUAGACAGAAAAGUUGAGAUGGAUUUACAAUAUUUCUGCCUUUCUUCAUGCUUUAACAAAUAUUGCUCUAUAAAAAAAAAUAUUGAGCGUUUUUAUUAUUGGAGUCACAAAAGACCUACACAAUAUAGCAAGUGCUAGGAAUAAAUAAGAAUAUAUAACUCUCUCUCUAAUUCUCACUCUAGCUUUUAAUUGUCAUUCAAAACCCAAAAUUCAUCCUUAAAGUGUAAGCAAAUCAAAGAUGACAGCGUCUGGUUGUCAUACGUGCCUUUUAGUUUUCGGAUGACAUGGCGUACACUUCUUCUGUAAACCGAACAUGACAUGUCGUACUCUUUGUUUUGAGAUCAUAUUUCAAACUCUUCAUGCUAUGAAUGUAAGAUAAACUACAAUCAUCAAAAUAUUUAGUGUUUAUUUGGUAAUGUAACGUCAUAGUUGUUGUGAAUUGAAAUUAUUUCUGUGAGAUAAAAGGAUUUGGGUCAUUGUUUGUUAUUCUCUGGCAAUAUUGUCUGGCCGUGACUAUUUGUUAAAUAUUAAAAAAAUAAAAUUAUAUUUAUUAAGUAUAAAAAAUAAAUAAACAAACAAAAAUAAAAGGAAAAGUUUAUACAUUACAUAAAAUAAUAAGAACAUUAUCAAUAUUUCACACUCUAUAAUUGAGUGAUGUGUUGUCCAACUGCCAUACAUUGGUCUCAAAUGGAGACUUAAAUAUUAAAGUCCAAAGUUAUUGUGAUGAUGACUUAUAAUCGCCAAACUUGACAUACNNNNNNNNNNNNNNNNNNNNNNNNNNNNNNNNNNNNNNNNNNNNNNNNNNNNNNNNNNNNNNNNNNNNNNNNNNNNNNNNNNNNNNNNNNNNNNNNNNNNNNNNNNNNNNNNNNNNNNNNNNNNNNNNNNNNNNNNNNNNNNNNNNNNNNCUGGAAGUUGCCAUUUGCCAAUGCUACUAACAUUUUUAAACUUAGAAAACCUUCAAUCAAUCAUUUAGUGGUAGGCUCUGGUAGCUUGCUUUGAUUAUGACAUAUGAUUAUUUGAUAAUAAAGUUAGAGGAUGUAUUAAUAUAAAAUUUGUUUAUUGGUGUUGAAGUUAAUUAUCUCAUUAAUAAUAGUAUAAAAAGUUAAUCACUAAGAAACACAUAGCAAUAUUCUGGGAUAUAAUUUUAUAUCAUAACUUUGUAAGUGUAUAAUUACUCAUUAAAUUAACAAAAUUAUUUUAAAAUAUUUAGUUAAAAAAAUAAAUUAUAUUCUUUUUAUUUCAAAUAAUCUAUAAGUUAACACAAAACAUAAUCAAGAUGAGAAUUAAAAUAAUGCUACUGUAUGAGAGGAUUUUUAUUUUUUCCCGAAGUUUCACUAGGAAAUUAUUGAUAUAUAGCUUUAUUCGGAUCAUCUCAGAUCAAACGACAAAUAAUUGAAAGACUAAACUAAAUAGACCAGCCAACAACUUUGUACAGCAGAGUUCAAAAAUUAAGGUCAUGGUAUUGAGGUGUUCUAUCUUCAAAAGUACGGUAUAGUGAUAAAAUAAAAACUAUUAGUCUUUGGUAAGAUAUGACUUUUAAAUAAUAAUUUUCACAAAAAUACAAAGAAUAUUUAUAAAGUACUUCUAUAGUGAGGAGACCCUCGCUUUGUUAAAGUGAAAAUAUCAAUAAUAUACAAGAAACAUAUAUUUUAACACAUUAAGAAUUGUAUCUUUUUAAUCUAUUGGUGUAUUGAAAUAUGUGUUAUUUAGUUUGUUAGUGAUAUCAUCACUUUGUUAAAAUAAGGAUGUCAGAACCAUUAUAUAUAAGAAAGCAAAUAUAUUUUGUACGGUAUAAUAGUGUAAUAACAUCACCCGAGUAUAUCAUAUAGAGUAAUAGUUUUUGGAACUUUAAUAAAGUUCAAGAUUAUAGAAUGAAUGAUUUAUAUAUAUUUUAAAUUUUUUAUCAUAAAGUGGAGGACAAAAGUAACAUAUUUUUCAAAUUAUAAUAAGUAUUUAUCAAAUAAUUUAACAUCGUAAUUUCUCCUAACUAGUGUAGUAAAUACGACCUAGGAGGUACAUUCAAAGCAUUUCAUAAGUUAAUUGUUAAUAAUAAAUGAUACAUGCAGCUCCAAUCAUCAUUGUACGGUGAGUAAUUUCCAGUUAUAAAUAGAUAUUACUCCCUUCCCAGCAAUUUUUGAUGGCUUAAUUUAGUGGGAUCAAAAUCAACAUUGAAUGUCAAAAUAUUAAUGGCCAUGAUGCUUAUUCCAAUGUGAGUAGAUCACAGUGGGUACUGCACAUGAUGCUUGUUUCUCCUUUUGCAUCUAUUUUUGUUGUUAACAUUAAUUUCAAUACCAGCUCGUUAUGUAUGCAACAUUUCAAAAUUAAUCCAAAAGAACAAAAAUUAGUUCAGCUGACUAAAUUUGAAAGCAUGUAUUUGCUGUCGAUUAAAAAUCGUUUUGUAGGGAAAAUUUUUGGAUUGCAAUUCUCAUACAAUACGUAAAAUUAUCAUAAUCUAUAAAUUGUAUUUUUGAUUUUCUGUGGUAGUAAGUUAGACUCCUUAGUGACGAUUUAAAUUGAAAAAAUAAAAUCAUAAAUAAGAAUUAUUUGACAAGAAUUAAAAUAAUUGAUAAAUAUUUGAGAGGAGCAAUUUUGGAAGAUUCGAUUUCUAAUCGGAGGGGAAUUUGAAUUUUACAGCCUUCGGUGAGGAAUCCAAAAUGCACAAUUUGAUGAAAAUUAAAUUUCAAUAGAAAUUGAAUUCCCUUUAUUAGUGAAAACCAAACAACAGAAAAGUGAAAGGAAUUUGAAUUCAUUUCCUUCCUCUCUUCUCCCUCCAACUAAAUACCAUCGAAAUCCAAAGGUAUGGGAUUGGGAUUCCAUACUGAUCAGAAUGGGAUUUGUUCAUAUUAUUAGGACCAAUUUUAAAAGCAGUCGGAGUUUCGGAGUUUAAGAUUGAAAUUAAUCCCAAUUGUUGAUUUGGGACUCGAUAAGAAUUUAUCUUGGAACUCCAAUUCUCCCAAUUAUUUUAGUUGACAAUAUGUUUAACAUUAUUUUUUAAACAUUAUUAAUUGCAUAUUAUUUAAUUAUCAGUAUAUAAUAUUCUUUAAUUUUCUAAUUUUAUAGGAUUAGACACAAAAUUGAUUAUGCCUUUUGAAAUUUAAGUGUUAUGUCAAUUGAAUAGAAAACUUGGAGUAAAACUUUUGGAUGCUUUUGUUGAUUAUCAAUUUAUGCAUGAAUUUUUGUACGUUUAUUUUGGUUUCUUAUUAUUACUUUUAAACAUUUUUAUUGGUUUGAUUUAGGGUUAGUUUGGUAAUCCUGUAUCUUUAAAAUUAAUUACAGUUAGCUAUGCUGUAGAAAUUGAUAAAUCGUGAAAAGAAUCAACCGAACAUUUAGGUGGCGUUUGUUUUUUUGUCUGAAAUCUGAAUAGACCUGAAUUAGUCUGAAUUCUGAAUAGGUCUGAAUGUCUGAAUCUGAAUAAUAUGUUUGUUUUUUCGUCUGAAUCUCGGAAAAUAAGUAUUAAGUUGUUUUUUUUUUCAACUUAAAAAGCUGAAAAUAUGUACUUUUACAUUUGUAUCCUUAUUAAAUUUGAAUGUCAAAUAAAUAAUAUAUUAAAUACCAUAAUAUUUUAACAUUUAUAAGUAAAACUAUAUUCAAGUGAAUACAUAAUUAUUUUGGAAUUUUAAUAUAUAAAAUACCAUAAAUUUCAAAUUUUAUUGUAUAUAAUAUAAGAAAGAAAAAAUAGGGAUAUUUUUAUGUGAGGUAAAUAUCUAUGGGUGAGUUUUGGGAUAGACAUGAAAAAUAAAUUAUAAAACAGGGAUAUUUUUUACAUUAGCAAGCAAUUGACUUAAUUCAUAUUUCUCCAUUAAGUAAAAAGCCAAAAAAAUUAGCUUAUUUUAUUAAGUCAAAAUUAUCUAAAAAGUCUCAUUAAGUUAUAAAAACAAACACGUCUAAUUAACUUAAUUAAUUAAGUUAAGUCACUUUAAGUCAUUAAGUUAAAAAACAAACACCACCUUAGUAAAUUUUAUUUUAAAAAGUACAUUUAGUUUUAAAAUCAGUCGUAUGUGUUUCAUAAAUCUUAUUGUUAAAUCAGUGCAAGAAUGUAAAUGACUGAAUCAGACAUAAUGCUAAAUAAAAUUUAUUUAGACAUUUACAAACACGUAUAUAAAAUAUUUUUAUUACGUACAUAUAAUUAUUGAUAACUAAAAUAAAUAUUUUAUAUUAUUAAAUUUUAUUCUCUAUUUUGUUAUGUCCAUAUAAUUGGUAAUAAUAAUAAUUUCUUUAAAGUUUUGUAGGGAAAAUUUUUAGAUUGCAAUUCUCAUACAAUACAUGGAAUUAUCAUAAUCUAUAAAUUGUAUUUUUGCUUUUCUGUGGUAGUAAGUCAGGCUCCUUAGUGACAAUUUAAAUUGAAAAAAUAAAAUCAUAAAUAAGAAUUAUUUGAUAAGAAUUAAAAUAAUUGAUAAAUAUUUGAGAGGAGCAAUUUUGGAAGAUUCGAUUUCUAAUAGGAGGGGAAUUUGAAUUUUACAGCCUUCGGUGGGGAAUCCAAAAUGCACAAUUUGAUGAAAAUUAAAUUUAAAUAGAAAUUAAAUUCCCAUAUAUUAGUGAAAACCAAACAACAGAAAAGUGAAAGGAGUUUGAAUUUCAGGGUCCAACUACAAUACCUGCGGGGUUUGGUACCCUAUUUUUUGUCUUUUUCAAACCUACCGUUGGAUUUAAUGUAAGAAUUGCGUAAUGGCUGAGAUGUGAUUAUUGGGUUAUUAACAUCAAAGACCCUUAUUGUUCAUGCAAAAUAAACAAAAUCAAAAGUUUUGAAAUUUGACAUAUAAGUCCAUAAUAUUCUCUCUUUUUUUUUUAACUCCAUUGAAAUAGGUUUCCAAUUAAAUGACUUAUUCUUACAUUUAUUAAUAUCUAUUUAAAUUAAUUAAUUAAUUAAUUAAUUAAUUAACUACUUUGUUAUAUAGUUAAACAAUGCAUGUAUAUUAUUUACUAACCAUAAUUAGUGAUAAGUAUAAAUAUGAUCUUUUUUUUUUAAUUUAACAUAAUGGCAACCAAUUAUCUCUCACCUAUGUGAACAAGGUUCAAAACCCAUAAUUUUGUUUUUCAACACAAGAGAUUUUAUUAUCUCAAGUAGAUGAAAUAUACAAAAUACAAAAAUAAACUUAAUUUCAUAUUCUAUGUAGUUAAUUUUUUUUGUAACAUAAUAUUUAUUAAACAUACUAUCAACUAUUUAAUUAUAUAGUAAAAAUAUGUUAAUUUACUAAUAAUAAUAAAAUGUUAGUUUAUUAACUUGUAAAAUCUUUUUGUUAACAAUGAGUUUUUGUCCUUAAAUAAAUAAAAAUAAUUUAAUUGCACGCUUAAAUAAAUUGGUAUUUGUUACUCCACCCCAACUAUUUAAAUAGUCAUUAACUUAUCGGAGAGAAGGGUAAAAAAAUUCUAAACAAUUACUCUAUUUGAAAAUAAUUUAAAUAUUUCUUUAAAAAAAACUAAAAAUAAGUAUUUUCUAUUCUUUCUUCUUUCUUGCUAACAUCACAGAUGGAUAACAAUAGAGAUGGCAAUUCAACACAUAUCUAUCAAUUAAAAUAGAAGUCAAUUAAUAUAAUUAAGUGAAUAAUUAAUUGUGUCAUGAAUGAAUUAUCAUAUUAGGAGUUUUAAAACCAAACCCAAUAGAAUUAUUAAUCAAGUUAACAGCUAGAAAGAGCAAACAAAUCCAUUCAAGUUGGAUGUCUAAGUAUCUGAUCUGAAUAGAUUGGAUAGUAUCCAUAUAAAAUACUCUGAAUUUGAUUUAUUCAAUAUCCAUCCAUGAACUUGAAUAUUAGUAAUAUUUAAGUGUAUGAGACUAAAAUUAAGUAUUAUAUUUAAUAUUUAAGUUUNNNNNNNNNNNNNNNNNNNNNNNNNNNNNNNNNNNNNNNNNNNNNNNNNNNNNNNNNNNNNNNNNNNNNNNNNNNNNNNNNNNNNNNNNNNNNNNNNNNNNNNNNNNNNNNNNNNNNNNNNNNNNNNNNNNNNNNNNNNNNNNNNNNNNNNNNNNNNNNNNNNNNNNNNNNNNNNNNNNNNNNNNNNNNNNNNNNNNNNNNNNNNNNNNNNNNNNNNNNNNNNNNNNNNNNNNNNNNNNNNNNNNNNNNNNNNNNNNNNNNNNNNNNNNNNNNNNNNNNNNNNNNNNNNNNNNNNNNNNNNNNNNNNNNNNNNNNNNNNNNNNNNNNNNNNNNNNNNNNNNNNNNNNNNNNNNNNNNNNNNNNNNNNNNNNNNNNNNNNNNNNNNNNNNNNNNNNNNNNNNNNNNNNNNNNNNNNNNNNNNNNNNNNNNNNNNNNNNNNNNNNNNNNNNNNNNNNNNNNNNNNNNNNNNNNNNNNNNNNNNNNNNNNNNNNNNNNNNNNNNNNNNNNNNNNNNNNNNNNNNNNNNNNNNNNNNNNNNNNNNNNNNNNNNNNNNNNNNNNNNNNNNNNNNNNNNNNNNNNNNNNNNNNNNNNNNNNNNNNNNNNNNNNNNNNNNNNNNNNNNNNNNNNNNNNNNNNNNNNNNNNNNNNNNNNNNNNNNNNNNNNNNNNNNNNNNNNNNNNNNNNNNNNNNNNNNNNNNNNNNNNNNNNNNNNNNNNNNNNNNNNNNNNNNNNNNNNNNNNNNNNNNNNNNNNNNNNNNNNNNNNNNNNNNNNNNNNNNNNNNNNNNNNNNNNNNNNNNNNNNNNNNNNNNNNNNNNNNNNNNNNNNNNNNNNNNNNNNNNNNNNNNNNNNNNNNNNNNNNNNNNNNNNNNNNNNNNNNNNNNNNNNNNNNNNNNNNNNNNNNNNNNNNNNNNNNNNNNNNNNNNNNNNNNNNNNNNNNNNNNNNNNNNNNNNNNNNNNNNNNNNNNNNNNNNNNNNNNNNNNNNNNNNNNNNNNNNNNNNNNNNNNNNNNNNNNNNNNNNNNNNNNNNNNNNNNNNNNNNNNNNNNNNNNNNNNNNNNNNNNNNNNNNNNNNNNNNNNNNNNNNNNNNNNNNNNNNNNNNNNNNNNNNNNNNNNNNNNNNNNNNNNNNNNNNNNNNNNNNNNNNNNNNNNNNNNNNNNNNNNNNNNNNNNNNNNNNNNNNNNNNNNNNNNNNNNNNNNNNNNNNNNNNNNNNNNNNNNNNNNNNNNNNNNNNNNNNNNNNNNNNNNNNNNNNNNNNNNNNNNNNNNNNNNNNNNNNNNNNNNNNNNNNNNNNNNNNNNNNNNNNNNNNNNNNNNNNNNNNNNNNNNNNNNNNNNNNNNNNNNNNNNNNNNNNNNNNNNNNNNNNNNNNNNNNNNNNNNNNNNNNNNNNNNNNNNNNNNNNNNNNNNNNNNNNNNNNNNNNNNNNNNNNNNNNNNNNNNNNNNNNNNNNNNNNNNNNNNNNNNNNNNNNNNNNNNNNNNNNNNNNNNNNNNNNNNNNNNNNNNNNNNNNNNNNNNNNNNNNNNNNNNNNNNNNNNNNNNNNNNNNNNNNNNNNNNNNNNNNNNNNNNNNNNNNNNNNNNNNNNNNNNNNNNNNNNNNNNNNNNNNNNNNNNNNNNNNNNNNNNNNNNNNNNNNNNNNNNNNNNNNNNNNNNNNNNNNNNNNNNNNNNNNNNNNNNNNNNNNNNNNNNNNNNNNNNNNNNNNNNNNNNNNNNNNNNNNNNNNNNNNNNNNNNNNNNNNNNNNNNNNNNNNNNNNNNNNNNNNNNNNNNNNNNNNNNNNNNNNNNNNNNNNNNNNNNNNNNNNNNNNNNNNNNNNNNNNNNNNNNNNNNNNNNNNNNNNNNNNNNNNNNNNNNNNNNNNNNNNNNNNNNNNNNNNNNNNNNNNNNNNNNNNNNNNNNNNNNNNNNNNNNNNNNNNNNNNNNNNNNNNNNNNNNNNNNNNNNNNNNNNNNNNNNNNNNNNNNNNNNNNNNNNNNNNNNNNNNNNNNNNNNNNNNNNNNNNNNNNNNNNNNNNNNNNNNNNNNNNNNNNNNNNNNNNNNNNNNNNNNNNNNNNNNNNNNNNNNNNNNNNNNNNNNNNNNNNNNNNNNNNNNNNNNNNNNNNNNNNNNNNNNNNNNNNNNNNNNNNNNNNNNNNNNNNNNNNNNNNNNNNNNNNNNNNNNNNNNNNNNNNNNNNNNNNNNNNNNNNNNNNNNNNNNNNNNNNNNNNNNNNNNNNNNNNNNNNNNNNNNNNNNNNNNNNNNNNNNNNNNNNNNNNNNNNNNNNNNNNNNNNNNNNNNNNNNNNNNNNNNNNNNNNNNNNNNNNNNNNNNNNNNNNNNNNNNNNNNNNNNNNNNNNNNNNNNNNNNNNNNNNNNNNNNNNNNNNNNNNNNNNNNNNNNNNNNNNNNNNNNNNNNNNNNNNNNNNNNNNNNNNNNNNNNNNNNNNNNNNNNNNNNNNNNNNNNNNNNNNNNNNNNNNNNNNNNNNNNNNNNNNNNNNNNNNNNNNNNNNNNNNNNNNNNNNNNNNNNNNNNNNNNNNNNNNNNNNNNNNNNNNNNNNNNNNNNNNNNNNNNNNNNNNNNNNNNNNNNNNNNNNNNNNNNNNNNNNNNNNNNNNNNNNNNNNNNNNNNNNNNNNNNNNNNNNNNNNNNNNNNNNNNNNNNNNNNNNNNNNNNNNNNNNNNNNNNNNNNNNNNNNNNNNNNNNNNNNNNNNNNNNNNNNNNNNNNNNNNNNNNNNNNNNNNNNNNNNNNNNNNNNNNNNNNNNNNNNNNNNNNNNNNNNNNNNNNNNNNNNNNNNNNNNNNNNNNNNNNNNNNNNNNNNNNNNNNNNNNNNNNNNNNNNNNNNNNNNNNNNNNNNNNNNNNNNNNNNNNNNNNNNNNNNNNNNNNNNNNNNNNNNNNNNNNNNNNNNNNNNNNNNNNNNNNNNNNNNNNNNNNNNNNNNNNNNNNNNNNNNNNNNNNNNNNNNNNNNNNNNNNNNNNNNNNNNNNNNNNNNNNNNNNNNNNNNNNNNNNNNNNNNNNNNNNNNNNNNNNNNNNNNNNNNNNNNNNNNNNNNNNNNNNNNNNNNNNNNNNNNNNNNNNNNNNNNNNNNNNNNNNNNNNNNNNNNNNNNNNNNNNNNNNNNNNNNNNNNNNNNNNNNNNNNNNNNNNNNNNNNNNNNNNNNNNNNNNNNNNNNNNNNNNNNNNNNNNNNNNNNNNNNNNNNNNNNNNNNNNNNNNNNNNNNNNNNNNNNNNNNNNNNNNNNNNNNNNNNNNNNNNNNNNNNNNNNNNNNNNNNNNNNNNNNNNNNNNNNNNNNNNNNNNNNNNNNNNNNNNNNNNNNNNNNNNNNNNNNNNNNNNNNNNNNNNNNNNNNNNNNNNNNNNNNNNNNNNNNNNNNNNNNNNNNNNNNNNNNNNNNNNNNNNNNNNNNNNNNNNNNNNNNNNNNNNNNNNNNNNNNNNNNNNNNNNNNNNNNNNNNNNNNNNNNNNNNNNNNNNNNNNNNNNNNNNNNNNNNNNNNNNNNNNNNNNNNNNNNNNNNNNNNNNNNNNNNNNNNNNNNNNNNNNNNNNNNNNNNNNNNNNNNNNNNNNNNNNNNNNNNNNNNNNNNNNNNNNNNNNNNNNNNNNNNNNNNNNNNNNNNNNNNNNNNNNNNNNNNNNNNNNNNNNNNNNNNNNNNNNNNNNNNNNNNNNNNNNNNNNNNNNNNNNNNNNNNNNNNNNNNNNNNNNNNNNNNNNNNNNNNNNNNNNNNNNNNNNNNNNNNNNNNNNNNNNNNNNNNNNNNNNNNNNNNNNNNNNNNNNNNNNNNNNNNNNNNNNNNNNNNNNNNNNNNNNNNNNNNNNNNNNNNNNNNNNNNNNNNNNNNNNNNNNNNNNNNNNNNNNNNNNNNNNNNNNNNNNNNNNNNNNNNNNNNNNNNNNNNNNNNNNNNNNNNNNNNNNNNNNNNNNNNNNNNNNNNNNNNNNNNNNNNNNNNNNNNNNNNNNNNNNNNNNNNNNNNNNNNNNNNNNNNNNNNNNNNNNNNNNNNNNNNNNNNNNNNNNNNNNNNNNNNNNNNNNNNNNNNNNNNNNNNNNNNNNNNNNNNNNNNNNNNNNNNNNNNNNNNNNNNNNNNNNNNNNNNNNNNNNNNNNNNNNNNNNNNNNNNNNNNNNNNNNNNNNNNNNNNNNNNNNNNNNNNNNNNNNNNNNNNNNNNNNNNNNNNNNNNNNNNNNNNNNNNNNNNNNNNNNNNNNNNNNNNNNNNNNNNNNNNNNNNNNNNNNNNNNNNNNNNNNNNNNNNNNNNNNNNNNNNNNNNNNNNNNNNNNNNNNNNNNNNNNNNNNNNNNNNNNNNNNNNNNNNNNNNNNNNNNNNNNNNNNNNNNNNNNNNNNNNNNNNNNNNNNNNNNNNNNNNNNNNNNNNNNNNNNNNNNNNNNNNNNNNNNNNNNNNNNNNNNNNNNNNNNNNNNNNNNNNNNNNNNNNNNNNNNNNNNNNNNNNNNNNNNNNNNNNNNNNNNNNNNNNNNNNNNNNNNNNNNNNNNNNNNNNNNNNNNNNNNNNNNNNNNNNNNNNNNNNNNNNNNNNNNNNNNNNNNNNNNNNNNNNNNNNNNNNNNNNNNNNNNNNNNNNNNNNNNNNNNNNNNNNNNNNNNNNNNNNNNNNNNNNNNNNNNNNNNNNNNNNNNNNNNNNNNNNNNNNNNNNNNNNNNNNNNNNNNNNNNNNNNNNNNNNNNNNNNNNNNNNNNNNNNNNNNNNNNNNNNNNNNNNNNNNNNNNNNNNNNNNNNNNNNNNNNNNNNNNNNNNNNNNNNNNNNNNNNNNNNNNNNNNNNNNNNNNNNNNNNNNNNNNNNNNNNNNNNNNNNNNNNNNNNNNNNNNNNNNNNNNNNNNNNNNNNNNNNNNNNNNNNNNNNNNNNNNNNNNNNNNNNNNNNNNNNNNNNNNNNNNNNNNNNNNNNNNNNNNNNNNNNNNNNNNNNNNNNNNNNNNNNNNNNNNNNNNNNNNNNNNNNNNNNNNNNNNNNNNNNNNNNNNNNNNNNNNNNNNNNNNNNNNNNNNNNNNNNNNNNNNNNNNNNNNNNNNNNNNNNNNNNNNNNNNNNNNNNNNNNNNNNNNNNNNNNNNNNNNNNNNNNNNNNNNNNNNNNNNNNNNNNNNNNNNNNNNNNNNNNNNNNNNNNNNNNNNNNNNNNNNNNNNNNNNNNNNNNNNNNNNNNNNNNNNNNNNNNNNNNNNNNNNNNNNNNNNNNNNNNNNNNNNNNNNNNNNNNNNNNNNNNNNNNNNNNNNNNNNNNNNNNNNNNNNNNNNNNNNNNNNNNNNNNNNNNNNNNNNNNNNNNNNNNNNNNNNNNNNNNNNNNNNNNNNNNNNNNNNNNNNNNNNNNNNNNNNNNNNNNNNNNNNNNNNNNNNNNNNNNNNNNNNNNNNNNNNNNNNNNNNNNNNNNNNNNNNNNNNNNNNNNNNNNNNNNNNNNNNNNNNNNNNNNNNNNNNNNNNNNNNNNNNNNNNNNNNNNNNNNNNNNNNNNNNNNNNNNNNNNNNNNNNNNNNNNNNNNNNNNNNNNNNNNNNNNNNNNNNNNNNNNNNNNNNNNNNNNNNNNNNNNNNNNNNNNNNNNNNNNNNNNNNNNNNNNNNNNNNNNNNNNNNNNNNNNNNNNNNNNNNNNNNNNNNNNNNNNNNNNNNNNNNNNNNNNNNNNNNNNNNNNNNNNNNNNNNNNNNNNNNNNNNNNNNNNNNNNNNNNNNNNNNNNNNNNNNNNNNNNNNNNNNNNNNNNNNNNNNNNNNNNNNNNNNNNNNNNNNNNNNNNNNNNNNNNNNNNNNNNNNNNNNNNNNNNNNNNNNNNNNNNNNNNNNNNNNNNNNNNNNNNNNNNNNNNNNNNNNNNNNNNNNNNNNNNNNNNNNNNNNNNNNNNNNNNNNNNNNNNNNNNNNNNNNNNNNNNNNNNNNNNNNNNNNNNNNNNNNNNNNNNNNNNNNNNNNNNNNNNNNNNNNNNNNNNNNNNNNNNNNNNNNNNNNNNNNNNNNNNNNNNNNNNNNNNNNNNNNNNNNNNNNNNNNNNNNNNNNNNNNNNNNNNNNNNNNNNNNNNNNNNNNNNNNNNNNNNNNNNNNNNNNNNNNNNNNNNNNNNNNNNNNNNNNNNNNNNNNNNNNNNNNNNNNNNNNNNNNNNNNNNNNNNNNNNNNNNNNNNNNNNNNNNNNNNNNNNNNNNNNNNNNNNNNNNNNNNNNNNNNNNNNNNNNNNNNNNNNNNNNNNNNNNNNNNNNNNNNNNNNNNNNNNNNNNNNNNNNNNNNNNNNNNNNNNNNNNNNNNNNNNNNNNNNNNNNNNNNNNNNNNNNNNNNNNNNNNNNNNNNNNNNNNNNNNNNNNNNNNNNNNNNNNNNNNNNNNNNNNNNNNNNNNNNNNNNNNNNNNNNNNNNNNNNNNNNNNNNNNNNNNNNNNNNNNNNNNNNNNNNNNNNNNNNNNNNNNNNNNNNNNNNNNNNNNNNNNNNNNNNNNNNNNNNNNNNNNNNNNNNNNNNNNNNNNNNNNNNNNNNNNNNNNNNNNNNNNNNNNNNNNNNNNNNNNNNNNNNNNNNNNNNNNNNNNNNNNNNNNNNNNNNNNNNNNNNNNNNNNNNNNNNNNNNNNNNNNNNNNNNNNNNNNNNNNNNNNNNNNNNNNNNNNNNNNNNNNNNNNNNNNNNNNNNNNNNNNNNNNNNNNNNNNNNNNNNNNNNNNNNNNNNNNNNNNNNNNNNNNNNNNNNNNNNNNNNNNNNNNNNNNNNNNNNNNNNNNNNNNNNNNNNNNNNNNNNNNNNNNNNNNNNNNNNNNNNNNNNNNNNNNNNNNNNNNNNNNNNNNNNNNNNNNNNNNNNNNNNNNNNNNNNNNNNNNNNNNNNNNNNNNNNNNNNNNNNNNNNNNNNNNNNNNNNNNNNNNNNNNNNNNNNNNNNNNNNNNNNNNNNNNNNNNNNNNNNNNNNNNNNNNNNNNNNNNNNNNNNNNNNNNNNNNNNNNNNNNNNNNNNNNNNNNNNNNNNNNNNNNNNNNNNNNNNNNNNNNNNNNNNNNNNNNNNNNNNNNNNNNNNNNNNNNNNNNNNNNNNNNNNNNNNNNNNNNNNNNNNNNNNNNNNNNNNNNNNNNNNNNNNNNNNNNNNNNNNNNNNNNNNNNNNNNNNNNNNNNNNNNNNNNNNNNNNNNNNNNNNNNNNNNNNNNNNNNNNNNNNNNNNNNNNNNNNNNNNNNNNNNNNNNNNNNNNNNNNNNNNNNNNNNNNNNNNNNNNNNNNNNNNNNNNNNNNNNNNNNNNNNNNNNNNNNNNNNNNNNNNNNNNNNNNNNNNNNNNNNNNNNNNNNNNNNNNNNNNNNNNNNNNNNNNNNNNNNNNNNNNNNNNNNNNNNNNNNNNNNNNNNNNNNNNNNNNNNNNNNNNNNNNNNNNNNNNNNNNNNNNNNNNNNNNNNNNNNNNNNNNNNNNNNNNNNNNNNNNNNNNNNNNNNNNNNNNNNNNNNNNNNNNNNNNNNNNNNNNNNNNNNNNNNNNNNNNNNNNNNNNNNNNNNNNNNNNNNNNNNNNNNNNNNNNNNNNNNNNNNNNNNNNNNNNNNNNNNNNNNNNNNNNNNNNNNNNNNNNNNNNNNNNNNNNNNNNNNNNNNNNNNNNNNNNNNNNNNNNNNNNNNNNNNNNNNNNNNNNNNNNNNNNNNNNNNNNNNNNNNNNNNNNNNNNNNNNNNNNNNNNNNNNNNNNNNNNNNNNNNNNNNNNNNNNNNNNNNNNNNNNNNNNNNNNNNNNNNNNNNNNNNNNNNNNNNNNNNNNNNNNNNNNNNNNNNNNNNNNNNNNNNNNNNNNNNNNNNNNNNNNNNNNNNNNNNNNNNNNNNNNNNNNNNNNNNNNNNNNNNNNNNNNNNNNNNNNNNNNNNNNNNNNNNNNNNNNNNNNNNNNNNNNNNNNNNNNNNNNNNNNNNNNNNNNNNNNNNNNNNNNNNNNNNNNNNNNNNNNNNNNNNNNNNNNNNNNNNNNNNNNNNNNNNNNNNNNNNNNNNNNNNNNNNNNNNNNNNNNNNNNNNNNNNNNNNNNNNNNNNNNNNNNNNNNNNNNNNNNNNNNNNNNNNNNNNNNNNNNNNNNNNNCUAGUUCUUGCCUGCCUUGCUGCCAUUACCCAGGCCAUUACAUUGCAUAGCAUAAGGAAUAGUGAUUAGGUGCUUAUUAGUGAUUCGUUGAGCUUAUUAUUGACAAACCAACAUAUUCGCCUUUACCCACAACUUAGUUUGAUUAGUUAUUGUUGUGUAAUAGACCAAGUUCGUAACCCAACUGAAGCAAUUAAUCAGAUUUACAAAACAAGCAAGAACCCAGAAAACGAACCAGGGGAUACAGUCAAGUAACCAAGAACAAGAAAGAAAACUUAAUCAAGAGAUACAAAACAGAGGUUAACGUGGUUCAGUACCAUGAGUACUUACAUCCACGAUCAGGAACAGUAGAGCUAAAGCUUUAUUAGGAGAUAUCAAGAUUACAAUGGAAUCCACUCAGAGCAAGAAACUAAACUCACACAGAGAAUCUUUCUCAACUCACAAACUAUCUCACUUGACUAACUGAUCAGCUCUCUCUCUCACUGAAGCUAUAAAGCUAGCAGUUUACAGCUGGUUAUAACGACUAACUAAAACCACCUGGGGACCCACCCAUGCUGACUCAGCUUUCCAGCUCAGCUAAUAUAUAUAACCGAAUGUAACUAACUUGAUUCCACAAAUCUCCACCUUAGUUAACUCGGUUAUGGCUUUACUCAUCACUGCUCCAUCACCAGUUAACUUGUCUCACAAGUUAAUAACCCCAAUCAAGUCCAAGGAGUUCCUGAACUUAACUGUUGGCAAAGGUUUUGUUAGCAUGUCUGCUGGAUUUACUUCAGUAGGAAUUUUAAUGACAUUGAUUACACCAUUUCGAAUUUCUUCCCUGAUAAAGUGCAUCCUCACAUCCACAUGUUUUGUUCUUUCAUGGUACUUGGGGUUUUUGCUCAACUGUAUAGCACUUGAGCUAUCACAAUUGACAGUGACUGAUUCUUGUUCCAAACCCAGUUUUGUAACUAACCCCUUCAACCAUAAUGCUUCUUUCACAGCCUCUGUUAAAGCAAUAUACUCUACCUCUGUUGUUGAGAGAGCAAUUACUGAUUGUAAUGUUGACUUCCAGCUCACAGCUCCACCACAGAGAGUAAACACAAGACCAGUGACUGACCUUCUCCUAUCUAAAUCUCCUGCAAAGUCAGAAUCAACAGAUCCCACAACUUGGCUAGAUGCAUUACUAACUUGUCCAANNNNNNNNNNNNNNNNNNNNNNNNNNNNNNNNNNNNNNNNNNNNNNNNNNNNNNNNNNNNNNNNNNNNNNNNNNNNNNNNNNNNNNNNNNNNNNNNNNNNNNNNNNNNNNNNNNNNNNNNNNNNNNNNNNNNNNNNNNNNNNNNNNNNNNNNNNNNNNNNNNNNNNNNNNNNNNNNNNNNNNNNNNNNNNNNNNNNNNNNNNNNNNNNNNNNNNNNNNNNNNNNNNNNNNNNNNNNNNNNNNNNNNNNNNNNNNNNNNNNNNNNNNNNNNNNNNNNNNNNNNNNNNNNNNNNNNNNNNNNNNNNNNNNNNNNNNNNNNNNNNNNNNNNNNNNNNNNNNNNNNNNNNNNNNNNNNNNNNNNNNNNNNNNNNNNNNNNNNNNNNNNNNNNNNNNNNNNNNNNNNNNNNNNNNNNNNNNNNNNNNNNNNNNNNNNNNNNNNNNNNNNNNNNNNNNNNNNNNNNNNNNNNNNNNNNNNNNNNNNNNNNNNNNNNNNNNNNNNNNNNNNNNNNNNNNNNNNNNNNNNNNNNNNNNNNNNNNNNNNNNNNNNNNNNNNNNNNNNNNNNNNNNNNNNNNNNNNNNNNNNNNNNNNNNNNNNNNNNNNNNNNNACUGCUUCAAUCCAUACAAGCUUUUCUUGAGUAAGCAAACCAUGUCUUCAGUUCCUUCUCAAUAAAGCCUUCUGGCUGAGCCAUCAGGAUUUCUUCUUCUAAGUUUCCAUGUAAAAAAGCAGUCUUCACAUCCAUCUGGUCCAAUUCUAAAUCAAAGUAGGCUGUGAUGGCUAAUAGAACCCUUAUAGAGGAAUGUUUCACAACAGGUGAGAAGACUUCAUUGAAGUCUAUCCCUUCCUUUUGUGUGAACCCCUUUGCCACAAGCCUGGCUUUAUACCUCACUGAUUUACUUCCAGCAACUCCCUCCUUGAGUUUAAAGAUCCAUUUGCAGCCCACCAAUCUUCUUCCAGCAGGCCUCUGAACUAGCACCCAAGUGUUAUUGUCUUUCAGUGAUGCCAUUUCUUCUUUCAUAGCACUAAGCCAUUUUAGCUUAUCUCUGCUAUUCAUAGCCUGCUUGUAGCUUUUAGGUUCUUCUCCAGUCAUCUCAUUAGCAACCAUUAGUGCAUAGGAUAUUAAGUCAGCAAUCCCAUAUCUUUUGGGCAGUUUAACUACCCUCCUUUCUCUAUCCCUCGCAAGCUGAUAGUUAUCAAGUUCUGAUGUUGUAGUACUUUCUUGAUGGUGCUCAGUCAUCUCUUUACUUACUUCCAAAUUGUCUCUGGACUCCACCUUCAACUUAGAUCUCUUUUGAGGUUCAGAUAUUUCAACUUCUGUUCCAACCUUCUGCUGCAACAUAGCUUCCUCAUUAAACACUACAUCUCUACUAAUCAAGGUUCUGGAUGGCUUGCCAUCAAUGCACCAGAUUUUGUACCCCUUUAUGCCUUCAGGAUACCCAAUGAAGUAUCCUUUCACAGCCCUUGGUUCUAGCUUGCCCUGACUUAUAUGAGCAUAAGCUGGGCAGCCAAACACCCUGAGAUUACCAAGAUUUGGUGGCUUCCCUGACCAUGCUUCUUGUGGUGUUUUGAAAUCUAAAGCUGAUGAAGGGCUCCUAUUUAUUAGAUAUGCAGCUGUAUUAACUGCCUCAGCCCAAAAAUGCUUUGACAGAUUUGCAUUAAACAACAUGCAUCUGACCUUUUCAAUUAAGGUUCUAUUCAUCCUUUCAGCCAAGCCAUUUUGCUGGGGAGUGUGUCUCACUGUCCUAUGUCUUGCAAUGCCCUUUGAUUUACAAAAAUUUUCAAAGUCACUGCUGCAGAAUUCCAGGCCAUUAUCAGUCCUCAGCCUUUUAAGCUUCUUUUCUGUUUGGGUUUCCAUAAGUGCAGUCCACUCUUUAAACCUUUCAAAUGCUUCACUCUUAUGCUUCAGCACAUAGACCCACACUCUUCUAGAGUAAUCAUCUAUGAAUGUGAUGAAGUACCUAGCUCCACCAUGAGAGGGAACUUGGGAUGGUCCCCAAAGGUCUGAGUGAACAUAGUCUAAGGUCUGUUUUGUUUCCUGUCUACCAGAGUUGAACUUUUGCCUUGUGGCUUUACCGAACACACAUUUUUCACAAAAUUGUAGUGAGGUGAUUUGAUCAUUUCCUAGCAGCCCUUGCUUACUUAAUUCUCUCAACCCCCUUUCACUCAUGUGUGCUAGCCUCAUGUGCCAAAGUUUGGUUUUAUCACUGCUUACACUAGCUGUGAUUGCUGGCAUAGUUGUUGAGCCAGCAAGUACAUAUAAACCAUUCCUCCUUAUGCCUUUCAUUAUAAUCAGGCCUUUAUCUUCAAUUUGAAGAUUUCCAUUUUCUGCUUUUAUACUACAGCCCCUCUGAUCCAUAACUCCUAAAGAUAUUAGAUUUCUUUUUAAUUCUGGAACAUAUCUGACCUGAUUUGGAUCCCUUUCAAUGCCAUCAAACAUCCUAAUGCUAAUGGUGCCAAUUCCAGCUACCUUACAGGCAAGAUUGUUCCCAAGCAAGACUUUUCCACCAUCAAUGCUUUCAAAAGUCUUAAAGAAAUCUACAUUUGGACACAUAUGGAAGGAGCAACCUGAGUCAAGAAUCCACUCACCUGAAGAUUGCUUUUCUGCAGCAAUGAGGACAUCUGCAUCAUCUGACAUCCCUUCAUCUUCAGAGGCUACAGCAGCUUUUCCAUUAGAUUCCUUUUGUAAUUUCUCAAGCUUCUUCUUCUCAAAACAAUCCUUGAUGUAAUGACCUUCCUUUUGACAAAAGUAACAUUUUCUCUUCUUUUUCUUCUUGUCUGGUUUAUCUUUCUGGUUGCUGUUCUUCUUGUCUUUGUAGAAUUUCUUAUCUGGUUUUGCUUUUGCAACUAAGCUUUCUGCAGGGUUUUGAUCCUUCCCAUCUAUUCUUCUCUUCAAGUCCUUUGAUUCCAGGGCAUUCUUUACAUCCUUUAAUGUAAGUGUUUGUCUUCCAUAAAGCAAUGUAUCAACAAAAUGUUCGUAAGAGUCUGGGAGUGAGCUUAAUAGGAUUAGGGCCCUAUCUUCAUCUUCAAGAACUAUAUUCACAUUUUCAAGGUCUAGGAUCAGCUUAUUAAAUUCAUCCACAUGAUCCUUCAAGGCUGUUCCAUCCUUCAUUGAAAAUGUGUAUAGCUUUCUUUUCAUAUACAGUCUCUUGGCUAGGGAUUUCUUUAAAAAUAAUUCUUCCAGUUUCUCCCAUAGACCAGAAGCAGUCUUUUCUUUAGACACCUCUCUUAGCACUUCAUCCGAGAGAUGUAGGAUGAUAGUGCUAUGAGCUUUGUUGUUGAUAGUCUUCAUGUCUCUGCCAGAGCUGGAUGAUCAUUCUUCCUUCCCUUUCUUGGCCUUUGAAUCUUCAUCUUCUUCAAGAGCAGCAUCCAAUCCUUGUUGAAUCAAGAUUGCCCUCAUUUUGAGACUCCACAAAUAGAAGUCAUUGUCCCCAUUAAACUUCUCCAGAUCGAAUCUUGUAGAUGCCAUUGGAGGAUUUCAAAGAGCUUGAUAGAUGACCAAGCUCUGAUACCAGUUUGUUGUGUAAUAGACCAAGUUCGUAACCCAACUGAAGCAAUUAAUCAGAUUUACAAAACAAGCAAGAACCCAGAAAACGAACCAGGGGAUACAGUCAAGUAACCAAGAACAAGAAAGAAAACUUAAACAAGAGAUACAAACAGAGGUUAACGUGGUUCAGUACCAUGAGUACUUACAUCCACGAUCAGGAACAGUAGAGCUAAAGCUUUAUUAGGAGAUAUCAAGAUUACAAUGGAAUCCACUCAGAGCAAGAAACUAAACUCACACAGAGAAUCUUUCUCAACUCACAAACUAUCUCACUUGACUAACUGAUCAGCUCUCUCUCUCACUGAAGCUAUAAAGCUAGCAGUUUACAGCUGGUUAUAACGACUAACUAAAACCACCUGGGGACCCACCCAUGCUGACUUAGCUUUCCAGCUCAGCUAAUAUAUAUAACCGAAUGUAACUAACUUGAUUCCACAGUUAUUAGACCAUAAAGAGCGUUAAUCUGUUCAUUGGCUUUGUUAUUUUUAUUUGGUUUUUCUUCCAACAAUACUGUUGAUUUCUUAUAAAAAUACUCAUUGGUUUUUAGUUAUUAGACCAUAAAGAGCAUUAGUCUGUUCAUUGGCUUUGUUAUUUUUAUUUGGUUUUUCUUCCGACAAUACGGUUGAUUUCUUAUAAAAAUAUUCAUUGGUUUUUAAACACCUAAUCAUUGGCUAUAAUGAAGCUAAUUGAAACUGAGGCUUAUCAAUUUCUUCCUGCAAGAUACAAUUGAGCAUAAACUAUAUCCUCAGUAAAUUUUUCUAAUAUCCUUGAUUUGUUAGGAUAUGGGCCUGAAAUCCUCUAGAUUUUUUUAACACUGUCAAUGUUCUUUUUACUCUGAAAAGGGAAAAAAAAGGUUAUAUCUUUCAUACCCUAAUAGUAAGUUGGCCUUGACUUAACAUGCCUUCCCGAGAUUUGCAAGAUUCACAAGCAGCUCACACCCCCCCCCAACCAAAAAAAAAAAAAGAAAAAUAAAUAGGAAGAUUUUUGCGAGAUUCACAACCAGGUUAUAUUUAAUUUAUUAAUUGUGUGCACGUACUAGUUAUAUGUUGAAAGAAUAGGAAAAAGUAUUUUAACAUGAAUGACUUAAAACUUAUUGCUUAGUAAACAUAAUCUGCAUCAGUGCUAGAAAAUGUAUUUAUUGUUUGUAUUUUUUAUGGAUUUGCUUAAGAAAUGAUGCGCGUAACAAUGCUACAUUGUAUUAGGAACAAAUUGAAGAGAUUUAUGAUAUUUCUGUGUUAUUCAAAUUUCAGAUUGAAUUUUAAACUUUCAAUACAUGUGUUGUAAUUAAGAAUGAGAAACCUUAAUUCUUUUACCCAAGAAAUCACCACACACUGAUCUUGUUAAGGAAAGAAUGAAGGAUCGAUAUAGAAAUCAGAUUAAGAAUAAGGGUAUUUUAAUCAGAGACAGGAAUUAAGAAAGAAUCAAGCAAAACGAAAUGCAAAGGGGAUUAUAGAGGUUUGGCUUUGCAGCCUACAUCCUCUUGAGAAACAGAAGCCAUAGCUUUUCUUUAUGCUUUAACAGAUUACAAGUAUUAGAGUAAUUGCUACAAGGAACGAUUCCUCCCAAGUAUAGCCCUCAAGGCUAUAUAUACAACUCGGAAGAGAUCCAGAUAUGUGAGCUGUACAACAGCUCUCAUUCUGGGUUUGUUUCAACAGACCCAGCAAACUCCCGCCAAUCCUAACUGUAUGUAACAGCUCUUCAAAUUGAAACGGCAUCAGCAGCUGCCGUUUAACUUAAGCUUGAUCGUGCAAGUCACGUGCGUUACUUAAGCCUUUCGUAUGAUAGUUGCUGGUUGUCAUACGGCAGUGUUAUCUGUAUGUUUGCUUUGUCGUUUCUCAUUCAAUUCUGGAAACGACAAAGUCGUCUCCUUCAGAAGGUUCUGAUUCAGGUUCACAUUUAACAACAUGCAUUGAAAGCUUAGAUCGUUUAAGAAAUUAUUAAUAGACACAUGUUUUAUUAGUGUCAUCUUUGGAUGAUAGUGAGGAUCAUAUGCCUAUUAAUAAUUCUUGAAUUGUCUAGGCUUGAACUGUUUGGGAAUGCAUAGUUUUCUAUGGUAGCUAGUAGCUGAAGUUUUUUUCCCACGUAAAAAUGAGUUUUUCGCAAUCUGCUUCUCAUCUUCUUUGGGUGCAUACUAGAUAACACAUAAACACUCAUAUAUCUAUGUCGUUGCUUGGAGAACUAAAGGGAGAUGCUGCCGAAAUUUCUAUAAACGUAGAAGAAAACUUUAAAGUACUUGAGAUUGAAGAAACUUAUGCAUUCUUGAGAGGGAUAUACGGGACCACUUACCUUUUGUAAAUAUGAAGGGAGUGUUGGACAUAUUGAUGGGAGUGGAGGAGCUGAGUUGGAUGGACGUAAUCGGUUAUAGUUUUGCUGAGUUAACUUGGUUUUGAGCUUGUAAUUUUGUUUAUAAAUGGAGUACUAUCUCCAAUGUUGGUUUAUAAAUAUGUUUCAGCUGGCUGACCUUUUUUUUUGUUUCUAGGUAACAUGCUUUGUAUCUGUAAUUGAUAACCAACUGAAGUUCUCAGCUGUGGGUGAGGAUAUUUCUUUACAGAAGGUAUUGGAAACUGUUUUUUACAUUAAUUAUUGUUGUAUAUAUACUUUAAUUUUCACGUCUUUUUCUCUGAUUCUUGUCGCUUUACUUGCUUUCAUAUAUAUAAAUUCUAAUGAAAUUAACCAUAAAAUUGUAUAAUGAUUUUUUAAUUAUAUUGCAAAACUGUGCACACACGAAAAUAUCUUGGUCAGUAGUAGAAAUGAAAAACUAAAAUGAUUUAUCUAACUAAUUUUUGUAGUGCAUUAAAAGGAGAUGGUAAUGGAGAAGAGUUGGGUUGGUUUGGCAAAUAGAUAUCUAAGUUAUAGAUUUUGCAUUUGAGAAUGUUGUUGGUGAUGCAAGAAUUUAUUAUCCUUGUAAGAAGUGUCGAAUAUUUCGUUUUAAGGGAAGUAGCAAGAGACCAUAUCAUUAUAAAUGGUUUUUGGUUAAAGUAUUAAAACUGGAUAUUGCAUGAUGAGCCAUCUUCAUCUUUGGAAUCUAACCAAGAAACAGGUUAGUCAUGACUCGGGUGCUGAUGAUGAUAUGGUUGGAAUGAUACAUGAUACAUCACGUAAUCAAAUAUUCAAUUCACACACAGCAUUGUUAUGGACUAUCAGUGACUUUCUAGCACAUGCCAACUUGUCUGAGUGGAGUAUUAAAGGUAAAUAAGCAUUUCUUGUUUGCCAACAAAACACUAGAUCUAAUUGGUUGAUACAUAGUAGAAAAUUUUGUCACGUCGGUAACGUCGAUUUUUACUGACGAAUCAUAGGUUUCGAAAAUAUAGUGCCUUUUGAUAAAUCUAGAGAGUGGGGACAAGCACCUUCUCGGAUGUCUGGAGCUGAAGUGAAAAAGCAGUUGAAUAAUAUACUUACUGAGUUUAAGAUUGAAGACUUGAAAAGUGGAGAAUGAAUAAAAUGAGAGAAAUGAUAAGAUUACUUGGACGAAGAAAAGCAUAUUUUAUGAACUACCGUGUUGGGAGUUCAAUUUGAUUCAUCAUAAAAUGUGAGACAUGAGGGAGAGACAAAAGCUCAGGCUUGUCUGCAACCAUGUGGGCCCUCAUAAGCAAUUCGUGUACACAACUUGGUUCACCAAGCCCAACAACUUGAAGCAGGCAAAAUCCGGGAACGAUCCUUCUCCUUCGCAACCCUAGCUGCCUUAACCUUGUAUUUCUGAUAUUUAGUUAAAGAGUAAGAAGAUUGCUCCUCUGUCAAUUACCUUCGAGAGAGACUUUCUUUUUCAUUCACCGAUGCUUGCUUGUGAAAGCAAGGGUUUUAGUUACACUUUCAACGCUGUCAAUGUAGUGAAGUAAAGCAUUAGUAGAAUAAUGAAGUUGGAGCCCCACACAUGAAAACUUAAAGNNNNNNNNNNNNNNNNNNNNNNNNNNNNNNNNNNNNNNNNNNNNNNNNNNNNNNNNNNNNNNNNNNNNNNNNNNNNNNNNNNNNNNNNNNNNNNNNNNNNNNNNNNNNNNNNNNNNNNNNNNNNNNNNNNNNNNNNNNNNNNNNNNNNNNNNNNNNNNNNNNNNNNNNNNNNNNNNNNNNNNNNNNNNNNNNNNNNNNNNNNNNNNNNNNNNNNNNNNNNNNNNNNNNNNNNNNNNNNNNNNNNNNNNNNNNNNNNNNNNNNNNNNNNNNNNNNNNNNNNNNNNNNNNNNNNNNNNNNNNNNNNNNNNNNNNNNNNNNNNNNNNNNNNNNNNNNNNNNNNNNNNNNNNNNNNNNNNNNNNNNNNNNNNNNNNNNNNNNNNNNNNNNNNNNNNNNNNNNNNNNNNNNNNNNNNNNNNNNNNNNNNNNNNNNNNNNNNNNNNNNNNNNNNNNNNNNNNNNNNNNNNNNNNNNNNNNNNNNNNNNNNNNNNNNNNNNNNNNNNNNNNNNNNNNNNNNNNNNNNNNNNNNNNNNNNNNNNNNNNNNNNNNAAUAGAAAAUUACAAGACUGCUGAUAAAAUUUUAUUUGCAUGCAUGUCUGUCAAAAUUUCCGUGAUUUAAUGUGCUUUCAUGCACGCAAGUUCUAACGUUUCUGUGAUCACAAAAUAAAACUGAAGAUAAAACAGAACAACUACCAAACCUUUCAAGCUUGACGAAGCCAUGAGAAUUGAUAGCUCAGGCUCUGAUACCAAGUUAAAGUUUCUAAUCUAUUUGAUAAGUAAGAAAAUGAGAGAAAAUGAAAGAAAGAACAGAGAUCAUCUAAGAGCUGGAUUUGAUGAAUAAAUCUGAAUCAUCCAUUCUUUAGCUGAUUACAAAUGUAUUUAUACAAGUUUUCUAAGCACCUGAGAGUUGAAUAACUUAUGCCAGCUCAGCUAACACGUCAGUAACUCUACCUAUCUUGCUUAACAAACUGAAACAAUAACUAACAAUUUUAACUAUCUUAACAAUCCCAAUAAUUUCUCCGUUUGUGUAUUUUUUUGAAUCAUAAUCAAAUGGGUAAAUGUUGCAACUAUUUUUUUAGACAUUUUCACUUUGGGAUGUCAGCCCGAGGAAGUUCGGGGGUCUGAGUUAUUCAACUGAAAAUGUCGGCCAAGUUCUCGCCAUCUCAGGUUCAAAACUGAUAAUCUUGCUCGUUGCUCCCCAUUUAUACUUAUUACGAAACUGAAAAAGUUACUCGUUCCUCUUAACUUGUUUUCUCAUGCAUCAACCCCACAAAACUGCUUAUUGCAGGGGGAAAAAUUUUGAACACAUCAUGUGGAAUUUGGACNNNNNNNNNNNNNNNNNNNNNNNNNNNNNNNNNNNNNNNNNNNNNNNNNNNNNNNNNNNNNNNNNNNNNNNNNNNNNNNNNNNNNNNNNNNNNNNNNNNNACCUCUUUUGACAAGUUACACUUACAUAGCAAUGCUAUCUGGGUUCAGCCUUACCUUUUUGAUAAACUGUGCUUCUGUGAUGAAGAAUGUUUUAGCUGUAAGUGGAUAUCCUAAUCAUUGAUCCAUAUACUUAGGUUAUAUUAUCCAUCAGCAAGUAUGUAUAAAAUUAUUUUAUGUCUUUUUUUAUUAGAAAUGUUGUAAUUCUAUUUUACUCUUCCUGAAUUAUAACAUCAGGUGUCUAUAAUAACUAGAUUAUUCCUUCUGCAAAACAGAGCAGUGGUAAAUAUUUUUUUUCUUUUGUUUGUUUAGUACAUUUACAUGCUUUCAGCUUUUUCAAAUUUUGUAUGUGUCAAAGUUUAAAUUUAAUUUGUUGGUUUAUGCCACAACAAAAGGAACAGCAUCAAAGAGGAGCUGCUAAUGGACUUGCUAUGACUGUAGUGUCGCUUACCAAAACUGCCGGUCCAGCUGUAGGAGGUGCUCUGUGAGUGUCCUGUUGAUUUUGUAAAACUACAUGUAAAUGAUGUUAUAAUUUUUUUUUCAUUAAUUGGGGUUCUGGCAGAUUUUCUUGAUCACAAAAGCGUCAAGAUGCUGGUUUCCUCCCAGGAUGAUGAUCUACUAAUGAAAUUUCUCGCGAGUUUGUGUACUAUUUCGUGCUAAUUCUUCAUUAGCUGCUUAAACAAAAGUGCAGGUAACCAGAUGGUUUUUUUUCAUUCUGAAUUUGGUUGAGGCACUUGGAGUAAUAUUGACAUCCAAACCGUUUCUAACUCAGCGUGCCCCAUGAGUAGCGAAAAGAUCAUCUGUUGAAAUAUUUAAAUAUAUAUCAAGCAAAUUAAAGCUUUCAAAAUCUAUCAACAAUUUGAUUAUUUGAUGUGGUUGCCACUUGCCAUAUUUUGUGUUACUGUUCAAAAGGCUUAAAUAUGAAAAUGGUGGUUGGCGCUCACAGCAACCGAUUGCUGGUAACAUUAGUUGUUCAAUACUUAUCUCUGUCGACAUUUAUACUUGUUCAUUGUCAGAACUACGACAAUUUAUCUUCACAAUGAUGCAAGCUAGAAAGAAUUUUUCAUGUUAAGUAAAACAUUGAAGCCAUAAAGAGUCUUAAUUGAGUACUAAGUUUUCUACCAUGCUUUCAACGGUAACACAUUUGGAGCUCUUAUUCCAGGGGCUUCACAGUAGAGAGACCUGAUUUCGAUCUUCUUCAGAACUUGGGGAUUCCGUAAUAACAGAGGACAACAGUUAUAUAAGAAUAUUAUUUUGUACAAUUUUCGUAUAACCUGACCAAUGCAAGUAUAAUUUUAUGAUCUUAACUCAGAUCAAAAGACCUUCAAUGAUGUAAAAUUUGCACAUAAAGUUGAGAACCAAACAUUAGAACUUAUGAUGAAACGGAAACAAAAACGUUGAGAUUAAAAGAUAGAGAAACACAAGCUUUUUAAAAGGGAUAAAUGCUCAUUUAAUUUCUAUAUUUUGAUUUAAGAGUGCAUUUAAUUCUUAUAUUUUAAAAAGUUCCUCAACCUUAAGACACCCCCUACUAUAAAAUAUAUUUCAUUCCUACCCUUAUUUUUUUUCUUUUUACAAUAAUACUCUUGGAAUAAUAUUUUUGGGAAUAUUAAUUAAAAUAAAAAAUGGUAAUUCAUCCAGCUAGCCUUAAACAAAAUAAAUAUUAAUAAAAAUUUUUAUGUUAUUAUUUUAGUUUUAGGACUAAUUUCGUAAAUUAAUUUUUUUAUGCAUUUAUUAGUAAGAUUGCUUUAAGAAUAUUAAACAUUACUUUAAGUUGGUUGAUAUUAAUUAAUUUAUAAAUAAUUAUUAGCAAGAUUGUUGUAAAAGUACAAAAAUAUUUUCAUAUUGAUAUUUAUUGAUUAAUUUGUCAAUUAAUUUUUUUAUAAAUAAAUUAAUUAAUUUAAGAAUAUUAUUGCCAGGAUAUCAUUGUAAAAGUAAAUAAAUUUUAAGGAAAAAAAUGUAAUGUAUUUAAUAUCAAAGUAUAUUGAGAUAUUUUUCAAAAUAUAAAGACUAAACGUGCAUUGAAGUUAAAAUACAGGUACCAGACGAGCAUUUUCUCUUUUAGAAAGUUUUAUAUUUUAUAAAUGAAAGUUUGAAUAACAAAAUUAGGGUUUUGGACUCCUUUUAAACUAAACCUAAAAUAUUACUACAUAAUAAUAUUCUCCUAACUGAAAUAAGAUAAAUGCUACUUAAAUUCUAUAUCUAAAAAAAAAGAUAAAAAUCCAGAAAACAAUAGGAAAAUGGAUAUUAAACUUGUAAAAUAAUAUGAAAUAUAUAUAAUUUUCAACCGAACCACGAGGCUAAUGCGGCGCUAUAGUAUUAGAUUAGAUUCCCCUCAUCCCAAACUUCAAAAGGUAUAUUAUACACCGUAAAUAGAUACUUAUAGCUCAAGUUGUUACCCUAGAGAGAUAAUCUACUCAUCCUAUGCAACCAUCCGCUGCAUCAAAUUCGUUCCAAAAUUAAGAAUAAACCAGCUGAUGCAUUCCAAACAAUUUAGAUGAACCGAUAAAAUAAACCUAGAGAUCAAAUAAAAUCAAAUGAGAAUGAUAAUUACCUCGGACUGAAGCUCAUACAAAUUCAUUAUUUGACACCUCCAGCAAUUGUUGAAAUAAUUGUUAAUUAAAUAUAAAAUAAGACAGGUACAUAUUAAUGACACACCACUGUGAAUCGAUAGCUAAGGACGGAGUAAAAUUUAAUUGUAAAUUAGGACAGUAGAGCAAGCAUCCAUAAACAUAACAUGAACGUAAUACAUCAAUUGAAAUAUCAUACGAUAAAUUAGUCAGAGAAAGAAAUAAGUAAAUAAAUCAGCAAAGGAAACAUGCAUGAACAAAUAAAAAAAAAAACAAAGACAAAAGUAGGAAGAGUUGUCUGUGAGAAUCUUCUUCUAUGGUCAUUGAAGUCCCAAACUCAAUGGAAAUUCAAUGGAACCUUAAAAACGAACAGUGAAGGAAAAUGAAGAAAUCUGCAGGAAAUAAGGCGAGUGAGAGUGAAGAAUUAAUUACCACCGAGUAAAUGCGAAUGAAGAAUGGAGACAGAUCGAGAAGUGAGAUUCAGAGAUUGUAUUGAAAUUGAGAGUUGUGAUCCAGAAGCGAUUCUUCUUCUCCGUAAUUCCCUUUUUCUUUUAAUGUUGUUGUUAUUAUUAUUAUAUAUAUAUUUUCAAUUUCAUGAUAUCUUUUUUGUUUUAAACGGUAUUGGCAUAUUACAUUUAUUUAUGUUAAUUUUACAAUACCUCCCUUCAGAUUGCACAAAUUACAUAAAAAAAAAAAAAGUGCUUUAUGUAUAAAACUUUCAAACAAAUUGGGCCAAAAUCUAACUUUACCAAGUUUAGAGUAAUUUUGGGCUCGACAUUCCGUUUCCGACAAACGAAUUUUCUUUAUCACCAAGGUAUGAUACUUUUCAUAUUUAUCCAACGGCUCGUCAAUGACAAUACCUUUGUAAAAAGUACUUAUUUUGAAUAGUAUAUUGUGGAAAUGUCUGGUCGGUAAUACAACUAUUUCUUAUAGUGUAAAAAUGAUACACUAAGCGUUCACAUUUUGAUGAGUAAAUUAAGGAUUUCAAGAUGAAGUGCAUAAUUAGAUUAAUGCUAAGAAACUGAAGUUUGAUCGAUUGAAAACGAAAAUAAUAAUGAAGGUAAUUAAGAAAAUGAACAAUAUAUGCGGAAGCGGUCCUUAUUAGUACUUCUAGAUUUUCUCUUGGGCUUUCCUUAUUAUUGUUAAAAAAUGACCCGAAGAACUUUGAGUUUAAAAAUCUGGCCCUGAUGCCUGGUAGCCCUUCAACAUAUGAAGCACCAAAUGUUUUGAUGAGAAAAUGACAAGACCAUUUAUCAAAUUUCUUGUGGAUAUAAAUACAUACACAUAGACGAGGCCAACCUCCUCAAAUGAGAAUCAGAGUGAUUACAAGACCUUGCAAUGAGACAAUGAUACACCAUCAAAUGUCAAAAUACAAUAGAAAUUCACGACAUAUAUAUAAUAAAAGACCUCUCAUUGAGUCAUAUAUAUUGAGAAUAAAAAUGUUAUAAUACAUACACAUAGCUUAGUUAGAAUAAAAUGUCUUUGAACUUGCGAUGAUCAAACAAAGGAAACAGACAGGUUGUAACUCACAUUAUCACAAGAAGAUCACGAAGAUGGAAAUGGGAACCCCUCAGAAUGGAAACUUUGAAUAGAGGAAAAAAGAAAAACGACCUUAUUCACAGAAGAAGAGUGACUUAAAUCUUCAUCAGUAUCCAGACAUUUUGCAAUCAUAGAGUAGAGAAAUUUUAACAGGAACAGCAGAGAAAAUAUUAUGAAUAUGCUAUAGACCAAUAUACUUGUUCAUAGCUAACGUUUGAUGGUUUAAGGAUUUGUUCUAGGAAUAAUGGGCUGAUUACUUUCUUUUUAUUUUAAAUUUUUUUUAAUCCAAUGAAUGAUAUUCAGCUGUUAAUUAUGUGUUCAUAGGGAAGAAUAUUUUCUAAGUACUUUCCUUGCCUUCUAACUUUCCGAAAAGCAAACCCAAUGAACAAAUAGAGCACAAACUAAAAUAAAAGAACAGCAAUGAUGACAAUAAAUAAUUGGCAAAGAAAAAAAGGAAAAAGUAUGCACGUUUUCAAGGAAUUAUAAAAUAUGAAGGCUUUUAAUGAAACUUUAUCAUAAAAAGUAUGCAAGGAAUUAUAAAAUUUUAGAAAACAAGGGGAGCUCUCAAAAAAAAUGAAAAACUCAAAUUAAACUAGACUAAAAGACAUUCAAUUUUGCAAAAUCUGUCCAUAAAUGUCUGAAAGGAUCAUUAAAAUUGCAUUGCAAAUUUAACAGUAAACCGAGGGACCCAUUCUAAAUAAUUCAGAUGAAAUUGUGAAACAAGACAUGGGAUUAAAUAAAUGAAAUAAAAAUUAAUUACCAGUUGAGACUUUCUUCUAAAAAUUCGCAACUCCAAGUCAUAAGAAGCCUAUGAAAUUAGUCGUACUGCGUAGAGUAUGACGACGACACCGCCAACAGCUGAAAGUAAAAUUCUUAUUCAUCAAUUUAAACUUACUUUAUAACAAAUAUCUUAUCUAUAUUGUAUUUAAGAAAGCAAAUUUUGUAAAAAUUUAUCAUGGGAGAUAGAGAGUAAUAUGUAUAUACGUACCUUCUCAGCAUGUAAUUGUUGUAUGGUUGUGUUUAGAUCAUUAUUAGCCCAGCGCCGUUGAUCCGCUGUCUCUCCAUAGCAGACGUUUACUCUUAGAGGCGUGAUUGAUUCUCCUGUAGUGAAAAUCUUCAUCUUGGGACAACCAAUCACAUCCAGAUAUUCCAAAGAUGGGAAUUUGAAGGUGUAAUUGGCAGAACAGAAACUUGUGAGGCUAUCUAAAUCAAACAGUCCCAACGUCUUCAAUUUGCUAAAAACAAUCUCUUCUUUUUCAACUCCAUCUUUGUCAUUUAUUACCACCUCUGUCAUUGCUCUGCAUCCAUAUAUUUCUAUUGCUAUGAGUCGCACCAGAGUUUUUGCUGUGGAGGAUGUUACCAAGUGUAUCAAUUCCUUGCAACCGAAAGCUACAAGUUUUGUUAGGUUCCCAAAAGAUACCGAUGAUGAUGGCAAUAGAAUUAACAGACUUUGACAAUGAUAUACUUUUAGAAUUUCAAGAUACUGAAAAAUGGGGCCAAGUUUGGAGUCUUGCUUGCACAGCUGCUCCAGAUGAUAGUGCCAGCGCAGCUGUAAUUCUUUUAUCAUUGCCAACUUCCCCACAUGUUUCUCUAAGCAUCCUUCCAUCGAAAAUACCUCUUCGUGGGAUGAAAAAAACAACAGUGUGAGUAUUUCGAGAUUGUGAAAUCUCUCCAGUACGUUCCAGAUUGUAAAACCAGCUGAGUCAUCUGCAGCAAUCUCUAGUUCUCUAAGACUGCCAAAAAGGUGUUGUGGGAAAUCGGCCUGCAAAAUCAUCUUCACAUCUUUUCCACUUAGUGAUAGUUCCUUCAAGUUGGGUACGAUCUGAUCAUCAUCAAUCAUAAUAACUAAUGAGGUCAAUUGAUGAUCUACGGUCACACGCAGUGACUUUAUAGUAUUUGUUUUAUAUUAUAUUUUUAAAAAAAAUUGAAUUAUUGAUAAAAUUUAUUUUAUAUGUUAAUUUUAGAGGUAAAAAAGAAAUUAGGGAAAAAAGGUUGAUUUAUACUGGCUUGAAAUUAUUUUAUUGCACAAUAAUAAAUUACUAAUUUAUUUUGUAAGUUCUUCUAUAUGGAAAGACUAAGGAUUCUUUUAUAAAUGCUAUACCUUAAAAAGUUCAUAUAAUUAUUAAUCUACCACAUUGAUCUCUUAAUCUAGACUAGCAAAGAUUAUUGUAUAAUAAAAGUUUUCAAUUUAUUGAGUGUUAAUUUAUCGAUGCUUUGUCAUUUUUUUCGAAGUUAAAAAUACGCUAUUGAUAAAAAAUCUAGAAAAUGGCUUCGUACCUUUUCCAACGGCAAUAGGGGCUGUUGUGCAGGAAUACCAAGUUGAUCAUUCUCAUUAUUCUGCGAUAAAUCUGCAUCGAAUAUCUUUAAUUUGUCACAACGACCCACUAAAAGAAUUUCUAGUGCGGGCCAUUCCGAAGUAUGCAUUCCAGGGUACAAACAUCUAAGUUUUGGUAGACAUUCGAGUCUUAGAGUGGUGAGCUGUGGAAAGACAAAAUAAGGGAUAACUUCAUCUGCUCUGUUUUCAGAAAUGAUCUCCUCUAAAUCCUCACAGAAGCGUAUAUCUAGGUGUCGGAGCUGCUUAAGGCUUCCGAUCAUAGACGCUGAAAAUAUGUAUUUUAAUUUGUGACAACCCCACACAAUCAAUCGUGUUAAACUUUGAAAGUGAGGAAGCACGGCCGCUGGAAUUUGAUUGUAGUGCCAAAUCUUGUCGACAUUAAUUGCAGAUAUCUCCAAAGCCUCCAAGUUAGGCAACGCAACCUAAAAAAAGAAGAAUUUCUCGUUAGAUCCAAUAUCCAUAUGGGAAGCACUUGUUGAAAUUUUCUUCUUUGAUUACAAAUUAAUGCAAGUCUGAAUCAAUUUCCAACUGACAGCUGAGUAUGCAUUCUAAUUCAUACUACUUGUUAAGAGCUCAAUUAGUGAGCGCGUGAGAUUCUUUUUAUCCUUUUUUCCAUUUUCUUUCAAUUCUUUAAAUGAUUUAAUUAUUUUCCACGUAUGACAUCAAAACAGAACGCAUGAUAGAAUAAAGAAAAUGUUAGCCUACGCACCUUCUCGUUGAAAAGCAGAGUUGAAGUAUCCAAAGUGAUUUCGCUGGAGCUAUACGUAGUCGUCGAUUCCUCCUGCGACGCUGGUCUGUUUGGUGAUGCUGAAGGAGUCUUCACGUCACGGCAAAAACUUGUAAACUCUGGAAGAUUCCCCAGACUCAAAGAUCUUAAUUGAGCAAACUCUAUCUUCUCAAUUGCAUUAUCAACUUCAUCCCCAAUUGAAAAAAUUUCUUUCAUCUUGCUGCAAUUAAUAACUGCAAUUCUCUCAAGUCUUGGAAGGCAUUUUGUUGUAGAGAGCCAAAAGAUAUUACUCAAUUUAUCACAAUUAUAUGCUUGUAUGAUUUUGAGUUCGUUGAAGGACUCUACUUUGAGCCGAUCAAUACAUAUCCUCUCCAUGUUGAUCAAAUUGUGAAGGCCAAGUGACUCCAAAAGAGGAAAGGCAUCACAAGCGACCAUCGCCCUUGAAUCGACGAUACAAAAGAUGUCAGGAUUAUUUUGAACCCAGAGAAGCUUCAAUUGUGAAAAGCCCUCUGUGUCCAAAUUGAAAAGAACAUUCUCGAUGCCUUGCAGCUUGUCCAACCAUAAGCAUUCUACGUUAUUGAUGCCCUGCAAUUUCAUGGAGCAAAUGUCCAUAAAAGCAAGCUUGAGCUUCAAUGCUCUUAAACUCUUGCGAUCACUUUUGCGAGAAAAGCGCCGCAGACUUUGGAACCAAUUUUGUUCAGCAAUCAUGGGAUGUGUGAAUAACCCAUUUCCAAUAGAUAUUUUGAACCUUUCGAGCUUUCUGGCCAAAAAACCUUCUGGUAACAUACUGUCAUUUUUAACAUCAAUUUCUAGAGUGGUUAGCCGAGGUAAAUGCAUCAAUUCAUCAAGGCUAGCAUUACUUCUUUUGCUGUUGGCUCUUUCAACCUCCCAUUCAAUGGAGCAAUUACCCAUAUACAGCUCUUCUAAUCGGAUUAAGCUUGAUAUGACAUUUGGGGCAAUAACUUUCAGACGGAAACAAUUGGUUAAAUCUAACAAUCUCAACUUAUUCAAUUGACCUAGUUCUUCUGGCAACUGCGUUAUAUCAGACUUCAAAAAGCUAAGGACUUCUAGAUUCUUCAACUUCCCAAUGAUUGCUAUGUCGCCCAACGCACUUUUAUCCAGACAUAGUGUGUGAAGAUUUACUAGAAGAUCAAUUGAAGAUGGAAAAGAAGAAAACUGCAUUCGAGUAAAAUCUAGAAUUCUAAGCUUUUUCAUCCCUACAAAAAAGUUCUCAGGAAUAUUGAUUUCAAGAGAAAAAUCUUUGAGAGAGAUAUAUAAAAAUUCAAGGUUUGGGCAUUCUAAUCCUUCAGGAAAUUCACGAUUACUAUUUUUUAUUAAAGAGAUAGCUUUGCAAUUUCGAAGUGCAUCCUUAUCUGGCCAGUCCCACACAUCCUCAUUCCUCACCGAAAACACAUGUUGCUGGCGGCAUGCAAUUGAUAUCGCGACAUCGCGAACAACAUCAUGCAUUGACAAUUGUUCAUUGCUCUCACCCUCAAGCAACAAACAAGAGUCUCUAAGUUCAUGGACCAAUGCAUAUAAUUUGUCUCGUGCAUCUUCCAUCUUAUUGACUCCUUUAAAUAUACCCAAACCCAUGGAGUACUUAAACAAGUCGAAAGUAAAAAUACGGUUACCCAUUAGACUGCAGAGCUGAAAAAUUUCCUUGCGUUCACCUUUUAAUUGGUUGAAACUCAGCUCAAUACUUGCAUAAGUCUCUGCAGAUACUCCUUCGAAGUUUACCAUUGAAGGCGUUCGGAGUUCUCGCAAGGAAUUCUUCCAUUCAUGCAGACUCUUGCCUCUCAGUGCCUUUGCUACUGUAGUCAAGGCAAUGGGCAAACCUCCACAUGCCCUGGCGACGUCUAUUGCUGUAGAUUUCAACUCACGAUUUUCAACAUCAUCACCGGCCAUCAUCUUAAACAAUCUCCAGGCUUCUUCUUCAUUUAAAUUGUUUAUCAAAAAGUUGUCUUUAGAACCCAUUUUUAAGAGGACACUACGAUCUCUUGCUGUCAGCAGUAGUUUGCAUCCUUUAUGAUCUUCUGCAAAAGGAAUUCCAACAGUCUCCAAAUUAAGGUGUUUCCAGAUGUUAUCUAAAACCACAAGGAUCUUCUUCUCAUUUCUCAAUCGCUCAAAUAGUCUACUUGCUCUUCCAGAUUCAACUUCCUCGCGCAACUCCAGGCCCAACUUCUCGGCAAUUUCCUGUUGAAUCUUUUUUAUGUCUGGAGUUUGCGAAACCUCUGAAAAGACCACCAUAUCAAAGAGCUUGGCUUCCAUAGCUUGCCUGGAGACCUCCUUCACCAGUGUCGUCUUUCCAAUGCCGCCCAUGCCGUACACCCCAAUGAUGCUAACAUCGAUCAAUGCUUUUUUUAUAGCCUCCAAAGUAGAACGUCUUGAUUCGAAGGCCUCGUAGCCUAUGUGAGACUUGAGCCAAAUCUCCUCCGGAAUGGUACGGUGGGAAACAAUAUCAAACUUCUUUACUUCUUCUCCAAGUUCAACAAGGGCCUUCAUUUCUGUCUCUGCUUUCUUGCUAAGCUGAUAGCGGGUCUUCAAAUUAGGACACAAGCCCUUGAGACAACGCUUAUUCGUUGACUCCUCAUUUUCAAUGAAUUUGGCUGCCCUGUCAAUGAUGUCGUUCGCACUAACCAGCCACUUUUCAACCUUCUCUUCAAUCUUUUCUCCUUUUCUUUCAGCCUCAGAAACUCUGUGCUGAAUGCUCCUACUUUCAUCCUUGAGUUCAUCAAAUUUUGCCCUGAGAUUCUCAAAGUUGGUUUUAUAGUUACGUAAAUAACCAAGUUGGCGUUCUGCUAGAGGAGCCAAGCAUUUCACAACUUCCAAAACAACAGUAAUAAUGGUUUCCACCAUCUUUGAUCCUUCUAUUUUUUUUUUUUUUUUGAGUUCUGAAAAGCAAAUAAACAAGAGCCAACCACAGAAGAGAAAAAAGAAGAAACAACAAAGAUGGACAGUUUAUCUGGUUGUGGAAGCGGAGAAAUGAAAGAAAGCGUAACAACUGAUUGAAUAAAUAUAAGGAGGGAUUUAGAUAAUAAAGGAGAAAGGAACCAAUCAAAAUAACUUAAGUAUAGACCAAAAGAAAGAUGAAAAAUAUAUUAUAGACCACAACCGAAUGAACAAAAGAAGAUGUCUUGACACAGCAGAAGUGCAGAGAGUAGAUAUGGAACAAAACAGAGACAACAGCAGGACACAACUAAAUUGGGAGCGGAGAGAAACUAAUCAACAAGGACUGAGAGAUUACAACAAAACAGAUGCCAAGAGAAAAGGGUUUCCUGAUCCUGUGAAGCUCAAGAGAGUUAACGGCAAUAGGGAGCAAACAUUAAUAACAAAACAACAGUGACUACAACGAACGAACGCAUAUGUUUUUCUUGAUUGAGAAUAAGUUCAAAGAAUGACUUUUUAAUGAGGUGCUGAAGCUGAAGAAUAACGAUUUGCUAAAAUUUUAAGAAUGCUAUAUAUUCUGUAAAUUCAACAAGUGAAGAAUAAAGAAUAAUGGUUUGUCAUCUUCACGAUGAAGAUCAUGGGCGAGAUUAAAAGCAAAAGUGAAGAAUAAAGAAUAAUGGUUUGUCAUCUUCAUGAUGAAGAUCAUGGGCGAGAUUAAAAGCAAAAGUGACCUAUUUGAAAAGCCAAAGUUCAAGUUCCUUUGCUAAGCUUAGAAGUGAAGCAAAGAAUAAAUAAAUAAAUGAGUAAUGAUCAAGGGAUCGGAAUGAAGUGUUAGAGUACAAUUUAUGCACUAGUUUUGCAUUAUUUACUUCUUUUAAUAUCGAUGUUUUGCACUUAAUAAUAGUGAUUUACUUGUGUUUUAUUUUGGUAGGUGCAAUUUUAUUGAUUGGUGCUAAAAUUGAGCUACAAGAUGAUGUUUGAGGAUGAUUGUUUUCUUGAAGAAAUUAUGAGCUUCAGAAGAACUUUGUUGAUAAGGUGUGGGCGCAUGCUGUCAACUACGGACCUGCAGUUUUUAGUUUAACGUGUUUUGUAUUUUUAGUUAUUUUUGUAAUUACGCAUUUAAUAUUUAGAUAAUAUUUUAGAAAUUAGUAUUUUAUUUUAAAAAGAACUCUAGAGGAGAAGAGAGAGAAGAGAAUUUAAGGGAGGAAUCUAUUGUCAAAGACGGGAGAUUUUUGAAGAGAAAGAAACCCUAGAUCUAAAUUUUUCUCUCCUGUCUAUGAAGAACUAAAUCUAUUAUUCUGGUUGAAGGUUAAUGAACUUUGAUUCAUCACUGCUGUGAGAUCUUUCUUAUACUUUAAUUAUUUUAUUACUUUUUGGGUAUUUGUUUAUUCUCUGAAUUAUUGUCAUGAUUAUGUUUGUUAAUUAGAUAAUUGGCUACUAUUUAAUUAUCAACUUAAUCUAUUGUCAAUUAAAAGAUUUAUCGUAUGAAGAUUUUAAUGUUUGUGACAAAUAGCAUAGCAGUGCAUUGUGUUAUGAGAAUAAACAAUCUAAUUUAAAUGAAUCAUCGUAUGCGUUUGUUGAUUAGGAUUUGGGUCUCUCUGAUUUUUCAGACUGUCAAUUGAUUAAAUCCUAUGAUCGUAUCUAGGGUUGUCUAUUGAUUAGGAAAAUAACCAACAAUCGUACCUUAAAACUAAUGUGGAUCGAGCAAUUGAACAGUUGCAAACUCAAUGGAAAUACAAUGGAACCUUAAAAACGAACAGUGAAGGAAAAUGAAGAAAUCUGCAGGAAAUAAGGCGAGUGAGAGUGAAGAAUUAAUUACCACCGAGUAAAUGCGAAUGAAGAAUGGAGACAGAUCGAGAAGUGAGAUUCAGAGAUUGUAUUCAAAUUGAGAGUUGAGAUCAAGAAGCGAUUAUUCUUCUCCGUAAUUUCCUUUUUCUUUUAAUGUUGUUAUUAUUAUUAUUAUUUAUUUUUUUUCAAUUUCAUGAUAUCUUUUUUGUUUUAAACGGUAUUGGCAUAUUACAUUUAUUUAUGUUAAUUUUACAAUACCUCCCUUCAGAUUGCACAAAUUACAUAAAAAAAAAAAGUGCUUUAUGUAUAAAACUUUCAAACAAAUUGGGCCAAAAUCUAACUUUACCAAGUUUAAAGUAAUUUUGGGCUCGACAUUCCAUUUCCGACAAACGAAUUUUCUUUAUCACCGAGGUAUGAUACUUUUCAUAUUUAUCCAACGGCUCAUCAAUGACAAUACCUUUGUAAAAAGUACUUAUUUUCAAUAGUAUAUUGUGGAAAUGUCUGGUCGGUAAUACAACUAUUUCUUAUAGUGCAAAAAUGAUACACUAAUCGUUCACAUUUUGAUGGGUAAUUUAAGGAUUUCAAGAUGAAGUACAUAAUUAGAUUAAUGCUAAGAAACUGAAGUUUGAUCGAUUGAAAACGAAAAUAAUAAUGAAGGUAAUUAAGAAAAUGAACAAUAUAUGCAGAAGCGGUCCUUAUUAGGACUUCUAGAUUUUCUCUUGGGCUUUCCUUAUUAUUGUUAAAAAAUGACAGGAAGAACUUUGAGUUUAAAAAUCUGGCCCUGAUGCCUGGUAGCCCUCCAACAUAUGAAGCACUAGAUGUUUUGAUGAGAAAAUGACAAGACCAUUUAUCAAAUUUCUUGUGGAUAUAAAUACAUACACAUAGACGAGACCAACCUCCUCAAAUGAGAAUCAGAGUGAUUACAAGACCUUGCAAUGAGACAAUGAUACACCAUCAAAUGUCACAAUACAAUAGAAAUUCACGACAUAAAUAUAAUAAAAGACCUCUCAUUGAGUCAUAUAUAUAUUGAGAAUAAAAAUGUUAUAAUACAUACAAAGAGCUUAGCUAGAAUAAAAUGUCUUUGAACUUGCAAUGAUCAAACAAAGGAAACAGACAGGUUGUAACUCACACUAUCACAAGAAGAUCACGAAGAUGGAAAUGGGAACUGCUCAGAAUGGAAACUUUGAAUAGAAGAAAAAAGAAAAACGACCUUAUUCAUAGAAGAAGAGUGACUUAAAUCUUCAUCAGUAUCCAGAUAUUCUGCGAUCAUUGAGUAGAGAAAUUUUAACAGGAACAGCAGAGAAAAUAUUAUGAAUAUGCUAUAGACCAAUAUACUUGUUCAUAGCUAACGUUUGAUGGUUUAAGGAUUUGUUCUAGGAAUAAUGGGCUGAUUACUUUUUUUUUAUUUUAAUUUUUUUUAAUCCAAUGAAUGAUAUUCAGCUGUUAAUUAUGUGUUCAUAGGGAAGAACAUUUUCUAAGUACUUUCCUUGCCUUCUAACUUUCCGAAAAGCAAACCCAAUGAACAAACAGAGCACAAACUAAAAUAAAAGAACAGCAAUGAUGACAAUAAAUAAUUGGCAAGAAAAAAAAGGAAAAAGUAUGCAAGUUUUCAAGGAAUUAUAAAAUAUGAAGGCUUUUAAUGAAAUUUUAUCCUAAAAAGUAUGCAAGGAAUUAUAAAAUUUUAGAAAACAUGGGGAGCUCUAAAAAAAAAAGAAAAACUCAAAUUAAACUAGACUAAAAGACAUUCAAUUUUGCAAAAUCUGUCCAUAAAAGUCUGAAAGGAUCAUUAAAAUUGCAUUGCAAAUUUAACAGUAAACCGAGGGACCCAUUCUAAAUAAUUCAGAUGAAAUUGCGAAACAAGCCAUGGGAUUAAAUAAAUGAAAUAAAAAUUAAUUACCAGUUGAGACUUUCUUCUAAAAAUUCGCAACUCCAGGUCAUAAGAAGCCUAUGAAAUUAGUCGUACUACUGCGUAGAGUAUGACGACGACACCGCCAACAGCUUAAAAUAAAAUUCUUAUUCAUCAAAUAUCUUAUCUAUAUUGUAUUUAAGAAAGCAAAUUUUGUAAAAAUUUAUCAUGGGAGAUAGAGAGUAAUAUGUAUAUACGUACCUUCUCAGCAUGUAAUUGUUGUAUGGUUGUGUUUAGAUCAUUAUUAGCCCAGCGCCGUUGAUCCGCUGUCUCUCCAUAGCAGACGUUUACUCGGCGUGAUUGAUUCUCCUGUAGUGAAAAUCUUCAUCUUGGGACAACCAAUCACACAUAACUCUUGCAAAGAUGGGAAUUUGAUGGUGUAAUUGGUAGAGCAGAAACUUGUGAGGCUAUCUAAAUCACGCAGUUCCAACGUCUUCAAUUUACUGGUGAAGUAGGUCCAUAGCUAAAAUAAAAUUGGAAGAAAAUGAAGAGCAAGCACACAGAGGACACUAAAAAUUACGUGGUUCGACUUUUAACAUACGUCUAUGGGUAAAGACAAAAGGAUAAAACUUUAGUGGUGAAAUGAGGAUUACUAGUAUUAUAAUAUUUUGUUUCACUUCCCAGAACCCCAAUCCACUCAAUCUCUUAAAACACUAAUCACUCAAGAGCAUUAAAACUCUUAGUCUCUCACACUAGAAUUGAAGAAGAAAAGAAUGAAAUGCAGGGGUGAACCCCUCAUUUAUAGUUAAAAUUUUGGGCACUAUUUAUAUAUAUAUAUAUAUAUAUAUAUAUAUAUAUAUAUUAAAUUCAAAGUUUGAACUUGACAUUCAAACUUUGAAUAUCAAAAGGUAUUGGUCGCUCUUCUAGAAAAGCGACAUUGACUUUGAUAUUCUCCCACUUAGAAAUUUGAUUGAGAAUCAAUCAAUCUCCACACCAUCCUUUCUACUUCGCCGCUGUCAUGUUGUUUAUGUCUCUACUAGGCCGUAAAAUGAUCUACUCCAAACAAAUUUAUCAGCAUUGAUAGGCUUGGGCAAAACAUUUGUUAAGUUCUCCUUGGUAUCCACUCUUAUAUCUUUCACUACUUCACGAAGAAGUGAUAUUGUACUCCUAUAUUCUUUGUCCUAAAAUAAAAGGUUGGAUUCCUUGCAUUCUAACUAUCACAAGCCAUAAAAAAUUUUAUGCCCAAGCUCCUUCAGUAACCUUUGUAUCCAAAUAGCUCAUCCAAGCUUGUGUAGCUGCUAUGUAAUCUGCUUCUGUUGUUGAUAAAGCCACAAUGGUCUGCAAUUUUGAAAUCCAACUAACAAUUUCUCAUUCUGGUGCAAAUACUUAGCCAGUAGUGGAUUUCUUUUUAUUAAGAUUUUCUGCAAAAUCUGAAUGCACAUAGCCCUUGACAGUAUCCUUCGUAACAUAAUGCAACAUCUGAUGUUCCUAUGAUAUAUCUCAGAAUCCUCUUAAUAGUCUUCCAAUGUUCUUUGCAAGGAUUCGCUAUGUAUCGACUAACCUCUCCCACUACUUGUACAAAUCAUAGCGAACCUUAAAUUUUCCACUGCUGAUGCAUACAGUACUCAAGACAUCUCUUCUUCUCUACUUCAUUACUAGAUGAAUACUUAAGAAUAACUUGAAAUUAAUGGGAGGCGGGGUAGAAAGCCAAAUCUUUUUGCUAUUACUAUCUCGGUGAAUUUGCAUCCCUAAAAUCUUGUUUGCUGGUUCUAAGUCUUUUAUUUCAAACUCCCUAGUUAACUGUGCUUUAGUUCUUGGACUCGAUCUUUGUUGGGGCCUGCUACUAAUAUGUCAUCAACAUACCACAGUAGAAUGAUGAAAUUAUUAUUAUCAAACUUGUUGUAAUAUGUACAACAGUCUGAACUGAUUCUAUUGUAUCCAAGGUUUAUGAUGAAUGGAUCAAAUCUCUUAUAUCAACAUCUCGGUGCAUGUUUGAGAUCGUAUAGAGAUUUGUUUAACUUGCAAACCAAGUGUCCCUUUUUAGUAAAACCUUCUAGUUAGAGCAUAGAAAUCUUUUCUUCAAGUUCUCCAUAAAGAAAUGAAAUUUUCACAUCUAACUGCUCCAAAUAUAGGUCAAAUGUAGCACACAUCGACAAGACCACUCUGACUGUCCUGAGUCAAAUCACUGGAGAAAAUAUCUCAUUGAAGUUAAUACAUUCUUUCUAAGGAUAUUCUUCCAUCACCAAUCUUUCAUGAUACCGCUCCACUAGGUUAUUACCAUCACGUUUGAUCUUAUGGACCCAUUUCCAACCAAUGGGUCUUUUUUUUUUCAUAUAGUAGUAGUACGAGUUCCUAUGUCAUAUUCUUGUGUAGAGCCUUAAUUUCUUCCUGCAUUGCUAUCAUUCACAAAGUAACAUCUGAGCUGUUUAAGGUUUCAUGAAAAGUUGAUGGCUUUCCAUUCUCUAUUAAAAGACAGUAUGCAAAAUUGAUAUCUGUGACAUAAUCCAAAUGCCACACUGACAAUUAUCUAUCACGAGUUGACCAACAAACUUUUGGGGCCUCAGACUCGAUUGGUUCUUGUUCUCAUACUUUGGUGCUGUUUCAAAAAAAUCUAAAUCUUCAUUUUCCAAAUUAUUUUCAACAUAUAUUAGCACAAUCUCUGAAUUUUUAUAGUGCUAUCAUCCAUAUCUCUCUUUUGCAUUUGAUCUUCUACAAAGAUAAUAUCUCUACUGAUAACGAUCUUAUGGGCAUUGAGGUCCCACAGAUAAUACCCUUUCACUCCAUCAAUAUAUCCUAAGAAGAUACAUCUCUUGGAUUUUGGAUCCAUCUUUAAUCUCACUUGGGUAUUGUAUAUCACGUAAAAGGACAUCAAAAUGCCUAAGAUGAGAGUAAUCAACUGGCUUUCCUGUCUAUUUUUUCCAUUGGAAUUUUCAACCCGGUUGCAUUGAAUGAUGACCCACUUACCACAUAAUAAGUAGUUUUUGCUACUUCCACCUAGAAUGAGUUGGUAGACCAGCAUUUCUCAACAUAACUCUUUUUUUUUUUAUAAGAGUCAUGCCCUUUCACUCUACUACUCUAUUUUAUUGAGGAGUGUAUGCCACCGUGAACUAUCUCUAGAUACUUUCUUGCUUACAUAUGCAAGAAACAUGCUAUUUGUAUACUCUCCACCAUUGUCUGUCCUCAGGCACUUGAUCCCUUGCCCUGAUUUAAGUUCAAUCUACGCUUUGAAUUCUUUGAACAAUGGAAAUACAUUUGACCUUUUCUUGAUUGGAUACACCAAAUAUCUCCUAGAAUAAUCAUUAAUAAAAGUCACCAAGUACUUUGCACCUCCCAUAGAUAUAUCAAUUGAUUCCCAAACAUUAGAAUGAAUCAAGUCUAAAAUACAUUUACUUUUGAAAGUGGAUCUGCUAAACUUUCAUCUAUGUUGCUUCCUUGUUUUGACAUGUGGCCAAGUUUAAGAUGCCACAUCAUCACUGAAUUUUCUCUAUUUGAUGUGACUGACACAAAAGCUUUCUGUAGUGUUUCCCUUUAAGCAUGAAUAAAUUAUCACCGAUCUUUUCCACCUUCAUUAAUGCAAGUGCGCCUUUGACUAUCUUUAUGAUCCCAUUUUCUACAUGAGUUUUGCGCGCAAGACUAUCUAUUUGUCCUAAAGACAAGAGAUAUUUUUCAAGUCUUUGACAUGUCUUACCUUCUCAAUUGUGCGAACCAUACCAUUAAACAUAUUUAUUUUGACAGUACCAAUAUCAGUAAUCUCAAAGGCAUAAUCAUCACCUAUGUAUACAAAUUCUCUUGAAAUAGGUUCAUAUUUGUGAAAUCAUUCUCUUGGAGAGAUCAUGUGCCAGGCAACUAUUAAGUCUAUAAGCCAGAUGUCAUAUAGUGGUUUUCUAUCUUCUGAAGCAGUUGUUGCCUUACUGUAAAGAAUUUUGCCAUCAUACGAGGUACUUACUACAUACCCUUGAGCAUUUGAUGACUCAGAAUCUUUACCAUCUCUUCUCUUCUAGUUGUUCCAAAACUCUUCCUUGACAUGCCCUUUCUUGCAACAGUUGUUGCAUUUGACAUUCUUUUUACUUCUAGAUUUUGAUCUACCGUGACUGUGGCUCUCACUAGGGCCACGUUCCAUGGAUCUUCCUUUCAUCACCAAUAGCGCUUCUACUUGUUGCGAACUCUUUUGUCUAUCUUUUUUAUUUUUUGCUACUCUCCUCAUUUAAUACGGAGGCUGCCAUAUUGUCAAAGACUAACUUGUUUGCUCGAUUGUUAUUAGUUAUAUUAAUGACGAAUUGAUCAUACGAAUCUGGUAAACCUUGAAGUAAAAGCUCUAUAUGUUUAUUUUCCUCUAUUUUAUGACCCAACGUUGUAAGUUAUGAAAAUAAAGUCUUUAAAGUGUUGAUAUGGUCGAUCACUGAUGUAGAUUCCUCCAUUCGAAGAGUAUAAAGCCUCAUCUUUAAGAAGAUUUUAUUUUGUAGUGAUUUGACCUCGUAUAGUCUUGUGAGAGUAAACCAUAUUUCCUUUACUCUCUUUUACUCUACCAUAUUGAAAAAUACCCUAUCUGAAAGUGGUAAGUGUAGAUAUGCAAUGGCAUUAUUGUCUAUCUCAUUCCACUUGCCAUCAUUAGUUAUCUUUGUGAGCCUCUCUUCAAUUGCUGCCAAGCAAUUACUUUUCCUCAAUACAACCUUCAUCUUCAUUUUUCAUGACGAAAAAUUAUUUCUGUUGAACUUCUCAAUUUUGUAUUUUUCCGCCAUCACUUUUCACCACGAGCUACCUUGCUAAGAUCGAUCAAACUUUACUAGCGAAAUGAGGAUUAUAAGUAUUUUAGUAUUUUGUUUCACUUCUCAAAACCUUAAUACACCCAAUCUCUCUAAACAUUCUUAAUCCCUCAUUAUAGAACUAAAGAAGAAAAGAAUGGAAUGAAUGAAAUGAGGGGGUGAACCCCUCUAUUUACAGCUAAAAAUUUGGGCACUUUUUAUAUCUAUUAUUACAAUUAUUUAUUUCAAAAUUUAACGUUUGAAACUUGAUAAUCAAACUUUGAAUAUCAAAAGAUAACGGUUCCAAUCUUGACUCUUAGGCUGAUAUUUAGAGCCUUACACAAAGAAAAAUCNNNNNNNNNNNNNNNNNNNNNNNNNNNNNNNNNNNNNNNNNNNNNNNNNNNNNNNNNNNNNNNNNNNNNNNNNNNNNNNNNNNNNNNNNNNNNNNNNNNNGUAAAAUAUAAAAUCAUAUUACACAAAAAAUAUCAAAUUACUAAAGUGAUUAAAAUCAUUCCCAUCAAAUUAAGUCAAUGUCAUCAAAUUAGAAGAUAAUCUUUGAACUAAUUAAGCAAAAGUAAAUCUUCAAAGUUGAACUCAUCCAUAAAUGUCAUAUAGUAUAAACCAUCAAUUAAAUUAUCUUUGUCAAUUUUAAAAUGUUUAUAUUUACUUUAUAUUGGCUGUUAUUUAUAUUAUUUUUAUAAAUGUAUUGUGAUAUUUUUUAUUUACAUCACACUAUUAUAAUUGAAAUUUUAAAUGUAUUUACUAUAAAUUUGAAAUAAAUUAAUUAAAAAUAGAACUAAAGAUAGAAAUAGAAAAAUGUGGAGCCAAAUAAAAUAUUAGGGCAAACACUAAGUUAUAUUUCAUGUAACUUACACCCACACAUAUUAAUUUAUCACAGUCUUGUCUCCACAUAGAAAAAUUAGAUCUAAGAUUAUCAAACUCCCGAAUGAGGAAGAUCCCUCGGGGCCAUCGUCCCUGUGGAAAUUUCUGCAUCCCUGCAGUCUACAACGCCUAAUAAUGAAUUGAACGGUUGAAAUCCCUCUAAAUUUUUGAUAAUUUCUAAUCGCCCCUCCAUAUUUGAUUGAACAUCAAAACUAUUGAGUCCAAAUUUAUAACUUUGAUUUAUCUUCCAUUCCAUAGUUUUCAAGUUCUCUCUCUCUCUCUUUUAAUCCUUUUUACUGCAACCACCAUCAAAGCCUAGUAGUUAAUAUGUAUGCUGCUUUGCUUUCAAAAUCGGACACUACUGGUAUUUAUGGUUUUUAUUCUUUAUUUGACACAAAAUUUGGCGAUAUCUCCGCGGAAAAACACUACUGGUGUAUUCAAUUUUAUCCGGUAAUGAUUAAAUUGAUUAUUACAUGAACCGUAACUUCGCCAAGCCCAAAAUACAUAUUAAGUUAUAAAGCGUGGCACUCAUUAUUUUUCGCAAAAAGUUUCGCCCAAAAUACAUAUAUUUUUUUAAUUUUUUCUGUGAAAAAAACUACUGUUAUAUUCAAUUUUAUCAUUAAAGUUGUUAGUUACAUGAACCUUAAAUUAACACAAACCGUAACUUAGCCAAGCCCAUAAUACAUUAUUUCAUAUUUGUAUGAAAUUUAAAGUUUUUCCACUUUAUAUUUUUCCGCUAAAGUUUCUAAAUUGUAUUNNNNNNNNNNNNNNNNNNNNNNNNNNNNNNNNNNNNNNNNNNNNNNNNNNNNNNNNNNNNNNNNNNNNNNNNNNNNNNNNNNNNNNNNNNNNNNNNNNNNNNNNNNNNNNNNNNNNNNNNNNNNNNNNNNNNNNNNNNNNNNNNNNNNNNNNNNNNNNNNNNNNNNNNNNNNNNNNNNNNNNNNNNNNNNNNNNNNNNNNNNNNNNNNNNNNNNNNNNNNNNNNNNNNNNNNNNNNNNNNNNNNNNNNNNNNNNNNNNNNNNNNNNNNNNNNNNNNNNNNNNNNNNNNNNNNNNNNNNNNNNNNNNNNNNNNNNNNNNNNNNNNNNNNNNNNNNNNNNNNNNNNNNNNNNNNNNNNNNNNNNNNNNNNNNNNNNNNNNNNNNNNNNNNNNNNNNNNNNNNNNNNNNNNNNNNNNNNNNNNNNNNNNNNNNNNNNNNNNNNNNNNNNNNNNNNNNNNNNNNNNNNNNNNNNNNNNNNNNNNNNNNNNNNNNNNNNNNNNNNNNNNNNNNNNNNNNNNNNNNNNNNNNNNNNNNNNNNNNNNNNNNNNNNNNNNNNNNNNNNNNNNNNNNNNNNNNNNNNNNNNNNNNNNNNNNNNNNNNNNNNNNNNNNNNNNNNNNNNNNNNNNNNNNNNNNNNNNNNNNNNNNNNNNNNNNNNNNNNNNNNNNNNNNNNNNNNNNNNNNNNNNNNNNNNNNNNNNNNNNNNNNNNNNNNNNNNNNNNNNNNNNNNNNNNNNNNNNNNNNNNNNNNNNNNNNNNNNNNNNNNNNNNNNNNNNNNNNNNNNNNNNNNNNNNNNNNNNNNNNNNNNNNNNNNNNNNNNNNNNNNNNNNNNNNNNNNNNNNNNNNNNNNNNNNNNNNNNNNNNNNNNNNNNNNNNNNNNNNNGAUACUUCUGAUAUAUUUUAAAAUUUUUAAUGCACCAAAGUUCAUUUUUAGCUUUUAAGGUUUUUAUGUGUGAGCCUCUCAGCACGUUCCCCAACCUCCUCACGUGAAAAUAUUUCUAUGCACGGUUACAAGCUUUUCCAGAUUGUGAGUAUUCCGAAGCAAUCCAACUUGAAAAACAGCUGGUUCGUAGAAAAUGACAGUUUACGAAGCUGGCCCUGCUGCCAUACAUAUGAUGAUGAAGACCAUUUUGCUUUAUGUCAAUUCCUCCAAGUUGAAAUCUUUCUCGGUCUGGGACACUUCCAACACAUAAAGUACUACUAGGCUAGAUGAUUUUAAAAAAUGUCAAGGUCCUUUAUCAAAUUUCAUUUGCAUUCAAGACCAAUCCCCUUUGAUGAAAAUCAAUAAUUAAAGGCUUUCCAAUGAGAAAUUAUUACGUCUUCAAAUCUCAAAAAAUCGCCAGAAUAUUAAUUCGCUACAUAUAAUCAAGAUAUCUCAUUGAGACGCAUUAAUAAAAAAUGUCAAAAUGCAUAGAAAGAGCAGACACACGGAUGAUGAAUUUACUCAUCUUGAUUAGUAUUUGAACUUGAGAGACAGAAUGAAGUACAUGUCAAGAAUAUCAUAGAGAUGGAAACCGGAAGUCCUCCGCACAUAAACUUUGAAGAAACUGGAAAACGACUUUAUUCCAGAUAAUGCACACCAGAGUGACCAAAAUUCUCUUCAGUAACUAUAGAGAAAAUAUUAUUUUGCAUGCAUUUCACGUAACUGGAUCAAACUACUCCCCUGUUGGUUUAUCAGACCACAUUUUUAUGGUGCAAUAUAAACCAUCUUUUCAAAACACUUUUACAAUGUGAGAAAUAUAGGCAUUAAGUUUCAUAAACUAAAAACUCCAAUUGUCCAAAAAAAAAAAAAGGUGAGAAACUCAGUAGAAUUUACAACUUCUCAGACUCACGAAAAGGUGAGAAACAAAUGAUUUUUAUAUAGUUGUUCAUAGCUAACUUUUGAUGGUUUAAUGAUCUGUAGAUUUUGUUUUAUGCUAUUCAAGGAAAGAUAUUCGAUUGUUCCUAAGAGUUCAUAGGCAGGGGCAUAUAUGCAUGAUUUGAUAUAAUUCUCGCAAUUUCUAAGUACUUGCUCUUUCCAUACCUUCUAAGUUUUGAAAGAAAGGUUGAAAUAAACAGAUAAACAGGACAAACAGAAGAAGACUGAAUUAACAGAUCAACAAAGAUGGCAACUAACAAAUGGAAAAGUUCUCUUGUAAUCAAACUAUAGCAAACAGAUGACACCAUUACCAUAUAUCUUAAUGAGUAGAUUGAUUCUAAACAUAUAUGUUAGGAUACAUUUGGUUGUUUAAUAGUUUGAAAUAAGGAGGAUGAGAUGGUUUCCACAUAAAAGUGCUGGCCCUUUCAAUGACAUUUUCAAGGAAUUAUAAAAUUCAAAAUUAAAAAAAAAAACACAUUAUAAAGCCACGACGUCAAAAAAAUAAAUAAAUAAAUAAGUGAAGACCAAACUAAGUCACUAAGACCUUUAAUGAUAUAAAAUCAGCAUAUAAAUCUCAGAACAAAACAUUAAAACUCAUUCUAAAAGUAAAAAUAAACUAGUGGUGUAUUCCAAACAAUUUAGAUGAAGCGAUAAAACAAGCCAAGAAAUCAAAUAAAAUGAAAUGAAAUUGAAUUACCUGGGACUUUGUUUUUCAAAUUCACAACUCGCUUGUAAUUAAAGUAAAACGCCAAUGCCAUUAGGACAUAUACAUCAUUGAAUAAGAUGAGGACCCCUCCAACAGCUGAAAGUAAAAUUUUCAUUCAUUAGUUUCAAUUAAAAGUAAAGCACGCAGAGAUUUGCAGGGAAGCAAGAGAUUUAAUAAAUUUAACAACAGCAAUUUAAUUUGACAGGACUUCCAUACAGUAAUGAAGUUAAAAACUAACGAUUAACGAAAUUUUGUAAUUGAAUGAAUAAGAUUCUCUGAUUUUGGAUAAUUGAAUGAAUAGGAUUCUCUAACUCUUGUGAAAAUAUCAAUUUUAAAUAGGGUAGAGUUUCAAGAAUUAAGCACAUAUGUAUCCCAUCUGCCAGUACGUGAUCAUAAACUUACUUUAUAACAAAUAUCUGAUCUAUUUGGUGCAUUUUAUUUAAAAGAGAAAUUUUAUAAAAUUUUUCCACUGGUGAUAGUGAGUUAUUCGUACCUUCUCAGCAUGUAAAUGCUGUAUGAUUGUGUUAAGAUCAUUAUUAGCCCAAGGCUGUUGAUCGUCUCUCUCUCCAUAGUAGAAGUUUACUCUGAGAGGCGCGUUUAAUUCUCCUUUAGUGAAAAUCUUCAUCUUGGGACAACCAAUUAUAGAUAAAUCUUCCAAAGAUGGGAAUUUGAAGGUGUAAUUGGCAGAGCAGAAACUUGUGAGACUAUCCAAAUCAUACAGAUACAAAAUCUUCAAUUUGGUGAAAACAAUCUCUUCUUCAAAAUUUGCUGCUCCAUCUUCGUCAUUUAUCACCACCUCUCUCAUUGCUCUGCAUCCAUAUACCAACAUUGAUAAGAGUCGCUGUAGAGUUUGGAGUGACAGAUUCGAUAAUGAUCAACUCCAAAUACUGGCCAAGAUCGCAAAUCAAACAACCAAGAUGCAAAAAGAAUCAAUCCAGAACAAAUCACAGAGAAACUUAAGAACCGAAAAGAAUUAAAGAAUUAGCAGCAAAGACAAAAGAAUUAACAGAUUUUGACAAUAAUGUACAUUUAGAAUUUCAAGGCAUUGAACAAAGGAGUCCAAUUUGGAGUCUUGUUUCCACAAUUGCUUCAGAUGAUUAAAUUUGUGCAGAUCUAAAUGUUUUAUCAUUGUAAACUUCCUCACAUGUUUCUUCAAGUAUCCUCCAUUCGAAAAUACCUCUUCGCAUGAACAACGACGCCGUAUGAGAGUUUCCAGAUUAUGAAAUCUCUCAAGUAAAUCAAGUGGAAAACAAGUUGAGUCAUCAUCCACUGUUUGUAGUAGUUUAAGACUGCCAAAAAGGUGUUGUGGGAAAUCGCUCUGCAAAGUCAUCCUCGAGUCUUUUCCACUUAAUGCCAGUUGGGUAAGCUCUGAUCAUCAUCAAUCACGUAAUAACUUAUUAAGUCAAUUCAUAUUCUCUCAAAUAACUUUUAAUAAUCCAAUCAUACACAGUGACUUUAAUAUAAAUCAUAAUAAUUUACAAAAAAGAAGAAAAAAUCGAAUUAGAGGUAAAAGUUAUUCUACGAUUUUAUUUUUUAUAUAUAUCUUGCAUGCUAUUCCCAAAAGCAAUCCCAAACGACCCUUAAAGCAAUUUUACAAAAGCGGCCCGUACAUGUAUUGCCAACUUUGUUAGGAAUGGCAAUGGGAAGGGGAGGGGAAGAGACCGACCUCCCCGUACCCAUUCUCGAUAUUCUGUAUAUAUCCCUGGCCUCUUCCCAUUCACAAAAUUGCUUUAGGGAAUCCCCCUCCCCUCCCUAAAUAAUAAUAGGGGAUCCUUAAAGGUCCUCGAUUCUCGAAUAACUGAUACGUUUUUAGUUUUAAAUUUUAAUUUAAUCAUAUUAAAAUAAAAAAUAAAAAUAAAAAUAAAGUUUGACGAUAUAUCUUACAUUAACAUUAAUCUAUUACAAAAGUCACAUUACAAAGUAUAAAUCACCAUAAUAAUUAUCUUCGGCAAUCUUCAAAAUCAUAUAAUAAAAAAAAAGAAAUUACUUUUAUAUCAACAAUGAGAUAAAUGAAAUGAAUAUAGAUACUUAAUCAAUAUUUCUAAUAAAAGUAUUUACCUCUUGUGUCUCCUACUCUUCUUGUUCUUCCUCAAGGAAUGUGACAAAUUGAGAGAUAGCCUCAGAUUUCAAAUUUAAAACAACAAAAAUAAUAUAAGUAAUGUAAAUUCUAAGUGAAAAUAUUAAUAAUUAUAUAAUAUAAUUACAAUGUAAAAUAAACUCAUACUGCCAUUGUAAGCUUGUAGUCAACUUUGACAACAUAUUAAAGCCUCCAAUGUGCUUGAAUAAAGCGUGUUACGGUACUCUACCACUGGUGCUAAAAGCUAAUUCAGAAGCAACAUUUGUAAUUAGAAUUGCCAAAAUAUCUCUAGCAAUUCAUGCCAGUAUAGGAUAUCUAUAGACAUUUAUUUUACACCAACUCAAAAUAUUAAAAUCUUUCAUCCUAAGCAUAACUUUCUCAUCCAAAUAUUAAUGUAGUCAAUUAGGCCUAAAUUUUAAUAAUAUAAUUAUUUUAUUUUUUUUUAUUUAUACUAAUAUUUAAUAUUUUAUUAUUUAUUUACAAAUAAUUUUAAAAAAUAAAAUUAAAUCAAAAAAUUAGAAGAGAAUAGGGAUUCUGCCGAUCCCCGUUCUUUCUCUGAAUAAGAAAUUAGGUAAAAAAACUAUCUCCGUCUCCUUUUCAAAUAAAAAAUUAAGUAAAAAAUUAUGUACCCACCUGAAUUGGGAAAAUCUCGAGGGUCAUGUCCCCGCGGCAAUAUCUGCCAUUCCUAAACUUGUAACAGCCAGUUGCUUUUGUGACCGUUUAUGUGACGGCUAGACUGCUCUCACUUAUGUUACUAACCACGUGACGGUAGAGAGUGACGGUAGAGAGUGACGGUAGAGUUAUAAAUUUGUUUCUAAAUAGAAAACUAUUUGCUGGAGUCAAUAUUUUGAAGACCAAAGUCCCAAAUUCUCUCUCGUGCCUGGCCAGCAUCCUAAACCUUACUGGUAGCCGGAGAAUGGCGUAAAACGGCAGCGAUCUUCUUCUUCAUCUUAUUCUCUCUCUUCGUUUCAGGUAAGCUUGUGAUUAUGAGUUUCCUCUCUUUCUUAGCUUGUAAUUAUAGGUUUUGAUUUCUUUAAUUCGUAUUGUAACCAUUAAUGUCAAUUUUUGUCCCGCCGGCAAUAUUUCUUGUUCCUAGAAGUUGAAGCCCUUCUGUUCUUGUUCCAUUGGUGACUUUGCUCACUCAAAUUAAUUUUGUUCUGCGGAAUUUACAAAGUUCAAAUGGAUUCAUUUGGAUUACUAUUGAAUUUAGCUUUAAUUCCAACAUCCAUUCUAAUGUUUUGGCAUUAGAUUUAGUUUAAUUUUAUGUUUAAAGCUUCUACAAUGAAUAGCGGAGCUUGGGUUUUAGUUUCAUUUUCUAAUUAACUUGUUUUAGUUUAUCUUAUAUGCUCGCCAAGUGCUUGUUAUAUUGUCUGAUAAGUUAUAUAACAUUGCUGAUUCUAUAUUAGUAAUGUCAUGUUCCAUUUACGGAAAUUAUAACACAAAAGUUUUUACAAUGGCUUGCAUCUACAAACUGAAUUGACUUGUAGAGUAAGAGCUUGGAUUAGUGUUAUGUUCUUGAAUAAAUGAAAGUUCAUAUUGUGUAAGAGCAUGUAGAUGUAAAGCAUCACUACCAUUUCUACAAACUGCUUUCAUUCUGUUCAGAUGCUCCUCUUGAACUUUGAAAGGUGCCUCAUUCAAGUCCUAGCUAUAACUAAUAGCUCUGAUUGCUUAAGUUCCUGUGCUAGCUGAAACAGAUUUAUUUAAUUAAUUAAUUGUGUAUGUACUAAUUAUAUUGAAAGUAUAUGAAGAAAUUGUUUAACAUGAAUGACUUCUAAAUGACUUAAAAGCCUAAAGGAUAUGUCAAAUAAUGCUCAUUUCACUUGAACGAGCCUAAUACUUUUAUGUCUAUGAUUGUCAAUCUUGCUUAAGUGUUUCAGUUAAGUGGUUUACCUAACAGGGAAAAAAAUUUAAUGGAAAACUUUAGAGUUCUAACAGAAAUAUAGUUGACUGCAGAUAUAGUUAUUUUACAGUACAUAAAUCAUAUUGUCCUAUUCUCAAUGUCCUGCGACCUAUUUUAUUUUAUAUGGUCAUUCAUUUUUGCGAUGGUUUUUUGUGCUUAUGAGUAUGGAAAUAGUGGGAUUUGGUGUGGCAAACAAAAAUAUACAUAUAAUCAAGUUUCUUAAUCAUGUAUAUUGGUUUUGGGUAUGAAUGUUUUCCUAUUCUAGUUCUAGGCAAAGUUUCUUCAUUUUGGUCUUCAGAUUUCCAGUAGGUUAAGUUAAGCAACUAUCAUAACUAGCUAGCUAGUUAUUGCCUGCCUUGUCGCCAUUACCGACGCCAUUGCAUUGCAUGGCAUAAGGAAUAGUAACUAGGUGAUUAUUGGUGAUUCCUUGAGUUUAUUAUUGGCCAAACAAACAUAUUCUCCUUUACCCACAACUUAGUUUGAUUAGUUAUUAGAUAAUAAAGAGCCUUAAUCUAUGCAUUGCUUUAUUAUUUUUAUUUGGUUUUUCUUUCAACAAUAUUGUUGAUUUCUUAUAAAAAAUAUUCAUUGGUUUUUAAACACCUAAUCAUUGGCUAUAAUGAAGCUAAUUAAAACUGAGGCUUUGGAUCAAUUUCUGUUAACAACACACAAAUGAGCAUAACCACCCCCUCCCCCCCCCCCCCCCACCACCACCACCAAAAAAAAAAAAACAAAUAGUAAGACUUUGCAAGAUUCACAACCAGGUUACAUUUAAUUUAUUAAUUGUGUGUACGUACUAGUUAUUUGUUGAUAGAAUAGGAAGAAGUAUUUUAAUAUGAAUGACUUAAAACUUAUUGCUCAGUAAACAUAAUGUGCAUCAGUGCUAGAAAAUGUAUUUGUUGUUUGUAAUUUUUUAUGGUUUUGCUUAAGAAAUGAAAUGUGAAAAAAUGCUACAUUUUAUUAGGAAUAAAUUGAAGAGAUUUAUGAUUUUUAUGUGUUAUUCAAGUUUCAGAUUCAAUUUUAAACUUUUGAUACAUGCAUUGAAAGCUUAAACUCCUUUAAGAAAUUAUUAAUAGACACAUGUUUUAUUAGUGUCAUCUUUUGGAUGAUAGUGAGGAUCUUAUGUCUAUUAAUAAUUCUUGAAUUAUCUAGGCUUGGACAGUUUGGUAAUGCAUAGAUUUCUAUGGUAGCUAGUGCCUGAAAUUUUUUUCCCACGUAAAAAUGGGUUUUUCAGCAGCUGCUCCUCAUGUUCUCUGGGUGCAUACUAGACAAAUGGGUGUCAUGUGUUGUUUUGGCAUAACACAUAAACAUUCAUAUAUCUAUGUCGUGUACUUGAAGAACUAUAGGGAGAUGCUUCCGAAGUUUCUAUAAACGUAGAGGAAAACUUUAGAUACUUAAGAUUGAAGAAACUUAUGCAUUCUUGAGUGGGAUAUAUAGGACCACUUACCUUUUGUAAAUAUGAAGGGAAUGUUGGAUAUAUUGAUGGGAGUGGAGGAGCUGAGUGGGAUGAAUGUAAUCGGUUAUGAUUUUGCUGAGUCGACUUGGUUUUGAGUCUUGUAAUUUUGUUUAUAAAUGGAGUACUAUCUCCAAUGUUGGUUUAUAAAUAUGUUUCAGCUGGCUGACCUAAUUUUUUGUUUCUAGGUAACAGGCUUUAUAUAUCUGUAAUUGAUAGCCAAGUGAAGUUCUCAGCAGUGGGUGAGGAUAUUUCUUUACAGAAGGUAUUGCAAACUGUUUUUUAGAUUAAUUAUUAUUGUAUCUACUUUAAUUUUCACAUCUUUUUCUCUAAUUCUUGUGGCUUUGCUUGCUUCCAUAUAUAUAAAACCAUAAAAUUGUAUAAUAAUUUUUUUUAUUAUAUUGCGAAACUGCGCACACAUGAAAAUAUCUUGUUUAGUAGUAGAAAUGAAGAAUUAAAGUGAUUUAUUUAACUAAUUUUUCUAGUGCAUUAAAAGGACAUAGUCAUGGACCAGAGUUGGGUUGGUUUGCCAAAUAGAUAUCCAAUUCAUAUAAAAUUUAUAGAUUUUGCAUUUGAGAAUGUUGUUGGUGAUAAAAGAAUUUAUUGUCCUUCUAAGAAGUGUCGUAAUAUCGAUAUUUCCUUAUAAGGAAAGUGGCAAGAGACCAUAUCAUUAUAAAUGGCUAUUGGUUAAAGUAUUAAAACUGGAUAUUGGAGGGUGAGCCAUCUUCAUCUUUGAAAUCUAACUAAGAAACAGGUUAGUCAUGACUCGGGUAGUGAUGCUAGUAUGGUUGGAAUGAUGCAUAAUGCAUCACAUAAUCAAAUGUUCAAGUCACACGCAGCAUUGUUAUGGACUAUCUCCGACUUUCUAGCAUAUGCCAACUUGUUUGGGUGGAGUAUUAAAGGUAAAUAAGCAUUUCUUGUUUGCCAACAAAACACUAGAUCUAAUUGGUUGAUACAUAGUAGAAAAUUGUCACGUGGGUCACCGUCGAUUUUUACCAACAAAUCAUAGGUUCCGAAAAUAUAGUGCCAUCUGAUAAAACUAGAGAGUGGGGACAAGCACCUUCUCGGUUGUCUGGAGCCGAGGUGAAAAAAUGUACUUACUGAGUAUAAGAUUGAAGACUUGAAAAGAGGAGAAAAGAGGAGAAUGAAUAAAAUGAAAGAAAUGAUAAGAUUACUUGGAAGAAGAAAAGCAUUUUUUAUGAACUAACGUAUUGGGAGUUCAAUUUGAUUCAUCAUAAUCUUGAUGUCAUGCGCCGUUUUGAUUUUUGUUAUGAACUCAGAUCAAAAGUUUAAUGUGAUCAAAAUUUCUUAAAAAUCGUGAAAACGACUCUUACACUGUCAACGCUGUCAAUGUAGUGAUACAAUGAAGAUGAAGUAAAGCAUUAGUAGAAUAAUGAAGUUGACCAGUAACACAGUAAAGCAAAUUUUAUUCCAGAGCAUGAAAACUUUUAAACAGUAACACAGCUCUUAUUCACACGAGUGACCUGAAUCUUCUUCAGAACUUUCAAAAUCCUUGCCUUCCUAAGUUAGGAAAGAUAGACGUGGAGCAAACCAAGUGAAAUAAAUGAGUAAACAGAACAAGCAGGGCAAAAAUUAAAAAUGAUGGCAAUUAACAAAUUAAUAGCAAUGUUACAUUUGACUCUUUAGCCCUUUGCUCCUUCUCUUAGCAUUCUUCAAAGCUUUUGAAAAUUGGAUGUGAAGCAAACAAAAUAAAAUAAAUUUAGACAACACAUACCCUGUAUUCAGCAUCAUAUAUAUGUCGAAUAUCUAAUAUGAUAAGAGUAUACGCAAGUCCAAGUGAGAAGCAAAACCCAACAACAAAUAUGACGAAUAUGCAUGGGCACAUGCAAGCAACCAUGCAAGCCAAUAACGAAAAUGUAUGGGCACAUGCAAGUAACAUGCAAGCCAUGCAUGAGGUGGGCAUCACGUUCCUUCAAGGACUCUUCACAAAAUCAACGGAAAGCUUACUACGUCAAGUCGUAUUGAUGAAGAAUUCAGAUUUAAUCAUGAUUCCUUUAAGAUUAUUAUUUACUUCGAAAUUAUAGCUAAGUGGUUUAAUUGAUUUUAACUACUUUAUUUCAUUAAUUUUGUUCUAUAAAUAGACUCGAAUAAUUCAAUAAAAAGAUAUCAGACUUUUAUCUAAUUCAAUUAGCAAUUGCGGUAGUUCUCACCCUAAGAAGAACAAAUUAUUUACUUGUUGUUUCCGCUAAUUCUGACUGGGACCUAUCAUAAUAUAAUAAAUUUCACAUCCAAAAUACUAGAAUUUCAAACAGUACUAGUAGUAAAAAAAUGACGACAACAACAAAAAUAGAAAAUUACAAGACUGCUGAUAAAAUUUCAUUUGCGUGCAUGUCUGACAAAAUUUCCGUGGUUUAAUGUGCGUUCAUGCAAGCAAGUCCUAACGUUUCUGUGAUCACAAAAUGAAACUGAAGAUAAAACAGAACAACUACCAAACCUUUCAGGCUCUGAUACCAAGUUAAAGUUUCUAAUCUGUUUGAUAAGUAAGAAAAUGAGAGAAAAUGAAAGAAAGAACAGAGAUCAUCUAAGAGCUGGAUUUGAUGAAUAAAUCUGAAUCAUCCAUUCUUUAGCUGAUUACAAAUGUAUUUAUACAAGGUUUCUAAGCACCUGAGAGUUGAAUAACUUAUGCCAGCUNNNNNNNNNNNNNNNNNNNNNNNNNNNNNNNNNNNNNNNNNNNNNNNNNNNNNNNNNNNNNNNNNNNNNNNNNAAAAAAAAGAAUAUAUAAGUUUGUGUAUUUUUUUGAAUCAUAAUCAAAUGGGUAAAUGUUGCAACUAUUUUUUUAGACAUUUUCACUUUGGGAUGUCAGCCCGAGGAAGUUCGGGGGUCUGAGUUAUUCAACUGAAAAUGUCGGCCAAGUUCUUGUGUUAGUUUUAGUAUAUUGUGUAAAAAUGAUACACUAACUUGAAUUUAUAUGCUUUUAUGACUAUUUGAUAAUCAAAUGGGUAAAUGACACGAAGAACUUUGAGUUUAAAGAUCUGGCCCUGAUGCCUAGUAGCCCUCCAACCCAUGAAGCACUAGAUGUUUUAAUGAGAAAACGACAAGACCAUUUAUCAAAUUUCUUGUGGAUAUAAAUACAUACACAUAGACGAGACCAACCUCCUCAAAUGAGAAUCAGAGUGAUUACAAGACCUUGCAAUGAGACAAUAAUACACCAUCAAAUCUCAAAAUACAAUAGAAAUUCAUGACAUAUAUAUAAUAAAAGACCUCUCAUUGAGUCAUAUAUAUUGAGAAUAAAAUUUUUUUAAUACAUACAAAGAGCUUAUCUAGAAUGAAAUGUAAACUUUUUUAAUACAUACAAUGAUCAAACAAAGGAAACAGACAGGUUGCAACUCACACUAUCACAGAUGUAGCGACACGAUGCAGUGAAUCACAAGAAGAUCACGAAGAUGGAAACGGGAACCCCUCAGAAUGUAAACUUUGAAUAGAGGAAAAAAGAAAAACGACCUUAUUUCAAAUUGCGCACAGAAGAAGAGUGACUUAAAUCGUCAUCAGUAUCCAAACAUUCUGCAAUCAUAGAGUAGAGAAAUUUUAACAGGAACAGUGGAGAAAAUAUUAUGAAUAUGCUAGACCAAAUUAGUCCCUUUUUGGUUUGUGAAAACUUGAUUUUUUAUGAAAUAUUUUCAAACAAUAUUUCCACAAUAUACUUGUUCAUAGCUAACAUUUGAUGGUUUAAGCAUUUGUUAUAGGAACAAUGCACUGAUUACGUUUUUUUUUAAAAAUUUUUUUAGUCCGAUGAAUGAUAUUCAGCUGUUCUUUAAUUAUGUGUUCAUAGGGAAGAACAUUUUCUAAGUACUUUCCUUGCCUUCUAACUUUCCAAGGAAAUAUAGGUGUGAAGAAAAGCAAACCCAAUGAACAAACAGAACACAAACUAAAAUAAAAGAACAGCAAUGAUGAGAAUAAAUAAUUGGCAAAGAAAGAAUGGAAAAAGUAUGCAUGUUUUCAACGAAUUAUAAAAUACGAAGGCUUUUAAUGAAAUUUUAUCAUAAAAACGUAUGCAAGGAGUUAUAAAAUUUUAGAAGACGAGGGGAGCUCCCAAAAAAAAAAAAAAGAAGAAGAAAAAGACUCAAAUUAAACUAGACUAAAAAGACAUUCAAUUAUGCAAAAUCUGUCCAUAAAAGUCUGAAGGGAUCAUUAAAAUUGCAUUGCAAAUCUAUAUCUAUCUAUCUAUAUAUCUAUAUAUCUAUAUAAAGCUAGGACUUGAGGAGGUGAUGUGGCAUCACCAUUUUGCUUCUUUGUAUAUUCUCUAUUAUCUAAUAAAUAGAGAAUUUUUUUUAGAUUUAGCUUUUCAUCUUCUCAUAAUUAAUUUGAUUGUAUUUAACUCAUUUAAUAAAUAGUAACUUUAUUAAUAUAUAUCAUUCCUCAUCUUUUUAUAUUUUCUAUUAUCUAAAAUAUCUAAAAUAUUGGUGAAUAUUCUUUGUACUUUUUUUCUCUUUCUAUUUAAAUUCAACAAUAUGUAAUCAUUAAUAAUAAUUAAUUAUAAGUCCAAUUUUAAUGUCAACAAUGCCAUUAGAGCCCAAUUUUAAUGUCAUGAUCCCAUAUUUAAUUAUUCAAUAUUUUGUUUAGUGCCUUUUGGCUUCUUCAAACUCUAUAAACAUUAAAUAUUUAAGAUUUGUGGCAUCAUUAUUUCUUCCUCUUUCUAUUUAAAUCCAACAAUAUGUAACCAUUAAUAACAAUUAAUUAUAAGUCUUUUGAAAUAUUCAUUUAUUUUAUUAUGCUAGCAAUUAAACUUUAGUUGCUUAAAAUACAUCAAUUAAUUAACAUAGGAAGAGGGGUUCUUUCAUCUUCCCUCAAUAAUGCAGCUAGGGCCUAAGUUUAAUUUUCAUGUCUCUUCCUCUUUCUAUUGAAAUCCAACAAUAUAUAAUCAUGAAUAAUAAUUAAUAAUAAAUCUUUUGAAACAUUCAUUUAUUUUAUUAUGCUAGCAAUUAAACUUUAGUAGCUUAAAAUACAUCAAUUAAUUAACAUAUGAAGAGAGGCUCUUUCAUCUUCCUUCAACAAUGUCAUAAGGGCCUAAUUUUAAUGCCAUAAUCUCAUAUUUAAUUAUGCAACCUUUUAUUUAGUGUCUUUUGGCUUCUUCAAAUUUUAUUAUACUAGCAAUUAAACUUUAGCGGCUUAAAAUACAUUAAUUAAUUAACAUAGGAAGAGAGGUUCUUUCAUCUUCCCUCAACAAUGCCACUAAGGCAUAAUUCUUCUUAUUCUAAAUUUAAGUUGCUUGUCAUCAUCAGCAACACAAGUCGAUUAUGAUGCAACUACCAUUAUAAUUAAUGGAGAACGACGAGUUAUCUUCUCUGGUGCAAUUCAUUAUAUUUUCGCAGUAGUCCACAAGUACUGUAUGCAAAUAAUUAAUUUACAAUUUCUCAAAUCACUUGCACUUUCACAUUUUCUUCUUCUUUUAACCAAAAAAAAAAAAGCUACUUUGUUGCAAAAAUAUUAUCUUAAUUUUUUUUCCUAACAAGCCAAACAUGAUCCCACAUUCAAAACGGUGCGCUUUCAUGUUUAGGAAAAAUUAUGGGCAAUAUUUUUGGAUCCAACAGCAUUAUUAUUCUUAAAAUAUGUAAAAUUUGAUAUGAUUUAUUUCUAUAUGCGUUAUAUUUGUGCAGAUGUGGCCAGAUCUUAUACAGAAGGCAAAGGAUGGAGGGCUCGAUGCAAUUGAAACUUAUAUUUUGUGGAAUGCUCAUGAGCCUCAACGUCGUCAGGUGCCAAUUAUUAUUAUUAUUAUUUUUUUUAUUAUUAUUAUUAUUAUUAUGUGCGAUCGUUAUUAUUAUUGAAAUAAACAUACAAAAUUAACUUGUUUAAUCUUCCUUUUGAGAAGAGAUCAGAAGGUUAUCUUAAGAAAUUUGAAUUUCAUCAAAUUUUUUAUUUUUAAUUUGAUAUUUUUAAAGCCGCGCGAAGCGCGGUUCUAUUUCCUAAUUUAACAGUAAACCGAGGGACCUAUUCUAAAUAAUUAAGAUGAAAUUGCGAAACAAGCCAUGGGAUUAAAUAAAUUAAAUAAAAAUUAAUUACCAGCUGAGACUUUCUUCUAAAAAUUCGCAACUCCAAGUCAUAAGAAGCCUAUGAAAUUAGUCGUACUGCGUAGAGUAUAUCGACGACCCCGCCAACAGCUGAAAAUAAAAUUCUUAUUCAUCAAUUUAAACUUUUACUUUAUAACAAACAUUUUAUCUAUAUUUUAUUUAAAAAGAAAAAGCAAAUUUUGUAAAAAUUUAUCAUGGGAGAUAGAGAGUAAUAUGUAUAUCCGUACCUUCUCAGCAUGUAAUUGUUGUAUGGUUGUGUUUAGAUCAUUAUUAGCCCAACGCCGUUGAUUCGAUGUCUCUCCAUACUGGACGUCUACUCUCGGAGGCGUGAUUGAUUCUCCUGUAGUGAAAAUCUUCAUCUUGGGACAACCAAUCACUUCCAGAUAUUCCAAAGAUGGGAAUCUGAAGGUGUAAUUGGCAGAGCAGAAACUUGUGAGACUUUCUAAAUCACACAGAAUCAACGCCUUCAAUUUGCUGAAAACAAUCUCUUCUUUUUCAACUCCUUCUUUGUCAUUUAUUACCACCUCUGUCAUUGCUCUGCAUCCUUGUAUACGCACCGUGACGAGUUGCACUAGAGUUUUUGCUGUGCAGGAUGUUACCAAGUGUAUCAAUCCCUUGCAACCGAAAGCUACAAGUUUUGUUAGGUUCCCAAAAGAUACCGAUGAUGAUGGCAAUAGAAUUAACAGACUUUGACAAUGAUAUACUCUUAGAAUUUCAAGAUACUGAAAAAUGGGGCCAAGUUUGGAGUCUUGUUUGCACAGCUGCUUCAGAUGAUAGUGCCGGUACAGCUCUAAUUCUUUUAUCAUUGCCAACUUCCCCACAUGUUUCUCUAAGCAUCCUUCCAUCGAAAAUAGCUCUUCGUGGGAUGAAAAAUCACACAGUGUGAGUAUUUCGAGAUUGUGAAAUCUCUCCAGUACGUUCCAGAUUGGAAAACAAGCUGAGUCAUCUGCAGCAAUCUCUAGUUCUCUAAGACUGCCAAAAAGGUGUUGUGGGAAAUCGGCCUGCAAAAUCAUCUCCACGUCUUUUCCACUUAGUGAUAGUUCCGUCAAGUUGGGUAAGAUCUGAUCAUCGUCAAUCAUAAUAACUGAUAAGGUCAAUUGAUGAUCUCUCAAAUGAUUUUGAGUAAUCCAAUGACACGCAGUGACUUUAUAGUAUUUGUUUU
rnacentral:lncRNA from 1 species